AUUCGAGCAAGAUUCACUGCAAUUUCAAUGAAUGUUUGUGAGAAUGGACAAUUUGCAUCUCGACCUUUGUUAAUCUUUUUCCAGGUCUCGCAUAUCAAAAACCUUAUGUGUUUGCGUAACUCAUCUUCGGAAGCACCAGUUUCGUUCAUGUAACAUUGUAUUGAUUUAGGAACAUCGCCUCUUUCCAAUUCAUCCUGAAUUAAUAAAGCAUAAAAAACACCUUUAGUUGAAAGGGUUAAUUUCGAAUUCCUAUUGUCUCAUUGAUUUCAUUAACCAAAAAUGUUGUAAACAUGAAAUGAAAUGGCUUGCUGCAUACAUACCGAUGAUGUUGCUAAAUCAUCUGCAAGCCUUAAAAUCGUAGCCGACCAGCGAACUAUAUCAGGAUAUUUCUCUAAGCACUGAAUGGCUUCUUUCUCUAUCGGAUUGGUAACAGAGAAAAAAGAAUGUGACAAUAUUACAUGAGCUGAUAUUGAAAUCAAUGCAUUUUCCAUAUGCUCUUCCAUUGUUGGGGUGUAUCCAGUGAAGCACCAUUUUGCCUCUUGUAAGUAUGCUUUGCAUAAAUCUGUCCACUGUGACAUUGAUUUGACAUGCUUAUUGUAAAUAUCUUAGAUCGGAAAAUUUUAAGGAUAUUUAAAACAUAUAGAGAAAUUUCUGUUGGUUGUAGUAAAGGAUAAAAUAUGAGAUCACUUAGUAUAGAAACAGUACUCAUUAUAAGGGCUCGUGCAAUUGUGCUACUCCUCUUAACUUCAUUAAUAUUUUAAGAUAGAAGUCUAUGACCCAGAAGGCGUAUCAUACAAGAUUUGACAAUAAAAUGAACAAAAUUUUCUUUUUCUUCUUUAAUAUUAUUUGAUGUUAUCUAGUGCGCGUUUGACCCACAGAAUUUUGAAAGAAUGUGUGAUUAAAAAAUAAGAAAACGUUUUGGAUUUAUGUGUAAUAUUAUUUUAUUGAAAAAUAUGUAGUUGAAAUGAUGUUAAAUUACUUUUAGGAAUAUAUAUAUAUAAUUUUUUUUUUUUGAAAGAAUGCGAUUCAAACAGACCUGAUAUUCAUCAUAAUACACAUGCUAAUAAGGAUAUAUUCUUGAAGGAAACUAAUAGUACCACUUUUCUUAAAUAUGGAAUAAUUACGAUCCCUUUUUCUCUGAGAACAUCGUAAGCCAUUUCAUUGAUGAAGUUGUUGAGUGCUAGAUAGAAAAUUUGCAUGUAAUCUGGAAGUUGCUCAAUUGCACUGACAUCCCAUCUGUAAAGUUCCAAGAAGAAAUAAUUGUAAGAGCUACAAAGAGAAAGGAGGCUUGGAAAGAAACAUUAGGAGGACGUUGCUAACCUUUCAAUGAUGUAUGUAAAAAGUUCCAUUUCUUCAAACAUACCAUACACAUCAUAUAUAUCAUCCAUAAUUGUAAUAAAAACAUUUACUUUGGUUGCAUCUAUUCGUGAAAAUCCAUAUUGUGGUUCAAAUAGCACUCCUAUAUUUCAAAAGAAACAUUCCACGAGCCUAUCCCUGGCAAAUGGCAACAUCUUGGCAAGGCAUGUUCUCUUCCACCACCUAUUCAUAUACAGAAACCAAGGAUGGUAAGGUUAGGAGCUUAAAAUACGAUAUAUUUAGCGCACUCGGCAAUACCUGGAGACAUAUUUUAGUUCCUCAAGAUAUGUUGCUUGAACAAUGUUGAAAUCCAGUUUUGCAAGUUGGAGAAGAAUUGGAUUCUUGUCUGGUCUCUUCUCAUAUUUGUUUAUGAACCGCCGUUGAAUGAAUUAAAUAAAUGUGUACUCUCCUAAUAGAUUAAAUUUUUAGACGAAAUAGUUCAACACUACCCUGCUUCAGCCCGAGGUAUGGUCCAGUGCAGUGGAAUCUCCAAGGCAUGGUGCACCAAUGGAUCACAAUGAAUGUCGUCAACACUUUUAUCCUCGAGAUGUUUGAUAGUGAAUUCUCUUGCCAUUUCCAGAGUACUCUCACCUUCUAUUGACAAGAAAGAAGCUUCAUACAGUUGUAGUAAUCCCUUUGUAUCAUUACAUAACCUUGGCUUGAAAUCACCCUUCUCAUUCUUUAAACAAUCAAAUCUUUCUGCAAUCAGCCAAGCUUUGGCAUGUUAAGCGAAAAAAGUGAUGCAAAAAAUAAAACCUUAAUUUCUACUUAGGAGAGCAAUAAUAAACAAAGAAAUACUGAGAUCUUUUGUGUAGUGGACUAUCAGGGAAAUCUAAUACAUGUAGGAAAUAUACAAUAUACCCCUGAAAAAAUAUUACAUCCGUGCUCGAUUCUAUAAGUGUGCAUUAUGAUUAGGCUACAAGGAAUCUGACAAUAAGAAAUCAUAAAUCAACAGAAUAGAUAAAGGAUUCUAAGUUGUUUUUUGUGCACCUUGAGAGACAUUAAAGCCAUGUUGUCUUAGUAGUCUAAAUUCCAAAGCUGUAGCAUACAAAUCCUUAAUCUUUGGCUCUUUACUUUUGCUAUAUUUUCGGUUUAUAAAAGCCAAUAUUUGCUCAAUUUCAUCCUCAAAAUGGUAAGAUAUUCCCAGCCUCUCCAAGUUAUCAAUUAAUUCCAACUGAUCCAGUGGUUCCAUCGUUUCAUCAAGCAUCAUCUUCACUUGCAUCUUCAUCUCAGAAGCCCUUGUUUUGUAUCUCUCUUCCUACAUUAUGCAUAUCAUUUUUUGUCAGUCCUUAUAAUAAAUAUAUAUAGAAAAAAAUUCUACAGAUGACGAUAAUUACCGUGUAUUCACUAUUUAAGGACUGAAUAUAAUCGAAUUCCCAUAUAGGGGGCUUGUAUUUUCCUGAUCGCCUAAUCACGGUCUGAUUGUAAGACGUAGAGGCAAGAAUUCGAUAUUGUUUAGCAUUAGAAGCAAGGCUAUCAGUAGUUGUACCCAAAGCAAAACGGAUCUCCAUUUUUGGAAGCUCCGUUUUGAACGAGCAAACAGAAAUUGGCCUCAGAAUUUGCAUGUUGAUAACCUCUCUCUCUCUUUCUCCCUCUCUCUCUAUAUAUAUAUAUGUAGAGAGAGAGAGAGAUGAUCUAUCAAACGGACAAAAUGUAACCCUGUGGCGCUUUAGUAUUUUUCACAUGGAAUAAUACGAAGUUACCGUGUUAAGUGUUAAAAUUGGCACCGAUUUGCAGUACGGACAGGAGACCAAACAGGGGAGAUGGAUGAGUAUUUUUUUUGGCAAUACUUUACUCACAUAGGCCCUCCCCAUGUGAGUAAUUUGCUGUGCACGAAGCAAAAUGCACAUUACACGUGAUUGCAUUCUCUUCGAUUUUCAACAUUUUUGAACCAAAAAUCAAUGUACUUAUCAAACACAAAUCAUUACUUACUGUAUAGAUAAGAAUUUGGCGAGUUAGAUUGAUUCUGAGUCCACAUAUCAUUACUUACUUUUCUUUCUAAAAACACAAAUUUCUAACCAGCUUCGAAUGACGGAGACCCAACACGUGAGUGAUCCACUUCUCAUUGCUCUCCUUAUUAAACCAAAUAAAUAGAUGGAGAUACAUUUUUAAUUCGUUUAUUUAUUUUUAUCAUUCAAUUGAAUACUUCUAAUUAGGAGCUAUUUUGUCAUUCUUAGUUAGGAUUCGUCACUUUUUAAACUCUUUUAAUAGCGUGUUGUUUUCUUUGUUGUUUCUUAUGAUCUAUAUAAUAUUGGAGUUUUUCCCAAUUGAUCAAUCUAUUUAGACAAAAUCAAUGAAAUUCGAUUUGUGUAUAUUCGUUCUCACUGCUUCACAAUCUAGAGUUGGUAGAGUUAGAGACAAUCUUUGGAAGAGAUGCAUAUCAAGUAUAUCAAUUAUUAUUAUUAUUAUUAUUAUUAUUAUUAUUAUUAUUAUUAUUAUUAUUAUUUUAAGUUUCUCUGUAUUGUCUUCGUCGAUUUCGGUUACUAAUAAUGACUAAAUAUUGACAUAUUGAAUUUUUAGGACAAAUUGCACAGAACAUGCCUAUAAAUUACAAGUUUUGGAUCUGUUAAUGUAUUUGCCUAACUAUUGUAGUGGAUUGUAAAUUUGAUUUCCACGACUUAAGUACAAACGAAAUUGAACAUGAGAGAAAUCUUCUGUCAUUAAUAUAGUGGUGGCAAGUUUUGGGCCUGACUCGAUUUCUCAUGACGACCAUUAUUCUAAAUGUGAACCAUUAUUCUUGUCUAGAUCUUUAGAUGAGCCAUUGUAUAAUUUGCCUAAUCAUUGGAGUGGUAGGAAAAUUUUGACUUUGUUAGAAUUAAGGUGUGACCCGAAUUCUAUUUGAAAGAUAAUUGAAAAUUUUAAUUAAAGUUGACUUAAGGAAAAUUUUAUUUCAAAUGCUAUUUUGAAAUCCUAUUCGAAGUUUGUUAGGUAAAUUCUAGUUUAAAUUCUAUUUGGAAGUCAACUGAAAGUUGAAAUUUGUGUUGAAUUUGAAGAGAUCAAGAUAUAGAUUAGGAAGGACUUCUGGUGCAAUCAUGCUCGCUUGGCGCUUGACUGGAGCUCGAGUGUCCAAAGUAGUGAAGCCAGCGAUCGCCUAAUGCUUGAGUGCCAUAUUCAUCCUACCUAGGCCCAUUUUCGCGUUUUACAAGCAUUUUCAACAUUCUAUUUCUUCUACGAUAUCAAGACUAGGGUUAUGGAUGUCUUCUAUUUGUUUCCUAUUUAUAUUUGGCUAUUCUUUACAAAUUAAUCAGGUUGUUAAACCUCAUUAUAAGUUAGACAAAUUAUAAACACAAAAUCAUUGUAUUCUUUAUCCAUAUUCUAGUGAAAUAUCAUUUCCUCUACAAAUUAUCUUGUUCUUGGGUUUGUGUUCAAUUACUUCAUAUUGUGCCAUAAAUAUAUUAUUCGUUUCUCGUCCAUUAUUACAACGAAUUGUUAUCAGAGCAAUUCGAUAUCUUACAGACUUUGUCGAAAUAAGCAAAAAAGAUAUUGAACAUAACAAGUGUCAUUAAUUUAGGGGUUGAGUGACCAAUUUUUCUCUGUUGCUGCCUUAAGAUUUGGGUUUAGUAGAGGUGGUUUAAGUGCAAGUUGACGUAGCCAUAGAGUUCACAUUUUUUAUUAUUUUAUUUUUUUGAAUACUUAUUUUACGCAACUGUAUAAUUGGCGUGGAUAAUUUGAGAUCUUUAUAUGGAUCAUAUUUGGCUAGCCUGAAAGGUACCUUCCAACAAAUUUUGCGGUUGACUGUGUUUACAAGUUUAUUCAACAAAAUAACUAUUUUAUCCUCAACUAUUUUAUUUAUCAAAGCUAAAGAAAUAUCCCUUAUUCACACGAAAUUUGUUGUAUGUAAAAAAUUAUAUAUAUCAUAUACAUUUCAUCAAAGUGACAAGUGUCAUAAUAUUUUAAUAAGUUUAGUGAUAACUCGAAUAACCUUUGAAGUUCAACGAUGCCUAAGAAAAAAUUGAGAAAAUUUAAUAGUAACUCGCUUGAAGUUGAAAGGCAAUUGAGAAACAUUAAUGUUCACUAGCAAUAGAAAUUUUGAACUCUAUAUAAGACCCUGUUUGACAUCCAUUAAAAGGAAUUUUUUGAGAAAAAUGUGUUUUGGAAUAAAGAUUUUUUGGAGAAUUAGUAGUUAAAAAGUAGAAAAAAGUUUUAAAUUUGCGUACAAAAUAUUUUAUUGUGAAAAUGUGUGAUUAAAAAUGAGUUGUUAUUAUUAUUAUUAUCAUCAUCAUCAUCAUCAUUAUUAUUAUUAUUAUUAUUAUUAUUAUUAUUAUUAUUAUUAUUAUUAUUAUUUUAUUUUUGUAAAAAUGAUUGUCAAACACUUAGUAUGAAGAAGAUGUAUUAAAUGUGAUAAAAAAGAAUUCUACACAUCCGGAGAUAAGUAGAUACAAGCCUAACUAAUUUUGCUAGAAAAUACAAAGUUAAAUUACGCGAUAAGAAAACUGUGUCCGGGGAUUAAUGCAUGGAGGAGCCAUUCCAAUGGGCAAUUCUGAAAUUUAAGUAAUAAAGCAAAUAAAAUCAAGUUGAAUGAAGAUAGUUCGAAAAUAAAAUCCAUUGAAAAUUCACAAAUUUACAAGAGAAUAUAGUUUCUAAAGAAGUAAAUAUCCAAACGCCGAAUUUUAAUAUUUUAUAUAUAAAGACAACAAAAUAUAGAUUCAGAUUGCAGAAAAUAGAAAUAAAAAUUCGAACAAUGUAAAGGAAUAUUAAUCAAUUGCAAACUGUAAAAAAACAAUAAAAAAAGGCGACAUGUAAGCACUUUAAAUAGCGGAUAAAUCUAAAUGGACAAGGUAACGUAGGCUUUGUCUGUCUAGAGGGCGCGCGUGGCGCCAAACCCCUUGCCAAUAGGGGACGCCUUCUAUAGCCAAGCCCACCACAUCCAAUAUAAUAUUUUAUGAACAACCCAAGUAUCAAUUGAUCAAUAUUGACUAUCUUCAACAUGAAAAAUUUCAAGCCAAUUUAUAUUUGAACUUCAAAAAAAUAAAUUAAAAAAAAAUCGUUUUCCUUGUGGUCAGAUUGUGAUAAGGAGAUUAGGAUGAGAAUUCAAAUAUAUUCAGUCGUUAAAUAUUGAAUACGCAGUAAUUGUAUCAUUUACAUGAAAACAUCUUAGUUUUUUCUAGAGAUGGUAGUGGAGUGGGUUCGGAAUAGGGCUUAGACGGGUGGAGUGGUGGCUUGUCCCUUAUAUAUAUAUAUGUGUGUGUGUGUGUGUGUGUACAUUUUCAAAAUUAAUUCGAGUUAUGCUAUUAUUAGAAAAUAAAAUAAAAAUUCAAAAUUUUUAAAUCCAAAGUAAAUAAUGCUCAAACCAUAUAUAUAUAUUUUUUUUUAAGGGGGCGAACUCCGGUUUGGCCCCAUUCGAGACGUGGCGGGAUGAAUUUUUUUGUCAUCUCUAAUUUUUUUCGUGCAAUCAAAUUUUGAUUUUGCAUAAUGUAGGAACUAGAGAAAGAGAGAGACGCGAUGGGGGCUUCUCAAAUGAAGAUUCAAGUGAAGAUGAUGCUUGAUAAAACAGUAGAGCCACUUGAAGUACUAGCACCAACUCAAAUAAGUUGGUAAUGGCAUGCAAGAAGCAAUACAUAAACAGGGCCCAUGUGGCACUGUUUGAGAAGAGUUGUUCAUUAAGUAGGGACAAAAGGUCUGAUUAGACUGCAAGUAGAUUGGAAGUAAUAAUGCUUUCAAUAAUGCAAGCAAAUAAUUGCAUUAUGUUUGCAAAAUAAAUGCUAUCACUCUUUUGACAGGAUCUAGGUAUUCUUCAUUUUGGAUCAAAAAUUAAGUUAUAAAAAAUUUUGAAGCAACAUAAAAUUAAUGAGAAUAAUUCAAUACAUUACUACGAAUGUUGUCUAUGCAUUUCCAUAAUUUGAAAUCAUCGUAUAAUUACAUUAUUAUCAAUAUUGCAAAUAUAACAUCCUCAAUGUACAAAACUGACUAUCAUUCAAUAGUCGAAUAUCCAAUUCAAUUGCAUGGUUCAAACCGUGGUUGAGGUCUUGAGGAGUCUGAUGUUGAUGUGGAGAAAAAAUGUGGUCGGUCAUCGACGUUGAUGUCGAUGACCUAGGUAGGAAAAUGCAACUAUAUGGUAAAAAUGACAAAUCUAGGUAUUGGGGGAAGAAUGAGAUUCAAGGCUUAAAAGAAGUUGGGAGGCAGAAAGUGGAUGAAAAAAAAAAAAGUGUUCAAACUUCAAAUAGUAGAAAAGUGAAAAAAAACUAAAAUUUAAAAGGAAAAUUCCAAAAUUUUCGUGGGCUCAGCAAACCCCAUAUGACCCCACGUAACUCCAAUCAUAAAUCAAUCUAAUGUCAUCACUUACCCAAUUCGUAAUUCAUUGAUUGACUUAUAUGUAAAACAUUAAGAUCACGUUUUUAAAGCUGUUUGGGACAAAAAUCUUCAGUGUCUCUUUUUGAGCCCUUAACAAAUAUGUCCACUUCAACAUAUAAAAUAAGUGUUGUACCUUGGAAAAAAAAAUACUACACAUCAUUCUUCUUUACUUCUAAAAAUUUUAUCUAUAAUUCAUGAGAAUAUUUUGAAUGAUUGAUAUAUUUCACGAGUAUUUUAGAAAUAUCACUCUAGAGGUAUUGUACCAAAAAAUCUUAGUAUCUUGUGGCUAGGCAUGUGCACACAACAAUAAUUCCUAAACAAAGAAAAAUGAAAAAGUUUAUCAAUUAAUAAAGAUUAUUACCCCAUGGUUGUCUGCACCAAACCAUGUUUAAUUUAUAUUUUUCUUUUUAGCUCGUUUUACAUUUUGUUUUUUCACUGCAUGGAUGAGAUUUUUUUCAAUAAAAGUAUCACUGCAAAAAUUUAUAUGUGAGAAAAAAAAUAAAAGAAGUAUAAAUCGAUAAAUAUAUAAGUGACCCCUAUGAAACAAGAUAAAGCAGGGAAACACUAUAUUAUAAUUAAAUGACAUUAUUUGAAUAUGAACAAUUAGAUUUUAUUAAUAAAGAUGAAUUAUGUGUGACAAAUGUUAUUAAUCAUCACAAGGAAAUGAUACUUGUACAAAUGAUCCUUUAAGAGCGUAAGUUUAUUUCUAUUAAAGUAUAUAUACUAUUAAUUGCAAGAUGGAUGGAAACAGGUUUUUUUUUUUUUUUUUUUUUUUUUUUUUUGUUGGAAACCAUUGAAAAUGACCUCUAUUUUUUUUAUUUUACGUAACAUCAAUAUGUUGAGGGGGUCAAUGCAACGAUUGUAGUAUUAGGGACCAUUUCCACACAAGGGCCUUACAUUAAGGACCAUCUAUACCAAUUUCCUUGUUAAUUAAUACUCCACCUUUGUGUUCGCUUGAAUAAAAAAAAAGUUUUAUUGUGGAAAUGCCUCAACGUAUGGAUCUAUUGAUACCCUUACCCUUUUUAAAUUGGUGGAAACCCCCCGUAUGAACUUUGAAGUGCGGAACCCAUUGUCUUUCAUUUUCUCAUAAAUCCCUAUGAAAUGACGAUUUGGGAAAAAAUAGUAGAGAAGACAGCUUGGUAUGUCAAAUUAGAUGUAAUAUAAAUGUGGAGAAACACAACUAUAUGGUUUGUGAUCUGAAAUGAAGGUUAUUAUGCACAUAAAAAUUGCAAAGAUUCAAUCAACAACACACGAUGAGUGGAGGCAUGACGAUAUUGCUAGAAUAUGACCCAAAUUUCUAUUGGGAUUAGGAUUGGGUUGGUAAAUUGAUAAAAGGAAAUGGAGUCUUCUUGGUUUGGAAGUUCGAUUGAAAAAGAGGAUUAAAGUUCAUCAAUGAUUGAAAUUUUGAUUGGUAAAAGAAUUUUGGAAAAUUGAAGACUUGAUUUUGAAAUUUUGGUGGAUAAAAAAUCGUCACAAUUUCGCUAACUGGCAGCUAACUUUGGUGUUCAAGCAUUAGAGGUGAAAAUCGGAGUAGAGAGAUGCCGCGUUGCCCGCUUAGUGUCGCCUGGCACUGGAGUGACAAUGUUAUUCGGACAGGAAUAUAUAUAUAUAUAUAUUCCACGUGAUAUAGGCUCUUAAAAGGAUAAAUUAACAAUAAAAUCAUAGUUAUAUAGAUUAAAAACUUGAGAUGGUUAUUUAAAUUUAGAUUGAGUGUAUCAAAUCUCGUAAGGCAAUUUUAGUUUCUUGAUAUAUUUAAAUUCUUCUUUUCUUUCAUAUAAAUCUUGUGUUCUUAUGUGAUCCAUUAUUUUUCAUAUUGCUCUUAUUUUCUCGUCUUUAUUAUUUGGCCGAUUUAUCUUUACAAUUCCAUACGAUUCAUCAAGAACUAUGUGUUGAAAAUAGAAGAUGCGAGUCAGCUUGAAGAAGAAGUUUAGCUGAAGCAUUGUCAUAAUCAGAAAGAAAUAGGCCAGGUUGGAUUAAUGACAGAACAGAUGACAAAGCAACAACAGAAGAAUGAUCUAGAAGAGGAUUAGUUAUAUUUUGUUAUUGUACAGCAGAAGAAAAAUCUAGAAGAAUAAUUACCUAUUUUUUUGUGUAAGUUAGUUAGAAAGGAUUCCUUCAUUUUGUAAGGGGCCCUAUUGUACAUAACACAUGGUGAAUUGAAUACAAUUUCAUUCUUCUCCUAGUUCAUCAAUAUCAGAAUUUUUAUCUUUUAAAAUCUAACAUGGUAUUAGAGUUAGAAAUGGAGGAAUCCAAUUCAGAAAACACAAAUCCCACCCCAAAUACAAACACUAGUCCAAGCCAAAUCCAAAACCAAACUAGAGGAGGGAACUCAGGUGUCCUUUCUCUUGACCCAACUCAUCCUAGCAACCCUUAUUAUAUAGGUAGCAAUGAUGGAACUACUGUCAUGCUGGCACCCAUGCCUUGUGCUCUAGUAAUUAUUAUUCCUAGGCUCGAUCAAUGAGAAGAGUAUUGAGAAUAAAAAAUAAGCUAGGGUUCAUAGAUGGUAGUCUUUGUGAACGAAAAAAUCUAAAUAAUCCAUUAAUGGAACAUUGGUUAAGGUGCAAUGACAUUGUCAUAACGUGGUUGUAGAAUGCCAUGGCAAUUGAUAUUAAGAGUGGCAUCAUGAAACAACUUACCUUUUUUGGCUUGACCUUGAACAACGCUUCUCCCAGCAAAAUGCUCCAUGCAUCUUUGAAGUAAAGAAGGAUAUCAUAACCUUGAUGCAAAAUCAAGACUCGGUGAGUGUUUACUUCUCAAAACUCUCUUAGAUGAACUGCUGAAUUAUGAAAGUAUUCCCAAUUGCACAUGUGGAGAUCUAAAAAUUGUCGUUCAAAAUCAAUAAAGGGAUUGGGUUAUGAAAUUCUUGAUGGGGCUAAAUGAUUCUUACAAAGAGAUUAAGGUCCAGAUCUUAUUGAUUAAGCCAUUUUCUAGCCUGAAUGAGGUAUAUUCAUUGAUCCAGCAAGAGGAUAAGAGGCGGGAGAUAUCUAAUCUAGUUCCUAUUAAUUCUGACUCCAUGGUUUUUCUGAGCAAAAGGGGUUCUAGAGAAGGAGGAAACCAACAUUUUUCAUCACAGAAGGGGGACAAAUAUUAUUGCACUCAUUGCAAGGUUGUAGGCCAUUCCCUUGAAAGAUGCUUCAAAGCAAAUCCAAGCAGGCCAAUCUGCUCUUUACUAUAAGACGCCAAGACAUGAAGUGAACAAAUGUUUUAAACUCUAUGGAUUCCCACCAGGCCACAAGUUGAACGGCAGAGGAAAGCAUGCUGCCAACGUGGUCUCUACCGGCAUGAUACACAAUCAAGAAGUGGUAAAGGACAAGGGCAAAAUAUCCUUAAGUCAAGAGCAAUACUCUUAGUUGAUGGCACUACUCAAACCAGCAACAGGCACUCAUCACUCCACCCUUUCAUCAAACUGUUAGGCAAUUUGUUGUCAAACGACCUCCUCGGGCGAUGAUGUAACCUCGGUUUUAUUAUCAAUGGCCUUGGCCAUAUGAUUGACUAGUAUAUCGACACAAUUAUCGAGACAACACAAUCCACAUUUUUAUGGACCGUUCGAAGCAACCUAUUUUAGAUAGUGUUGCUCACGAUUCGCCCCAUUUCCUUGGAAGGCUAUAUUAUUAUUUUUGAAUCCCACUUUAAUUGAGUGGAGCCUUGUUUUGGUCCACAAUUUAACCCUAACCUAACUUACCUAUUUUGGACAUUUAAUUCGCACAUAAUCUUACCUUCCUCUCGGCCUCCAUGGUGUGUGCCUAUUUUUCCCUUCUCUUUGUGAGACUCUCUUCUCGACUUCUUGCUUUACUUCACUGUGACCUUUGUGGUUAAUUCUUUGUGGGCACAUCAUUGGACUUUACUUUCCAACCUAUAGCAACCGGAGUGGGGCAGCAGUGGUUGUGGUUCUUGGAGUUGUCUCAACCUUUGUGGUGUCGAUGAAUUGGUAAACUGAGCCCAGUUUUGUACUUAGGGUUCGGUGGAAAUCAACUCUACAUCUAGUAUCAAAGCCGGAGUAACCUUUCCCGGCCAGAAAAUCACCAAAAAUCGACGGUGGAGUCGCGAUUUUGGUGUAAAACCGAACCUGCAAUCCCCUUUUCCGGCCAAUCCAGUUACUUUCCCGCGAAACCGAUCCCAUAUUCGAAACCAGCAGGCUGAGGCGCCCCUUCGUGUGUGGAGCGUGGCAGCGGCAGUAACCGACGACGGCGGGGCGUAGGACUCCGACAGCCACGCGUGGCGGUGAUUCCGGGUGAACUUCCUUCGAGCAGUUUGCUCAUUUUAAUCCCUUGAACGCACUGACACUGUUUAUUUUCUAUUUUAGGUUACACAGAAAAAGUUGGACAAUUUUGCCCCCGGUGGAUCGACAGUUGAAAUUGCAUAUAUCUACUGAAUUACUUUAGGCCAAGAUUGUGGCCCUAAAGCAGUAGAUUUGCAUCUCUCUCGAUUAUAUGGACUCAAACAUGUUCGCUCUGGUAAAUUGGCUUAACCCGUUAAUUUUUUCAACAUUAGCGCGUCACCGUGUGGGGAUGACAAUAGGUUGGGGGUUGUCAUUGCUUGGCAACCAUUGCUUGUACUAGAAUUAGGGUUAUAUGCUCUUGAUUGAUCUUUUUGAUUGAGUAUUUGAUUUUUGGUGAAAAUCAAUUUUGUAAUUCUUAGUAAUCUAAUUACUGUGGGAUUAGUUAUCUGCUAGACGUAUUUUUUGCUACAUUAUUAUUUCUGCUGCUUACUUAUUCCGUUAGAAAUACCGUGACCUUACCUGUUCGAACAUUUCCUUGAUCUAAGACCGCGAGUCUUACGAAACUCUGGGAAUCUAGAACGGUGUAUAUUGUCUGUGACCCUAGGACUACUUUGUGUGGUUUGAUUGUGGUUUGUGCAUUUUUGACUAUUGUGUAAAGAUGACAACUCACAGUUUUGAUCUGAGAAUUUUUAAUGGAAAGGGUGACUUUGCUAUUUGGCAACAAAAAAUGAAGGGUAUUUUAGUCUAACAAAAAGGUUUCAAAAGCCAUUGAAGGCAAUUUUUCAACUGAUUUUUCACAAGAACAAAGAGAAGAAGCCAAUGAGUUUGCUUAUACCUCAAUUAUUUUACACUUGUCUAACGCCAUUUUAAGAAAGGUGGGUAAAUUGAAAACCACUAAAGAGCUUUGGAAGAAAUUAGAAGACUUGUAUUUGCUUAAGUCUACACCGAAUAAACUUUACCUGCUUGAACUUUUUUCAGUUUCAAAAUGGAUUCUUCAAAAGAUCUUGAUGACAAUCUAGACGUGUCUAACAAAUUGGUGUAAGACAUAGUUAAUUGUGAUGAGACUGUGUCCGAAACUUAUAAGGCUAUAAUUUUGCUCAAUACAAUUCCUGAUUCCUAUAAGGAAGUUAAGAAUGCUAUUAAGUAUGGUAGAGACAUGUUAACACCUGAAAUUGUCAUAGAUUCCCUUAGAAAUAAAGAAAUGGAAAUUAGGGCUAAAAAACAUGAUAAGAGGAAUGGUGAGGUACAUAUGAUGCAGGGUAGAACUCAAUUUAGGCAAAAUAGUCAUGAGGGAUAUCAAACUAGUGGCGAGUCAAGUGGGAAUGGAUGGAAAAAGAAGAGCAAAAGUAGGUCUAGAUCAAAAUCUAGGACUAAGGCGAGAAAAUGCUAAGGUUGUGGAAACACAGGGCAUUUUAUAGAAGAUUGUCAUAAAGAGAAGGUUAAGCUAAAGGCUAAGGAGGGAGAUGAGGUAAAUGUGUUAGCAUCUAAUUCUGAUAUAAAUGGUGGUGAGGUCUAUAUGAUUACAAGUCCAGUUGCAUACACUGCUGAAUUAAAUCUAACUGUUAAUUCCCGCAUCCAUGAGUGGAUACUUGAUUUUGGUACAUCUUUUCAUGUGACGUCUGAAAAGAAUUGGUUUUAUAAGUUGCAUGAAUCUAACGUUGGACAUGUUGUACUGUGUGAUAACUUUGCCUAUACUAUUGCUGGAAUUGGUGACAUAAACGUAAAAUUUGACACUGAUUUUGUGUAUACGUUAAAGGAUGCUAGAUAUAUUCCUGAAUUAUCUAGGAAUCUGAUUUCAGUAGGGAGACUUGAGAAGGAUGACUUUACUGGUAAAAUUGAAAAUGGUAUGCUAAAAAUGAUCAAGGGUGCUUUAGUUUCCAUUAAGAGAAUUAAGAAAAACGAUAUAUACAUUACUGCGGGGGAAGUGAUUAAAGUGUGAAUUCCUCUAUCUCCUCUAUAAAGAUUGAUCACACACACACAUGGCAUAAUAGACUUGCUCACGUAGGGUUCAAGGGACUUAAGCUACUUAAUGAAAAGGGUGCUUUUGGUAAUGACUGUGUGUUAAAUUUGCCAUUUUGUGAUCAUUGUGUGCUUGGUAAGCAUCACAAAACUUCUUUCUCCAUGAGUGUUAAUAGAGCUAACGGCAUGCUCGAAUAUAUGCACUCUGAUCUAUGGGGUCCUACUAGUAACCCCACAUCGGGUGGUAAUAGGUAUUUCCUGUCUAUUAUUGAUGACUACACUAGAAAAGUGUGGGUCUAUCUUUUGAAGGAUAAAUCUGAGACCUUCAAUAGUUUUAAUAAUUGGAAGAGACAAGUGGAAAACCAAAAUGGUAAGAAAAUCAAAUUUUUAAGGACAGAUAACGGCCUAGAAUUCUGCAAUAAAGAAUUUGAUAGUAUGUGUAAAGAGAGCGGCAUAACUAGACAUAAGACCAUUCCCUACACCCCUCAACAAAAUGGGGUAGCAGAAAGGAUGAAUAGAACCAUAGUUGAUAAAGUACAUUGCAUGAUAAUUAGUUCAGGUGUUCCCAAGUCAUUUUGGGGUGAGGCUGUUAUGACCGCUUGCUAUUUGAUUAAUCUGACUCCUUCUGUUGUAUUGAAUGGUAACACUCCGCAUGAGAGAUGGUCGGGUAAACUGAGUGAUUACUCGAUACUUAGAACUUUUGGCUGUACAGCUUUUUCUCAUCAAAGUGAGGGUAAGCUGGAACCUAGAGCUAGAAAGUGUGUUUUUCUAGGAUACCCCGAGGGUGUUAAGGGUUAUAGGUUAGGGAUAGAAGCCAAAAAGGGGUUAAAAUCAUCAUAAGUAGAGAUGUCACGUUUAACGAAAAUGAGAUGUCAUUUAUUAAAGGGAAAACUGAACCUGAGAGUGAAGUAGAAUCAGGUGAAGAGAGAGACCAGUUUAAGGUGGAGUUAGGAAAACUCGGUCCACCUGCCCUUACAGUUUCAAAUGAGGUGGAGACUCAAACCUAGGAACCCGAAGUGGGGAAUAGUAACGAAAUAGUGACAAAAGAACACUAUGAGGAAGAAAAUCAUUUAGCUAACUAUAACUUAGUUAGGGAUAGAGAGAGGAGACAGACGAGAGAACCAAGAAGGUUUGGUUUUGAAUCUGAAUUAGCUUUUGCCCAGGCUAGUUAUGAAGAACUAGUUGAUAAAGAGCCAAAGACCUUUGAAGAAGCAAUAGGUAGUGAUCAAUCUAAUGAAUGGCUUAAGACAAUGAAAGAAGAGAUGAGUUCUCUAGAAAAGAAUCAUACUUGGGAGUUAGUACCUAGGCCUAAGAAUAAAUCAAUUGUUGAUUGCAAAUGGGUUUUUAAGGUUAAGGAAAGAACUAGCAACUUGGAACCCCUAAGGUUUAAAGCUAGGUUGGUGGCUAAAGGCUACACACAGAAGGAGGGCGUUGAUUAUAAUGAAAUUUUCUCACCAGUUGUUAAGUACACCACUAUUAGGGUCAUGCUCGCAUUAGUUACACAUUUUGACUGGGAACUUAAACAACUUGAUGUAAAAACUGCUUUCUUACAUGGUGAGCUUGAUGAACAAUUUUUCAUGAAUCAACCUAAAGGUUUUAAGGAUAAGUCAAAACCUGAUUAUGUGUGUUUUCUGAGAAGAUCCUUGUAUGGGUUAAAACAAUCUUCUAGACAGUGGUACAAGAGGUUUGAUUCCUUUGUACUCACUAUAGGGUUCCAAAGAAGUAAAUUUGAUCACUUCCUGUAUUUUCAACAUAAUGAGACUGAUGAUAAUCAUCUGUUUUUGUUGCUUUAUGUGGACGACAUGCUUUUGAUUGGAUCAUCCUCUAAGUGGAUAAAUAACAUAAAAGCAAAACUAAGUGGUGAAUUUGACAUGAAAGACCUAGGUAAGGCUAAGAGAAUCUUAGGUAUUGAAAUCGAAAGAGAUAGGUCAAAUUCUGUUUUGUUUUUGCAUCAGUCUCCAUAUAUAUCCAAAGUACUGAAGAAAUUUAAUAUGAGUGACUGCAAACCUAUCACGUUGCCUCUUGCUAAUCAUUUUGUUUUAUCGAAGGAACAAUCUCCUUGCAAUGAGCGUGAAAUUGAAUACAUGAGCAGAGUACCUUACUCUAAUGUGAUUGGUUCCAUAAUGUAUUUGAUGGUUUACACUAGACCUGAUUUAGGUUUCGCUGUUAGUACUCUCAGUAGAUAUGUGGCUAAUCCAGGCCCUGACUAUUGGGAAGCGCUAAAGUGGCUGUUAAAGUACUUGAAGGGUACUAGUAACGUAGGCUUAAAGUUUAGUGCUAAUAAAGAAGGUAUAAAAUUAAAGGGUUUUGUAGAUGCUGACUAUGCGGGAGAUAGGGAUGGUAGGAAAUCUACUUCAUCUUACGUGUUUGCCUUAUCUAAUUCAUGUGUAAGUUGAAAAUCACAGUUACAACAUAUUGUUGCACUAUCCACUGCAGAAUCAGAAUAUAUUGCUACUACUGAAGCUAUUAAAGAAGUUCUAUAGCUUAGAGGUCUACUUCAUGAACUGUGUGUCUUAAAUGAUUAUGUGAUAGUGUAUUCUGAUAGUCAGUCAUCUAUACAUUUAUGUAAGAAUCCUGUUUUUCACGAGUGCACUAAACACAUUGAUGUUAGACUCCACUUCAUUAGAGAUAUAGUAUCUCAAGAGGUGGUAAGACUUGAGAAAGUCCAUACCCACUACAACCCAUCUGAUAUGGGGACGAAGGUACUACCACUGGCAAAGUUUAGGAGUUGCAAGGAACUUCUAAACAUUGGUACAGGUAAAUGAUUUCCAAUUUUAUUGGUUUUCUAUUAGAGGUGUCACUAAUGGGAGACAAUUUUCUUUUACAGGUCCUUUGACACCAAGGUGGAGGUUGUUAGGCAAUUUGUUGUCAAACGACCUCCCCGGGCGAUGAUGUAACCUUGAUUUUAUUAUCAAUCGGCUUUGGCCAUAUGAUUGACUAGUACAUCGACACAAUUAUCGAGACAACACAAUCCACAUUUUUAUGGACCGUUCAAAGCAACCUAUUUUAAAUAGUGUUGCUCACGGUUCGCCCCAUUUCCUUGGAAGGCUGUAUUAUUAUUUUUGAAGCGCAUUUUAAUUGAGUCGAGCCUUGUUUUGGUCCACAAUUUAACCCUAACCUAACUUACCUAUUUUGGACAUUUACUUCGCAUAUAAUCCCACCUUCCUCUCGGCCUCCAUGGUGUGUGCCGAUUUUUCCCUUCUAUUUGUGAGACUCUCUUCUCGGCUUCUUGCUUUACUUCACUGUGACCUUUGUGGUUAAUUCUUUGUGGACACAUCAUUGGACUUCACUUUCCAACCUAUAGCAACCGGAUUGGGGUGGUGGCGGUGGUGGUUCUUGGAAUUGUCUCAACCUUUGUGGUGUCAAUGAAUUGGUAAACUGAGCCCGAUUUUGUAGUUGGAGUUCGGUGGAAAUCAACCCUACACAAACAACGUCCAAACACUUGCUAGUCCUUCCUCAUCUGAUGAUUUCACUCGUAAAAUGUCUGGUAUGUCUCUAUGCUUAACUGUAUUUCAUCGUAGGUAGGGAAAUAUUUAUGAAAUUCCAUAGAUUCUUGACACAGGAGCAACAGAUCACAUGAUCUGCUCCACUAUUCUUUUUACAUCUAUUCAAGCUAAUGUGUGCUAUUUUGUGGUCUUACUAAACGGAGAAAACUUCCCUGUCACUCAUGUAGGAACUGUCAAAAUCUCAGAAGUAAUUACCUUACAUAAUAUCCUAAGCAUUCCUAGUUUUCACUUUUAAUUUAAUUUCAGUAAAGAAGCUUCUCAAUCUCUAAACUGCUGUCUUGUCUUCUUCUCUAAUCACUGUUAUAUUCAGGACCUUUCGACUUGGAAAAAAACUGGAAUGGGUGAAGUGAAAGAUGGAUUGUAUCAUAUGGUACGAAAGGAAGUCUCCCAUUCAGCUUUAUUGAAUGCUUGCAAACAAUUCAAGCGUUUGCCCUCUUUUUUCCCGUCUGCCACCAAUAAUCACAAAGAAUCCGAUCUAUGGCAUUACAGAUUGGGGCACUCUUCAUAUUCUGAAUUUAGAUCUGAUGGGAACAUCCACAUACCUACUUCUUCUAGCAUAUAUCAUUGCGUCAUUUGUCCUCUAGCAAAACAACAUAGACUGCCUUUUAAUGUAAGCCAUCACAAAAUAAAAAAAUGCUUUGAACUAAUACAUUGUGACAUAUGGGGGCCUUGUAAUGAAUUCAGCAGAGAUGGUUCUAAGUAUUUUCUAUCUAUUGUUGAUGAUUUUAGCAGAUGCACAUGGAUCUAUAUGUUAAGACUCAAAUCCGAUGAUAUCGUUGCUUUACAAAACUUUUAUGCCAUGAUAGAAAGUCAAUUUGAAGCUAUGAUUAAAAUCGUCCGAAUAGAUAAUUGAGGUGAAUUUAACAUGACUGAAUUUUACUUAAAGAAGGGGAUAAUGCACCAAAGAACAUGUGUUGAAACCCCUGAACAAAAUGCCAUUGUGGAAAGAAAGCACCAACACAUCUUAAACGUAGCAAGAGCUUUGAAAUUCCAAAGUGUUUGAAAUAUAGGAAUGAUUUCAUGUUGACGGCUGUAUACCUCAUAAACAAAACACCAUCUCCCCACCUGAACAACAAAAGCCCUUUUGAGAUACUAUUUCAAACCAAACCAAACCACAGUCACUUAAAAGUUUUUGGGUGCCUAGCUUUUGCCACCACUCUUAUCAAUGGUAGGCACAAGUUUGAUCCUAGGUCAAGGAGAUGUGUGUUCAUUGGUUAUCCUUUUGGUACUAAGGGAUACAGAUUACUUGAUUUAAAGAUAAUGAAAAUUUUCACUUCAAGGAAUGUUACCUUCCAUGAGGACAUUUUUCCAUUUAAAGAAAUUGAUCUCAAUAGCAAUACCUCCAUGACUAACUUUGAUCACCUUAGUUUCACACAAAAUCUUAACGUUUCUAAUGACCCUGCUAUCAUCCCACUUGUUAGUACUAAUAAUGAAAAUACUAAACAUAACAUUUCAAAUAGUCCGACUCAUAUAGAAUCCCCUAAUUUUCAUGUGAACACCAGUCAUGACAUAUCACAGUCUCCUGCUGACACUUUGGAAUCAAAUCCCCUUGCUAUCACUCAUUUACCUCACAGAUCUAACAGAAUUUGAAGGACUCCUCAUCACUUGCAAGAUUUCAUAUGUCAACAAGUAUCUUCACCUCUUCCAUUCUAGAAACUCAACAAGGAAAAGGAAGUGAAUGUUACAGGUAGUCCCUAUCCUCUUAGUAAUAGUCUUUCCUAUGAUAAAUUAUCUAUCCGUCACCACACUUUUGCAGUUUCAAUAACAAACCACUUUGAGCCUAAAACCUAUCAAGAAGCCAUAAAUUCACCUGAGUGGUGUGAUGCCAUGAAAGCUGAGAUCAAGGCUUUAGAACUUAAUGAUACUUAGGUCUUAACCAAUCUACCACCUGAUAAAGAGGCCAUAGGUUGUAAGUGGGUAUAUAUGGUUAAAUUCAAUGCCAAUGGUAGUGUUGAAAGAUUCAAGGCUCGCUUAGUGGCAAAGGGGUACACUCAACAAGAGGGACUUGACUAUCAUGAAACAUUUCCCCCUGUGGCUAAAUUGGUCACCAUCUGAACUUUACUGGCAAUAGUAGCAAUUAAGGGGUGGAAUUUGUGUCAAUUUGAUGUAAAUAACGCUCUUCUACAUGGUGACUUGGAUGAAGACGUUUACAUGCAACUGCCCCUUGGUUAUCCCAAUGUAAGUGGUAAUAAAGUUUGCAAAUUAUGCAAGAGUUUGUAUGGAUUGAAGCAAGCCUCGCGUCAAUGGUACUCUAAACUUUCCAAUUUCAUUAUUAAGCAAGGAUACACUCAAUCAAGAUGAGAUUAUAGCUUAUUUACUAAGUCUAUUGAUGGUUCUUUCACAGCUAUUAUAGUUUAUGUGGAUGAUAUAAUAAUGGCAGGAAAUUGUAUUGAUACCAUCAAUAAGCUUAAAGCUUCUCUCAAUGACAAGUAAAAAAUUAACGACUUGGGCAAGUUGAAAUAUUUUCUAGGCAUCAAAGUCCCAAGGUCUGAAUGCAGCAUUCACAUAUGUCAAAGGAAAUAUGCUUUGGAUAUCUUGCCAGAUUCAGGCACUAUAGGAUCAGCCCCUACUAGGAUUCCCCUUGAUUAGAAUCUGAAGCUUAGUAAGGAUGAGGUAGAAUUAAUUGUAGACCAAUCAAUUUACAGAAGGCUAUUGUACUUGAUAAUCACUAGGCCUGAUCUUGCAUAAUCAAUUAAGUUGUUAAGUCAGUUUAUGAGCUGUCCCAGGGUGCUACAUUUACAUGCUGCACAUAAAGUAUUGCGGUACAUCAAAAGGGUACCUGGACAAGGGUUAUUUUACCCUACAAAAUCAAGGCUUCAACUAGAGGGCUAUUGCAAUUUUGAGUGGGGAGCAUGCCUAGACACUAGGAGGUCAGUAUUAAGUUAUUGUGUUUUCAUUGGGACAACCUUAAUAUCAUGAAAAUUGAAGAAACAACAUGUGGUGUCUCGAUCUUCCACUAAAGCAGAAUACUGAACAAUGGCAAACCUGUGUUGUGAAUUGACUUGGCUUAGGCAUUUGUUUAAGGAACUAUAGAUUGCACACCCUCAAGCUGCAGUCCUAAAUUGUGAUAAUCGAGCUGCAAUCCAUAUAGCUACAAAUUUGGUAUUUCACGAAAGAACCAAACACAUUGAGCUCGACUGCCAUUUGGUUCAUGACAAGAUAUAAGACGGAAUCAUCAUCACCCAACAUGUUCACAGUGCGUCACAAAUUGCUGACAUUCUAACCAAGGCUCUAACUUUCCAAUGUUUUUAUUCUUGCUUGUCCAAGAUGGGAGUAAUGGAUAUUUACUCUCCAUCUUGCGAGGGGCUAUUGAAAAUAGAAUAUUUGAGUCAACUGUCACUAACUCAAAUAAGUUGGUAAUGGCAGGCAAGAAGCAAGAGUUAUGUUAUAUGUACAAAGUUGGUUGACAAAGUAAUAUCUACUUCAAUCAUUUGAAAAAUAGAUUUUUAAAUCAUUGAAAAUCAAUGACGUGAAUUCUGCCAACACUUAUUUGUCAACCAAAUUUGUCUACACUCUUUGUACAUAGCAUAAUACAAGAAGCAAGACACAAAUAGGGUCGAUGUUUGAGAAGAAUUGUUCAUUAAGUAGGGAUAAAAGGUCUGAUAAGGCUGCAAGUAGAUUUGAAGUAAUAAUGUCUUCAAUAAUGCAAGCGGAUAAUUGCAUUAUGUUUGCAAAAUAAAUGCUAUCAUUCUAGGAUCCACAUAUUCUUCAUUUUGGAUCAAAAAUUAAGUUCCAAAAAAUUUUCAAGCAACAUAACAUUAACAAAGAUAAUUAAAUACACUACUACAAAUGUUGUCUAUGCAUUUCCAUAAUUUGAAAUCACUGUAUAAUUGCAUUGUUAUCAAUAUUGCAAAUAUAGCAUCCUCAAUGUACAAAACUGACUAUCAUUCAAUAGUCGAAUAUCCAAUUCAGUUGCAUGGUCCAAAUCGUGGUUGAGGUCUUGAGGAGUAUGGUGUUGACAUGGAGAAAAAAUGUGGUUGGUCGUCAGCAUCGAUGUGGAUGAUCUAGGUAGGAAAAUGCAAUUAUAUGGUAAAAAUGGCAAAUCUAGGCAUUGGGGGAAGAAUGAGAUUUAAGGCUUAAAAGAAGUUGGGAGGCAGAAAGUGGAUAAAAAAAUAAAAAAAUAAAAAAAAACCGUUCAAAUGGUAGAAAAGUGAAAAAAAAAAACUAAAAUUAAAAAAGAAAAUUCCAAAAUUUUCGUGGGCUGAGCAAACCCCAUAUGACCCCAUGUGACUCCAAUUCGUAAUGCGUUAAUUGACUUGUUAUACGAAAAACAUUAGAUCACGUUUUUUAAGUUGUUUGGGACAAAAAUCUUCAGCGUCUCUUUUUGAGCCCUUUAUAAAUAUGUCCACUUCAACAUAUAAAAUAAGUGUUGUACCAUGGAAAAAAAUAUUAUACAUCAUUCUUCUUUACUUCUGUAAGUUUUAUCUGUAAUUCAUGAGAAUAUUUCGAAUGAUCGAUAUAUUUCAAGAGUAUUUUAGAAAUAUCUCUCUAGAUGUAUUGUACAACAAAAAUCUUAGUAUCUUGUGGCUAGGCAUGUGCACACAACAAUAAUUCCCAAACAAAGAGAAAUGAAAAAAGUUGAUCAAUUAAUAAAGUUUAAUUUAUAUUUUUCUUUUUUAGCUGUUUUGCAUUUUGUGUUUUCACUCCAUGGAUGAGAUUUUUUCAAUAAAAGUAUCACUGCAAAAAUUUAUAUGUGAGAAAAAAGAAGUAUAAAUCGAUAAAUAUAUAAGUGACCCCAACGAAACAAGAUAAAGCAUAUAGACAAAGAAGGAACACCGUAUUAUAAUUAAAUGACAUUAUUUGAAUAUGAACAAUUUGAUUUUAUUAAUAAAGAUGAAUUAUGUGUGACAAAUGUUAUUAAUCAUUACGAGGAAAUGAUACUUGUACAAAUGAUCCUUUAAGAGGAUAAGUUUAUUUUUAUUAAAGUAUAUAUACAAUUAAUUGCAAGAUGGAUGGAAGCCAUCGAAAAUGACCUUUUUAUUUUCACACAACAUCAAUAUGUUGAGGGGGUCAACGCAACGAUCGUAACAUUAGGGACCAUUUCCACACAAGGGCCUUACAUUAAGGACCAUCUAUACCAAUUUCCUUGUUAAUUAAUGCUCCACCUUUGUGUUCGCUUGAAUUUAAAAAAAAAAGUUUUAUUGGCACAAUUCCCUCAACGAAUGGAUCUAUUGCCAAAUAUUCUUACCUUUUUAAAUUGGUGGAAACCCCCGUAUGAACUUUGAAGUGAGGAAUCCAUUUUCUUUCAUUUUCUCAUAAAUCCUUGUGAAAUGACGAUUUGAGGAAAAAAAUAGUAGAGCCGACAAUUUGGUAUGUUAAAUUAGAUGUAAUAUGCUAUGAAUAAGGGCAGUGAACAAAAGUACUAUAAUUUCAAAAAUGUGGAGAAACACAAGUAUAUGGUUUGUGAUCUGAAAUAAAGGUAUAUUAUGCACAUAAAACUUGCAAAGAUUCCAGUCAACAACACAGAUGAGUGGAGGCAUGACGAUAUUGCUAGAAUAUGACCCAAAUUUCUAUUGGGAUUAGGAUAGGGUUGGUAAAUUGAUAAAAGGAAUAAGAGUCUUCUUGGUUUGGAAGUUCGAUUGAAAAAGAGAAUGAAAGUUCAUCAAUGGAUGGAAAUUUGAUUGGUAAAGGAACUUUGGAAAAUUGAAGACUUGGUUUUGAAAUUUUGGUGCAUAAAAAAUCGUCGCAAUUUCGCUAACUGACAGCUAACUUUGGUGUUCAAGCGUUAGAGGUGAAAAAUGGAGCAGAGUUGCUGCCUGCCUAGCGUCGCCUAGAACUGAAGUGACAGUGUUAUUCGGAUGGGAAACCUUUUUCGAUCCUAACUACUUUAUUGAGUCGUAUUUGUUGGAAAAUAAGCGGUUGGAGAAGAAAUAACAACAAAAUUAUAGAAACAAAAUGAAUAGAAACCACGAAAUACGUCAAGAAUGAAUUUGAGACUUGAACACGGGAUCAUUAUCCUCAAACUAUAUUUGCUCCCUCUCAGGAUUGAAUGAGAUACUUAAGGGUUGGGUUUUGGCAAACAGUUUGUAGGAUUAUAUUAAGCUUUGUAAAGGUUUUAACACCAAAGCACAAAUGCAAUCCUCCAAAACUUUAAGAACACAAAGGAAGAUCUUGAAUAUGAAUGUAAAUCAAUAGUGUGAUUCAAUAUGAAAUGAUAUAUGGAUCUCAAGAUAUUUUCAAUGAUUCUAAUAAUGUUUGUAUUGAUCAGUCAUCACCUAUUUAUAGGUCUCAAUCAAUGCAUCAUGAAAUGGUGCAAAAACAAGAUGAAAAGUGGCAACUUUUAGUCCAAAACGGCUCCCAAGUUUUAAAUUGAAAAAUUAGUCAACGACUAUUUUUUAAUACUAUGCGUACGCAUCGUAUAAACCGUGCGUACGCAUAGUAGAAGCAAAAUUUAAUUCUGAUUUUUGCUAAAAUACAUCUCGUGUACGCACAAAAUUACGCAUAGGCAAAAAAUCAAAUUUUGCAUUUUUCAAUUUCUUUUAAUUCUACCAAUUCCACAAUUGAGCCCAACAAUAAGUCAAUUAUCAUUCCAUUGAUUUUGAACAAAUUUUCAACAGUAUUUCAUCGAAAAUACUUGUAAUGGAUUCUCUCUCUCUAUAUAUAUAUAUAUUCCUCGUGGUAUAGGCUCUUAAAAGGAUAAAUUAACAAUAAAAUCAUAGUUAUUUAAAUUUAGAUUGAGAGUAUCAAAUCUUGUAAAACAAUUUUAGCUUCUUGAUAUAUUUAAAUUCUUCAACUCUUUCAUAUAAAUCUUGUAUUCUUGUGUGAUCCAUUAUUUUUCAUAUUGCUCUAAUUUUCUCAUCUUUAUUAUUUGGCCCAAUUUAUCUUUACAAUUCCAUAUGAUUCAUCAAGAGCUAUACAAAUUGAGUUUUGAUGAGAAAAAAUACUGAUACAUGCUUGAACGGAAAAAUAAAAUUAUUCGAAAAUAUAUUGUCCAUUGCAUGCUGUUGAAUUUUCUGAAAAAUCUUUUUCUUGUUGGAACCAGAAUCUAAAACUAUGGUUUCUAUAAUCCUCUUGGCCGCAUUGUUAAUUUGGGGCAUCUUCAUCUCUGUUACUCUGGGACGUAUAGUCGGGCCAGUUGGCGACCCAUUACGACUGUUAUGUCCAACUGGCAAACUGCUAAUAGAUCGCGUAAUUAUGCGUCAGGUGUGCAUGUCCAUUUUUUGGUUCUUUGGUUCAAAAAUCUCCGUCGAAGUUGUAUCUUCACGAUUCGUCUGCUGCUUGGAGGAACUCUUUCGUGGUUGGCAAUUCGCUGUUUCUAUAACAGCUUGUUUACAGCUCCUGCUAUAGUGAAUAGUCGACGGAGCUGUAGAUCUAAGAAUAGGAAGGUGAAGGUAAACACUUCAGAAGAUCUUUUUAUAGAGAUUCAUAGGCACAAAAUGAUUUGUCAAGGCAAGAUUUCAGUGGAUAUUUUGUCAUAAAUACGAAUUUGGAGAUAACAGUAUUCUGGAUGUAAUAUCUUCAGUUACAACGAUUUGGGAGGGUAUUGAAAGAGAGAAUUAUCGAUAUAAUUUAGGGUUUUUAUUAUGAGCAAUAGAUCAUGAUUUGGGAGCGGAUGAAUGGAGACGAAGGGACGAGGUACGAGAGAAAUCUGAUUUGGGAAAGAAUUGAUAUAGAGUAAAUUAUAGAUGAAUUUUGGAUUUGAUAAACUUCAUGAUGAUUUAAUUGUUGAUAAAGUAAGACCUGCUAAAUAAUUGCAUGAUAACAAGGAGUACAACACCAACCAGGUAUAUCUCAAGUGCAUGUUUCAUUGAUGCAUCUUCUUCUAUCAAUGUCAAAAAUGAGUGGAAUAUUGUAAAUGUCAUCAAAGAUUCUUCUGCAGAUUAAAAGGGCCAAAAAGUUUCAUUCCAAGAUAGAACUUCUGACAUUGGAUUCCAUGAACAUUAGCUCAUCUUUAUUAGGAGUGAUAGAAGCUCGCUCUAAUACCAACUGAUGUAGGAAAAAGCAUAAAAAUAAUGAAACGAACAUGCUAUCGAAGUUUUUUUAUUCUAAUUUUUGUUGAUUCCCAAAAUUACCAGAAAUAUAGGUAUCAAAUAGCAAGAUUAAACGAUUCGACAGCUCCAAAAUCUAUAAUAUUUAUUACAAAAUAACUAAUUAUCAUAAUAGCUUACAACCCUUAUUUAAAGAAAUAACUAAAAUCUAGAUAAUUACUAAAAUCUAGAUAGUUAUUAAAUGUAAAAGAUAAUGACAAAAAGUAAAAACCCUUCAGAAUUAAUAAGAAAUAAACGAAAUUAAAAUUGAAUUUAUUUAAUAAAAUAAAUAAUAAAAAACUCAAUUUUCUUCAAAUGGGUUCAAAUAAUAAUGCCAAGAUGCGAUCUUUAGUUUCAUGAUUUUGAAUGCCAUGUCCAUUGACGCCGGGUAGGAUAGUGAUUAUCCUAUUGUCUUGUUGUAGCAGAUGAUUCACAAGAAAAGAACGACAGAAAACGCCCAAAAAAAACCAAAGAAAAUACUCUGAAUUCAAUUCAACAUUAUUAAUAAUGCAGAAUGAUUAAAAUUAACCCACAAGCCGACUUAAAUAGCUGCGAAAUACGAAAUUAUGGGGAAAUUACCAAAAAUGGCAAAAUCCCGAAAUUAUACCAAAAUAAAAUAUUAAGUAAAAGAAGUAAGUUACCAAAAAUUUGGCUCAAUUCGAGUUUUCUAACAUAUGGAAAAAAGGAAACGAAAUAUUACCAUAAAUAGUAAAAAAUAACUUAAAAUUGAAUUUUGGAAAGGAAAACAGUGGAUUUUGGGCUUGAAAUUGAUGUUUAUCGAGCACGGCUGGGUGGCCACGACGUGUGCGCCGAAGAGAGCUUUCCAGAUUGGGGUCAUAAUAGCGAUUCCGAUAACCGUAGUCAAAGUUAUGGUCAAAUUACCAAAAACGCGUCAAAUUUCCCCAAUUAAGGAAAUAAUGGCGAUUCACUUUCCAUCUUUGCAUCGAUCCGCCAUCUCAUAGUAUCUCAGUGCCAUCAUCAUGCUAUCUGACGAAUCAGCAUCACUUGACUCGGAUCCUCCUGCAUCAGUCGCCCUGGGUUGGAAAGAACUCGCCCUCGAGUUCACAUUAACUUCAUCGGACUUCACAAAACAAGGGAUUAGGUGUUUUACAUUGAAGACGUCAGAGGUCUUCAAAUAGCUAGGGAGGCGCAACCUGUAAGCAUUAUCAUUGAUCUUCUGCAGCACUUCACAAGGUCCAAUCUUCUGCUCCUUUAGCUUAUUGUAUUCCCCAGCUGGAAAACAAUUAUUAGUUAAUACUGCCCAAACAAAAUCACCAACAUCAAACAACACCAGGCGUUGAUGACUAUUUGCCCAAACUUUGUACUUAGUAUUACUAUCCUGUAUGGACAGCUUCACAUGCUCAUGGAUACCUUGAAGAUGUUUAGCCAUCUCAUCAGCUUUGUUAUUGAAGUGACCCACACGUGGAAUUGGAGCCAAAUCAAGUACUCCAGAUGGGUUCUGACCAUAGACAAUUUCAAAAGGACUCAGCCGGUGGUUCUAUUCCUUAACCGGUUAUAAGCAAACUCUUCUUGAGGUAAUGCCAAAUCCCACAGCUUCGGUUUAGUCCCGGCUAAGCUUCUCAAAAUAUUUCCCAAACUUCGAUUUACCACCUCAGUCUGACCAUCUGUUUGGGGGUGGUAUGCUCUGCUAAAAUUCAAUUUCGUUCCAAGUUUCUCCCACAAACUCCUCCAAAAAUGACUCAUAAACUUAGUGUCACGGUCAGAAGUAAUUGACUGUGGAACACCAUGUAAAUGCACAAUCUCUCUAAAAUAAAGAUGAACAAUCCGAGUAGCAUCCAUUGUCUUCCAGCAAGCCACAAAAUGAGCCAUCUUUGAGAAUCUGUCAACCACCACAAGAAUGGAAUCCAUCACCCGUUGUGUAUGAGGUAAGCCCAAGAUAAAAUCUAUACUGACAUCAAACCAAGGAGCUUUAGGUACGGGUAAUGGUGUGUACGAUCCAGCAUUAGUAAGAGCCCUUUUAGACCGCUGACAUACAUAACAUCGCUCCACAUAAUGCGCCACAUCACUGCUCAACUUGGGCCAGUAAUAAUCAGAAGAGACCAAUACCAAUGUCUUGUCUCGCCCAAAAUGUCCUUCGUUAUGAAGUUAACUAAUAAUCUGCUACCUUAGUGAACAAUCCGGAAUGCAUAACUGCAAUCCACGAAAUAGGUAACCAUUAUGUAAAAUAAAAUCAUGUCGGUGAUUAUCAAUUACCUCCCGAAUUAUCUUCCCAAAUGAAGGAUCUGCAGCAUACAUAUCAGGAAAUGCCUCAAAUCCGACAAUCUUGGUGCUCAUGGUGAGGAGUAAUGUGCGACGGCUCAAUGCAUCUGUUACUCGAUUCAAACUCCCUGCUUGAUGCCUGAGUGUGAAAGUAAACUCCUGUAAGUAGGCUACCCACUUUGCAUGUCGCCAACUUAGCUUGUGCUGACCAUUAAUGUACUUCAAAGCCUCAUGAUUAGUAAAAAGAAUGAACUCCCUCUGUACCAGGUAAUGGUGCCAAUGCUUCAGAGUCUGAACUAUGGCAUAGAACUCCAGGUCAUAAGUGGAAUAAUUUUUCUUCGAUCCCAAUAGCUUCUCACUAAAAAAGGCUACUGGACGUCCCUCCUGACUUAGAACACCACCAAUACCAACUCCAGACGCAUCACAGUUUACCUCUAACACCUUUUCAAAAUUCGAAAGUACCAAGACUGGGGCCUCCGUCAUCUUCUGCUUAACCAACUGAAAGCUAGCCUCUAUCUCCUCAGUCCACUGAAAAUCACGCCCUUUAAGGCACUCUGUGAUAGGAGCAAUCAAGGUACUGAAGUUUCUGAUGAAUCGACAAUAGAAGGAUGCCAAUCCAUGGAAACUUUUGACAUCGUACAAAGUUUUUGGUUUCGGCCAAUUCAAAACUACCUCAAUUUUGGAUUGAUCUACAUGAACACCAUCAGUAGACACAACAAAACCCAAAAAAGUUACAGAAGUUGUGAAGAAAGAACACUUAUUCUGAUUGAUGAAUAAGCGCUCCGUCCUCAUUACAUCAAAGACAGCACGAAGAUGAUUAAAAUGUGACUCCCAUGUCAGACUAUAAAUAAGUAUGUCAUCAAAAUAAACUACCACAAACUUUCCCAUGAAAGGCCGUAAAACCUGAUGCAUAAACCUCAUAAAAGUGCUGGGUGCGUUGGAUAGUCCAAAGGGCAUGACCAUCCACUCGUACAACCCAUGUUGUGUCUUGAACGCAGUCUUCCACUCAUCUCUAGGCCUGAUUCUGAUAUAGUGGUAUCCAAUUUUAAGGUCCAUUUUUGAGAAGACCUUAGAAUCGGAUAGUUGAUCCAACAUGUCGUCCAGACGGGGAAUUGGAAACCUGUACUUCACUGUAAUCCUGUUAAUUGCCCUGCUAUCAACACACAUACGCCAUUACCCAUCUUUCUUCGGCACUAGUAGAGCAGGAACUGCACAAGGACUCAUACUCUCACGAAUGUAGCCCCUUUCCAAUAAUUCUACCACCUGUCGCUGCAACUCUUCAGCUUCCUUGGGACUGAGGCGAUAUUCUGGUCGGUUUGGUAGACUCGACCCUGGAAUGAGGUCAAUAUGAUGUUGAAUGUCCCUCAUAGGUGGUAGUCCUGGAGGAAGAUCCUCCGGCAUCAAGUCAGAAAACUCCAUCAGUAGUUGCUGCGCUUCUGCUGGAAAUUCUGAAUCCACAUUCGUUGUACUAUUUUCAUGAGGCAUUAAAGCAUAAACUAUAUUUUCACGCCCAACCUCAACCAAGAACCUAGACAUAGAAAGUAGAUUGGGGUUAUUAACUACCAGGACAGGGAUGUUUCCUUCCCUACGAGGCACCAAAACAAUUCUCUUCCCUUUGAUGCUAAGAGAAUUAGUAUUCUUCCGCCCAUCAUGGAUAACACUGCGAUCAUACUACCAAGGUCGUCCCAACAAAACAUGAAACGCAUCCAUUGAUACCACAUCACACCAAGCAUUAUCAAAAUAUUUUUUUCCAAUCGAGAAAGACACUAAGCAUUGUUUUUCUACCGUUACCUCACUGCCUUUAUUCAACUAAGACAACUUGUAUGGUUUGGGAUGACGAUCCAUCUUUAGUUGCAGUUUCUUGAUAGCCUCCUCAGACACUAUAUUCUCACAACUGCCACUAUCAAUUAUCAACUACAGACUUUAUCAGUAACUGUGCAGGUUGUGUGGAAAACGUUGGUCCUCAACCAAUCAUCCCCUGAGUCGUCCUUGGGAGUCGGCAGGCUCUUUCAAACGACCAGGGUCUCCUGACUAUCUCCAUAUAGCACGUCCUCAUCUUCACCCUCAUCAUACACGGGUUCCCCAACUUCCUCGAACUCCUCUAUCAUAUCCUCCUCAAUCAGAAGAUUUUUAUUCUUCUGACUUGCAGGCUUCCUGCAAUCAGUCGCCCUAUGCCCCUGUUCACCACACCUAAAGCACGUAAUACUUGAGCUGGAACUAUUUCGCUGUGGCUGAUAAGCAAGACGAGAUUCUUGAGGGCGAACUGGCUAACUUCCUUCACCUCUGACUACUGGCCUCCUACUCUGCUGUUUCUCUACUGUAAGUACUCGCUGAUAUGCCUCAGAAAUUGUCCACAAUGAAUGAAGGCUGAGAACAUCCUGCAAGGGCUGCCUUAAUCCCCCCAAAUACCGUGCUACCAUCUGCUCCUUUGUCUCAGAUAAAUUAUUCUGAGCCACCAACUGAUAGAAUUCUUCAGUAUAAUCAUUGACUGAUCUUGCGCCUUGCCUUAGUGAAUGAAGCCUCUGAAACAAGGUUUGAGUAUAGCCAAAAGGAAGGAAGUGCCCUUUCAUCUUCUUCUUCAUCUUCUCCCAGUUAGUAAUUUUGGAUUUUCCCUAUCGCUUCCGCGAACACUUCAAUUGUUCCCACCAUGCAGAUGCCCUACCUUUGAGUUUGAUGGCGACCAAUUUCACUUUGACACGAUCUGGAACCUCCUUAUAUUCAAAAAUCCGCUCCACUUCAUUCAGCCAAUCAAUAAAUCCUUCAGCCUGCAACGUACCAGAAAACUCGGGCAGAUCCACUCUGAAACCGAGAUCCACAUGACGAUCCUCCCAUCUACGAUGCUCCCAAACUCGAGCAUGAUGGUGAUACGGGUUUUCGAAACUGGUAUCGAAAUCGUGACCUUCCACAUCAUGAUUACUGAACUCAUACUCCACCAAACAUUGGGUUAACUUCGAAACUUGUCUCUACAAAUCUUCAAUCAUCACAUCCUGAAUAUUACGAACACGGAGCGGGACUUCCUCAAUUGGAACCUGUCCUCGACGACCACAACCACGUCCACCAACCAUUAUAACUGAUGGAAUUUAUCUCCCAAGAAGAUGCUGACGCUCUGAUACCAACUGACGCCGGGUAGGAUAGUGAUUAUCCUAUUGGCUUGUUGUAGCAGAUGAUUCGCAAGAAAAGAACGACAGAAAAUGCCCAAAAAAACCAGAGAAAAUACUCUGAAUUCAAUUCAAUAUUAGUAAUAAUGCAGAAUGAUCAAAAUUAACCCACAAGCCGAGUUAAAUAGCUGCGAAAUACGAAAUUAUGGGGAAAUUACCAAAAAUGGAAAAAUCCCGAAAUUAUACCAAAAUAAAAUAUUAAGUAAAAGAAGUAAGUUGCCAAAAAUUUGGCUCAAUUCAAGUUUUUUUAACAUAUGGAAAAAAGGAAACGAAAUAUUACCAUAAAUAGUAAAAAAUAACUUAAAAUUGAAUUUUCGAAAGGAAAACAGUGGAUUUUGGGCUUGAAAUUGACGUUCACCGAGCACAACUGGGUGGCCAUGACGUGCGCGCCAAAGAGAGCUUUCCGGAUUGGGGUCAUAAUAGCGAUUCCAAUAACCGUAGCCAAAGUUAUGACCAAAUUACCAAAGACGCGUCAAAUUCCCCCAAUUAAGGAAAUAAUGGCGAUUCACUUUCCAUCUUUGCGACGAUCCGCCAUCUCAUGGUAUCUCAGCGCCAUCAUCGUGCUAUCUGACAAAUCAACAUCACUCGACUCGGAUCCUCCUGCAUCAUCCAUCCCCAUACUGGUACAUGUAUUGUGCCAUUCUCGCAAGAUUCACUGCAAUUUCAAUAAAAAAAAAUUUGAGAAUGGACAAACUGUUUCUUGAACUUGGUUCAUUUUUUUCCACGUCUCAUGUAUCAAAGAUCUAAUGUGUUCACGUGCCUCAUCUUCAGAAGCCCCAGUUUCGUUCAUGUAACAUUGUAUUGUUUUAGGAACAUCACCUCUUUUCAUUUCGUCCUGAGAGAGAAAACGAAAGAAACUGUUAGUUGAAAGGGUUAAUUUUGAAUUGCUAAUGAUUUCUUAAACAAAAAUGAACUUGAAAACAUGAAAUGAAAUUUUAGUCUAUAUGCGCACCAUUGAUGUUGCUAAAUCAUCUGAAAGACGUAAAAUCGUUGCCGACCAACGGAUUAUAUUAGGAUAAUCAAGUAAGUACUGAACAGCUUCCUUUUCUAUAGGACUGGUAACAGCGAAAAACGCAUGGGAUAGUAUGACAUGAGUUGAUAUGGAAAUCCAUGCAGUGUUCAUAUACUCUUCCAUUGUUGGUUUGUAUCCAUUGAAGUACCACCUUGCUUCUUGUAAGUAUGCUUUGCAUAAAUCUUUCCACUCCCAAAUUUGACAAGAUUACUGUAUACGGAUUAAAUAUGGAAGCUGAUACAAGGAUUAUGUAUUGGACUUUUUGAAGCAAAAGUAAUACCGCUUUUCUUAAAUAUGGAAUAAUUAUAAGCCCUUUUUCUUUAAGAAUGUCGUAAGCCAUUUCGUUGAUGAAGUUAUUGAGUGCUAAAUAGCAAAUUUGCAUGUAAUCUGGAAGUUGAUGGAUUGAACUGACAUCCCAUCUGUAGAGUUCCAAACAAAUAAUAAUUAUAGGAGUUAGAACGGUGAGAAGGGGAAAAAAAUCAAUAUAUAUCACACAUGGGUAAACUUUAAUAUAAACUACCAAUCUAAUUUUCCAAAAUUUGGUCCUCAACUUUUAAAGAAAAGAAAGUUCGCACCUUACAUUUUAUUAUUGUUUCGCAACUGGUCGCCCACUAAUGAAAACCAUAAUUUUCAUAAAUUAUCGUGUGGCCCUCAUAAAAACAUGCAUCGCUUUAAAUAUCAACGUACCAAUCCAAGUUAGAAAACAAAACCUAAUUUCAUGAAGUUGAUUAUGCAAGGACCACAUUUUGAUUAAUUUAAAAUAGAUUUGAACUGUUUCUUGAGAUAUAAUCUUGCAACUAUAUAUAAAAUUAAUAACCAGCUUGUCCAUUUUUAAAGAUUGAAUAAGUCAAUCAUUCAAUUUUCCCUAUCAUAUAAACCUUUUAAUAUACAAAGUACUUCCGUAUUCACAAACUUUGAGUGUGUCCUUUAACAAAGGGACUUCGUUUUUAAUUUUUACUUUUUUAUUUGGGUGGGGGUUCUGAAAUGAGGAAUAACGAUGUUUCUAACCUUUCAAUGAUUCUUGUAAAAACUUCAAGCUCUUCUAAUGUACCAUAGACGUCAUAUAUAUCAUCAAUGGUUGUUACUAAAGCAUUGACCUUCGGCAAUAUCUUCCUACAAAAUUCAUAUUGAGGUUCAAAUAUCACCCCAGUAGUCCAAAAGAAACAUUCCACCAGCCUAUCCCUCGCAAAUGACAACUUUUCGGCAAGGCAAGUUCCCUUCCGCCACCUAUUCAUAGAAAACGCAGGGAAAGAAAUAAAAAUAAAAUUCCUUUGUUACUUCUAAACAUCAAAAUUCAAUAUAUUUGGCCCAUGUAUUUAAAAUGAGAAAAUAGAGAUAGAAAUGUGCACAAAUGUAUUAGUGUUGGAAUUAAUACACAUUUUCUCCAACCGUAAUAAAAGUAAAUAGUGCUAAAGUGAAAGGCAAAUUUGUUGAGGAGAGACUAUUUCCCUCCAUCAAAUUCCUUAUUGAGUUGUCUCUGAUUGAAGACAACUUGUGAUGUCGAUUUAUCUUUGAGUGAAUACAGCAUCUUAUCAAUAAAUACCUAGAGACAUAUUUUGCUUGAACAAUGUUGAAAUCCAAUUUAGCAAGCUCAAGCAGAAUCUGAUUCAUGUCUGGCCUGUCCUUGUAUAUGUUUAUGAACCAUCUAGCCUCUGCCCGCAGUAUGGUCCAGUGCAAUGGAAGCUCCAAGCCAUGGUGCACCAAUCGAGAAUGGCACUGAUCAAUACUAGUUUGAUCAUUAAGGUUUUUCAUAGAGAAUUCUGUAGCCAUUUCUAGGGUACUUUCAGCUUCCAUUGAAAGGAAUGAAGUUUCAUAUAGUUGUAACAAUCCCUCUGUAUCAUCCCAAAGCCUCGACUUGAACUCACCCUUCUCAUUCUUGAAACGAUCAAAUAUCUCUGUGUUCAACAGGACAUGUAUAAGACGCGUAAGCACAAAAAAUGAAUGAAAAUGAACAGAAGAAACUGAUUUGCACCUUCAGAAACUUUAAAGCCAUGUUGUCUUAGUAGUCUGAAUUCCAAAGCCGUAGCAUAUAAAUCCUCAAUCUUUGACUGUUGAUCAUUUUUGCUAUAUUUUUUGUUAAUGACUGACAAGAUUUGCUUAAUUUCAUUCUCAAAAUGGUAGGAUAUCCCCAGCCUUUGCAAAUUGUCAAUCAAUUCCAACUGAUCCAGUGGCUCUACUGUUUUAUCAAGCAUCAUCUUCACUUGCAUUUUCAGCUCAGAAGACCGUGUAGCGUAUCUCUCUCCCUAGAUCAUGCACGAACAAAAUCUGAUUGCAAGAAAAAAGGAAGAAUUUAUUUUUUAUGUAAAUGAUGAAAAUUACCGCGUAUUCAAUAUCUAAAGACCGAAUAUAUUCGAAGUCCCAUACUGGGGGUUUGUAGUUUCCUGAUCGCCUAAUCACAAUCUGACUGCAAGGCCGCAUCUUGGUUAUAAAACUAUGCUGAUUAGCAUUAGCAGCAGUACUUGUAAAUAAAGCAAAACAGUGUUUUGGAAUCUGUUUUUUUGAAGUGCAUAAAUUGGCUUGAAAAUGUUCAGGUUGAAGAUAGUCAUUGAUCUUUGAGACUUGUCUAAGUAGUUCAUAAAAUAUUAUAUUUGGUAUGGUGGGCAUGGCUUAUUUAUAUUGACUUACUUAAUUAUCUGGAACUCAAAUAGUAAUUAGAUGAGUUCAUCAAGUAUUGGCACCAACUCAAAUAAAGUAGCCAUAAAAAUAGCACCCGUUUGACCUCCAUUUUUCCAAAUUAAAAUGGAUGAAUAUAUAUAUAUAUAUAUAUAUAGAAGAUUAUGAAUUAUUUUAUUGAAAAAUAUUUGGUUGAAAUGAUGUCAAAUCACUGUUGAAAAAUGUAUUUUUUUAAAAAUAAUAUGGCUCAAACAAGCCCUUAAUAUGGGUCAAAUGGGGCUAAGUUGGUAAUAGCAGGCAAGUAGUAAUUAAGUAGGGACAAAAGGUCUGAUAAGGCUGCACGUAGAUUGGAAGUAAUAAUGCUUUCAAUAAUGCAAGCAAAUAAUUGCAUUAUGUUUGAAAAAUUAAUGACACGAUCUGUCCCGAAUCAUCAUAGUGGAUCCGAAACGUGACGUGCACCGAUGAUAGAUGCUGACUAGAUGUUAAAUCUAUCACCAAGACUGACUAUGAGUUAUUUCAAAAAAUGUAACAAAAUCAAAUGCUUAUGUAAAACAUAAUGCGAUGGGUCCAAAUUUUUUACUUUGUCCUUCAUCAAUAUGAAUUAUAACACUCAACAUGUCGUGUGGCUCUCAUUUUGAAAUCAUUAUGCUCUUCCAAUUCAAAUGAAUCAAUUGCUACCUGUAGGAAAAAUUACGAAAAAAUAUAUGAGUUGAUAGCUCAGUGGGUGGAGAAGUUCUAAAAUAAAUAUACUUUUUCAAUUUUACAUUUCUAUCGAAAAUCAAAUUCAUAUCAUUUGAUAAUUCAUAAGAUAACAUCAUGUAAUUAUAGCCAAGAAGUGAAAUAUUCACAUAAGAUUAUAAAAUAUCAUCUUAAAAUCAUGACAUAGACAUCAGCUGAUAACCAUGCUAUAAUCUCAUCACAUCAAAGAUGCUGAAAAAUUUACAAAAAAUGCACCCUCUGACUGAAAUAUGUAAUCCGCCCCUCAGGCUAAAAACUUUCGCUACGGGCCUUUGGCUACUCUGUGAACGAAAGUCGGUCUCAAAGACCUCUCAUAAUCAAUUCUAGAAUAUGGCCAAGGCCCCUCAGUGAACUAUAUGUACACGGUCGAGACCCCUUCAUCCCCCAUCCAAGACCCCUCGGUAUAGUAUAGAACACAACCAAGGCCCCUCAGUGAACUUAAAGAAAUAUAUAAUCACGGGUACUUUUCUGAUCGAUAUCAAAAUUAUAUCUCAUAUUCCAAUUCACAAUGUAACGUAUACAAUCUUUGAAAUCCCACAUGUAUCAUAAUAAAAGAUAUUUCCAUAAUAACCAUGUAAUUCGAACACAUAAUUGCAUAUAAUUGCUAAUACUUUAACAAUAAACGUAAUUUAUAAAUACUUUAAAAAUAUUUAUAUUUUUCCACUUACAGAACUAUGUUCGCAAAAUUAACUCGGUUUGUAAGCUAUCCCGAUGUCAAUAUCGGCGCCAGAAAUAUGAUAUAAUUUUUAAAUCAACAAUUAAUUAUUUUAAGAAAUUUCAAUAAUUAAAUAGGUAAUGCCCAAAUUUAAUCAUUUCACAUUUAAGCGAUUUACGCGGUCUCUUUAAUCACUAAAACAAUUUUUCUUUUAUCUUACUCAAUUUCAUAGUUUAUUACACUUAACCCCUUGAAAAAAAAAUUGAAUUUAAUCUAACAACUAUAAAAUCAAACAUAACUUGACAAUAAGUAACUUUUUACUUACCUUUCAAAAUUGAAGAAUUCAAGUCUAAUAACGUAGAUCACUUAUUUUCUAACAACAUAGACGAACUUUCAUAUUUUUUUUUCUUCUUUUUUCCUUUCUCUUUUCUCUUCCUUUUCUCUCUAGUUCGUUUUCUCUCUCUGUGUGUGUCUUUUUGUGUAAUGGAUUUGGAUUACACAUAUAUAUAAAUACAAUGGGAAUGGAUUUGUUUUGGGCAUAACCGCCUACAGUUUCCUUUUUAUGUUUUUUUUUUUCCCUUUUUUUUAGAAGUAUUAAAUUAAGGCAUUUCAAAUUUCACCCCAUAACUAUAAUUACAAUACAAGUCCCCAACCUUUAUAUAAUUUAACAUUUAGUCAUCUUAUUUACCAUACUAGAAGCUAAAUCCCAAAAUUUAUUUUUAUAUCAUUUCGCUCCCUCUUAAGUACUAGCAAUUUCAAAUUUAAACCCCAUGAAAAUCAGUCCUCCAACUUAAAUCCUUAUUUGGCUUUAACUUUGACUAUAUAAUAUAUUGAUUUUGACUGUAAUUGAGUGAGGUGUAACAAUUAAUGCUAUCAAUUUAAUUAAGUUACAAAAAAUUUUCAAGCAACAUAACAUUAAUGAAAAUAAUUCUCUUUCUCUGUGUGUGUAUAUAUAUGCUCUUGUUUGAGCCCCAUUUUGGGAGGAAGAAUGAAUUUUUGAAUAAUGUAUUGAUGAGAAAUGUGAGAUUAAAAACUAAGAAAAAUUUUUGAAUUUGCAUGUACUAUUAUUUUAUUGAAAAAUGUGUGGUUGAAAUAAUGUCAAAAUACUAUUGAAAAUAUUUAAAAUACUAUUGAAAAAUAUAUUUUUUUUCAAAAGAAUGGGACUCAAACAAGGCUUAUAUAUUGCUUAAACAUUUUCAUAAUUUGAAAUCAUGGUAUAAUUACAUCAUUAUCAAUAUUACUAAUAUAGCAUCCUCAAUAUACACAAUUGAGUAGAAUAUCCAAUUCAAUUGCAUGAUUCAAACUAUGGAUGUGGCCUUUAGGAGUAUGGAGUUGAUGUAGAGAAAAAUGUGGUUGGUCUCCAGCAUCGAUGCGGAAGACUCGAGUAGGAAAAGGCAGUUAUUUGGUAAAAAUAGUAAACCUAGCUAUUUGGAAAAGAAUGUGAUUCGAGACUUGAGAGACAAAUUGGGAGGCGGUAAGUGGAUGAAAAAUGUCAUCACUUACUAUCAAAAUGCUUACAUAAUUAGUGUUGUGUUAAUUGACUUGUUAUAGGUAGAGCUCUAAGAUCGCCUUCAUCCACUAAUAUUUACUUCGAUUAAAUUCUUUUAGACUUUUUACAUUUUUUAAGAAUUUAUGUUUAAAUAAAACCCUAAUAUUCAUAAAAUAUUUUCUUCAACUAAAGCUAAAACAAAAAUGAAAGAGACACCAUUAGAGUAAAUAUAUAAAGACAUAGCAACAUAUGAAGAAGAAUUUGAAAAAAGUAAUCAUUGUCCUUUUAUUGUGGGUUUGAUGAAUUUAGUAUGUGAAUGAUUUUUUAUUUGUGUUUAGGUUAUCUGAUAACUUGUCUUUUAAAUUCAAGUGGUAUAAAUAAGAAAUUUCAUUCAGAACUAUUUGAGUUUUUUAUUGGAAUUAUCUUUUCUUUUCUUGAUUUUCUUGAAUUGAAAAUAUUGAUGGCCAUAUUUUUUGGUAGAAUUAUCAAAACAAGAAUUUGAGCUUUUUGUUGGGAUUAUCUUUAUUUUUUUCUUGAUUUUCUUGAAUUCUGUUUCGCGUGGGUUAGUCGCUAACAAUUAAAAAGGGAUCAUACAAUUGUGUAAGGGACAAACCUCUUGAGACAAAGUCUCAAAAAGCUGUGUUUUUAUUGGCGAUGACUUUACAAUUGGAAAAUGAAAACAGAAUGCCUCCAAGGGGCGCAAACACACGAGUUAUUGAAGGAAGUGUUUUAAAUCUAAACUAAGAAAUUUAAAAUUACAUAUUUUGUGUUUGAGAGUGUUUGAUUCGAGGGUCUUUUGCUCUAUGUCUUUUCUUCCUUUUAUACUCCCUGGAUGAUCUCUUCGUGAUCAACCGCUUAAAAACUGCUUGAUCGCUCUAUAACUGUCCACUUUCCUUGUAGUGGCCAACUUGUCAUGGAACUGCCUUCUCUAACUGCUGCCAUUACUUUUUGUCGUUCAAUCGUCUUCAAUUGAAUUCCUUGAAUCGUGGAACAUUUUAGGGCUACUCAAUAAUUGAUUCAUUAACCGCAUCUUUGGGUAACCAUAACAUCUUACGUUUGCUAAGAUCCUGGGCGGCUCGAAGGUUUGGGUGAGAACAGGGGCACAGUUCUGGGCGACUGCAUGGCAAUCCAUUCGUUCAAAUCUUGGGCGAUGGUAUUACCGCGUUCAUGGGCUUCCCUAUUUGGGCCUUUAUCCUGCAUUGCCUGAUUGAGUCAUUCUUUGGGCUAUUUGAUUUUUGGGGAUCUUCCAAUUGGGCUUCAUUCCUUGGGCUAUUCGACUUGGGCUGAACUUUUUGUGUGUCAACAAUUACCCGCCAAUACGGCAGAAUUAAUACCAAUUAUUAAUUUUUGCCAUAUUCACUUUGUGUUUCCCAGCAACAUUCGAAAUUCCCAAGAAUUUCAAUCAUUGUUUUCUUCCAUAGCUUGAAAAGAUGCGACGUUUGCAAACCCUUAUAACCCCCAAAUACGUCAUUUCAUUGCACCACUAAAUCACUCCUCAUUUUUUCGCGCUUCUCUCUCGCAAUAUUACUGUUCAUCUCCUUGCUUUUCUGCUACGUAACUCUGAAAAACUCCAUUUCGUCCCUAAUGGCCACUUCACAAUCCCAGUCUGGUGACUCCUUCAGCUUCGAAGACUUUCAGAAACUCCUCACUCGGCCAUAUAUAACUUCAAACUUUCUUGCACCAGCCAAUGUCGAACUCAAAGAGUUCUAUCUAGGUCCUUCAUUCAACAACGUCGAGGCCAUCGAACAAGCGGUGGUCGGUCAGCUAUUCCUUUGUACUCAAGGCCCUCCGUUUUUAAACUCUUUAUCGCUGGGGCCACUUCGUGAAAGAGGUAUUCGUACUUGGCCUAAAUCUGAUGUCGUUUUCCGUAGGUGGCACGCUUACCUUGUGGACCAUGGUCCUACUAAGGCAAUUUUUGAUAAUGCUAGGAUUUCUGAUUUGUUAGAAAUCUCUCUUCGACACCCUAUUUUUGAUUCAGGACUUUUUCCAAUCGCUUUAAGUUUUUGGUCUUCUGAGUAUAAUACUUUUGUUUUCCCUCUUGGCCCCAUGUUCAUUACCUUAAGGAAUGUUGGGGCCCUAGUAAAUCUGUCACCUUUGGGCGAUACCAUUUUCCCUGGUAUUUUGAUUUCUGGUGUCGUCCCAAAAUUUAAAAGAAAACUCACCCAGUCUUUUUCAAACCUGCAAACCUGUCAUAACCACUCAAGCGCUGAGCCUUCCCAUGCUGAGCGUGUGGCCUUUCUUCUGAUUUGGCUUUGUAAAAACGUUUUGUGUGUGCCAAGCAUAAAGCCCUCCAUGAGUUAUUUACCCAUAGUGCACAAAUUGGCGCGUUGUAGGCCUCUGAAUUUGUGUUCUUUCUUUUUAGCUGCCCUCUAUAGAGGCAUGGCGCUUCUCUUCAAUCCCAAUUGAAGAAUGGUGCAUCUCCCAUUUCCAUUUUCUUCUUCAAAAGACCAAUUUGCUGCCAUUGUUUGGCAUUUUGACAAUUAAUCCAACACCUUCGUUUUUCAUGUAAAUGGAUCAUCUGAUCCACCCAUUUUGCCAUCCUUCUUGAUGUCACCUUUGGUAUGAGAGAUAUGGGAAAUAUUCUUUGACCAGCAGCAAAGUUCUUCCCAUCGUCUCCGUUCCUACAAAGAGUUCAAUGAUGGAAGACAAUUUUUGGGGUGCUUGCAGGCCACCUUGCUUGCUGAGAGUGCUUCUCAGCCUCCUUGCCCGUCGUUGUAGCGAUGCAUUUAGGAAGGCAAUGUGAGGGCGCUUCAUCUUCCUUUCUGCUUGCUGAGAGUGCUUCUCGGCCUCUCUGCUUGCCUUUGCAGUAGUGCGAUCAGGAUGGCGAUCAAUGCCAGUACACCCUCUUACUCGACGAUCGACUGGGAGAUUAGUUUUCUCUUAAUUGUAGUUUAUAGAGCAUUUAGCAUCUUGUAUUUCGCAGCUUUUGUAAUGAACAUUUGAUAAUAAAGGAAUUUAUUUGAACGUAUUUCGCUCUGGCCCUUUUUACUCUACGAUCGUUCAAUGCGAUUUGGUUACGCUUUUAUUUGUUCACUUUCCCAUAAGGAAGGAACAUACUUUUUCAAAUAUUUGCCAUUAAUGAACCUCAUGUGCUUGGUGCCUUCUAAAUCUUCCAAAUGAUAGACUCCAUUAGGCAAUACAUUAUUCACUUUAUAUGGUCCUUCCCAAUUGGGAGACUAUUUGCCAUACAUUGGAUCUUUGCUAUCCAAAGGGAGUACUGUUUUCCAAACCAAUUCGCCCAGGAUGAAUGACUUGGCUAUAACUUUUUUAUUAUAAAAUUUAGCCAUUCUUCAUUGUUGAACUUGCAAUCUAUCUAGGAAAUCUAACUUUAAUUCGUCCAACUCUAAUAAGUUUUGAACUAGUGAUUCGGUAUACUCAUCAUCACUUAACUUAUGUUGCAAACACACUCUGAUCGAUUGCACGUUGAUUUCCAUAGGCAAAACGGCCUCCUGUCCAUAAGUAAGUUGGAAAGGAGUAAUUUUGGUACUUGACCGAGGCGACGUCCUAUAAGCCCAUAAGGCCUUGUUCAGACAUUCAUGCCAAUUUCUGGCAUUUUCAUCUAUCAUUUUCCUUAUGAUAUUUUUUAAAAUCUUAUUACAAGAUUCUGCUUGCCCGUUGGAUUGAGCGUAAUAUGGUGUGGAGUUUACUAAUUUAACUCCAAACUCGCUCAAGAAUUUAUUCACUUGAUCCCCUUUUAAAGAUGUCCCGUGAUCUACCAUCAAAGUUUGUGGAAUUCCAAAUUUAUAAAUGAUGUGAUCACGGAUAAAUUUUAUGACAUUCUUCUGGGUGAUCUCCUUUAAAGGUACCGCCUCUACCCACUUAGUAAAAUAAUCGGUUGCAACUAUAACAAAAGUAUGUUGCUUAGACGAUGGGGGAUAAAUCUUCCCUAUCAGGUCUAUCGCCCAAUCCUUGAACGGCCAAGGUUUAAUAAUAGGUGCCAUUUCUCAUGCUGGCGCCCUUUGUAUUGGACCAUGCUUUUGGCAUGCUAAACAACUCUUUGCAUACUGAACGCAUAAUUCCCCCAUCUUUGGCAAAAAAAUAUCCACUCCUAAUAAUCAACCAUCUCAUCCUUUGGCCAGCUUGAUGAGCUCCACAUAUCUCCUCGUCCACUUCAGCCAUGAUCGUCCUGGCUUCUUGCAAACUUACACAUUUUAGCAGUAUACCAUUAGAGCGUUUCUUGAACAACUCUUCAUCUAUCAGUGCAUAGUUUAACAAACGCAACUUCAUUUUUCUACUAUCUUUUUUGUUAGGUUCUUUAAGGAACUCCUUAAUCUCUACCCUCCAAUCCAUUGCAUCUCCAUCUUGUAUGCAAUGAAGUUCAAUCCUUCUCACCCUUCUUUGGGUCACGGGCAAUAUUGUUCCAUACUCACAAGUAGACUUCCAAUUAAAAACCUUUGAGUACCCUGAGGCCAUCUGGGCCAACUCAUUUGCCACGUCAUUGUAUAUCCUAUUAACGCAUUGAAGUUCUACUUGGUCGAAUUCUUCUAAUAACUCUUGGGCGAUUUCAUAUUGACUCAUGAUGGAAUCACUUUGACAUUUAAAAUCACCAAUAAGUUGGUGAAUUACCAAUUGAGAAUCGCCUCUAAUGUUUACAUUUUUUACCCCCAUAUCUAUCAUUAGUUCUAGGCCCACGAUUAAGACUUCAUAUUCGGCUUGAUUGUUGGUGCACAUCCUAUCCAAAGUGAAUGCGAACUUGUAGCAAAUCCCUAAAUGAUUUAUCAAUGCUACUCCUACUCCUACACCUUUAGAGAUUUUUGACCCAUUGAAAUACAACACCAAAGGUUUUAGCUCGAACGAAUUGAUUUCUAAUUCAAUUUCUUCAAGCAUGUCAAGGCAUGGAUGAUCGGCUAGGAAGUUAGCCAAAGCCUAAUUUUUGACUGCCUUUUGGGGUAUUAUUGUAUUUCGAAUUCUGAUAAAGCUAACGUCCAAAGGCCUACCCUUUGGUGUAAAAUAGGGCGAGAGAACAUAUACUUAAUCAAAUUUACUCUAGAAAUCAAAUAAACGGUUACGGGCCGUAAAUAAACCCUUAAUUUUGUACGUGUGAAAUACAAUGCAAGACAUAAUUUUUCGAUAGCAGAGUAAUUACAUUCACAUUUUGUUAACCGUCUACUCAAAUAGUAAAUCUCUCUCUCUUCACCAAAUUGGUCUUCUUGUUACAUUCACAUUUUGUUAACCGUCUACUCAAAUAGUAAAUCUCUCUCUCUUCACCAAAUUGGUCUUCUUGCGCGACCAUUCCAGCUAUUGAUUCUUUUUCAGUUGAUACAUAUACUUUCAUGGGCCGUCCUUGGAUUGGUGACACCAACACUGGUGGACUUGAUUAAUAUGUCUUCAGGCUUUCAAAAGCUUUUUGAUGUUCUUCUUUCCAGACGAAUUCGUCCUGAUUUUUUAGCUUUAAAAGUGGCGAAAAGACUUUAGUUCGCCCUACGCAGUUAGAAAUAAAGCGUCUUAAAAAGUUUACUUGGCCUAGAAAUUUUUGUAAUUCUUUUUUGUUGCUAGGUGGUUUGGCCUCUAGAAUGACCUUCGCUUUAUUUUUAUCAAGUUCAAUCCCUCUUUUAUGUACCAAGAAACCAAGAAAAUUUCCUGCAUUAACACCAAAUGCACAUUUCAAGGGAUUCAACUUUAACUUAUAUUGCUUCAUUCGCUCAAAUGAACAUCUUAACUGUUCAAAAUGGUCCUCUUCUUUAAUGGAUUUGACCACUAUAUCAUCUACAUACACUUCAACAAACUUGCCUAUCAUAUCAUGAAAAAUUAAAUUCAUUGCCCUUUGAUAAGUUGCUCUUACAUUUUUCAGGCCGAAAGGCAUGACUACCCAUUCAAAACAUCCUAGAGACCCAGGGCAUCUAAAGGCAAUUUUGUGUAUGUCUUCCUCAGCUAUAUAAAUUUGAUUGUAUCCUGAAUACCCAUCCAUGAAAGAAUAUAUGACGUGUCCGACGGUUGAGUCUACUAAAGAAUCUACCGUGGGCAUUGGAUACUCAUCUUUGGGUGUAGCUAUGUUUAAAUUCCUAAAGUCUAUGCACACCCUUAGUUUACCAUUCUUUUUUAGUACUGGCACAAUAUUGGACAACCAUUCGACAUACCUGGCUGUUCUAAUAAAGCCUACUUUUAAUAAUCGCUCUAUCUCUUUCUUAAUCUCAGGGAGUACAUUAGGAGCAAAACGUCUGGGAGGUUGCCUAUGAGGUUUAAAAUUAGGCUUAGUUGGUAAUCUAUAUUCUACCAAGUCUCUAUCUAAACCAGGCAUUUGUUCAUAUUUCCAAGCAAAACAAUCUUUAUACUCCUUUAACAAAGCGAUUAAUUUAUCACUAACCUCUUGAUCGAGCAUCUGGCUGAUGAAUAUUGGACGAUCUUCUCCUUCAUUGCCAAUAUUUACUUUAAUCAGAGGGUCUUGUGAUUGAGCAUAUCUAGGCUUGAUGAUCUACAUUACUUCAUCGUCCAGCUCCUUUAUAAGCACUUCCUCUUCUAAACAAUCCACCUUGUUGACUUCUUGGCCAAUACUUUGUUCCAAUUCGAAUACUGCUAAUUUGUCUUUCAACGCUUUCAGGGCUGCAUCUUCUUUCGUCUUGUCCUUGCAUUCUUUAUUGAAAACCAUUAAUUUGGCUUUGAAGGCCUGAAUAUCAGCCAUUUACUCUUGUUGCUUUGAACUCAUUCAGGACUCCUUGAUUAUUCUUUUGCCAAUUACUGGCUCUUCUAAGGCCACUAUAUUUGGCCUCAUUUGAUUGGACAUUUCAGUGAGUGCGUCCACUGAAAAUGGCUCUUCACUCUGCGCGACAAUCUGAGUUUCUUCCCCAUCUUGGACUAGCCUGACAGGUCCAUAGUUUCCUUCGUACAUGAACCUUCCCACUGAGUUUGCUUCUGCAACAAAAGGCCUAUGAUCGGCCUACACCACCUCUGCUUUACCCUUGUUAUUCCAAAAAAACCAAGCAUUGAUGGAGCGAUGAGGGUAUACAGCGACUUCCAUGUAUCCAAUCUCUUUCUAGUAAUAUAUUGUAACUAGUAGGACCAUCUAUUACAAAGAAGACUGUGUUCCUAGUAGUUGUACCUAUAGUUAUGUCCAAUGGCAUAACUCCCUUAGCUGCAGUUGCUCCUCCAUUGAAACUUGUAAGGAUGACUUCUGUUGGAAUCAUAUCCCCUUCUGUCUUUGCAAACUUUCUCAUCAUCCUAGAUGGAAUGGUGUUUAUAGCUACUCCAUUAUCGACAAGCACUUUUGCCACUGGUAUGCUAUUAACUAGAGCUUUAACGUACAACAACCUCAAGUGUUUAGUCAAUUUCAUGGCUGACUGUUUAAAAAUAACCUUUUUGGCAGCCUCUAUUUCUACUUCCUGCCUGUCCUCUGUCGAGUUAUCCUUUUGUGAUAAGUCAACGUGCAGCAUAUCACACUGAGCCUCUGUCUCCCGAAUUUCCUUUUUACUGUUUUUUGAUGCUUCAUCUUCAGUUACCUAACCUGUGGGAGGAGGCAUUAUUCUUGGAGGUGAUCCAUACUUUUCAGAGCGAGGCACUCUCUUCUUCCUUUUAGGGGUCCCGUACAGCACGUAAAAAUCGAAAGAACGCUCAGAUGGUUCUCCUAAUAAAUCUACUUCACGAACUCCCUCUUAAUGUAGUUGCUUCAAUAGAGUAUUGUACGAUACUCCUCUCCUUCUUCUUUCUGCUUCUAGGUCGAUUUUCUCUUCAAUGUCUAUCAUACCAUCAUCUUCCUCACCAAUGUAGGCCUCUCUAGAAGUCUGGCCUUCUUUAUAUUCCAGCAUGCAUGCUUCUCCUUCGUUAUCUUCUCUUUCUUCUUCUUCUUUCUCUUUAUUCUUGAACUCAUUGGCUAGUAAAUAGUUAUUAGCCACAACAGGAGGUAACGUAACGAACUGAAUAGUAAGGGGCUAAUCUGGAUCUUCUCCAUCCCUUCUAUCUUGCUCAAACUUCGAUCUCCCAGAAGAAGUUUCUGGCAACUCUUUCAUUGAUUCAUCUGUACCAGUCUCUUCACUAUCUUUAAGAACAUUGUGAUUGGCUACCUCAAGUAGUUUAGGCGCCUUAGGACGUGGCACUUCCUGUUGUUGCCUCAUCAUUCGUCCAUAUUUCGUUGGAAACGCCUUUGUUGGGUUCUAGUCAUCUCGUUGAAGGGUAUCACCUUUCCUGCAUUAUACUGGAAUGAAUGCCAUACAUUUGGUCGACGAGGUUGCGGCCUGAAUGUUUUCCCAUUAUUUACUGGCCUGAACUGUCUCUCAAAAGGCGGUCCCUUAUAGAACGAUGUACCUCGCCCUCUACCAGGCUGAGCGUUUGGGAAGAAAGUAAGGCGACGGGGAUGCUACCAUAUCCCUGUUUUCUUCGUAUUCCUACUCACUUCUCUUUUACAUCUUGCACACAAGACGUCUUCAUCCAUUUUUGGCUUCUUCCCUUUAAUACACUCAAAGACACUGGGAUGUGGUCCAGGGUCUUCUUCUCCAUCAUCUAUAACCAUUUUGAAUUUUUGCAACUUGUUUUUGAAACCAGAUGUUACCAUAUUCACUCCAAGUGGCUGUGGAAAGGGAUUUUCAUCCACUGCCAUCUUCUUCUUAUCAUCGAACGUAAUUCGUCCUGAUUCAAUGGUAUCUUGUAACACAUGGCGAAAAACCAAGCAAUUGUUAGUCAAAUGUGACCAUGCAUUAUGCCACUUACAAUAUUUUUUACCCUUAAUUUGUUCAGGGUUUGGCAAUUUAUGCUUAUCGCUCAGCUUUAUCUGCUUAUCCUUAUAUAAUUUAUCAAAUAUAAGGUUAGCUUUGGUUAUAUCGAACGAGAACGUUCUAGCUUUUACGUUUUCAUCUUUCAUAGGCUCAUCCUUGCCCGAUGGUCUAGGCUUAGCCAUUAUAGGACAAGUAUAUGUGUCUCCUUUGACUAAUUCGGCCAAACACAUUUCGGUCUGAUCGUAUGACUCGUUAUUGACAGUAUGAACAUCAAAAUUUGGGUCUCUAUAAUAAGUCCCCUUGCUAGAAUUUUUUAUCUGCUCUUCUUCUCUUAUCAAUCGUUCAUACCUAAUCACGUUCGCGCUCAAUUGGAAAAGGUCAGGAAAUUCCUCAUUUUGGAAUUUCUUUUUCAAAUUAAAGCUCAAACAACCUUGAGCGAUUUUGACAAACUCUUUUUCGGGCAGAGGUACAAAACAUUUACUUCUUGUUGUCUUGAACCUUUGGAGGAAACCUUCUGCCCAUUCAUUUGGCAUUUGACGUAGGUUCGCCCAAUCGGCCAAAGUAACUUCAGACUCAAUCUUAUAAAAUUGAGCGUGGAAUAAUUGUUCCAAUUAUUGCCAUAUUUGAACAGAGUUCACUGGCAAACUGAUGAACCAGGAGAAAGUUACUCCUGUUAAUGAACUAGGGAAAAGCCUCAUUUUAUGAUAAUCAAUUACGUCACCACUUUGCAGUGUGAAUCGUCCUAUGUGUUCUAGAGUAGACACCUCCCUUAAACUAGUAAAUAGUGAGAAUUCUGGCACUUUAUACCCUCCAGGCCAUGGAUAUGCUUGGUCUAUCCAAUCAGGAUAUGGCUUUGUGUAAGUCGGCGUAAUGACAAGACGUACCCCAAAAGCCAUCUGGUCCUGUACGAUUUCCAUAAUCUGAUUCCUCAACAUGACGUUGGGGUCAUAUAGAAUCCCUACAGGUUGGUUGAUCGGUUGAUUUGCUUGAGGCCUGAUAUUUGGUCCUUGAUUAGGAAUAAAGUUACCAUGAUUUGGGCCAUUGUUACCAUUAGCCUGAACAUUUAUUCCCUCAUUAACACGUGGGGUAUUCUGCCCGUUAUUUAGGACAUUAUCUCUUACAUUUGGAUUACCCCCCAAGUUAGGCGUACCACUACCAUUAUUCUGAUUUGGAAUUACACCAUCCCCUUGGUUUGAAGUAGAGGGACCGAAAUGUGGUUCUACCCCUUGACUUGGAUUUAGGACUGGGGGAUUAUGUCCCACAAUUGUCCUAGUUUGAAAGUGGUUUGCAAGAGGCAUAACUCGUUGACAAAUUUGGCCUACUAACUUAUUCAUUAUUUCGUUCAAAGUACUCAGUUGUUUGGCCAUGUUGUCAUAAUGUGCAUUCCCAUUCUGGGUAAAUCUUUUCAUAUUAUGAAUAUUUCGAAGACUUACCUGUUCAACGACAUCUUGUGUGAGUUCUCCAAGUAGUGCACGCAUAGUUCGAGGACUCAACUCUGCCAUUGAUUCGUAACGACUGUUACUGCUGUGAUUCUGUCCAUCUAUUCAUGGAGAGCUAUGCUUCUCCUCAUAUCGCUCGAUCACAGGCUGGACUCCUCCCUGACUUGUUGCUUCCUUAUCGGAUCUUUGAGGCAUAUUGUUUCACCUUUUGUAUCUACAACACCAAACACCACUGUCCCACCGGGCGUGCCAAAUUGUUUCACGCGGGUUAGUCACUAACAAUUAAAAAGGGAUCAGACGAUUGUGUAAGAGAUAAACCUCUUGAGACAAAUUCUCAAAAAUGGGUGUUUUUAUUGGCGAUGACUUUACAAUUGGAAAAUGAAAAUAGAAUGCCUCCAAGGGGCGCAAGCACACGAGUUACUGAAAAGAAGUGUUUUAAAUCUAAACUAAGAAAUUUAAAGUUACAUAUUCUCUGUUUGAGAGUGUUUGAUUCAGGGGUCUUUUGCUCUAUGCAUUUUCUUCCUUUUAUACUCCCUGAAUGAUCUCUUCGUGAUCAACUGCUUAAAAACUGUUUGAUCGCUCUAUAACUACCCACUUUCCUCGUAGUGGCUAACUUGUCAUGGAACUGCCUUCUCUAACUGCUGCCAUUACUUUUUGUAGUUCAACCGUCUUUAAUUAAAUUCCUUGAAUCGUGGAACGUGAUAGGGCUACUCAAUAACUGCUUCAUUAACCGCACCUUUGGGUAACCAUAACAUCUUACGUUUGCUAAGAUCCUGGGCGAUUCGAAGGUUUGGGCGAGAACAGGAGCACAGUUCUGGGCGACUGCAUGGCCAUCCAUUCGCUCAAAUCUUGGGCAACUUGUAACCUUGGGCGAUGGUAUUACCGCGUACAUGGGCUUCCCUAUUUGGGCCUUUAUCCUGUAUUGUUUGAUUGGGUCGUUCUUUGGGCUAUUUGAUUUUUGGGGAUCUUCCAAUGGGCUUCAUUCUUUAGGCUAUUCGACUUGGGCUGAACUUUUUGUGUGUCAACAAAUUCAAACAAUUGUGGCUAAUUUGCUGGGAUCUUCAAAGAAACUUGAUAGUGUGGAUAUAUAAUUUUUAAAUGAAUGGAAUGUGAUGUGGAUGAAAAUGAUAUUUUUUAAAAAUUUUAAAAUUUAAUAGGAAUGAAUAUAGAGUGAGAUAGAUAUAUAACAAUGGUGGAUGCAAAUAACAACUCCCUUUGUUCUUGAUUCCCCCAUAGUCAAUAAAAGCUAUUGGGUUUGACCUAAAUCUUUUAAUUAUAUUAUGGUUUAGGGGUAGAAUGAGAUACAAAAAGAGAGUCCGAGAAAGAAAAAGAGAUUAUCUGGUUAUGAACAAUAUGAUUUUAUUUAUAAUGAUGAAUUAUGUAUGACGAAUGUUAUUAAUCGUCGCAAGAAAAUGAUACGAUACAAAGAAGUAUGAGACUUAAGAAAUUUGCACAAAUGAUCCUUUAAGGGCAUAAGUUUAUUUUUAUUAAAGUAGAUAUACUUUUAACUAUCGGAAUGGAUAGAAACAAUAGGAAACGGCCCCCCUUUUUUACGAGCAAAAUCAAUAUGUUGAGGGGGUCAAUGCCAUAAUUGUAACAUUAGGGACCAUUUGUGUCAAUUCCUUGUUAAUAAAUAUUCCGCUUUUCGGGUCCUUUGAAAAAAAAAAAAAAAAAACUACCUAUCUCCCUUAAAGAUAGACUUCAUUUUCUUUUUCGUCAGUCCCAAAUUACUAGCUACUUUCCUUGCUGAAAGUGAAGAUAUAUUUUAAUUUUCUAAUAUGCCAUAUUUUAUGUAUCUUGUUAUCAAUAAAUAUAAAACAAAUACUAUUUAAACUAUUAUUUAAUAUAGGAGUAUAUAUAGAAAAAUGUAACAAAAUUUAUAUUUUCAAUUAUAUUAAUUACAUUUUCUUAAUAUGUGUUAAAAUAUAGAGAAGUUUAUUUUUAUGGGACGGAUGUAGUAAAUAAGAUGCACUGUGAAACAAGAAACCAUGAUGCUUGACAAUGACAAUCUGCAGUUACUUAAUAGCCUCCAAACAUUAAAUAAUCAUAAAUCAUUAAAUGAAAAAUUGGUUUCUUAACUUGAAUAAUGGAACUGGACAUAUUGAUAAAAACUUAAUGAAGUUGAUAUACAUACUCAAGAAACAGUCCAGUUGGUAAAGAUAAUUUAAUACUUGAAUUGCUUAGUCCCCAUUUGGGAUAGAUUGUUUUGGUGGAAAUAAUAGAAGGGGAAAAAAAAAAACUUACUAUUAGAUUAAUAUGUUUGUUUGGCACUCUGAAGCAAUCCACAAGUCGAAAGUUCAAGAAUAGAAUGCAAUAUUUUUAGUAAUUGAUUUCAAAAUAAUGGUAAUCAAUUCACUAUAUGAUACAGAUAAUGAAUAUUUAAACAUGAGUAUAAACACAUCUCUGAAUACAUUAAGGAUCCAAUGAAAUUCAAUCUCCAUUAGUAGAAAACAGCUUAAAACUUGGAAUAUUUGGUUUUAUCAAAGUUAAUGGAACCUGAUUCAAAAUAAAAUAAAAUAAAAAUAAAAAUAAAAAGAUUCACAUGGUUAAGCAAAAAUGAAGCCACAAAUAAACAUGUUAAACAUGGACUUAAACUUUAUUGAAAUUACUUAAUUUUGAUUGUAAAUAACUUAAUUAUUUCUACUUGGGGACAACAAAGAAAUAAAUUACCUUGAAACUUAUUUACUUUUAUGUUUACUUUUGAAGAAUUUUAUAGAAGCAAAACUUAUAUUCAGAUUUUAGGGAUCCAUAUUUUCUCAUCCACUUACAAACCAGGCACUCGAUAAUGUUUGUAUAUUGGAUUCCCAGUAUACAAAUUCAGAAGGGUAAAUUGUUUCUGAGCCUUCAAUCAGGAUAUCAUUGAUGUCUAGUGGAUAGACUGAUAAAGUGUUUAAGAUCGAGUCAAUCUGUUGUUGUAUUUAUGCUUUUAUUGUUGCCACAGACCUCAAAGUCAUGUCAUAGCCUAUGAAUGGUGUUAGUAGGAUGCCGACGCUAGAAGAGAAAUAGCAGGACAGGCAAGCACAUGGUUGGAGCCAUGGACCAAUGAGAAAUACCACUGAAAAUUUAUUGUCUGUGGGUUUCCGCCUCAUCCAUAUGUUGCAAUUCAUCCACCAAAACUUCGAAAUUCACUUCAUCGGGAGGAUUGGAGAAGCCUACUACUUCAUGGGGAGAGACUCUGUUGGCAAUAAACAUAUAUUCUAGCAUCCAAAACCUAAUAUUUAAGAAUUGAUUAAUAUAUAGUCAUUAUUUUGAUAAUCAAAUACAAAAAGCAUUGAAAUUAAGAAUUAUUGAAGAUUUCAGAAUUUCUUGUGAUUGAAAAGUUUCAUUCGAUCCUUCUUGCUCUUAGACUAGGGGUUUGUCUUCAAUUGAGAGAUGAAUUUUAAACAUAUUUUUAAGUUCAGGUAUGCUCAAUUGAGAUUUUAAUGAAAUUCAUUAAAAUUUAGGUGUUCCAAAUUGAAAUUUUAAUGAAAUUCAAUGAAAUCUUUUAAAGUUUAGGUAUCUUCAAUAAUUAGUGUAUUUAUAAAAUUUUAAAAGAUUUUAAGUUGAUUUCAUACUUAAAAAUAUAUAUAACCAAAUAUUUUGAAAUUUCACCGUAUUUGAUGAAAUUCUUAUUGAAUUUAUGGAAAUCCAUUUAGAUCCACAAAAUUCAUUAAAAUUUAUAAUCUUUUAAAAUACAUCAAAAUCUUAGUUGAGGACAUCCCUGUAAAUGGACGAUGUCUAUGUCAACUUUUUUUUUUUUUAUAUAUAUUUUCACUAUGUUUAUUGGCUAGAUUAUUUGUUAGGGCGAAUGAUAUAGGUGACUUCAGUAUAAUUAAUUGAUUUCUAUUCAUAUUUUAAUUAUUUAUUUUGAAUAUUUGUUUUGUAAAUUGUGGUAUGAUUGAUUUAUUUUCUUUAUUGAGAAUAAGAGUUGAAUCACAUAAUAUUUGAUUGUAUGUUAGAUCGAAAGAUUGCAUGUUGAACACAUAAUCUUACUAUUCAUAAAUUUGUAGCUUAGCUUCAUUGCCACAAAGAUAAUUUAGUGGUUGCUAACCUGCAGACAAGAAGCAAAAUAAAUGGGACAGUACAUAUUGAUUGAGAAUUAUUAAUCAUUUAAAUAACACAUAAUCUUACUAUUCAUAAAUUUGUAGUUUAGCUUUAUUGCCACAAAGAUAAUUUAGUAGUUGCUAACCUGCAGACAACAAGAAGCAAAAUAAAUAGGACAGUACACAUGGAUUGAGAAUUAUUAAUCAUUUAAACAAUACACUUAAAUAAUUGCAUUAUGAUUCAUUCGUCAUUUUUUUAUAAAUAAUCCAAUGUGAUUAGCUAGAAGAGUAGGAUGUAGUCAAAAGAGUAAUGUUUUUCGAUACCAUUGGAAAAAUAUUGUCUUCACAUUAAGCUAUGUAUGGUGCACCAGAUUAGGCCAUAUAAAGAAUUUAGUGUAAAAUUAUAAUGAUACUACUAGGUAAAUGAUAUUAUGGUUGAUUAAGGUGAAUACUAAUCUUUAAUUUUUCAUUCAAAAAAUGGUCAUUUGCAUUAUCAACCGUAUAAUAUAGUACCGAGGUUGGAGGUAACUUUAGGCCACAUAAAAAGAGAGAUGAAAUGAUGGUUCAAAGAUUAUUAUCAUUCUUUAUCCCCCAUAAUACCCUUGACCCAGUAAUAUUCAUUAUCAUUUAUACUAAUAUUUUAUUUUGUUUACUCCGGUGCACCUAACAUGACCAUAAUAUUCCAUAAGGCUUUGUAUAUAUGCUAUGGUUAUGCAUUGUUAUCUACAGUUAUUUUUUUUUAUGAAAGUUAAUAAUAUAUUGGAUUGUUUUCCAAUUGUUGAUCCUACUCGGUAUUGAUUAUGAUUCAACAAGUCAGUUGAUCUUGUGUUAUAUUGCUGCGUCAUAGAUUAAAAUGCCCAGUGAAGAAAGAAACCAGGAUGCUUCACAAUGAUAGGGGAAAAAUAUUGUUUUCUCAGCUGGCACUCGACAAACUGAUAACAAAGCCUCCAUUCGGAAUUUUUUUUAAAAUCAUUUAUAAUGGUCAAACUUCAUUUUCAACCAUACAUAUCAAUUGACCUACAAUUAUUAUCUACUCAUUCACUACAAAUUCCUCUCUAUUUAAAAAUUAAACAGUUUAUAAAUUCUUCCAAAAUGAACAAGUUGAAAAAGUUACCCUAGUUGAUAAAUGGUCGAGUUGAUUAAGUUACACAAGAAUCAGUUGGCAGUGAUAAUAAAAUACAUGAAUUGCUUAGGCCCCUCUGGGACAGAUUGUUGUGGAUCCAAAAAAGAAAGAAAAAAUACUAUUUGAGUAAGAUACAUGGUUAAUAAUAUACAUAAAAACUACUAUUAAAAUAAUCAAACUGGAAAGUUCAAGAAUAGAAGUUUAUGUUUAUUAUAUUUGAGUAUCAAAAUAAUCAUAAUCGGGAUCAUGACCUUUUUAUCAAAAUAAGUGAACUUUUUUACUUAAGGUUUUUCGUCAAAUGAAAACGAGAACCGAAUGAUAUUUAUCAAAGAAAAGAGCGAGAGGGACUGACUAGACGGCCGUCGAUCAACUCAUAAGAAUAAACAUAACUUUGUUCAAAAUCUUGGUAAACUUUUCCAUUGAUCUUUUCAAUUUUGUGUAUCAUCUGAAGAAUAAACAACACCAACAACAGGAAUGCCACAAAUUUUGAAAAGAAUAAAGGCGAAGGAGAAAGAAAAAAUAAAAAAGCUAAAGAAAAAAUAAAAAAGCUCUAACAACCAUAGUCCAAAAAACGAUUUCAUCAAAGUUCUUCUCGAUGGAGCUUAAAGCAAAAAUUUAGUGAUUUGCUUCCAAAGCAUCAGAACCAUUUUGAAUGUUUGAUAUCGGUUAUGUGAACUAUUCGAUAAAUAAGGAAGAAAAUGAAGUUAUUAUUCUUCAGCAGCGGCACUUGCAGCACUCAGGUCUACUGACAAAUAGAGAACUUGAACCAAAAAAAAAAAAAAAAAAAAGGCAAAUAAAAAUAUAAACAGUAAAUAUCAAAUUUCUCUAAGUUAUAUACACUUUCUUCAUGUAGAUUUCAUGACUCAUAUAUCCAUCAGUUACCUGUUGGAAAAAUUCCAACGUAUGGGGACACACACACACAUAUUAAAAUGUGUUGUGCUAGUAUAAAGCUUAGUCAAUAAAGUCAUCCGUUAAAGUCAAUUUUUAGACUAACGGGUAUUAAAUGUCAUGGAAAUGAAGUGUGGAGACUAAAAAAUGUUAUUUUAAAUUAAUGAGGGGCCAAUUUGAAAUAACACAAAAUUAAUAACUGCUUAAUAGUUAUUUAUUCUGGGGUCAUGGUCCCAAUUGUACGUGAUUUUUCAUAUCUCUCUACAUCCCCAUCAAUAGAGAAAAAAAUUCCAAGCAAUUACGUAACAAUUGGAAGAUCUUCACCCAUUAAGAAUAUUAACAACAGUGGAUCAAGGUAUGCUUCCGCAUUUUUUAAUGUUCCCUUUGAUUUCAACAUGUAGGAUCAUUUAUGUAAUUUUGUGAAAGGAUUUGAUAAAAUUUUGGUUUCUUUCAAUUCAUACAAGUGGUAUUAGAGCACUCCAUUUUGAAUCUUUGAGAAAUUGCAAGAAUAAAUGCUAUAACAAUUCUAUAUUGUGGGUUAUUUUUGAUCUUUUAUCAUAUGAUUAUGUGAAAUUUAGUUCUUACAGUAUUUUAAGAGUUUUCAAAUUUGACAAAUUCGAAUUUAUUUUUGUUGGAUUUGAAAAUUGUUCAGCAUAUUAUUCAUGGUUAUUUUUUUCAAAACUUGGAUUAAAAUUUUGAAAAUUUCAAAUUUUUAUUUUUCAGAUUUCAUAAAAAAGAAUUUUGAUUAGCCGCUAUCGGCAUUGCAGCAGUAGCGCUGAUAGCUAGGGAAGGAGAAAGAGAAAGAUUCGGUUGGAUUUUUUGGGAUGGGGGCCUGAGGUGUAAUUUUGGUAAUCUCAUGCCCUUGCUUGAAAUAAAGAUUAGGGUUAGCUAAUUUUUUAAAAUAUAAUUUUACGUUUCAGUCUCUAAAGUUUGAAAUCCAUCCAAGCUGGACCUUUAAAGUUCUAGGUUCAAUAAUUCAAUCCAUAAAGUUUGAAAAUUAUUUAAUUUGGGCCAUCAAAGUUCUGGAAUUUGUAAUUAAAGCCCUCAAUGUUUAUAAUUAAUUAAAAUUGGCCCCCAAAUUUUUAAUUUUUUUUCAAAUUUUGACCCCUAAAAUUUUGAAUUAUUAACCCUUAGGUCCCUAAAGUUUCAAAAGACAUCUAAUGAUGCAAAAUUAGUGAUUCUCUUUCUCAAAUUUGGUAUUAAGGACUCUUAUAAGAUGUAUAGUUGAGAUUUAAUUAUGUGGGACAAUCAAAUUUAAAUAAUUUGAUAAAUCAUUCAUGAUAAAGUAAGGUUAACUAGCAUUUUAAAUAAACUAAUUGAAACAAUAUGUCACCAAAGUGACCUUUUUGUGUAAAUUGGUUAGUUUGGGAUGUUUAGAUAUUGUGUGUGUGUUUGUUCAUACGGGUGUUAGUCGGCCCAAAGGAAGGUUAAUAUUUGGCUGAAUUACAUACACACUUAUGGUAGUGAAUGUGUAACAAUUAUAAGGUUUCCAUGUGAAUAAUAAAUCAGCCCAAAGAUGGGUUUAUUAUUUGAUAAGAGUUGUUGUCAAUAUCUGAUCACUACACCAAGAAUACCACUUGCAAUUAAUAUUACUGUCCAAAGACUUGAUCACUACACCGAGAUGGAGCAUACCAUUAUUUGAAUUUAUUGUUCAUCAAAUGUGGAUAUGAGCAUGAUUAUUUGUUUAUUUUUGUUCUUUGUGCAACUAAUUCAUCUGCUACUACUAUAUCUGCCAAUGUUAAUUCAAAUUACAAAUUUCAAGGAUUGAAAUGAGAACAUAUUGAUUGCUCUUAGCUGCAUGGAUUUGACUUUGGACUUCGGAUUGAGGAACCCACACUUCUUAUGGAAGAAAGUUCACCUGAUGAAAAGAGGAACUUUGAGAAGUGGGAUCGUUAAAAUUGCAUGAGUCUAAUGAUCAUUAAGCGUGGCUUUAUGAAAACCUUUAGAGGUGCAGUAUCCAAAGGGAUAACAAAUGUCAAGGAGUUCCUCGCAGAAAUUGAGAAGCAUUUUGCGAAAAAUGAUAAGGCUGAAACUAGCAUGCUUUUGUAAAGCUUGAUUUCAAUGAAGUAUAAAGGCAAGGAAAACAUAAAGGAGUACAUUAUGGGGAUGUCUCACAUUGCUUUUAAGCUUAAAGGGCUAAAGCUUGAGCUAUAUGAUGACUUACUGGUACAUUUGGUAUUGAUAUCGCUUCCUACAUAGUUCAGUCAAUUUAAGGUCAAUUAUAGCUGUUAGAAAGAGAAAGAGUCUAUAAAUGAGCUCAUUUCAUAUUGUGCGCAAGAGGAAGAAAGGUUGAAGCAAGAAAGAAUUGAAUGCGCUCAUUUGACAAGCACUUCUAAGGAUAAGGGCAAGAAAAUAAAGAAAGAGUAUGAAUCUAUUCCUACGGGUCCAGCACAAAAGAAACAAAAGGAACAUAAAUGAGCUUGUUUCUUUUGUAAUAAGACUAGACAUAUAAAGAAAGAUUAUCCAAAUAUCAUGCAUGGCGUGCAAAGGAAAGUACAACUCUCACAUUGGUCUGUUCUGAAAAUAAUUUUGCUCUAGUACCUAGAAACACUUGGUGGAUAGAUUCUAAUGCUACUAUUCACAUAAGUACUUCUAUGUCGGGCUGUCAGAGUUAUCGAAAGCCAAGUGAUGGUGAAAGAUACAUCUAUGUGGAUGAUGGCGAAUCCGUUGAAGCUAAUGUAAUAGGCACAUUUAGGUUAUAAUUAGGAACUGGUUAUUAUUCGUAUUUGAAAGACACUUUUGUUGUACAGUCUUUUAGACAGAACUUGAUUUUCAUUUGUUUGUUGGACAGAUCUAGAUACUGCUGUUCAUUUAGAACCAUUCAGUUUAGCCUUUCAUUAAAUUCUUAUGCUAUUGGUAAUGGUUUGUUAUUUGCAUAUGAUAACCUAUAUUUGCUCGAUAUUAUUGUAUCAUAUAAUGAGAUCUUGCAUGUGGAAUCAAGUGAUACUAAACGCAAAUUAAAUAAAGAGAAUUCAGCAAAAUUAUGACACAAGUGCUUAGGUCACAUCUCAAAAGCUACAGUUGAACGACUUGUAUCAGAUGGUAUUUUGUUUUUCCUUGACUUCACGGAUUUUAAUGUAUGUAUUAAUUGUAUCAUGGGAAACCAGAUCAAAACAAGGAGAUUAGGGGCUAAUAGAACUUCAAAUGUCUUAGAACUGAUACACACAGAUAUUUGUGGACCAUUUCUUACGACUUCUUGGAAUGGUCAACAAUAUUUAUAUCAUUCAUAGACGAUUACUCAUGUUAUUGGUACCUAUAUCUCAUCCAUGAAAAGUCUGAGUUGUUGGACGUGUUCAAGCUUUUAAAACCGAGGUUGAGAAUCAACUCAAUAAAAGGUUAAAGAGCAUUAGGUCUAACCUUGGUGGUGAGUACUAGGCAGACAUGACUGUUGAAAUUAACAAUGUCUAUGACCAUUUGCUAAACACCUAGAGGAAUGUGGAAUCACCAUGCCAGGAUCGCCUAGAUGAAUGGUGUAGCUGAAAGAUGAAAUAGGACUCUUAAGGAUAUGGUAAGGAGUAUGAUUCGUCAUUCUACCUUACCGAAGUCACUCUGAGAAGAGACAUUAAAGAUCGCAACUUAUAUUCUAAACAGAGUGCCAACUAAGGCUGCUGUUAAAACAUCUUAUAAACUUUUGACAUGAAGAAAGCCUAAUCUAAAGCAUUUUCGUAUUUGGUGAUGUCUCGCUAAGGCUAGACAUUAUAGGUCACAUAAAAAAAAAAUAAAAAAUUAGACUCCAAAAUAGUGAGUAGCUAUUUAAUUGGUUAUUUUGAGUGCUCUAGGGGCUAUAAAUUUUAUGAUCCCACACUUAAGUCAAUUUUUGAAACGGGACUGCAAUACAUUUUGAGGAUGUUGAGUUUGGGAGGAGAAAUAAAGUUAAAGGCAUUGUCUUUGAGGAAGAAGUUGAGGAAUGAUUUGUUUCAAUUCGUACUAUUAUUUUUGACAAUGUACAUGUUUCUAUACCUAUCAUUAAUUAAGAAGUAUAUCUAGAGCCCCAAAAAAACAACGUUGAAGAACCUCCCACCCAAAAUGAGGUAAUUAUUUCAAAAGUACAAACUCAACAAUCUCAAAAACUAAUACCAUUAAGAAGAUCCACGUGAGAAAGGAAAAGUGCUAUUUCGAAUGAUUUUAUAGUAUUUCUCCAAGAACAUGAGAAAAAUAAUGGAAUGGUGAAAUAUGAUCCAAUCAAUUUCCAUUAGGCAAUGUAGGGUUACAACUCUCAAAAGUGGAUUGAUACCAUGAAUGAGAAGUAUAAGUCUAUGAAACACAAUAAAGUUUGGGAUCUUGUCCCAUUACCUGAAGGUGUGAAGUCCAUUGGUUGCAAAUGGAUUUUUAAAACCAAUGGGGAUUAGAAAGAUAAUGUGGAAAGAUAUAAGGCUCGUCUUGUGGCUAAAGGCUUUACCGAAAAGGAAGGCGUCGACUUCAAAAAGAAUUUCUCUCUAGUUUCAACGAAAGACUAUUUCAGGACAAUUAUGGCACUUGUUGCACACUUUGACCUUGAGUUACAUCAAAUGGAUGUUAAGACUGCAUAUCUCAAUAGCAACAUUGUUGAGACGAUCUAUAUGGUGCAACCAAAAAAAUUUGUGUCAGGAGACUCGAAGAAUAUGAUUUGCGAAUUAAAGAAAUCCAUCUAUGGACGUAUACAAGCUUCUCAUCAAUGGUACCACAAAUUUCAUCAAGUAAUUAUCUCAUUUAGUUUUGAAAUGAAUGCCGUUAAUGAUUGUGUGUAUCACAAGUACAAUGGGAGUAAGCAUAUUUUCCUGGUUUUUUAUAUCGAUGAUGUACUGCUUGCCACUAAUGAUAUAAGCAUGUUGCACAAAAUCAAGAGACUUUUAUCAAGGAAUUUUGAGAUAAAAGAUCUUAGUGAUGCCUAUUUUGUAUUAGGGAUUCAGAUACAUUGGGAUUACUCUCGAGGUAUUCUUAGAUUGUCACGAAAGAGCUAUAUGGAUAAAGUACUUGAAAGGUUUGGCAUGCAAGACUGUAAAGUAGGUAACGCCCUUGUCGCUAAGGGAGACAAAUUUAGUCUCAAACAAUGCCCUCAAAAUGACCUUGAAGUUUAGAAAAUGCAAACGAUUUCCUAUGCAUCGGCUAUUGGGAGUCUAAUGUAUGCUCAAGUUUGCACACGUCCAGACAUAACAUUCAUUUUUGAAAUGUUAGGCAGAUAUUUAAACAACCCUAGGAUGGAUCAUUGGAAGGCAACCAAAAUGGUUAUGAUGUAUUUAAAGAGAACAAAGGAUUACAUGUUCACAUAUAGCAAAUUCAAUUAGUUAAAUAUCACUGGGUACCCGGAUUCUGAUUUUGCUAGAUGCCAAGGCAGUAGGAGAUUCAUACCAGGUUAUAUCUAUCAACUAGCUGGAGGAGCUAUUUCUUAAAAGAGUGCCAAGCAGACACUCAUAGCUUUUUCUACCAUGGUAGUAGAGUUUGUAGUGUGCUUUUGGGCAUCUAACCAUGGAAUAUGGCUGCGAAAUUUUGUCACUGAGCUGUGCAUUCUGAAUGGCAUAAAAAGAUCGGUGAAGUUAUAUUGUAUUUCUUGAGGAUAACAUGUUUUAGUGGGAGUUUGUAUUCUCAUUUAUGUUUAGUUUUAUGGACAUAUUUGUGUAUUUUGAUGUUUUUCUAUAUAGAAAUGAAGUAUUUAGUUCAUUCCACUCUAUUAUUAUGUUCAUUAUUGAUCUCACUUAAGAAAUAAGGUUGGACUAGUUGAAAAUAGACAUGUUCGGGUCACAUAAUAUGUAGUUUCCAUGCUAGACUCCCAUGAUUGAUCUAUGUCAUUUGGUUGUAUGGGUGUACGUGACCAUUGAUGGAUUUAAUCACACUAAAUGAGAAGAAAAUCGAUUUGAUCCUACAUUAAUAUAACCGAUGGAUGAAAUUGUUUGGAAAUACCCUUAAUAAUGAUAGCAGAAUUUUGAGCUCAUAAAUUUGAGCACAUUUGUAAUAUUACAUGUAUGGUUCAAUGAGAGAUUGUUGGAAAAAUUUCCAACGUAUGAGGCCAAACAUGUAUGUAUAUAUAUAGUAAAAUAUGUGGUGCUAUUUUAAAGCUUAUUCAGUAAAGUGAUCCGUUAAAGUCAAUUUUUGGACUAACGUGUAUUAAAUGUCAUGGGAAUAGAGUAUAGAGAUCGAAUGAUGUUAUUUUAAAUUAAUGAGGGCCCAAUUUGAAAUAAAAUAAAAUUAAUAAUUGCUUAAUGUAGUUAUUUAUCAUGGGGUCAUGGUCCCCAAUUGUAUGUGAUUUUUCAUAUCUCUCUGCAUCUCCAUCAACAGAGAAGAAAAUUCCUAGAAAUUACGUAACAAUUGGAGGAUCUUAACCCAUUCAGAAUACUAACAACUAUGGAUCAAGGUACGUUUCCGCUUUUUUAAUAUUCUCUUUGAUUUCAACAUGGAGUAUUUAUGUGAUUUUGUGAAAGGAUUUGAUAGAAUUUUGGUUCCAUUCAAUUCCUACAUUACCUUUCUAGUUAUCUUGGUGAACAUGGCUAGAAUAUAUGUUAUAGUGGACUAGAAGUGUGUCAUUGCAUCAUAACUCUGCAACAAAUGAUAAAAAGCAUAAAGUGAUUGGUGUAAAACAAUGUCAAAGGUAUAAUGAAGAUGGAUAUUAAAGUUUUUCUUCCGCACAUCCAUCUGUCUUAUCUCAGAAAAUGCUAGGGCGGCCUAAUACAUAGAUAUGAAUUCCCAAUAUACCCCUAUCAUAAAGUCGAUCCGCUGUUCAAGAGCUAAGUAAAUAAUAUAAUUAGGCUUCACAUAGUCAAUAUAUCCCUAUGAUUAAAGGUUGAUAAGCAAUUCAAGAGAUAAGUAAACAAUAUAAUUAGACUCUACAGAGUCCAACAAUUACUAUAUUUAUCCUAUAAGAGUAGCAAAAAUGGACAACAUCCAAUUCUCACUUGCAAAGAUUCAUAUGUUAAUAUAGACAGAAGCAUGUAUACUUACCCUGGAAAUGAAACAAUUGUCACCAUCACUAUUAUUAGAGGGUACAAAUCUGUCAUAAGUCUCGUAAAAAAAUCUCGUCAACUGGUCCAAGAAGGUCUACUCCAGGCUUCAGUUCAACUUUGGGGUUGUUUGUCUCCGUUUCUACUGAAACAAAGGCAAUAUAUUUUCCUUUUGGUGCAACAUUGUGUGCGUAAGAGCAAUAGACCAUAUACCUUUUGUAAAUAAACAAUUAUGUCUUUGAGGAUAUCUUGACUAAUUAUCUGAAAAUGAUCUCUUUUGUGGUCCAAAUGAAAAAUAUCUGCUCAAAUAUUAGAAAUAUUCAUCACGGUAGCAAUACAUAAUAACUUGCUACAAAUGUCUUGAGACAGACAGGCAUAGGAGGUCCACGUGAUGACACUGCAGAACACAAAUAAAUGCCCUUACUCUGGAUCAUCUUCAUCAAUUUAAAAUUUCUGCUUCACGCAUUUUAGUUUUUUUUUUUUAUUGUUUCUAUAGGUUUUUUAUGUACACUCCCCUCACAUGAGGGGAGGGGCCCAUGCCCAAUUAAUGCGCGAGUCCUAUCCCUUGUGAGGGGGCUGUACACAAAGCUAUAAAGCUCAGUGUACAUGUAGCACCCUCCAAUGAAUAUUAUUUUGUAUACAUCUUCACAAACAUGUAUCUAUGCUACUGUACAAAGAGCGUGGCCAUAGUAUAUGUAAGAAUUUUAAAAUGCACAUAUGAUAUAUACAUUCUUCAUAAUAAAAAGGGAAGAAAUGAUAUAUAAGGUAAUAAAAUGUGCACAUUAUUUAUCAUCAACCAAGCCUCAUCUAGUAUGCACAUAUCAGAAGGAAAUCCCCCCAAUGGUCACUGAAUCUUGCAAAAAAUCCCCUAGGUGGUCACCGAACUUCAAUACGUCACUAAAUAGUCACUAAACUUUUCCGAAGUCCCCCCAAGUGGUUACCGAACUUCAAAACGUCCCUGAAUGGUCACUAAACUUUGCAAAAAGUCCCUAGGAGGUCACUAAACUAGUAAUGUAUGGGGUCCCAAUUUACAACGUUGAGUGACCUCUCUGGAGGACUUCAUCAAAGUUCAGUGACAAUUUAAAGACGUUUUGAAGUUCAGUGACCUCUUGGGGGGAUUUCGAUAAAGUUCAGUGACUAUUUAGGGACGUGUUGAAGUUUGGUGACCUUCUAGGAGAUUUUCUGCAAAGUUCAGUGACCAUUAGGGGGAUUUCCUCCACAUAUCAACAUAUAACCGUACAUAUUACAAGUAGCACUAAAAGGUUCGGUUAUGUAUAUGUCUAACACUAAGACAAAAACUGGUAAAUAUUGUUGAGCGGAAGAUGAUGACCACCAAGGCUUGAACUGGGCUUAAUUUUUUCUGAAUCAAUUCUACAAGCAAAACAACCAUAAACUUCCUUCACAGCCUCUCCCACUUACAAUUGCUACAAUUACCCACUUAGAGAACCACAAAGGGGAAUGAAAUCACAAUGAGAACAACCACAGAGGUAGCAAAAUGAGUGAACAGAAUCGAGGCAGAGAGAUCACAAAAGAGACAGCUGGUUUUUCUUGCACAAAGAGAGAACGCGAAAAGGGAAAUAUAACCAAAACAAUGGGACAAUUAAGGUAAGUAGGGAUAGGGUAUGGUAAUGGGUCAAAAGGAGACCUAACACAUAGUUAAAUGGAUCGCUAAGUGUGUUACCCUAUAUUUAGCCAUCCAGGCAAGUGAGAUGGGCCAUGAGUGGCACUAAUUUAAAUUAGGCUGCUUCUAAUGGCCCAAAAAAAUGUUGGGGUUUGGUCAUUUCGUUUGAGGCAUCGGUAUAACGUUCAAUCAUUUGGUCAAUGUUGACUGAAAAAAUAAACUGAGAUCACAUGUUGUUUGACAAAAAUUAAGAAAUAUAAAGAAAUUGUGAUACCAUCUAGUUAGACAUAUGUACCAGUUAACCUUCAUUUUAUCACUUAACAAAUUACCAAAAAUUCACAUUUUAGCAUAAGAUUGUUGGAAAACAAGUUCAAUUAUCUUUGCAUUCUUAGUUGCCUCCACAAUCUAACAAAAAAGGCACUUUAACAAUUGACAACUUUUUAUUAUAGGGAACAUUCAUUGAUCAAGCAAUGACAGUCCUAGAAUAAAGGACUUAAAUUUACUUGGAAAUAGUAAUGUCUAAUGGACUAUUUUCUGGUUACUCCAUUUCAAUUAUUAUCAGACACAAAACGUUAUUUUACAAAAGAAGAAAAAGAAUAUACGGUUGGCCGACUAAUAGUCUAAGUGUCUAAUUGGAAAGUCAAGAGAUACCAAUAUUAACCAAGAUUCUAAAAAAUACAAUCAUAAACUGAAAAUAAAGUACAAGAAAUAAAAAUGAACACAAGGAUUUUUUAGGCCGAAGCCCCAAAGAUUCAGCAACCACUUCUAACUCCGAAUCCCCUAUUGAGCAUCCAUUAAAAUGGAUAAAGCUCGGUUGCACUAUAAAGCCCCAAAAUCAGGCACCAAAAAUUACAAGAAUGUUCUAGCAAUUACAAGAAAUAAAGUCACUAAGACUUAUCUAUAAAAUGAAGCACAAAUCAAGCCUCACUCCACUAAGGAAUCAAGAAACCCGGAUCAAACAGGUCAGAAAAACAAACUGCAUUCUUCAAACCACAAAAGAAUGAGUGCUAAUACACAGUUUAUCACUUUCUACCGAGAGACUAUACACAUAAUCACAAAGAUUUCACAAAAAAUUGAACUUCAAACAUGAAUCUCGCAGAUUCAUACACCAUACUGAAAAACCCAGUAUAUUAACACAAGUAAAUGGAGUAGAACUUCAUCAUCCCUCAAGUAUACACCUGAGAAUCACUCAAAAUUGGCUUGAAUAUGUGAAGAAGAGGGAUUUCAUCCAUAGAGAAGAAGAGAGAUGAAGAGGCGACCCCAAACCCUAGAGAAAAUCUCUCAAAUCUGAACAUGUAAGAAUAAAGUCUCUCUCUCCAAUCUGAAAAAUCACGUUCCUAGUAGAGAAUCACAAGAUUUCAUAAUUGGAAGUCUCUAGAAUCUGAUAAGAUGAUCAUCAUGAUGCCAGGUGUCGAAAUCUUGUUAAUUGCCACAACUAAUAGAGUUGUCAUUUUGAAAACACGUUUUUCUCCAAAGAUUUUUGGAAGCAUACUUGUCAAAAUAAAAAUCAGCAGUUUGAAUUCUCAACAAUCUCCACCUUACUUCCAAAAUUUAAGCCUAUAGUGCAACCAGGAGCUUCACCAACAUUCUAUUGUACCUGUACAAUCAAUGAAAAGAAUCUCAGUGAAAAGAAUCAAUAGAUAACAUCUUUAAACAAUUUUGAAACCAUUUUAAAGGUAUCACCUUAGUUCCCAUAUCGGAUGGAUUAUAUAAAGUAUGUAUUUUAUUAAUUUUUAGCAAACUUUUAGAAAUAAUAUCCCUUAUAAAAUGGUAUUUUACAUCAACAUGUUUUGUUCUAUCAUGAAACAUGGGAUUCUUACUCAAAUGGAUUGCAUUUUGAUUGUCAGAAUAUAGUGUUGGAUUAGUAUCUACAAAACCAAGUUCAUUCAACAAACCAUGAAGCCUUAUACCUUCUUUAAUGCCAUCAGUGACAGCAAUAUAUUCAGCCUCGGUGGAAGAUAAAGCAACAAUUUUUUGUAACUAAGAUUUUCAACUUAUCACAUUACCACACAAAGUGUAAAAAUAAGAUGAAGUUGAUUUUCUAUUGUCUCUAUUUCCACCAAAAUCAGAAUCUGUAUAACCCUUUAAAAUUACCCCCUCUUUGUCAUUUUAAACAUCAAACCCAAGUUGUAUGAACCCUUUAAAUAUCUCAAUAACCACUUCAAGGCUUCCCAAUGAGUUUUACCAGGAUUUCUCAUAAAUCUACUCAAAACACUAUUACUAGAAGUCAAAUCAGGUCUGGUACAAAUUAUUAAGUACAUGACUGAACCAAUAGCAUUAACAUAAGGUAUUUUAGACAUUCUCUCAAGUUCAUCUUCAGUUUUUGGACACGAAUCAGAUGUUAAAAUAAAGUGAUUGGCAAGGGGUAAAGUCAGAGGUUUACAAUCAAACAUAUUAAAUUUCUUAAGGAUCUUAUUCACAUACUCUUCUUGAUAUAUAAAAACAAGCAAUCAUAUUUUUCAUCUCUUAUAAUAUGCAUGCCAGGUAUUUUCUUAGCGGAACCAAGAUCCUUCAUAUCAGAUUCUGAAUUUAAUUUGUGUUUGAUAUCAUCAAUUUCGGAUUUAUUGACACUAUGCAUAUCAUCAACGUAAAGCACAAGAUAAAAAGAAUCUUUACCUUCAUUUCUUUUACAAUAAAGACAUGUAUCAUAAUUGCUUCUACUAAACCCAAGCUUCAAGAUAAAUGAAUCGAAUCUUUUAUACCAUUGUCUUGGAGCUUGUUUUAGGUCAUACAAAGAUUUUUUCAACAAGCACACUAUUUUUUCAUGAUUUCCUUUAAUAAAUCCUAAAGGUUGUUUCAUGUAGAUCACUUCAUCCAAUUCACCAUAUAAAAAUGUAAUUUUUGUAUCUAGUUGAUCAAGUUUCCACUUAAAUUGCACAACCAAAGCAAGAAUACAUCUUAUAGUUGUAUAUUUAACAACAGGGGAAAAAUCUCAUCAUAGUCCACACCCUCUUUUUGUGUGAAACCCUUUACAACAAGCCUAGCUUUGUAUCUAACAUUGUUAGUGCCACCUUCCCCUUCCUUUAUCUUAUAAAUCCACUUGCAAUCAACUAGCUUCUUAUCCUUAGGUCUAUCAACCAAUUUCCAAGUUUUAUUUUUGUAUAGAGAAGACAUCUCUUCUUCCAUAGCACUCAACCACCGCUUAGAAUCUUUAGAUUUUAAGGCUUCAUGAUAAAAACUAGGUUCAGUUUCAAAUUCAUCUUGAUAAGUGAACAAAGACACAAAGUUAUCACUAUUAAACCUAGCUGGUGGUCUAAUUUGUCUCCUAUCCCUGUCUCUAGUGAACUGGUAUUCAUCUAGAGGUGUGUUAUCAUCAUUAUACUACUCAGGUUCAGCCAAAUCAGGCUUGUUUUCACUCUGAUCAGCCUCAUAAGUUGCUAUUUCUAAGGGGACAAAAUUGAUAAUUUCGAUUUUAAUAGACUCCACCUCAACUUAGAUAUCAUUUUCAGUCAAAUUUCCCUCUUUCCCUUCCAAACAUGACAUACAUGACUCAUUAAAACCACAUCCCUUCUUAUAAUAACCUUGUAACCUUUUUCCCCAUAAACUCAAAGCCUAUAUCCUUUAACAUUUUUAGCAUAACCUAAAAACACACAUUUAAGGUAUCUAGGUUCAAGUUUUCCUAUGUUUUGAUGAGCAUAUGUAGCACAACCAAAUGUUUUCAAAUAAGAAUAGUUCACAGGCUUUUGUGUCCACACAGAUUCAAGCACAUCAAAAUUUAAAGCAAUUUUAAGACUUCUAUUAAUCAAAUAUGCAGCAGUUUUAACAGCUUCACCCCAAAAUAAUUUGGGCAAAUCGAAACUCAAAAGCAUGCAUCUAACUUUAUUCAACAAAGUCCUAUUCAUUCUUUCUGCAAUGCCAUUUUGCUGGGGUGUGUAGGUCACAGUUCUAUGUCUUAAAAUGCCAUUCAACUUGCAAAAUUCAUUAUACUGAUAAUCGCAAAAUUCUAGACCAGUGUCGGUUCUCAAAGUUUUGAUUUUCAAAUAAGUUUGAUUUUCAAUUUGGGUUUUCCAAUAUUUAAAUGUGGCAAAUGUUUCAUCUUUAGUUUUCAAAAGAAAUACCCAAAUUUUUCUAGAGAUAUAAUCAAUUAUAAACAAGUAAUACUUGUAACCAGACAAUGUAGGGAUGGAUGCAGGGCCCCACAAAUCAGAAUGUAAGUAUUCUGGAAUUCACUUUGAUUUAUGAGUACUAGCGGGAAAAGGUAACUUGCUUUCCAAUCAAACAUUGUUUACAUUUAGACAAAUCACCAAUAUUUGAUUUUCCAAAUACACCUUUAUUUUGUAAAGCCUUUAAACCUUUUUCACCAAUGUGACAAAGUCUACAAUGCCGCAAUUUUGCAAGAUUAAAGUUAUCAUCUAAAACUGCUGCUGAAAGGCCCAACAAAGGUUUUGCAUUUAAAAACUAUAAAUCAUGUCUCUUUGGAAUAGAAGUGAUCAAAUCACUACCCCUAAAGAUUAUAUGUCCUUGACUCAAUUUUAUGUCAAACUCUAUGUCAUCCAACAUUCCUAGAGACACAAGAUUUUUUUCUAAUUUAGGAACAAUCAUCUUUUAACAAUAAAAUUUUGUCAUUUUCAAAGAGCAAUUUUAUGGUUCCAAUACCUUUCACUUUACAGGUCAUGUUGUUUUCCAUAAUAACUUGGUCCCCUUUAGUUUGUUCAAAGUCCAAAAAUAGUUUUUAUUAGGGUACAUGUAGAAAGAGCAACUUGAAUCAAGAAUCCAUUCUUGAUUUAGGUUCCUUUCAACAUUUACAAGAAUCAGGCUGUUAUCAAAUUUUUGCUUAUCAUAGGACAAAAUAGCAUUAUCCUCGUUUAACUUCAUUCCUUUCAAAUCAUUUUGCUUUUUGUAGCAAUCUUUUGCAAAGUGACCCAACUUACCACAAUAAUAACAUUUCUUUCCCUUUGCCUUAGUUUUGGAUUUCAUUUUGUCAUUGUUUCUUCUCUUAGGGUCAGUUUGAAAUUUUGAAAGAAAAUUAGAUUUACCAACAUUUUUGCCUUUUAUCAAAAGAUUUUUUCCACUUUGUUGGUUGAUAAAAUCUGAUUUUAAUUCAGGAACCAUAUUUCUUAAGGAAUUUAUAAUGAUAUAUGUGGUAAGCUUGUCUUUACCAUAUUCUAAGGCAUUCUUUAGGUCUUUAUGCCUAUCACUAAUGGAGUUUAACAAGACCAUAGCCAGCUGAUCUUCUAAUAAUUUCUCAUCACAGUUGGCAAGGUCUUGGGUCAAUUUUGUAAAUCUGUCCAAGUUCUCAUCUAAGUCAACAGAAGGAUCCAUUUUGAAAGAAAAGAUUUGUUUUAGCAAAAAAAUUUGUUUGGAAUAGUUUUUGGCUCAUAUUGGGUUUUCAAUUUAGUCCACAAUUCUUCAACAGUUUUAAUUUCACCUAUAGACCUAAUCACAUUGUCUGAAAGGUACAAGAAAAUAGUAGUCCAUGCUAUUUCUUCUAACUCAGUUCUUUUUGUAGCAAACAUUUCAGUAGGCCAAGAAUUAUCUAAGGCUUUAGCAUAUUUCAUUUGCAUCAAGAUAACCAUCAUUUUCUGGCUCCACAUGUCCCCUGUCCCAUCAUACAUGCUCACUUCAAGCUUAGCAGUAGCCAUGACAAGAUUCACCAAGAUAGUUCACAUAACACAAGUUCAAAUUCAAGAACACACAGGGAUAAACAAUAAGAGUACUGGGUAGAAUAGGGGAUUUGGGGUCAGUGACCAAUGCACUUAUAUUAUUUUCACAAAAUAGUAAACACUUAACACUAAGUAUAGAAAGCAAAUUCCCAAAGAACAGAGAUGACAAUCCUAUGUCUCAACUAACUUCCCUAGCAAGACCUUCCAAUUGCACUCCUACUAGUGUUGUUAUCUUAGAUUCCCAAGACUUCUUGAGUCUUUGGACAAAGACCGGCCAUAGUAGGUUUUGUUAGUGAAAGGUAAAUCAAGGAAAAAAUUAGGAGACCCUACUGUAAAGAUUAAUUACAGAAUGAAGGAAAGAUCUCACCAAUGAGUUUGAUAAAACUCAAUUUCCACCAGCCAAUGUUUACUGCAGGUUUCAGGAAUCAGGUUUAAUCAAGAAAUCACAAAGCUCCAGUAGUCCAGGUUGCUCUAAUACCAUUGAACAGUUGAGAGAAACCAAUAUUAGCCAAGAUUCCAAAAACACUAUCAUAAAUUGAAAGUAAAGUGCAGGAAAUAAAAAUGAACACAAGAAUUUUUUCGACCGAAGCCCUAGAGGUUCGGCGACCACUUCUAAUGCCUAAUCCCUUGUUGAGCAUCUAUUAAAAUGGAUAAAUCUCGGUUGCACUAUAAAGCCCCAAAAUCAGGCACAAAAAAUUACAAGAAUGUUCCAGCAAUUACAAGAAAUAAAGUCACCAAGACUUAUCUUUAAAAUGAAGCACAAAUCAAGCCUCACUCCACUAAGGAAUCAAGAUACCCGGAUCACACAGGUCACAAAAACAAACUGCCCUCUUCGAACCAUAGACGAAUGAGUGCUAAUACACAGUGUAUCACUUUCUACUGAGAGACUAUACACAAAAUCACAAAGAUUUCAUAGAAAUUUUAACUUCCAACAUGAAUCUUGCAGAUUCAUACACCAUACCAAAAAACCCAGUGUAUUAACACAAGUAAAUGGAGUAGAACUUCAUCAUCCCUCAAGUAUACACCUGAGAAUCACUCAAAAUUGGCUUGAAUAUGUGAAGAAGAGGGAUUUCAUACACAAAGAAGAAGAGAGAUGAAGAGGCGACCCCAAACCCUAGAGAAAAUCUCUCAAAUCUGAAAAUGUAAGAAUAAAGUCUCUCUCUCCAAUCUGAAAAAUCAUGUUCCCAGUAGAGAGUCACAAGAUAUCAUAAUUGGAAGUCUCUAGAAUCUGAUCGGAUGGUCAUCAUGAUGCCAGGUGUCGAAAUCUUGCUAAUUGCCACAAGUAAUAGAUUGAAAACAAGUUUUCCCCACAGAUUUUUGGAAGCGCACUUGACAAAAUAAAAAUCAGCAGUUUGAAUUCUCGACACUAACUUUACGUGGAAGUGUUCAAAUAAUUUUGUUAAUCUUGAUUCAACAAAGAGAAAUUUCUUCCUUUCAUAACGGUGGUCUCAGAGAAAUUCAAAAUUUCCUUAAUGGGAUAAAAACUCUUUUGGUCACCAAACUUUAAUAUGUACUUCAGUCAUCGUAAUUAUUUUAGCAUAAAUGGUCAGUGAACUUAUAAAGUUGUUCCAAUUAAGUCACUGGCUAUGAAUCCACUAGUUAAAUAUAACACAUUUGGGGAUGUGCCUACAAAUUCGAUCUCGCUACAGUGAUAUUAAAUUUGACAGUUUUUUUUACAAUGUGUGAAGUGGCACACUUUUUUACCCUUGAUUUCAACAACACUUAAAAUAAUUCGUGGCACAUAUUUUUACGUCUUAUAAAAUGUCAACCUUAAUGUAUACAUAGAAUGUACUAAUAGCAUUUUCCCUACAAAUUAUUGCAAGAAUUAUGUGACAAAAGAAAUGACAAUAAACUCAAGUCAAAUUAAUGUCCACUUCAAUAAUAAGUGUCUGAGUUUAAACAUUUAAAUGAGUGCUAUGGAAUCAAAAUCACAUGUGAUGCAAUACAUAUUUGUAAUGUUGUUUUGCUCAUUGGACUGUUUUCAUCCGAAAUAGACACAAAAUUCCUUGAAAAAUUACUUCUUUAAAUCCUAGUCUAAUGAGCGAAACACAACGGCUUUGCCCCCGAUGUACGGUCCAUUUUAGUCAAAUUUCAUCGUUUAGGGUUUCGAAAAUGAUUUUCACGUUUUUUAAAUGAUUUUGUUAAUUUUAAUUAAAUUAGGAGUUUAAUUCCAUUUAGGAUUAUAUUAUCUUUAAUUCUUAUCAUUAUCUGAAGUAAGUCGUUAUCUAGAAGUUUAGUUAUUAUCCAUAUUUUAAUUAUUGCUUUAAAUAUAAGUUGGAAUCCUUAAUGGUCUUAAUUGAAUUUAAUUAUAAUAAAGAGAUUUGAGAAGUUUCUCAAAAUUAUUCCAUCUUUCUUGGCAUUUGUGAGCGAAUCAACAAGUUUAAAUAUUUGCGAGUUUUUGUUCUUCCCUAUAAGCUUCCGCUACGUCAACAUGUCAAACACUAGCUUAUUAAUGCCAUCUCAUAAUUCUUAUAACUACCGUCAAUGACAUAAACAACAACACCUAAACAAAACCGUAAACUUUAGUAAUUGAUAUGGAAGGAUUGUCUUAACUGAAAUAUCUUUGUAAGUUUGCCGACAAUCUGUGCUAAAAGGGAGUUACAAAAAUGUCACAUUUUGAGAGUUUGAUGACCAGAAAAGUUUGUUAACCCGUUCAGAAAUUAUAUAAAUAUAAAAAUGAUGAAUACUAACUUCACGUAUCAAUGUUACAUAUUAGUCAUUCUCAUCCAAGGCACAUGAGAGCGUAGUUGAGAUUGAAGACCAAGAGUUGAGGCAUCACAUGGAAUUGACCCAUAAUCUCCAUUGCCUCCUCCUCCUCAUCCUUCCAAUUGUCUCCCAUGUCUAUCCCCUCUCUAUUUCUUGAUAUCGCUUUUUUGUGACAUUAUUUUGUAUUUAAGAUCUGUUUGCCAAGCUAAAUGGUUAAUCUCCUUUUACAAGAUAAAUAAAGUUAUAAAAUUUGAGAAAUUGUCGCAAAUGGUCAGUAACUAUAAUCUACCGUGUGGAAAUGGUUUAUAACAUGUUUCUUGGCACAAGCGUCACCAACCAAUGUGUUUUAGUGCUAUUUUGGUCCUUUUUAUGAAAAAGACCAAAAUGCUCUUAAAUUUUUGUUAGAAAAAAUUGCAGUUGGGUUCCUAAACUUUGCAAAAAGGUGCAAAUGGCUACUUUACCGUAUCUUCUUAUAAAAUAAAUUGAAGGAAACUAACAAGAUCAUUUUUGUUCCGAUUUAAAACUUUAUUGAUCAAAUUGAUUAUAUGCGUGAACAUUUUUUAUUUUUUAUUUUUUUGUGUAUAUUUUACAAAACUAUUAUGAACUAAUUUAAGUUUAAACUUGUACUUAAUUAACUAUAGCAUGUUAAAGAAAAUUAUUCGUUGUAUUAUUUAGUAAUUACGCUGUUUUAGAAUUUAAACUUUUAUUUAAUAUUUAUAACAAAAAGAUAAUAGAAAACACCUUUUUAUCACGAAGACAAAUCCGUGAGUAUUAAGCGGGUAGAUGCUCUCAAAAUAAAGCAGUAGGCUUGGAUACAACGGUUGGGUGAUUAUAAAAAAUAGACUUGUGUUAUAUCACCAAAUUACAAGGUAGUGAACUACAUGUUCAAAUAAAUGAAUUUCGUAUCUUAACAUUUAAUCUAGCCAAUGAUUAAAUGUUAUUUAUUGUCAUGUGUACAAGUUAAUUAACAUCAAUAUUGUUACACAUAAUUAUUCUUUCAAAUUAGGCGAACCUGUUUUUAGCAAUUUUUAGACUUUAUUUAUUAUUUUUGUUGAAGGGUCAAAUAACUGGAGUCAUGGUUAUAUUGUUUGCUAUUUAUUUGGCAUUAUUACAUAAAUUAGUGGGUUAGUGCAAUUAGUGGAAAUUAUCUUAUAUAUUUUAUCUAUAUCUAUAUUUAAAGACAAUUAAUUAUUUUUGACAGGGUAGGGUUUGUAUUUGAAAGUCCAUUGGUUCCUCGAAUUCAGUAUAUAUUAAGAGGUGUAUAUUAAAAGGUCUGAAUUCGCAAUUUUUUCGUAACAAACAUGGAUUACAAGUUAUGUUUGGCCACGACAUCAUAAUUAAUAUACAGAGUGCAACUUGCAAGUGUGGAAACAACAUUCCUACCACAAAUGAAUUUCGAACUCUACUUGAGGGGAAUGGGCUCAAAUAGUAAAGCUAAAAUGCGAUCUUUAGUUUCAUGAUUUUGAAUUCCAUGUCCAUCUCCAUACUGGUACAUGUAUUGUGCCAUUCGAGCAAGAUUCACUACAAUUUCAAUGAAUGUUUGUGAGAAUGGACAAUUUGCACCUCGACCUUUGUUAAUCUUUUUCCAGGUCUCGCAUAUCAAAAACCUUAUGUGUUUGCGGGACUCAUCUUCAGAAGCACCAGUUUCGUUCAUGUAACAUUGUAUUGAUUUAGGAACAUCAUUCAUCCUGAAUUAAUAAAGCAUAAAAAACACCUUUAGUUGAAAGGGUUAAUUUCGAAUUCCUAUUGUCUCAUUGAUUUCAUUAACCAAAUAUGUUUAAACAUGAAAUGAAAUGGCUUGCUGCAUACAUACCGAUGAUGUUGCUAAAUCAUCUGCAAGCCUUAAAAUCGUAGCCGACCAACGAACUGUAUCAGGAUAUUUCUCUAAGCACUGAAUGGCUUCUUUCUCUAUUGGAUUGAUAACAGAGAAAAAAGUAUGUGACAAUAUUACAUGAGCUGAUAUUGAAAUCAAUGCAUUUUCCAUAUACUCUUCCAUUGUUGGGGUGUAUCCAGUCAAGCACCAUUUUGCCUCUUGUAAGUAUGCUUUGCAUAAAUCUGUCCACUGUGACAUUGAUUUGACAUGCUUAUUGUAAGUAUCUUAGAUCGGAAAAUUUUAAGGAUAUUUAAAACAUAUAGAGAAAUUUCUGUUGGUUGUAGUAAAGGAUAAAAUAUGAGAUCCCUUUGUAUAGAAACAAUACUCAAUAUAAGGGCUCGUGCAAUUGUGCUACUCCUCUUAACUUUGUUAAUAUUUUAAGAUAGAAGUCUAUGACCUAGAAGGCGUAUCAUACAAGAUUUGACAAUAAAAUGAACAAGAUUUUCUUUUUCUUCUUUAAUAUUAUUUGAUGUUAUCUAGUGCGUGUUUGAGCCACAAAAUUUUGAAAGAAUGUGUGGUUAAAAAAUAAGAAAACGUUUUAGAUUUAUGUGUAAUAUUAUUUUAUUGAAAAAUAUGUAGUUGAAAUGAUGUUAAAUUACUUUUAGGAAUAUAUAUAUAAAUUUUUUUUUUUGAAAGAAUGCGAUUCAAACAGACCUGAUAUUCAUCAUAAUACACAUGCUAAUAAGGAUAUAUUCUUGAAGGAAACUAAUAGUACCACUUUUCUUAAAUAUGGAAUAAUUACGAUCCCUUUUUCUCUGAGAACAUCGUAAGCCAUUUCAUUGAUGAAGUUGUUGAGUGCUAGAUAGAAAAUUUGCAUGUAAUCUGGAAGUUGCUCAAUUGCACUGACAUCCCAUCUGUAAAGUUCCAAGAAGAAAUAAUUGUAAGAGCUACAAAGAGAAAGGAGGCUUGGAAAGAAACAUUAGGAGGACGUUGCUAACCUUUCAAUGAUGUAUGUAAAAAGUUCCAGUUCUUCAAACGUUCCAUACACAUCAUAUAUAUCAUCCAUAAUUGUAAUAAAAACAUUUACUUUGGUUGCAUCUAUUCGUGAAAAUCCAUAUUGUGGUUCAAAUAGCACUCCUAUAUUCCAAAAGAAACAUUCCACCAGCCUAUCCCUGGCAAAUGGCAACAUCUUGGCAAGGCAUGUUCUCUCCCACCACCUAUUCACAUACAGAAACAAAGGAUGGUAAGGUUAGGAGCAUAAAGUAUGAUAUAUUUAGCACAUUCGGCAAUACCUGGAGACAUAUUUUAGUUCCUCAAGAUAUGUUGCUUGAACAAUGUUGAAAUCCAGUUUUGCAAGUUGGACAAGAAUUGGAUUCUUGUCUGGUCUAUUCUCAUAUUUUUUAAUGAACCGCCUGUUGAAUGAAUUAAAUAAAUGUGUACUCUCCUAAUAGAUUAAACUUUUAGACGAAAUAGUUCAACACUACCUUACUUCAGCCCGAGGUAUGGUCCAGUGCAGUGGAAUCUCCAAGGCAUGGUGCACCAAUGGAUCACAAUGAAUGCCGUCAACACUUUUAUCUUCGAGAUGUUUGAUAAUGAAUUCUCUUGCCAUUUCCAGAGUACUCUCACCUUCUAUUGACAAGAAAGAAGCUUCAUACAGUUGUAGUAAUCCCUUUGUAUCAUUACAUAACCUUGGCUUGAAAUCGCCCUUCUCAUUCUUUAAACAAUCAAAUCUUUCUACAAUCAGCCAAGCUUUGGCAUGUUAAGCGAAAAAAGUAUGCAAAAAAUAAAACCUUAAUUUCUACUUAGGAGAGCAAUAAUAAACAAAGAAAUACUAAGAUCUUUUGUGUAGUGGAUUAUCAGGGAAAUCUAAUACAUGUAGGAAAUAUACAAUAUACCCCUGAAAAAAUAUUACAUCUGUGCUCGAUUCUAUAAGUGUGCAUUAUGAGUAGGCUUCAAGGAAUCUGACAAUAAGAAAUCAUAAAUCAACAGAAUAAAUAAAGGAUUCUAAGUUGUUUUUUGCGCACCUUGAGAGACAUUAAAGCCAUGUUGUCUUAGUAGUCUAAAUUCCAAAGCUGUAGCAUACAAAUCCUUAAUCUUUGGCUCUUUGCUUUUGCUAUAUUUUCGGUUUAUGAAAGCCAAUAUUUGCUCAACUUCAUCCUCAAAAUGGUAAGAUAUUCCCAGCCUCUCCAAGUUAUCAAUUAAUUCCAACUGAUCCAGUGGUUCCAUCGUUUCAUCAAGCAUCAUCUUCACUUGCAUCUUCAUCUCAGAAGCCCUUGUUUUGUAUCUCUCUUCCUACAUUAUGCAUAUCAUUUUUUGUCAGUCCUUAUAAUAAAUAUAUAUAGAAAAAAAUUCUACAGAUGACGAUAAUUACCGUGUAUUCACUAUUUAAGGACUGAAUAUAAUCGAAUUCCCAUAUAUAGGGGGCUUGUAUUUUCCUGAUCGCCUAAUCACGGUCUGAUUGUAAGACGUAGAGGCAAGAAUUCGAUAUUGUUUAGCAUUAGAAGCAAGGCUAUCAGUAGUUGUACCCAAAGCAAAACAGAUCUCCAUUUUUGGAAGCUCCGUUUUGAACGAGCAAACAGAAAUUGGCCUCAGAAUUUGCAUGUUGAUAACCUCUCUCUCUCUCUCUCUCUCUCUCUCUCUCUCUCUAUAUAUAUAUAUAUAUAUAGAGAGAGAGAGAGAGAGAGAGAGAGAUGAUCUAUCAAACGGACAAAAUGUAACCCUGUGGCGCUUUAGUAUUUUUCACAUGGAAUAAUACGAAGUUACCGUGUUAAGUGUUAAAAUUGGCACCGAUUUGCAGUACGGACAGGAGACCAAACAGGGGAGAUGGAUGAGUAUUUUUUUUGGCAAUACUCUACUCACAUAGGCCCUCCCCAUGUGAGUAAUUUGCUGUGCACGAAGCAAAAUGCACAUUUCACGUGAUUGCAUUCUCUUCGAUUUUCAACAUUUUUGAACCGAAAAUCAAUGUACUUAUCAAACACAAAUCAUUACUUACUGUAUAGAUAAGAAUUUGGCGAGUUAGAUUGAUUCUGAGUCCACAUAUCAUUACUUACUUUUCUUUCUAAAAACACAAAUUUCUAACCAGCUUUGAAUGACGGAGACCCAACACGUGAGUGAUUCACUUCUCAUUGCUCUCCUAUGAAACAAGAUAAAGCAGGGAAACACUAUAUUAUAAUUGAAUGACAUUAUUUGAAUAUGAACAAUUAGAUUUUAUUAAUAAAGAUGAAUUAUGUGUGACAAAUGUUAUUAAUCAUCACAAGGAAAUGAUACUUGUACAAAUGAUCCUUUAAGAGCAUAAGUUUAUUUCUAUUAAAGUAUAUAUACUAUUAAUUGCAAGAUGGAUGGAAACCAUUGAAAAUGACCUCUAUUUUAUUUUUUUUACGUAACAUCAAUAUGUUGAGGGGGUCAAUGCAACGAUUGUAGUAUUAGGGACCAUUUCCACACAAGGGCCUUACAUUAAGGACCAUCUAUAUCAAUUUCCUUGUUAAUUAAUACUCCACCUUUGUGUUCGCUUGAAUAAAAAAAAAAAAAAAAGUUUUAUUGUGGAAAUGCUUCAACGUAUGGAUCUAUUGAUACCCUUACCUUUUUAAAUUGGUGGAAACCCCCCGUAUGAACUUUGAAGUGCGGAACCCAUUGUCUUUCAUUUUCUCAUAAAUCCCUAUGAAAUGACGAUUUGGGAAAAAAUAGUAGAGAAGACAGUUUGGUAUGUUAAAUUAGAUGUAAUAUAAAUGUGGAGAAACCCAACUAUAUGGUUUGUGAUCUGAAAUGAAGGUUAUUAUGCACAUAAAAACUGCAAAGAUUCAAUCAACAACACACGAUGAGUGGAGGCAUGACGAUAUUGCUAGAAUAUGACCCAAAUUUCUAUUGGGAUUAGGAUUGGGUUGGUAAAUUGAUAAAAGGAGUCUUCUUAGUUUGGAAGUUCGAUUGAAAAAGAGGAUUAAAGUUCAUCAAUGAUUGAAAUUUUGAUUGGUAAAAGAAUUUUGUAAAAUUGAAGACUUGAUUUUGAAAUUUUGGUGGAUAAAAAAUCGUCACAAUUUCGCUAACUGGCAGCUAACUUUGGUGUUCAAGCAUUAGAGGUGAAAAUCGGAGUAGAGAGAUGUUGCGUUGCCUGCUUAGCGUCGCCUGGCACUGGAGUGACAAUGUUAUUCGGACAGGAAUCAUUUUUUUAUUUUGACUACUUUCUUGAGUCGUAUAUCAUCCAACAUACUAGUAAUGGAUUCUAUAUAUAAAUAAAUAAAUAAAUAAAUAAAUAAAUAAAUAUAUAUAUAUAUAUUCCACGUGAUAUAGGCUCUUAAAAGGAUAAAUUAACAAUAAAAUCAUAGUUAUAUAGAUUAAAAACUUGAGAUGGUUAUUUAAAUUUAGAUUGAGUGUAUCAAAUCUCGUAAGGCAAUUUUAGUUUCUUGAUAUAUUUAAAUUCUUCUCUUCUUUCAUAUAAAUCUUGUGUUCUUAUGUGAUCCAUUAUUUUUCAUAUUGCUCUUAUUUUCUCGUCUUUAUUAUUUGCCCGAUUUAUCUUUACAAUUCCAUACGAUUCAUCAAGAACUAUGUAUUGAAAAUAGAAGAUGCGAGUCAGCUGGAAGAAGAAGUUUAGCUGAAGCAUUGUCAUAAUCAGCAAGAAAUAGGCCAGGUUGGAUUAAUGACAGGACAGAUGACAAAGCAACAACAGAAGAAUGAUCUAGAAGAGGAUUAGUUAGAUUUUGUUAUUGUACAGCAAAAGAAAAAUCUAGAAGAAUAAUUACCUAUUUUUUUGUGUAAGUUAGUUAGAAAAGAUUCCUUCAUUUUGGAAGGGGCCCUAUUGUACAUAACACAUGGUGAAUUGAAUACAAUUUCAUUCUUCUCCUUGUUCAUCAAUAUCAGAAAUUUUAUCUUUUAAAAUCUAACAUGGUAUCAGAGUUAGAAAUGGAGGAAUCCAAUUCAGAAAACACAAAUCCCACCCCAAAAACAAACACUAGUCCAAGCCAAAUCCAAAACCAAACUAGAGGAGGGAACUCAGGUGUCCUUUCUCUUGAUCCAACUCAUCCUAGCGACCCUUAUUAUAUAGGUAGCAAUGAUGGAAGUACUGUCAUGCUGGUCACCCAUGCCUUGUGCUCUAGUAAUUAUUAUUCCUAGGCUCGAUCAAUGAGAAGAGUAUUGAAAAUAAAAAAUAAGCUGGGGUUCAUAGAUGGUAGUCUUUGUGAACGAAAAAAUCUAAAUAAUCCAUUAAUGGAACAUUGGUUAAGGUGCAAUGACAUUGUCAUAAUGUGGUUACAGAAUGCCAUGGCAAUUGAUAUUGAGAGUGGUCUCAUGAAACAGCUUACCUUUUCUGGCUUGACCUUGAACAACGCUUCUCCCAGCAAAAUGCUCCAUGCAUCCUUGAAGUAAAGAAGGAUAUCACAACCUUGAUAGAAAAUCAAGACUCGGUGAGUGUUUACUUCUCAAGACUCAAAACUCUCUUAGAUGAACUGUUGAAUUAUGAAAGUAUUCCCAAUUGCACAUGUGGAGAUCUAAAAAUUGUCAUUCAAAAUCAAUAAAGGGAUUGGGUUAUGAAAUUCUUGAUGGGGCUAAAUGAUUCUUACAAAGAGAUUAAGGUCCAGAUCUUAUUGAUUAAGCCAUUUUCCAGCCUGAAUGAGGUAUAUUCAUUGAUCCAGCAAGAGGAUAAGAGGCAGGAGAUAUCUAAUCUAGUUCCUAUUAAUUCUGAUUCAUGAUUUUUCUGAGCAAAAGGGGUUCUAGAGAAGGAGGAAACCAACAUUUUUCAUCACAGAAGGGGGACAAAUAUUAUUGCACUCAUUGCAAAGUUGUAGGCCAUUCCCUUGAAUGAUGCUUCAAAGCAAAUCCAAGCAGGCCAAUCUGCUCUUUACUAUAAGACGCCAAGACACGAAGUGAACAAAUGUUUUAAACUCCAUGGAUUCCCACCAGGCUACAAGUUGAACGGCAGAGGAAAGCAUGCUGCCAACGUGGUCUCUACCGGCAUGAUACACAAUCAAGAAGUGGUAAAGGAUGAGGGCAAAAUAUCCUUAAGUCCAGAGCAAUACUCUUAGUUGAUGGCACUACUCAAACCAGCAACAGGCACUCAUCACUCCACCCUUUCAUCAAACUGUUAGGCAAUUUGUUGUCAAACGACCUCCUCGGGCGAUGAUGUAACCUCGGUUUUAUUAUCAAUCGGCCUUGGCCAUAUGAUUGACUAGUACAUCGACAUAAUUAUCGAGACAACACAAUCCACAUUUUUAUGGACCGUUCGAAGCAACCUAUUUUAAAUAGUGUUGCUCACGGUUCGCCCCAUUUCCUUGGAAGGCUAUAUUAUUAUUUUUGAAGCCCACUUUAAUUAAGUCGAGCCUUGUUUUGGUCCACAAUUUAACCCUAACCUAACUUACCUAUUUUGGACAUUUACUUGGCAUAUAAUCUCACCUUCCUCUCGGCCUCCAUGUUGUGUGCCUAUUUUUCCCUUCUCUUUGUGAGACUCUCGUCUCGACUUCUUGCUUUACUUCACUGUGACCUUUGUGGUUAAUUCUUUGUGGGCACAUCAUUGGACUUUACUUUCCAACCUAUAGCAACCGGAGUGGGGCAGCAGUGGUGGUGGUUCUUGGAGUUGUCUCAACCUUUGUGGUGUCGAUGAAUUGGUAAACUGAGCCCAGUUUUGAACUUGGAGUUCGGUGGAAAUCAACUCUACAUCUGGUAUCAAAGCCGGAGUAACCUUUCCAGCCAAAAAAUCACCAAAAAUCGACGGCCAAUCCAGUCACUUUCCAGCGAAACCGAUCCCACAUUCAGAACCAGCAGGCUGAGGCGCCCCUUCGUGUGUGGCGCGUGGCGGCGACAGUGACCGACGACGGCGGUGCAUGGGACUCCGGCAGCCGCGCGUGGCGGUGAUUCCGGGCGAACUUCCUUCGAGCAGUUUGCUCAUUUAAUCCCCUGAACGUAUUGACACUGUUUAUUUUCUGUUUCAAGUUACACAGGAAAAAGUUGGACAAUUUUGCCCUCGGUGGAUUGACGGUUGAAAUUGCAUAUAUCUACUAAAUUACUUUAGGCCAAGAUUGCGGCCCUAAAGCAAUGGAUUCGCAUCUCUCUCGAUUAUACGGACUCAAAGACGUUCACUCUAGUAAAUUGGCUUAACCCGUUAAUUUUUUCAACAUUAAUGCGUCACCGUGUGGGGAUGACAAUAGGUUGGGGUUGUCAUUGCUUGGCAACCAUUGCUUGUACUAGAAUUAGGGUUACAUGCUCUUGAUUGAUCUUUUUGAUUGAGUAUUUAUUUUUUCGGUGAAAAUCAGUUUUGUAAUUCUAAGUAAUCUAAUUACUGUGGGACUAGUUAUCUGCUAGACGUAUUUUUUGCUGCAUUGUUAUUUUCGCUGCUUACUUAUUCCGUUAGAAAUACCGUGACCUUGCCUGUUUGAACAUUCCCUUGAUCUAAGACCGCGAGUCUUACGAAAUUCUGGGAAUCUAGAACGGUGUAUAUUGUCUGUGACCCUAGGACUACUUUGUGUGGUUUGAUUGUGGUUUGUGCAUUUUUGACUAUUGUGUGAAGAUGACAACUCAUAGUUUUGAUUUGAGAAUUUUUAAUGGAAAGGGUGACUUUGCUAUUUGGCAACAAAAAAUUAAGGGUAUUUUAGUCCAACAAAAGGUUUCAAAAGCCAUUGAAGGCAAUUUUUCAACUGAUUUUUCACAAGAACAAAGAGAAGAAGCCGAUGAGCUUGCUUAUACCUCAAUUAUUUUACACUUGUCUGAUGCCAUUUUAAGAAAGGUGGGUAAAUUGAAAACCACUAAAGAGCUUUGGAAGAAAUUAGAAGACUUGUAUUUGCUUAAGUCUACACUGAAUAAACUUUACCUGCUUGAACGUUUUUUCAGUUUCAAAAUGGAUUCUUCAAAAGAUCUUGAUGACAAUCUAGACGUGUUUAACAAAUUGGUGCAAGACAUAGUUAAUUGUGAUGAGACUGUGUCCGAAACUUAUAAGGCUAUAAUUUUGCUCAAUGCAAUCCCUGAUUCCUAUAAGGAAGUUAAGAACGCCAUUAAGUAUGGUAGAGACACGUUAACACCUGAAAUUGUCAUAGAUUCCCUUAGAAGUAAAGAAAUGGAAAUUAGGGCUAAAAAACAUGAUAAGAGGAACGGUGAGGUACAUAUGAUGCGGGGUAGAACUCAAUUUAGGCAAAAUAGUCAUGAGGGAUAUCAAACUAGUGGCGAGUCAAGUGGUAAUGGAUGGAAAAAGAAGAGCAAAAGUAGGUCUAGAUCAAAAUCUAGGACUAAGGCGAGAAAAUGCUAAGGUUGUGGAAACACAGGGCAUUUUAUAGAAGAUUAUCAUAAGGAGAAGGGUAAGGUAAAGGCUAAGGAGGGAGAUGAGGUAAAUGUGUUAGCAUCUAAUUCCGAUAUAAAUGGUGGUGAGGUCUAUAUGAUUACAAGUCCAGUUGCAUACACUGUUGAAUUAAGUCUAAUUGUUAAUUCCCGCAUCCAUGAGUGGAUACUUAAUUCUGGUGCAUAUUUUCAUGUGACGUUUGAAAAGAAUUGGUUUUAUAAGUUGCAUGAAUCUAACGUUGGACAUGUUGUACUGUGUGAUAACUCUGCCUAUACUAUUGCUGGAAUUGGUGACAUAAACGUAAAAUUUGACAUAGAUUUUGUGUAUAUGUUAAAGGAUACUAGAUAUAUUCCUGAAUUAUCUAGGAAUCUGAUUUCAGUAGGGAGACUUGAGAAGGAUGACUUUACUGGUAAAAUUGGAAAUGGUAUGCUAAAAAUGAUCAAGGGUGCUUUAGUUUCCAUUAAGGGAAUUAAGAAAAUGAUAUAUACAUUACUACUGGGGAAGUGAUCAGAGGUGUGAAUUCCUCUAUCUCCUCUGCAAAGAUUGAUCACACACACACAUGGCAUAAUAGACUUGCUCACGUAGGGGUCAAGGGACUUAAGCUACUUAAUGAAAAGGGUGCUUUUGGUAAUGACCGUGUGUCAGAUUUGCCAUUUUGUGAUCAUUGUGUGCUUGGUAAGCAUCACAAAGCUUCUUUCUCCACGAGUGUUAAUAGAGCUAAAGGCAUGCUCGAAUAUAUGCACUCUGAUCUAUGGGGUCCUGCUAGUAACCCUACAUCGGGUGGUAAUAGGUAUUUCCUGUCUAUUAUUGAUUACACUAGGAAAGUGUGGGUCUAUCUUUUGAAGGAUAAAUCUGAGACCUUCAAUAGUUUUAAUAAUUGGAAGAGACAAGUGGAAAACCAAACUGGCAAGAAAAUCAAAUUUUUAAGGACAGAUAACGGCCUAGAAUUCUGCAAUAAAGAAUUUGAUAGUAUGUGUAAAGAAAGCGGCAUAACUAGACAUAAGACCGUUCCCUACACCCCUCAACAAAAUGGGGUAGCAGAAAGGAUGAAUAGAACCAUAAUUGAUAAAGUACGUUGCAUGAUAAUUAGUUCAGGUGUUCCCAAGUCGUUUUGGGGUGAGGCUGUUAUGACCGCUUGUUAUUUGAUUAAUCUGACUCCUUCUGUUGCAUUGAAUGGUGACACUCCGCAUGAGAGAUGGUCGGGUAAACUGAGUGAUUACUCGAUACUUAGAACUUUUGGCUGUACAGCUUUUUCUCAUCAAAGUGAGGGUAAGCUGGAACCUAGAGCUAGGAAGUGUGUUUUCCUAGGAUACCCCGAGGGUGUUAAAGGUUAUAGGUUAUGGGAUAAAAGCCAAAAAGGGGUUAAAAUCAUCAUAAGUACAGAUGUCACGUUUAACGAAAAUGAGAUGUCGUGUAUUAAAGGGAAAACUGAACCUGAGAGUGAAAUAGAAUCAGGUGAAGAGAGAGUCCAGUUUAAGGUGGAGUUAGAAAAACUCAGUCCACCUGUCCCUACUAUUUCAAAUGAGGUGGAGACUCAAACUCAGGAACCCAAAGUGGAGAAUAGUAACGAAAUAGUGACAGAAGAACACUAUGAGGAAGAAAAUCAUUUAGCUAACUAUAACUUAGUUAGGGAUAGAGAGAGGAGACAGACGAGAGAACCAAGAAGGUUUGGUUUUGAAUCUGAAUUAGCUUCUGCCCAGGCUAGUUAUGAAGAACUAGCUGAUAAAGAGCCAAAGACCUUUGAAGAAGCAAUAGGCAGUGAUCAAUCUAAUGAAUGGCUUAAGACAAUGAAAGAAGAGAUGAGUUCUCUAGAAAAGAAUCAUACUUGGGAGUUAGUACCUAGGCCUAAGAAUAAAUCAAUUGUUGAUUGCAAAUGGGUUUUUAAGGUUAAGGAAAGAACUAGCAACUUGGAACCCCUAAGGUUUAAAGCUAGGUUGGUGGCUAAAGGCUACACACAAAAGGAGGGCGUUGAUUAUAAUGAUAUUUUCUCACCAGUUGUUAAGUACACCACUAUUACGGUCAUGCUCGCAUUAGUUACACAUUUUGACUGGGAACAUAAACAACUUGAUGUAAAAACUGCUUUCUUACAUGGUGAGCUUGAUGAACAAAUUUUCAUGAAUCAACCUAAAGAUUUUAAGGAUAAGUCAAAACCUGAUUAUGUGUUUUUUUAGAAGAUCCUUGUAUGGGUUAAAACAAUCUCCUAGACAGUGGUACAAGAGGUUUGAUUCCUUUGUACUCACUAUAGGGUUCCAAAGAAGUAAAUUUGAUCACUGCUUGUAUUUUCAACAUAAUGAGAUUGAUGAUAAUCAUCUAUUUUUGUUGCUCUAUGUGGACGACAUGCUUUUGAUUGGAUCAUCCUCUAAGUGGAUAAAUAACAUAAAAGCAAAACUAAGUGGUGAAUUUGACAUGAAAGACCUAGGUAAGGCUAAGAGAAUCUUAGGUAUUGAAAUUGAAAGAGAUAGGUUAAAUUCUAUUUUGUUUUUGCAUCAGUCUCCAUACAUAUCCAAAGUACUGAAGAAAUUUAAUAUGAGUGACUGCAAACCUAUCACGUUGCCUCUUGCUAAUCAUUUUGUUUUAUCGAAGGAACAAUCUCCUUGCAAUGAGCGUGAAGUUGAAUACAUGAGUAGAGUACCUUACUCUAAUGUGAUUGGUUCCAUAAUGUAUUUGAUGGUUUGCACUAGACCUGAUUUAGGUUUUGCUGUUAGUACCCUCAGUAGAUAUAUGGCUAAUCCAGGCCCUGAACAUUGGGAAGCACUAAAGUGGCUGUUAAAGUACUUGAAGGGUACUAGUAACGUAGGCUUAAAGUUUAGUGCUAAUAAAGAAGGUACAAAAUUAAAGGGUUUUGUAGAUGCUGACUAUGCGGGAGAUAGGGAUGGUAGGAAAUUUACUUCAUCUUACGUGUUUGCCUUAUCUAAUUCAUGUGUAAGUUAAAAAUCACAGUUACAACAUAUUGUUGCACUAUCCACUAUAGAAUCAGAAUAUAUUGCUACCACUGAAGCUAUUAAAGAAGCUCUAUGGCUUAGAGGUCUACUUCAUGAACUGUGUGUCUUAAAUGAUUAUGUGAUAGUGUAUUCUGAUAGUCAGUCAUCUAUACAUUUAUGUAAGAAUCCUGUUUUUCAUGACCGCACUAAACACAUUGAUGUUAGACUCCACUUCAUUAGAGAUAUAGUACCUCAAGAGGUGGUAAGACUUGAGAAAGUCCAUACCCACUACAACCCAUCUGAUAUGGCGACGAAGGUAUUACCACUGGCAAAGUUUAGGAGUUGCAAGGAACUUCUAAACAUUGGUACAGGUAAAUGAUUUCCAAUUUUAUUGGUUUUCUAUUAGAGGUGUCACUAAUGGUAGACAAUUUUCUUUUGCAGGUCCUUUGACACCAAGGUGAAGGUUGUUAGGCAAUUUGUUGUCAAAUGACCUCCCCAGGCGAUGAUGUAACCUCGAUUUUAUUAUCAAUCGGCCUUGGCCAUAUGAUUGACUAGUACAUCGACACUAUCGAGACAACACAAUCCACAUUUUUAUGGACCGUUCGAAGCAACCUAUUUUAAAUAGUGUUGCUUACGGUUCGCCCCAUUUUCUUGGAAGGCUAUAUUAUUAUUUUUGAAGCCCACUUUAAUUGAGUCGAGCCUUGUUUUGGUCCACAAUUUAACCCUAACCUAACUUACCUAUUUUGGACAUUUACUUCACAUAUAAUCCCACAUUCCUCUCGGCCUCCAUGGUGUGUGCCUAUUUUUCCCUUCUCUUUGUGAGACUCUCUUCUCGGAUUCUUGCUUUACUUCACUGUGACCUUUGUGGACACAUCAUUGGACUUCACUUUCCAACCUAUAGCAACCGGAGUGGGGCGGUGGCAAUGGUGGUUCUUGGAGUUGUCUCAACCUUUGUGGUGUCAAAGAAUUGGUAAACUGAGCUCGGUUUUGUACUUGGAGUUCGGUGGAAAUCAACCCUACACAAACAACGUCCAAACACUUGCUAGUCCUUCCUCAUCUGAUGAUUUCACUCGCAAAAUGUCUGGUAUGUCUCUAUACUUAACUGCAUUUCAUCGUAGGUAGGGAAAUAUUUAUGAAAUUCCAUGGAUUCUUGACACAGGAGCAACAGAUCACAUGAUCUGCUCCACUAUUCUUUUUAUAUCUAUUCAAGCUAAUGUGUACUAUUUUGUGGUCUUACUAAACGGAGAAAACGUCCCUGUCACUCACGUAGGAACUGUCAAAAUCUUAGAAGUAAUUACCUUACAUAAUAUCCUUUGCAUUCCUAGUUUUCACUUUCAAUUUAAUUUCAGUAAAGAAGCUUCUCAAUCUCUAAACUGCUGUCUUGUCUUCUUCUCUAAUCACUGUUAUAUUCAGGACCUUUCGACUUGGAGAACAACUGGAAUGGGUGAAGUGAAAGAUGGAUUGUAUCAUAUGGUACGAAAGGAAGUCUCUCAUUCAGCUUUAUUGUAUGCUUGCAAACAAUUCAAGCGUUUGCCCUCUUUUUUCCCGUCUGCCACCAAUAAUCACAAAGAAUCUGAUCUAUGGCAUUAUAGAUUGGGGCACUCUUCAUAUUCUGAAUUUAGUUUUGAUGGGAACAUCCACAUACCUGCUUCUUCUAGCAUAAAUCAUUGCUUCAUUUGUCCUCUAGCAAAACAACAUAGACUGCCUUUUAAUGUAAGCCAUCACAAAAUUAAAAAAAUGCUUUGAACUAAUACAUUGUGAUAUAUGGGGGCCUUGUAAUGAAUUAAGCAGAGAUGGUUCUAAGUAUUUUCUAUCUAUCGUUGAUGAUUUUAGCAGAUGCACAUGGAUCUAUAUGUUAAGACUCAAAUCCGAUGAUAUCGUUGCUUUACAAAACUUUUAUGCCAUGAUAGAAAGUCAAUUUGAAGCUAUGAUUAAAAUCGUCCGAAUAGAUAAUUGAGGUGAAUUUAACAUGACUGAAUUUUACUUAAAGAAGGGGAUAAUGCACCAAAGAACAUGUGUUGAAACCCCUGAACAAAAUGCCAUUGUGGAAAGAAAGCACCAACACAUCUUAAACGUAGCAAGAGCCUUGAAAUUCCAAAGUGUUUGAAAUAUAGGAAUGAUUUCGUAUUGACGGCUGUAUACCUCAUAAACAAAACACCAUCUCCCCACCUGAACAACAAAAGCCCUUUUGAGAUACUAUUUCAAACCAAACCAAACCACAGUCACUUAAAAGUUUUUGGGUGCCUAGCUUUUGCCACCACUCUUAUCAAUGGUAGGCACAAGUUUGAUCCUAGGUCAAGGAGAUGUGUGUUCAUUGGUUAUCCUUUUGGUACUAAGGGAUACAGAUUACUUGAUUUAAAGAUAAUGAAAAUUUUCACUUCAAGGAAUGUUACCGUCCAUGAGGACAUUUUUCCAUCUAGAGAAAUUGAUCUCAAUAGCAAUACCUCCAUGACUGACUUUGAUCACCUUAGUUUCACACAAAAUCUUAAUGUUUCUAAUGACCCUGCUAUCAUCCCACUUGUUAGUACUAAUAAUGAAAAUACUAAACAUAACAUUUCAAAUACUCCGGCUCAUAUAGAAUCCUCUAAUUUUCAUGUGAACACCAGUCAUGACAUAUCACAGUCUCCUGCUGACACUUUGGAAUCAAAUCUCCUUGCUAUCACUCCUUUACCUCAUAGGUCUAACAAAAUUCGAAGGACUCCUCAUCACUUGCAAGAUUUCAUAUGUCAACAAGUAUCUUUACCUCUUCCAUUCUAGAAGCUCAACAAGGAAAAGGAAGUGAAUAUUACAGGUAGUCCCUAUCCUCUUAGUAAUAGUCUUUCCUAUGAUAAAUUAUCUAUCCGUCACCACACUUUUGCAGUUUCAAUAACAAACCACUUUGAGCCUAAAACCUAUCAAGAAGCCAUAACUUCACCUGAGUGGUGUGAUGCCAUGAAAGCUGAGAUCAAGGCUUUAGAACUUAAUGAUACUUAGGUCUUGACCAAUCUACCACCUAAUAAAGAGGCCAUAGGUUGUAAGGGUAUAUAUGGUUAAAUUCAAUGCCAAUGGUAGUGUUGAAAGAUUCAAGGCACGCUUAGUGGCAAAGGGGUACACUCAACAAGAGGGACUUGACUAUCAUGAAACAUUUUUCCCUGUGGCUAAAUUGGUCACCAUCUGAACUUUACUGGCAAUAGUAGCAAUUAAGGGGUGGAGUUUGUGUCAAUUUGAUGUAAAUAAUGCUCUUCUACAUGGUGACUUGGAUGAAGACGUUUACAUGCAACUGCCCCUUGGUUAUCCCAAUGUAAGUGGUAAUAAAGUUUGCAAAUUAUGCAAGAGUUUGUAUGGAUUGAAGCAAGCCUCGCUUCAAUGGUACUCUAAACUUUCCAAUUUCAUUAUUAAGCAAGGAUACACUCAAUCAAGAUGAGAUUAUAGCUUAUUUACUAAGUCUAUUGAUGGUUCUUUCACAGCUAUUAUAGUUUAUGUGGAUGAUAUAAUAAUGGCGGGAAAUUGUAUUGAUACCAUCAAUAAGCUUAAAGCUUUUCUCAAUGACAAGUUAAAAAAUUAACAACUUGGGCAAGUUGAAAUAUUUUCUAGGCAUCAAAGUCCCAAGGUCUGAAUGCAGCAUUCACAUAUGUCAAAGGAAAUAUGCUUUGGAUAUCUUGGCAGAUUCAGGCACUGUAGGAUCAGCCCCUACUAGGAUUCCCCUUGAUUAGAAUCAAAAGCUUAGUAAGGACGAGGUAGAAUUAAUUGCAGGCCAAUCAAUUUACAGAAGGCUAUUGUACUUGACAAUCACUAGGUCUGAUCUUGCAUAAUCAAUUAAGUUGUUGAGUCAGUUUAUGAGCUGUCCCAGGGUGCUACAUUUACAUGCUACACAUAAAGUAUUGCGGUACAUCAAAAGGGUACCUGGACAAGGGUUAUUUUACCCUGCAAAAUCAAGGCUUCAACUAGAGGGCUAUUGCAAUUUUGAGUGAGGAGCGUGCCUAGACACUAGUAGGUCAGUAUCAAGUUAUUGUGUUUUCAUUGGGUCAACCUUAAUAUCAUGAAAAUUGAAGAAACAACAUGUGGUGUCUCGAUCUUCCACUAAAGCAGAAUACUGAACAAUGGCAAACCUGUGUUGUGAAUUGACUUGGCUUAGGCAUUUGUUUAAGGAACUAUAGAUUGCACACCCUCAAGCUGCAGUCCUAAAUUGUGAUAAUCGAGCUGCAAUCCAUAUAGCUACAAAUUUGGUAUUUCACGAAAGAACCAAACACAUUGAGCUCGACUGCCAUUUGGUUCGUGACAAGAUAUAAGACGGAAUCAUCAUCACCCAACAUGUUCACAGUGCGUCACAAAUUGCUGACAUUCUAACCAAGGCUCUAACUUCCCAAUGUUUUUAUUCUUGCUUGUCCAAGAUGGGAGUAAUGGAUGUUUACUCUCCAUCUUGCGAGGGGCUAUUGAAAAUAGAAUAUUUGAGUCAACUGGCACUAACUCAAAUAAGUUGGUAAUGGCAGGCAAGAAGCAAGAGUUAUGUUAUAUGUACAAAGUUGGUUGACGAAGUAAUAUCGACUCCAAUCAUUUCAAAAAUAGAUUUUUAAAUCAUUGAAAAUCAAUGACGUGAAUUCUGCCAACACUUAUUUGUCAACCAAAUUUGUCUACACUCUUUGUACAUAGCAUAAUACAAGAAGCAAGACACAAAAAGGUCGAUGUUUGAGAAGAAUUGUUCAUUAAGUAGGGACAAAAGGUCUCAUAAGGCUGCAAGUAGAUUUGAAGUAAUAAUGUCUUCAAUAAUGCAAGUAGAUAAUUGCAUUAUGUUUGCAAAAUAAAUGCUAUCAUUCUAGGAUCCACAUAUUCUUCAUUUUGGAUCAAAAAUUAAGUUCCAAAAAAUUUUCAAGCAACAUAACAUUAAUAAAGAUAAUUCAAUACACUACUACAAAUGUUGUCUAUGCAUUUCCAUAAUUUGAAAUCACCGUAUAAUUGCAUUGUUAUCAAUAUUGCAAAUAUAGCAUCCUCAAUGUGCAAAACUGACUAUCAUUCAAUAGUCAAAUAUCCAAUUCAGUUGCAUGGUUCAAACCGUGGUUGAGGUCUUGAGGACUAUGGUGUUGAAGUGGAGAAAAAAUGUGGUUGGUUGUCAGCAUCGAUGUGGAUGAUCUAGGUAGGAAAAUGCAAUUAUAUGGUAAAAAUGGAAAAUCUAGGCAUUGGGGGAAAAUGAGAUUUAAGGCUUAAAAGAAGUUGGGAGGCAGAAAGUGGAUAAAAAAAAAAAAAAAAAAAAAAAAAAAAAAAAAAAAAAAAAAAACCUAUCAAAUGGUAGAAAAGUGAAAAAAAAAACUAAAAUUAAAAAAGAAAAUUCCAAAAUUUUCGUGGGCUGAGCAAACCCCAUAUGACCCCAUGUAAUUCCAACCAUAAAUCAAUCUAAUGUCAUCACUUACUAUCAAAAUACUUACCCAAUUCGUAAUGCGAUAAAUUGACUUGUUAUACGAAAAACAUUAAAUCACGUUUUUUAAGUUGUUUGGGACAAAAAUCUUCAGUGUCUCUUUUUGAGCCCUUUAUAAAUAUGUCCACUUCAACAUAUAAAAUAAGUGUUGUACCGUGGAAAAAAAUAUUACACAUCAUUCUUCUUUACUUCUCUAAAUUUUAUCUGUAAUUCAUGAGAAUAUUUCGAAUGAUCGAUAUAUUUCAAGAGUAUUUUAGAAAUAUCUCUCUAGAUGUAUUGUACAACAAAAUCUUAGUAUCUUGUGGCUAGGCAUGUGCACACAACAAUAAUUCCUAAACAAAGAAAAAUGAAAAAAGUUGAUCAAUUAAUAAAGUUUAAUUUAUAUUUUUCUUUUUUAACUGUUUUGCAUUUUGUGUUUUCACUCCAUGGAUGAGAUUUUUUCAAUAAAAGUAUCACUGCAAAAAUUUAUAUGUGAGAAAAAAGAAGUAUAAAUCGAUAAAUAUAUAAGUGACCCCAACGAAACAAGAUAAAGCAUAUAGACAAAGAAGGAACACCGUAUUAUAAUUAAAUGACAUUAUUUGAAUAUGAACAAUUUGAUUUUAUUAAUAAAGAUGAAUUAUGUGUGACAAAUGUUAUUAAUUAUUACGAGGAAAUGAUACUUGUACAAAUGAUCCUUUAAGAGGAUAAGUUUAUUUUUAUUAAAGUAUAUAUACAAUUAAUUGCAAGAUGGAUGGAAGCCAUCGAAAAUGACCUUUUUAUUUUCACACAACAUCAAUAUGUUGAGGGGGUCAACGCAACGAUCGUAACAUUAGGGACCAUUUCCACACAAGGGCCUUACAUUAAGGACCAUCUAUACCAAUUUCCUUGUUAAUUAAUGCUCCACCUUUGUGUUCGCUUGAAUUUAAAAAAAAAAGUUUUAUUGGCACAAUUCCCUCAACGUAUGGAUCUAUUGUCAAAUAUUCUUACCUUUUUAAAUUGGUGGAAACCCCCGUAUGAACUUUGAAGUGCGAAAUCCAUUUUCUUUCAUUUUCUCAUAAAUCCUUGUGAAAUGACGAUUUGAGGAAAAAAAAUAGUAUAGCCAACAAUUUGGUAUGUUAAAUUAGAUGUAAUAUGCUAUGAAUAAGGGCAGUGAAUAGAAGUACUAUAAUUUCAAAAAUGUGGAGAAACAUAAGUAUAUGGUUUGUGAUCUGAAAUAAAGGUAUAUUAUGCACAUAAAACUUGCAAAGAUUCCAGUCAACGACACACGAUGAGUGGAGGCAUGACGAUAUUGCUAGAAUAUGACCCAAAUUUCUAUUGGGAUUAGGAUAGGGUUGGUAAAUUGAUAAAAGGAAUAAGAGUCUUCUUGGUUUGGAAGUUCGAUUGAAAAAGAGAAUGAAAGUUCAUCAAUGAUUGAAAAUUUGAUUGGUAAAGGAACUUUGGAAAAUUGAAGACUUGGUUUUGAAAUUUUGGUGGAUAAAAAAUCGUCGCAAUUUCGCUAACUAACAGCUAACUUUGGUGUUCAAGCGUUAGAGGUGAAAAAUGGAGCAGAGAGUUGCUGCCUGCCUAGAGUCGCCUCGAACUGAAGUGACAGUGUAAUUCAGAUGGUAAACCUUUUUCGAUUCUAACUACUUUCUUGAGUCGUAUUUGUUGGAAAAUAAGCGGUUGGAGAAGAAAUAACAACAAAAUUAUAGAAACAAAAUGAAUAGAAACCACGAAAUACGUUAAGAAUGAAUUUGAGACUUGAACACGGGAUCGUUAUCCUCAAACUAUAUUUGCCCCCUCUUGGGAUUGAAUGAGAUACUUAAGGGUUGGGUCUUGGCAAACGGUUUGUAGGAUUAUAUUAAGCCUUGUAAAGGAUUUAACACCAAAGCACAAGUGCAAUCCUCCAAAACUUUAAGAGCACAAAGGAAGAUCUUGAAUAUGAAUGUAAAUCAAUAGUGUGAUUCAAUAUGAAAUGAUAUAUGGAUCUCAAGAUAUUUUCAAUGAUUCUAAUAAUGUUUGUAUUGAUCAUUCAUCACCUAUUUAUAGGUCUCAAUCAAUGCAUCACAAAAUGGUGCCAAAACAAGAUGAAAAGUGGCAACUUUUAGUCCAAAACGGCUCCCAAGUUUUAAAUUGAAAAAUCAGUCAACGACUAUUUUUUAAUACUAUGCGUACGCAUAGUAUAAACCGUGCGUACGUAUAGUAGAAGCAAAAUUUAAUUCUGAUUUUGCUAAAACACAUAUCGUGUACGCACAAAAUUAAGCCUAUGCGUAUGCAUAGGCAAAAAAUCAAAUUUUGCAUUUUUCAAUUUCUUUUGAUUCUACCAAUUCCACAAUUGAGCCCAACAAUAAGUCCAUUAUCAUUCCAUUGAUUUUGAACGAAUUUUCAACAGUAUUUCAUCGAAAAUACUUGUAAUGGAUUCUCUAUAUAUAUAUUCCUCGUGGUAUAGGCUCUUAAAAGGAUAAAUUAACAAUAAAAUCAUAGUUAUAUAGAUUAAAAACUUGAGAGAGUUAUUUAAAUUUAGAUUGAGAGUAUCAAAUCUUGUAAAACAAUUUUAGCUUCUUGAUAUAUUUAAAUUCUUCACCUCUUUCAUAUAAAUCUUGUAUUCUUGUGUGAUCCAUUAUUUUUCAUAUUGCUCUAAUUUUCUCAUCUUUAUUAUUUGGCCCAAUUUAUCUUUACAAUUCCAUAUGAUUCAUCAAGAACUAUACAAGUUGAGUUUUGAUGAGAAAAAAUACUGAUACAUGCUUGAACGGAAAAAUAAAAUUAUUCGAAAAUAUAUAUUGUCCAUUGCCUGCUGCUGAAUUUUCUGAACAAUCUUUUUCUUGUUGGAACCAGAAUCUAAAACUAUGGUUUCUAUAAUCCUCUUGGCUGCAUUGUUAAUUUGGGGCAUCUUCAUCUCUGCUACUCUGGGACGUAUAGUCGGGCCAGUUGGUGACCUAUUACUACUGAUAUGUCCAACCGGCAAACUGCUGAUAGAUCGCAUAAUUAUGCGUCAGGUGUGCAUGUCCAUUUUUUGGUUCUUUGGUUCAAAAAUCUCCCUCGAAGUUGUAUCUUCACGAUUUGUCUGCUUCUUGGAGGAACUCUUUCGUGGUUGGCAAUUCGCUAUUUCUAUAACAGCUUGUUUACAGCUCCUACUGUAGUGAAUAGUCGACGGAGCUAUAGAUCUAAGAAUAGGAAGGUGAAGGUAAACACUUCAGAAGAUCUUUUUAUAGAGAUUCAUAGGCACAAAAUGAUUUGUCAAGGCAAGAUUUCAGUGGAUAUUUUGUCAUAAAUACGAAUUUGGAGAGAACAGUAUUCUGGAUGUAAUAUCUUCAGUUACAACGAUUUGGGAGGGUAUUGAAAGAGAGAACUAUCGAUAUAAUUUAGGGUUUCGAUUAUGAGCAAUAGAUCAUGAUUUGGGAGCGGAUGAAUGGAGACGAAGGGACGAGGUACGAGAGAAAUCUGAUUUGGGAAAGAAUUGAUAUAGAGUAAAUUGUAGAUGAAUUUUGGAUUUGAUAAACUUCAUCAUGAUUUAACUGUUGAUAAAGACCCGCUAAUUAAUUGCAUGAUAACAAGGAGUACAACACCAACCAGGUAUAUCUCAAGUGCAUGUUUCAGUGAUGCAUCUUCUUCUAUCAAUGUCAAAAAUGAGUGGAAUAUUGUAAAUGUCAUCAAAGAUUCUUCUGCAGAUUAAAAGGGCCAAAAAGUUUCAUUCCAAGAUAGAACUUCUGACGUUAGCUCAUCUUUAUUAGGAAUGAUAGAAGCUCGCUCUGAUACCAAUUGAUGUAGGAAAAAGCAUAAAAAUAAUGAAACGAACAUGCUAUCGAAGUUUUUUUAUUCUAAUUUUUGUUGAUUCCCAAAAUUACUAGAAAUAUAGGUAUCAAAUAGCAAGAUUAAACGAUUCGACAGCUCCAAAAUCUAUAAUAUUUAUUACAAAAUAACUAAUUAUCAUAAUAGCUUACAACCCUUAUUUAAAGAAAUAACUAAAAUCUAGAUAAUUACUAAAAUCUAGAUAGUUAUUAAAUGUAAAAGAUAAUGACAAAAAGUAAAAACCCUUCAGAAUUAAUUAGAAGUAAAUGAAAUUAAAAUUGAAUUUAUUUAAUAAAAUAAAUAAUAAAAAAACUCAAUUUUCUGCAAAUGGGUUCAAAUAAUAAUGCUAAGAUGCGAUCUUUAGUUUCAUGAUUUUGAAUGCCAUGUCCAUUGACGCCGGGUAGGAUAGUGAUUAUCCUAUUGUCUUGUUGUAACAGAUGAUUCGCAAGAAAAGAAUGACAAAAAAUGCCCAAAAAACCAAAGAAAAUACUCUGAAUUCAAUUCAAUAUUAUUAAUAAUGCAGAAUGAUCAAAAUUAAUCCACAAGCCGGGUUAAAUAGCUGCGAAAUACGAAAUUAUGGGGAAAUUACCAAAAAUGGAAAAAUCCCGAAAUUAUACCAAAAUAAAAUAUUAAGUAAAAGAAGUAAGUUGCCAAAAAUUUGGCUCAAUUCGAGUUUUCUAACAUAUGGAAAAAAGGAAACAAAAAAUUACCAUAAAUAGUAAAAAAUAACUUAAAAUUGAAUUUUGGAAAGGAAAACAGUGGAUUUUGGGCUUGAACUUGAUGUUCACCGAGCAUAGCUUGGUGGCCACGACGUGCGCGCCGAAGAGAGUUUUCCGGAUUGGGGUCAUAAUAGCGAUUCCGAUAACCAUAGUCAAAAUUAUGGUCAAAUUACCAAAAACGCGUCAAAUUCCCCCAAUUAAGGAAAUAAUGGCGAUUCACUUUCCAUCUUUGCGCCGAUCCGCCAUCUCAUAGUAUCUCAGCGCCAUCAUCAUGCUAUCUGACAAAUCAGCAUCACUCGACUCGGAUCCUCCUGCAUCAGUCGCCCUGGGUUGGAAAGAACUCGCCCUCGAGUUCACAGUAACUUCAUCGGACUCCACAAAACAAGGGAUUAGGUGUUUUACAUUGAAAACGUCAGAGGUCUUCAAAUGGCUAGGGAGGCGCAACCUGUAAGCAUUAUCAUUGAUCUUCUGCAGCACUUCACAAGGUCCAAUCUUCCGCUCCUUUAGCUUAUUGUAUUCCCCAGCUGGAAAACAAUCAUGAGUUAAUACUGCCCAAACAAAAUCAACAACAUCAAACAACACCAGGCGUCAAUGACUAUCUGCCCGAACUUUGUACUUAGUAUUACUAUCCUAGAUGGACAGCUUCACAUGCUCAUGGAUACCUCGAAGAUGCUUAGCCAUCUCAUCAGCUUUGUUAUUGAAGUGACCCACACAUGGAAUUGGAGCCAAAUCAAGUACUCCGGAUGGGUUCUGACCAUAGACAAUUUCAAAAGGACUCAGUCCGGUGGUUCUAUUCCUUGACCGGUUAUAAACAAACUUUGCUUGAGGUAAUGCCAAAUCCCACAGCUUCGGUUUAGUCCCGGCUAAGCUUCUCAAAAGAUUUCCCAAACUUUGAUUCACCACCUCAGUCUGACCAUCUGUUUGGGGAUGGUAUGCGCUGCUAAAAUUCAAUUUCGUUCCAAGUUUCUCCCACAAACUCCUCCAAAAAUGACUCAUAAACUUAGUGUCACGGUCAGAAGUAAUUGACUGUGGAACACCAUGUAAACGCACAAUCUCUCUGAAAUAAAGAUGAGCAAUCCAAGUAGCAUCCAUUGUUUUCCGGCAAGCCACAAAAUGAGCCAUCUUUGAGAAUCUGUCAACCACAACAAGAAUGGAAUCCAUCGCCCACUGUGUAUGAGGUAAGCCCAAGACAAAAUCCAUACUGACAUCAAACCAAGGAGCUUCAGGUAUGGGUAAUGGUGUGUACAAUCCAGCAUUAGUAAGAGCCCUUUUAGACCGCUGACAUACAUAACACCGCUCCACAUAAUGCACCACAUCACUGCUCAACUUGGGCCAGUAAUAAUCAGAAGAGACCAAUGCCAAUGUCUUGUCUCGCCCAAAAUGUCCUUCGUUAUGAAGUUCACUAAUAAUCUGCUGCCUUAGUGAACAAUCCGAAAUGAAUAACUGCAAUCCACGAAACAGGUAACCAUUAUGUAAAACAAAAUCAUGUCAGUGACUAUCAAUUACCUCCCGAAUUAUCUUCCCAAAUGAAGGAUCCGCAGCAUACAUAUCAGGAAAUGCCUCAAAUCCGACAAUCUUGGUGCUUAUGGUAAGAAGUAAUGUGUGACGGCUCAAUGCAUCUGCUACUCGAUUCAAACUCCCUGCUUGAUGCCUGAGUGUGAAAGUAAACUCCUGCAAGUAGGCUACCCACUUUGCAUGUCGCCUACUCAGCUUGUGCUGACCAUUAAUGUACUUCAAAGCCUCAUGAUCAGUAACAAGAAUGAAUUCCCUCUGUACCAAGUAAUGGCCCCAAUGCUUCAGAGUCUGAACUACGGCAUAGAACUCCAGGUCAUAAGUGAAAUAAUUUUUCUUCGAUCCCGAUAGCUUCUCACUAAAAAAGGCUACUGGACGUCCCUCCUGACUUAGAACACCACCAAUACCAACUCCAGACGCAUCACAGUUUACCUCGAACACCUUUUCAAAAUUCGGAAGUGACAAGACUGGGGCCUCCAUCAUCUUCUGCUUAACCAACUGAAAGCUAGCCUCUGCCUCCUCAGUCUACUGAAAAUCACGACCUUUAAGGCACUCUGUGAUAGGAGCAAUCAAGGUACUGAAGUUUCUGAUGAAUCGGUGAUAGAAGGAUGCCAAUCCAUGGAAACUUUUGACAUCGUGCAAAGUUUUUGGUUUCGGCCAAUUCAAAACUGCCUCAAUUUUGGAUUGAUCUGCAUGAACACCAUCAGUAGACACAACAAAACCCAAAAAAGUUACAGAAGUUGUGAAGAAAGAACACUUAUUCUGAUUGAUGAAUAAGCGCUCCGUCCUCAUUACAUCAAAGACAGUACGAAGAUGAUUAAAAUGUGACUCCCAUGUCAGACUAUAAAUAAGUAUGUCAUCAAAAUAAACUACCACAAACUUCCCCAUGAAAGACCGUAAAACCUGAUGCAUAAACCUCAUAAAAGUGCUGGGUGCGUUGGAUAGUCCGAAGGACAUGACCAUCCACUCGUACAACCCAUGUUGUGUCUUGAACGCAGUCUUCCACUCAUUUCUAGGCCUGAUUCUGAUAUGGUGGUAUCCAAUUUUAAGGUCAAUUUUUGAGAAGACCUUAGAACCGGACAGUUGAUCCAACAUGUCGUCCAGACGGGGAAUUGGAAACCUGUACUUCACUGUAAUCCUGUUAAUUGCCCUGCUGUCAACACACAUACGCCAUGACCCAUCUUUCUUUGGCACUAGUAGAGCAGGAACUGCACAAGGACUCAUACUCUCAUGAAUGUAGCCCCUUUCCAAUAAUUCUACCACCUGUCGUUGCAACUCUUCAGCUUCUUUGGGACUGAGGCGAUAUGCUGGUCGAUUUGGUAGACUCGACCCUGGAAUGAUGUUGAAUGUCCCUCAUAGGUGGUAGUCCUGGAGGAAGAUCCUCCCGCAUCAAGUCAGAAAACUCCAUCAGUAGUUGCUGCACUUCUGCUGGAAAUUCUGAAUCCACAUUCGUUGUACUAUUUUCAUGAGGCAUUAAAGCAUAAACUAUAUUUUCACGCCCAACCUCAACCAAGAACCUAGACAUAGAAAGUAGAUUGGGGUUAUUAACUACCAGGGCAGGGAUGUUUCCUUCCCUGUGAGGCACCAAAACAAUUCUCUUCCCUUUGAUGCUAAGAGAAUAAGUAUUCUUCCGCCCAUCAUGGAUAACACUGCGAUCAUACUGCUAAGGUCGUCCCAAAAAAACAUGACACGCGUCCAUUGAUACCACAUCACACUAAGCAUUAUCAAAAUAUUUUUUUCCAAUCGAGAAAGACACUAAGCAUUAUUUUUCUACCGUUACCUCACUGCCUUUAUUCAACUAAGACAACUUGUAUGGUUUGGGAUGACGAUCCAUCUUUAGUUGCAGUUUCUCGAUAGCCUCCUCAGACACUAUAUUCUCACAAUUGCUACUAUCAAUUAUCAGCUUACAGACUUUAUCAGCAACUAUGCAGGUUGUGUGGAAAACGUUGGUCCUCAACCAAUCAUCCCCUGAGUCGUCCUUGGGAGUCAGCAGGCUCUUUCAAACGACCAAGGUCUCCUGACCAUCUCCAUAUAGCACGUCCUCAUCUUCACCCUCAUCAUACACGGGUUCCUCAACUUCCUCGAACUCCUCUAUCAUAUCCUCCUCAAUCAGAAGAUUUUUAUUCUUCUGACCAGUAGGCUUCCUACAAUCAGUCGCCCUAUGCCCCUGUUCACCACACCUAAAGCACUUAAUACUUGAGCUGGAACUAUCCUGCUGUGGCUGAUAAGCAGGACGAGAUUCUUGAGGGCGAACUGGCUAACUUCCUUCACCUCUGACUACUGGCCUCCUACUCUGCUGUUUCUCUACUGCAAGUACUCGCUGAUAUGCCUCAGAAAUUGUAUCAGAUAAAUCAUUCUGAGCCACCAACUGAUAGAAUUCUUCAGUAGAAUCAUUGACUGAUCUUGCACCUUGCCUUAGUGAAUGAAGCCUCUGAAACAAGGUUUGAGUAUAGCCAAAAGGAAGGAAGUGCCCUGUCAUCUUCUCCCAGUUAGUAAUUUUGGAUUUCCCCUAUCACUCCCGUGAAUGCUUCAACUGUUCCCACCAUGCAGAUGCCCUACCUUUGAGUUUGAUGGUGACCAGUUUCACUUUGACACGAUCUGGAACCUUCUUAUAUUCAAAAAUCCGCUGCACUUCAUUCAGCCAAUCAAUAAAUCCUUCAGCCUGCAACGUACCAGAAAACUCAGGCAGAUCCACUCUGAAACUGAGAUCCACAUGAUGAUCCUCCCGUCCACGAUGCUCCCAAACUCGAGCAUGAUGGUGAUACGGGUUUCAAAACUGGUAUCAGAAUCGUGACCUUCCACAUCAUGAUUACCGAACUCCUGCUCUGCCAAACGUUGGGUUAACUCCGCAACUUGUCCCUACAAAUCUUCAAUCGUCACAUCCUGAAUAUUACGAUCACGGUGCGGGACUUCCUCAAUUGGAACCUGUCCUCAACGACCACGAUCACGUCCACCAACCAUUAUAACUGAUGGAAUUUAUCUUCCAAGAAGAUGCUGACGCUCUGAUACCAAUUGACACUGGGUAGGAUAGUGAUUAUCCUAUUAGCUUGUUAUAGCAGAUGAUUCGCAAGAAAAGAACGACAGAAAAUGCCCAAAGAGAAAAUACUCUAAAUUCAAUUCAAUAUUAUUAAUAAUGCAGAAUGAUCAAAAUUAAUCCACAAGCCGGGUUAAAUAGCUGCGAAAUACGAAAUUAUGGGGAAAUUACCAAAAAUGGAAAAAUCCCGAAAUUAUACCAAAAUAAAAUAUUAAGUAAAAGAAGUAAGUUGCCAAAAAUUUGGCUCAAUCUGAGUUUUCUAAUAUAUGGAAAAAAGGAAAUGAAAUAUUACCAUAAAUAGUAAAAAAAUAACUUAAAAUUGAAUUUUGAAAAGGAAAACAGUGGAUUUUGGGCUCAAAAUUGACAUCCACCGAGUAUAACUAGGUGGCCAGGACGUGCGUACCGAAGAGAGCUUUCCAGAUUGGGGUCAUAAUAGCGAUUUCGAUAACCGUACCCAAAGUUAUGACCAAAUUACCAAAGACGCGUCAAAUUCCCCCAAUUAAGGAAAUAAUGGCGAUUCACUUUCCAUCUUUGCACCGAUCCGCCAUCUCAUGGUAUCUCAGCACCAUCAUUGUGCUAUCUGACAAAUCAACAUCACUCGACUCGGAUCCUCCUACAUCAUCCAUCCCCAUACUAGUACAUGUAUUGUGCCAUUCUCACAAGAUUCACUGCAAUUUCAAUAAAAAAUUUUGAGAAUGGACAAACUGUUUCUUGAACUUGGUUCAUUUUUUUCCACGUCUCACGUAUCAAAGAUCUAAUGUGUUCACGUGCCUCGUCUUCAGAAGCCCCAGUUUCGUUCAUGUAACAUUGUAUUGUUUUAGGAACAUCACCUCUUUUCAUUUCGUCCUGAGAGAGAAAACGAAAGAAACUGUUAGUUGAAAGGGUUAAUUUUGAAUUGCUAAUGAUUUCUUAAACAAGAAUGAACUUGAAAACAUGAAAUGAAAUAUUAGUCUAUAUGCGCACCAUUGAUGUUGCUAAAUCAUCUGAAAGACGUAAAAUCGUUGCCAACCAACGGAUUAAAUUGGGAUAAUCAAGUAAGUACUGAACAGCUUCCUUCUCUAUAGGACUGGUAACAGCGAAAAACCCAUGGGAUAGUAUGACAUGAGUUGAUAUGGAAAUCCAUGCAGUGUUCAUAUACUCUUCCAUUGUUGUUUUGUAUCCAUUGAAGUACCACCUUGCUUCUUGUAAGUAUGCUUUGCCUAAAUCUGUCCACUGCCAAAUUUGACAAGAUUACUGUAUACGGAUUAAAUAUGGAAGCUGAUACAAGGAUUAUGUAUUGGACUUUUUGAAGCAAAAGUAAUACCGCUUUUCUUAAAUAUGGAAUAAUUAUAAACCCUUUUUCUUUAAGAAUGUCGUAAGCCAUUUCGUUGACGAAGUUAUUGAGUGCUAAAUAGCAAAUUUGCAUGUAAUCUGGAAGUUGAUGGCUUGAACUAACAUCCCAUCUGUAGAGUUCCAAACAAAUAAUAAUUAUAGGAGUUAGAACGGUGAGAAGGGGAAAAAAAUCAAUAUAUAUCACAUAUGGGUAAACUUUAAUAUAAACUACCAAUCUAAUUUUCCAAAAUUUGGUCCUCAACUUUUAAAGAAAAGAAAGUUCGUACCUUACAUUUUAUUAUUGUUUCGCAACUGGUCGCCCACUAAUGAAAACCAUAAUUUUCAUAAAUUAUCGUGUGGCCCUCAUAAAAACAUGCAUCGCUUUAAAUAUCAACGUACCAAUCCAAGUUAGAAAACAAAACCUAAUUUCAUGAAGUUGAUUAUGCAAGGACCACAUUUUGAUUAAUUUAAAAUAGAUUUGAACUGUUUCUUGAGAUAUAAUCUUGCAACUAUAUAUAAAAUUAAUAACCAGCUUGUCCAUUUUUAAAGAUUGAAUAAGUCAAUCAUUCAAUUUUCCCUAUCAUAUAAACCUUUUAAUAUACAAAGUACUUCCGUAUUUUCAAACUAGUGUUUCCUUUAACAAAGGGACUUCGUUUUUAAUUUUUACUUUUUUAUUUGGGUGGGGGUUCUGAAAUGAGGAAUAACGAUGUUUCUAACCUUUCAAUGAUUCUUGUAAAAACUUCAAGCUCUUCUAAUGUACCAUCGACGUCAUAUAUAUCAUCAAUGGUUGCUACUAAAGCAUUGACCUUUGUCAAUAUCUUCCUACAAAAUUCAUAUUGAGGUUCAAAUAUCACCCCAGUAGUCCAAAAGAAACAUUCCACCAGCCUAUCCCUCGCAAAUGACAACUUUUCGGCAAGGCAAGUUCCCUUCCACCACCUAUUCAUAGAAAACGCAGGGGAAAAAAAAAUAUAUAUAAAUAUAUAUAUAUAUUCCUUUGUUACUUCUAAACAUCAAAAUUCAAUAUAUUUGGCCCAUGUAUUUAAAAUGAGAAAAAAGAGAUAGAAAUGUGCACAAAUGUAUUAGUGUAGGAAUUAAUACACAUUUUCUCCAGCCGUAAUAAAAGUAAAUAGUGCUAAAGUGAAAGGCAAAUUUGUUGAGGAGAGACUAUUUCCCUCCAAUCAAAUUCCUUAUUGAGUUGUCUCUGAUUGAAGACAACUUGUGAUGUCGAUUUAUCUUUGAGUGAAUACAGCAUCUUAUCAAUAAAUACCUAGAGACAUGUCUUAGCUCCUGCUGAUAUUUUGCUUGAACAAUGUUGAAAUCCAAUUUAGCAAGCUCAAGCAGAAUCUGAUUCAUGUCUGGCCUGUCCUUGUAUAUGUUUAUGAACCAUCUAGCCUCUGCCCGCAGUAUGGCCCAGUGCAAUGGAAGCUCCAAGCCAUGGUGCACCAAUCGAGAAUGGCACUGAUCAAUACUAGUUUGAUCAUUAAGGUGUUUCAUAGAGAAUUAUGUAGCCAUUUCUAGGGUACUUUCACCUUCCAUUGAAAGGAAUGAAGUUUCAUAUAGUUGUAACAAUCCCUCUGUAUCAUCCCAAAGCCUCGACUUGAACUCACCCUUCUCAUUCUUGAAACGAUCAAAUAUCUCUGUGUUCAACAGGACAUGUAUAAGACGUGUAAGCACAAAAAAUGAAUGAAAAUGAACAGAAGAAACUGAUUUGCACCUUCAGAAACUUUAAAGCCAUGUUGUCUUAGUAGUCUGAAUUCCAAAGCCGUAGCAUAUAAAUCCUUAAUCUUUGACUGUUGAUCAUUUUUGCUAUAUUUUUUGUUAAUGACUGACAAGAUUUGCUUAAUUUCAUUCUCAAAAUGGUAGGAUAUCCCCAGCCUUUGCAAAUUGUCAAUCAAUUCCAACUGAUCCAGUGGCUCUACUGUUUUAUCAAGCGUCAUCUUCACUUGCAUUUUCAGCUCAGAAGACCGUGUAGCGUAUCUCUCUCCCUAGAUCAUGCACGAACAAAAUCUGAUUGCAAGAAAAAAGGAAGAAUUUAUUUUUUAUGUAAAUGAUGAAAAUUACCGCGUAUUCAAUAUCUAAAGACUGAAUAUAUUCGAAGUCCCAUACUGGGGGUUUGUAGUUUCCUGAUCGCCUAAUCACAAUCUGACUGCAAGGCCGCGUCUUGGUUAUAAAACUAUGCUGAUUAGCAUUAGCAGCAGUACUUGUAAAUAAAGCAAAACAGUGUUUUGGAAUCUGUUUUUUUGAAGUGCAUAAAUUGGCUUGAAAAUAUUCAGGUUGAAGAUAGUCAUUGAUCUUUGAGACUUGUCUAAGUAGUUCAUAAAAUAUUAUAUUUGGUAUGGUGGGCAUGACUUAAUUAUCUGGAACUCAAAUAGUAAUUAGAUGAGUUCAUCAAGUAUUGGCACCAACUCAAAUAAAGUAGCCAUAAAAAUAGCACCCGUUUGGCCUCCAUUUUUCAAAUUAAAAUGGAUGAAAUAUAUAUAUAUAUAUUUUGAAGAUUGUGUUAUUGAAAACAGGAUAGAGGAAAAUGAAAUUUGAUUUAGCCCAUGUUUGAGCCACAUUCUAGUAAAAAAAUGCAUUAUUCAUGUCAAAUCAAUGAGAAAUAUGUGAUUAAAAAAUAAAAGUUUUAGAUUUGAAUGUAAUAUUAUUUCAUUGAAAAAUAUUUGGUUGAAAUGAUGUCAAAUCACUGUUGAAAAAUGUAUUUUUUUUUAAAAAUAAUGUGGCUCAAACAAGCCCUUAAUAUGGGUCAAAUGGGGCUAAGUUGGUAAUAGCAGGCAAGUAGUAAUUAAGUAGGGACAAAAGGUCUAAUAAGGCUGCACGUAGAUUGGAAGUAAUAAUGCUUUCAAUAAUGCAAGAAAAUAAUUGCAUUAUGUUUGAAAAAUUAAUGACACGAUCUGUCCCGAAUCAUCAUAGUGGAUCCGAAACGUGACAUGCACCGAUAAUAGAUGCUGACUAGAUGUCAAAUCUAUCACUAAGACUGACUAUGAGUUAUUUCAAAAAAUGCAACAAAAUCAAAUGCUUAUGUAAAACAUAAUGCGAUGGGUCCAAAUUUUUUACUUUGUGCUUCAUCAAUAUGAAAUAUAACACUCAACAUGUCGUAUGGCUCUCAUUUCGAAAUCAUUAUGCUCUUCCAAUUAAAAUGAAUCAAUUGCUACCUGUAGGAAAAAUUACGGGGAAAUAUAUGAGUUGAUAGCUCAAUGGGUGGAGAAGUUCUAAAAUAAAUAUACUUUUUCAAUUUUACAUUUCUAUCGAAAAUCAAAUUCAUAUCAUUUGAUAAUUCACAAGAUAACAUCAUGUAAUUAUAGCCAAGAAGUGAAAUAUUUACAUAAGAUUAUAAAAUAUCAUCUUAAAAUCAUGACAUAAAUAUCAGCUGAUAACCAUACUAUAAUCUCAUCACAUCAAAGAUGCUGAAAAAUUCACAAAAAAUGCACCCUCUGACUGAAAUAUGUAAUCCGCCCCUCAGGUUAAAAACUUUCGCUACGGGCCUUUGGCUACUCUGUGAACGAAAGUCGGUCUCAAAGACCUCUCAUAACCAAUUCUAGAAUAUGGCCAAGGCCCCUUAGUGAACUAUAUGUACACGGUCGAGACCCCUUCAUCCUCCGUCCAAGACCCCUCGAUAUAGUAUAGAACACAGCUUAGCCCCUCAAUGAACUAGAAGAAAUAUAUAAUCACGGGUACUUUUCUGAUCGAUAUCAAAAUUAUAUCUCAUAUUCCAAUUCACAAUGUAACGUAUACAAUAUUUGAAAUCCCACAUGUAUCAUAAUGAAAGAUAUUUCCAUAAUAACCAUGUAAUUCGAACACAUAAUUGCAUAUAAUUGCUAAUACUUUAACAAUAAACAUAAUUUAUAAAUACUUCAAAAAUAUUUAUAUUUUUCCACUUAUAGAACUAUGUUCACAAAAUUUGGUUUGUAAGCUAUCCCGAUGUCAAUAUUGCCGCCAAAAAUAUGAUAUAAUUUUUAAAUCAACAAUUAAUUAUUUUAAAAAAUUUCAAUAAUUAAAUAGGUAAUGCCCAAAUUUAAUCAUUUCACAUUUAAGCGAUUUACGUGGUCUCUUUAAUCACUAAAACAGUUUUUCUUUUAUCUUACUCAAUUUCAUAGUUUAUUACACUUAACCCCUUGAAAAAAAAAAUUGAAUUUAAUCUAACAGCUAUAAAAUCAAACAUAACUUGACAGUAAGAAACUUUUUACUUACCUUUCAAAAUUGAGGAAUUCAAGUCUAAUAACGUAGAUCACUUAUUUUCUAACAACAUAGACGAACUUUCAUAUUUUUUUUCUUCUUUUUCCUUUCUCUUUUCUCUUCCUUUUCUCUCUGGUUCGUUUUCUCUCUCUGUGUGUGUUUUGUGUGUGUCUUUUUGUGUAAUAGAUUUGGAUUACACAUAAAUAUAAAUACAAUGGGAAUGGAUUUGUUUUGGGCAUAACCGCCUACUGUUUCCUUUUUCUUUUCUUUUUUUUCCUUUUUUUAAAAAGUAUUAAAUUAAGGCAUUUCAAAUUUCACCCCAUAACUAUAAUUACAAUACAAGUCCCCAAACUUUAUAUAAUUUAACAUUUAGUCAUCUUAUUUACCAUACUAGAAGCUAAAUCCCAAAAUUUAUUUUUAUAUCAUUUCGGUCCCUCUUAAGUACUAGCAAUUUCAAAUUUAAACCCCAUGAAAAUCAGUCCUCCAACUUAAAUCCUUAUUUGGCUUUAACUUUGACUAUAUAAUUCAUUGACUUUGACUAUAAUUGAGUGAGGUGUAACAAUUAAUGCUAUCAAUUUAAUUAAGUUACAAAAAAUUUUCAAGCAACAUAACAUUAAUGAAAAUAAUUCUCUUUCUCUGUGUGUGUAUAUAUAUGCUCUUGUUUGAGCCCCAUUUUGGGAGGAAGAAUGAAUUUUUGAAUAAUAUAUUGAUGAGAAAUGUUUGAUUAAAAACUAAGAAAAAAUUUUGAAUUUGCGUGUACUAUUAUUUUAUUGAAGAAUGCGUGGUUGAAAUAAUGUCAAAACACUAUUGAAAAAUAUAUUUUUUUCAAAAGAAUGGGAUUCAAACAAGGCUUAUAUAUUGCUUAAACAUUUUCAUAAUUUGAAAUCAUCGUAUAAUUACAUCAUUAUCAAUAUUACUAAUAUAGCAUCCUCAAUAUACACAAUUGAGUAGAAUAUCCAAUUCAAUUGCAUGAUUCAAACAAUGGAUGUGGCCUUUAGGAGUAUGGAGUUGAUGUAGAGAAAAAUGUGGUUGGUCGCCAGCGUCGAUGCGGAAGACUCGAGUAGGAAAAGGCAAUUAUUUGGUAAAAAUAGUAAACCUAGCUAUUUGGAAAAGAAUGUGAUUCGAGACUUGAGAGACAAAUUGGGAGGCGGUAAGUGGAUGAAAAAUGUCAUCACUUACUAUCAAAAUGCUUACAUAAUUAGUGUUGUGUUAAUUGACUUGUUAUAGGUAGAGCUCUAAGAUCUUAUUUGGUAAAAAUAGUAAACCUAGCUAUUUGGAAAAGAAUGUGAUUCGAGACUUGAGAGACAAAUUGGGAGGCGGUAAGUGGAUGAAAAAUGUCAUCACUUACUAUCAAAAUGCUUACAUAAUUAGUGUUGUGUUAAUUGACUUGUUAUAGGUAGAGCUCUAAGAUCGCCUUCAUCCACUAAUAUUUACUUUGAUUAAAUUCUUUUAGACUUUUUACAUUUUUUAAGAAUUUAUGUUUAACUAAAACUCUAAUAUUCAUAAAAUAUUUUCUUCAACUAAAGCUAAAACAAAAAUGAAAGAGACCAUUAGAGUAAAUAUAUAAAGACAUAGCAAUAUAUGAAGAAGAAUUUGAAAAAAGUAAUCAUUGUCGUUUUAUUGUGGGUUUGAUGAAUUUAGUAUGUGAAUGAUUUUUUAUUUGUGUUUAGGUUAUCUGAUAACUUGUCUUUUAAAUUCAAGUGGUAUAAAUAAGAAAUUUCAUUCAGAACUAUUUGAGUUUUUUAUUGGAAUUAUCUUUUCUUUUCUUGAUUUUCUUGAAUUGAAAAUAUUGAUGGCCAUAUUUUUUGGUAGAAUUAUCAAAACAAGAAUUUGAGCUUUUUGUUGGGAUUAUCUUUAUUUUUUUCUUGAUUUUCUUGAAUUCUGUUUCGCGUGGGUUAGUCGCUAACAAUUAAAAAGGGAUCAGACAAUUGUGUAAGGGACAAACCUCUUGAGACAAAGUCCCAAAAAGCGGUGUUUUUAUUGGCGAUGACUUUACAAUUGGAAAAUGAAAAUAGAAUGCCUCCAAGGGGCGCAAGCACACGAGUUAUUGAAAAGAAGUGUUUUAAAUCUAAACUAAGAAAUUUAAAAUUACAUAAUCUCUGUUUGAGAGUGUUUGAUUCGAGGGUCUUUUGCUCUAUGUCUUUUCUUCCUUUUAUACUCCCUGGAUGAUCUCUUCAUGAUCAACCGCUUAAAAACUGCUUGAUCGAUCUAUAACUGCCCACUUUCCUCGUAGUGGCCCAUGGAACUGCCUUCUCUAACUGCUGCCAUUACUUUUUGUCGUUCAAUCGUCUUCAAUUGAAUUCCUUGAAUCGUGGAACUUGUUAGGGCUACUCAAUAAUUGCUUCAUUAACCGCACCUUUGGGUAACCAUAACAUCUUACGUUUGCUAAGAUCCUGGGCGACUCGAAGGUUUGGGCGAGAACAAGGGCACAGUUCUGGGCGACUGCAUGGCAAUCCAUUCGUUCAAAUCUUGGACGAUGGUAUUACCGCGCUCAUGGGCUUCCCUAUUUGGGCCUUUAUCCUGCAUUGCCUGAUUGGGUCGUUCUUUGGGCUAUUUGAUUUUUGGGGAUCUUCCAAUUGGGCUUCAUUCCUUGGGCUAUUAGACUUGGGCUGAACUUUUUGUGUGUCAACAAUUACCCCCCAAUACGGCAGAAUUAAUACCAAUUAUUAAUUUUUGCCAUAUUCACUUUGUGUUUCCCAGCAACAUUCGAAAUUCCCAAGAAUUUCAAUCAUUGUUUUCUUCCAUAGCUUGAAAAGGUGCGACGUUUGCAAACCCUUAUAACCCCCAAAUACGCCAUUUCAUUGCACCACUAAAUCACGCCUCAUUUUUUCGCGCUUCUCUCUCGCAAUAUUACUAUUCAUCUUCUUGCUUUUCUGCUACGUAACUCUGAAAAACUCCAUUUCGUCCCUAAUGGCUGCUUCACAAUCCCAGUCUGGUGACUCCUUCAGCUUCGAAGACUUCCAAAAACUCCUCACUCGGCCAUAUAUAACUCCAAACUUCCUUGCACCAGCCAAUGUCGAACUCAAAGAGUUCUAUCUAGGUCCUUCAUUCAACAACGUCGAGGCCAUCGAACAAGCGGUGGUCAUUCAGCUAUUCCUUUAUACUCAAGGCCCUCCGUUUUUAAACUCUUUGCCGCUGGGGCCACUUCGUGAAAGAGGUAUUCGCACUUGGCCUAAAUCUGAUGUCGUUUUUCGUAGGUGGCACGCUUACCUUGUGGACCAUGGUCCUACUAAGGCAAUUUUUGAUAAUGCUAGGAUUUCUGAUUUGUUAGAAAUCUCUCUUCGACCCCCUAUUUUUGAUUCAGGACUUUUUCCAAUCGCUUUAAGUUUUUGGUCUUCUGAGUAUAAUACUUUUGUUUUUCCUCUUGGCCCCAUGUUCAUUACCUUAAGGAAUGUUGGGGCCCUAGUAAAUCUGUCACCUUUGGGCGAUACCAUUUUCCCUGGUAUUUUGAUUUCUGGUGUCGUCCUAAAAUUUGAAAGAAAACUCACCGAGUCUUAUUCAAGCCUGCAAACCUGUCAUAACCACUCAAGCGCUGAGCCUUCCCAUGCUGAGCGUGUGGCCUUUCUUCUGAUUUGGCUUUGUAAAUACGUUUUGUGUGUGCCAAGCAUAAAGCCCUCUAUGAGUUAUUUACCCAUAGCGCACGAAUUGGCGCGUGGUAGGCCUCUGAAUUUGUGUUCUUUCUUUUUAGCUACCCUCUAUAGAGGCAUGGCGCUUCUCUUCAAUCCCAAUUGAAGAAUGGUGUAUCCCCCAUUUCCAUUUUCUUCUUCAAAAGACCAAUUUGCUGCCAUUGUUUGGCAUUUUGACAAUCAAUCCAACACCUUUGUUUUUUAUGGAAAUGGAUCAUCUGAUCUGCCCAUUUUACCAUCCUUCUUGAUGUCACCUUUGGUAUGGGAGAUAUAGGAAAUAUUCUUUGACCAGCAGCAAAGUUCUUCCCAUCGUCUCCGUUCCUACAAAGAGUUCAAUGAUGGAAGACAAUUUUUGGGGUGCUUGCAGGCCACCUUGCUUGCUGAGAGCGCUUCUCAGCCUCCUUGCCCGUCGUUGUAGCGAUGCAUUUAGGAAGGCGAAGUGAGGAUGCUUCAUCUUCCUUUCUGCUUGCUGAGAGUGCUUCUCGGCCUCUCUGUUUGCUUUUGCAGCAGUGCGAUCAGGAUGGCGAUCAAUGCCAGUACACCCUCUUACUCGGCGAUCGACUGGGAGAUUAGUUUUCUCUUAAUUGUAGUUUAUAGAGCAUUUAGCAUCUUGUAUUUCGCAGCUUUUGUAAUGAACAUUUGAUGAUGAAGGAAUUUAUUUGAACGUAUUUCGCUCUGGCCCUUUUUACUCUACGAUCGUUCAAUGCGAUUUGGUUACACUUUUAUUUGUUCACUUUCCCAUAAGGAAGGAACAUACUUUUUCAAAUAUUUGCCAUUAAUGAACCUCAUGUGCUUGGUGUCGUCUAAAUCUUCUAAAUGAUAGACUCCAUUAGGCAAUACAUUAUUCACUUUAUAUGGUCCUUCCCAAUUGGGAGACCAUUUGCCAUACUUUGGAUCUUUGCUAUCCAAAGGGAGUACUGUUUUCCAAACCAGUUCACCCAGUAUGAAUGACUUGGCUAUAACUUUUUUAUUAUAAAAUUUACCCAUUCUUCGUUGUUGAACUUGCAAUCUAUCUAGGACAUCUAACUUUAAUUCGUCCAACUCUAAUAAGUUUUGAACUAGUGAUUCGGUAUACUCAUCAUCACUUAACUUAUGUUGCAAACACACUCUGAUCGAUUGCACGUUGAUUUCCAUAGGCAAAACGACCUCCUGUCCAUAAGUAAGUUGGAAAGGAGUAAUUUUGGUACUUGACCGAGGCGACGUCCUAUAAGCCCAUAAGGCCUUGUUCAGACAUUCGUGCCAAUUUCUGACAUUUUCAUCUAUCAUUUUCCUUAUGAUAUUUUUUAGAAUCUUAUUAGAAGAUUCUGCUUGCCCGUUGGAUUGAGCGUAAUAUGGUGUGGAGUUUACUAAUUUAACUUCAAACUCGCUCAAGAAUUUAUUCUCUUGAUCCCCAUUUAAAGAUGUCCCGUGAUCUACCAUCAAAGUUUGUGGAAUUCCAAAUCUAUAAAUGAUGUGAUCACGGAUAAAUUCUAUGACAUUCUUCUGGGUGAUCUCCUUUAAAGGUACCGCCUCUACCCACUUAGUGAAAUAAUCGGUUGCAACUAUAACAAAAGCAUGUUGCUUGGACGAUGGGGGAUAAAUCUUCCCUAUCAGGUCUAUCGCCCAACCCUUGAACGGCCAAGGUUUAAUAAUAGGUGCCAUCUCUCGUGCUGGCGCCCUUUGUAUUGGACCAUGCUUUUAGCAUGCUAAACAACUCUUUGCAUACUGAACGCAUAAUUCUCCCAUCUUUGGCCAAAAAUAUCCACUCCUAAUAAUCAACCAUCUCAUCCUUUGGCCAGCUUGAUGAGAUCCACAUAUCCCCUCGUCCACUUCAGCCAUGAUCGUCCUAGCUUCUUGCAAACUUACACAUUUUAGCAGUAUACCAUCAGAGCGUUUCUUGAACAACUCUUCAUCUAUCAGUGCAUAGUUUAGCAAAUGCAACUUCAUUUUUCUACUAUCUUUUUUGUUAGGUUCUUUAAGGAACUCCUUAAUCACUGCCCUCCAAUCCAUUGCACCUCCAUCUUGUAUGCAAUGAAGUUCAAUCCUUCUUACCCUUCUUUGGAUCACAGGCAAUAUUGUUCCAUACUCACAAGUAGACUUCCAAUUAAAAACCUUUGAGUACCCUGAGGCCAUCUGGGCCAACUCAUUUGCCACGUCAUUGUAUAUCCUAUUAACGCAUUGAAGUUCUACUUGGUCAAAUUCUUCUAAUAACUCUUGGGCAAUUUCAUAUUGACUCAUGAUGGAAUCACUUUGGCAUUUAAAAUCACCAAUCAGUUGGUAAAUUACCAAUUGAGAAUAGCCUCUAAUGUUUACAUUUUUUACCCCCAUAUCUAUCAUUUGUUCUAGGCCCACAAUUAAGGCUUCAUAUUCGGCUUGAUUGAUGGUGCACAUCCUAUCCAAAGUGAAUGCGAACUUGUAGCAAAUCCCUAAAGGAUUUAUCAAUGCUACUCCUACUCCUACACCUUUAGAGGUUUUUGACCCAUUGAAAUACAACACCAAAGGUUUUAGCUCGAACGAAUUGAUUUCUAAUUCAAUUUCUUCAGGCAUAGAUGAUCGGCUAGGAAGUUAGCCAAAGCCUAAUUUUUAACUGCCUUUUGGGGUAUUAUUGUAUUUCGAAUUCUGAUAAAGCUAACGUCCAAAGGCCUACCCUUUGGUGUAAAAUAGGGCGAGAGAACAUAUACUUAGUCAAAUUUACUCUAGAAAUCAAAUAAACGGUUAUGGGCCGUAAAUAAGCCCUUAAUUUUGUACAAGUGAAAUACAAUGCAAGACAUAAUUUUUCGAUAGCAGAGUAAUUACAUUCACAUUUUGUUAACCGUCUACUCAAAUAGUAAAUCUCCCUCUCUUCACCAAAUUGGUCUUCUUGCGCGACCAUUCUAGCUAUUGAUUCUUUUUCAGCCGAUACAUGCACUUUCAUUAGCCGUCCUUGGAUUGGUGACACCAACACUAGUGGACUUGAUUAAUAUGUCUUCGGGCUUUCAAAAGCUUUUUGAUGUUCUUCUUUCCAGACAAAUUCAUCCUGAUUUUUUAGCUUUAAAAGUGGCGAAAAGACUUUAAUUCGCCCUGCACAGUUAGAAAUAAAGCGUCUUAAAAAGUUUACUUGGCCCAGAAAUUUUUGUAAUUCUUUUUUGUUGCUAGGUGGUUUGGCCUCUAGAAUGACCUUCGUUUUAUUUUUAUCAAGUUCAAUCCCUCUUUUAUGUACCAAGAAACCAAGAAAGUUUCCUGCAUUAACACCAAAUGCACAUUUCAAGGGAUUCAACUUUAACUUAUAUUGCUUCAUUCGAUCAAAUGAACAUCUUAACUGUUCAAAAUGGUCCUCUUCUUUAAUGGAUUUGACACAAUAUCAUCUACAUACACUUCAACAAACUUUCCUAUCAUAUCAUGAAAAAUUAAAUUCAUUGCCCUUUGAUAAGUUGCUCUUACAUUUUUCAGGCCGAAAGGCAUGACUACCCAUUCGAAACAUCCUAGAGACCCAGGGCAUCUAAAGGCAAUUUUGUGUAUGUCUUCCUCAACUAUAUAAAUUUGAUUGUAUCCUGAAUACCCAUCCAUAAAAGAAUACAUGACGUGUCCGGCAGUUGAGUCUACUAAAGAAUCUACCGUGGGCAUUGGAUACUCAUCUUUGGGUGUGGCUAUGUUUAAAUUCCUAAAGUCUAUGCACACCCUUAGUUUACCAUUCUUUUUUAGUACUGGCACGAUAUUGGACAACCAUUCGACAUACCUGGCUGUUCUAAUAAAGCCUGCUUUUAAUAAUCGCUCUAUCUCUUUCUUAAUCUCAGGGAGUACAUUAGGAGCAAAACGUCUGGGAGGUUACCUAUGAGAUUUAAAAUUAGGCUUAGUUGGUAAUCUAUGUUCCACCAAGUCUCUAUCUAAACCAGGCAUUUGUUCAUAUUCCCAAGCAAAACAAUCUUUAUACUCCUUUAACAAAGCGAUUAAUUUAUCACUAACCUCUUGAUCGAGCAUCUGGCUGAUGAAUGUUGGACGAUCUUCUCCUUCAUUGCCAAUAUUUACUUUAAUCAGAGGGUCUUGUGCUUGAGCGUAUCCAAACUUGAUGAUCCACAUUACUUCAUUGUCCAACUCCCUUGUAAGCACUUCCUCUUUUAAACAAUCCACUUUGUUGACUUCUCGGCCAAUACUUUGUUCCAAUUCGAAUACUGCUAAUUUAACUUUCAACGCUUUCAGGGCUGCAUCUGCUUUCGUCUUGUUCUUGCAUUCUUUAUCGAAAGCCAUUAAUUUGGCUUUGAAGGCCUGAAUAUCGGCCAUUUACUCUUGUUGCUUUGAACUCAUUCAGGACUCCUUGAUUAUUCUUUUGCCAAUUACUGGCUCUUCUAGGGCCACUAUAUUUAGCCUCAUUUGAUUGAACAUUUCAGUGAGUGUGUCCACUAAAAAUGGCUCUUCACUCUGCGUGACAAUCUGAGUUUCUUCCCCAUCUUGGACUACCCUGAUAGGUCCAUAGUUUCCUUCGUACAUGAACCUUUCCAAUGAGUUUGCUUCUACGAUAAAAGGCCUAUGAUCGGCCUACAACACCUCUGCUUCAUCCUUGUUAUUCCAAAAAACCAGGCAUUGAUGGAGCGAUGAGGGUAUACAGCGACUUCCAUGUAUCCAAUCUCUUUCUAGUAAUACAUUGUAACUAGGAGGACCAUCUAUUACAAAGAAUACUAUGGUCCUAGUAGUUGUACCUAUAGUUAUGUCCAAUGGCAUAACUCCCUUAGCUGCAGUUGCUCCUCCAUUGAAACUUGUAAGGAUGACUUCUGUUGGAAUCAUAUCCCCUUCUCUUUUUGCAAACUUCCUCAUCAUCUUAGAUGGAAUGGUGUUUAUAGCUACUCCAUUAUCGACAAGCACUUUUGCCACUGGUAUGUCGUUAACUAGAGCUUUAACGUACAACGACCUCAAGUGUUUAGCUGGCCAUUUAAAAAUAACCUUUUCGACAUCCUCUAUUUCUACUUCCUGCUUGUCCUCUGUCGAGUUAUCCUUUUGUGAUAAGUCAACGUGCAGCAUAUCACACUGAGCAUCUGUCUCCUGAAUUUCCUUUUUACUGUUUUCUGAUGCUUCAUCUUCAGUUACCCAACCUGUGGGAGGAGGCAUUAUUCUUGGAGGUGAUCCAUACUUUUCAGAGUAAGGCACUCUCUUCUUCCUUUUGGGCGUCUCGUACAACACGUAAAAAUCGAAAGAAAGCCCAGAUGGUUCUCCCAAUAAAUCUACUUCACGAACUUCCUCUUGAUGUAGUUGCUUCAACAGAGUAUUGUAUGAUACUCCUCUCUUUCUUCUUUCUACUUCUAGGUCGAUUUCCUCUUCAAUGUCUGUCAUACCAUCAUCUUCCUCACCAUUGUAGGCCUCUCUAGAAGUCUGGCCUUCUUCAUAUUCCAGCACGCAUGCUUCUCCUUCGUUAUCCUCUCUUUCUUCUUCUUCUUUCUCUUUAUUCUUGAACUCAUUGGCUAGUAAAUAGUUAUUAGCCACAACAGAAGGUAAUGUACCGAACUGAAUAGUAAGGAGCUGAUCUGGAUCUUCUCCAUCCCUUCUAUCUCGCUCAAACUUCGAUCUCCCAGAAGAAGUUUCUGGCAACUCUUUCAUUGAUUUAUCUGUAAAAGUCUCUUCACUAUCUUUGAGAACAUUGUGAUUGGCUACCUCGAGUAGUUUAGGCACCUUAGGACGUGGCACUCCCUGUUGUUGCCUCAUCAUUCGUCCAUAAUUUCGUUGGAAAUGCCUUUGUUGGGUUCUAGUCAUCUCGUUGAAGGGUAUCGCCUUUCCUGCAUUAUACUGGAACGAAUGCCAUACAUUUGGUCGACGAGGUUGCGGCUUGAAUGUUCUCCCAUUAUUUACUGGCCUGAACUGCCUCUCAAAAGGCGGUCCCUUAUAGAACGAUGUACCUCGCCCUCUACCAAGCUGAGCGUUUGGGAAGAAAGUAAGGUGACGGGGAUGCUACCAUAUCCCUGGUUUCUCCGUAUUCCCACUCACUUCUCUUUUACAUCUUGUACACGAGACGUCUUUAUCCUUUUUUGGCUCCUUCCCUUUAAUACAUUCAAAGACACUGGGAUGUGGUCCAGGGUCUUCUUCUCCAUCAUCUAUAACUAAUUUGAAUUUUGAUAACUUGUUUUUGAAACCAGACGUUACCAUAUUCACUCCAAGUGGCUGUGGAAAAGGAUUUUCAUCCACUGCCAUCUUCUUCUUAUCAUCGAACGUAAUUCGUCCUGAUUCAAUGGCAUCUUGUAACACAUGGCGAAAAACCAAGCAAUUGUUAGUCAAAUAUGACCAUGUAUUAUGCCACUUACAAUAUUUUUUACCCUUAAUUUGUUCAGGGUUUGGCAAUUUAUGCUUAUCGCUCAGCUUUAUCUGCUUAUCCUUAUAUAAUUUAUCCUUAUAUAAUUUAUCAAAUAUAAGGUCAGCUUUGGUUACAUCGAACGAGAACGUUCUAGCUUUUACGUUUUCAUCUUUCAUAGGCUCAUCCUUGCCCGAUGGUCUAAGCUUAGCCAUUAUAGGACAAGUAUACGUGUCUCCUUUGACUAAUUUGGCCAAACACAUGUCGGUCUAAUCGUAUGACUCGUUAUUGAUGGUAUGAACAUCAAAAUUUGGGUCUCUAUAAUAAGUCCCCUUGCUAUAAUUUUUUAUCUGCUCUUCUUCUCUUAUCAAUCGUUCAUACCUAAUCAUGUUCGCGCUCAAUUGGAAAAGGUUAGGAAAUUCCUUGUUUUGGAAUUUCUUUUUCAAAUCAAAGCUCAAACAACCUUGAGCGAUUUUGACAAACUCUUUUUCGGGCAGAGGUACAAAACAUUUACUUCUUGCUAUCUUGAACCUUUGGAGGAAAUCUUCUACCCAUUCAUUUGGCAUUUGACGUAGGUUCGCCCAAUCGGCCAAAGUAACUUCAAACUCAGUCUUAUAAAAUUGAGCGUGGAAUAAUUGUUCCAAUUGUUGCCAUGUUUGAACAGAGUUCAUUGGCAAAUUGAUGAACCAGGAGAAAGCUACUCCUAUUAAUGAACUAGGGAAAAGCCUCAUUAUAUAAUAAUCAGUUACGUCACCACUUUGCAGUGUGAAUCAUCCUAUGUGUUCUAGAGUAGACACCUCCCCUAAACCGGUAAACAGUGAGAAUUCUGGCACUUUAUACCCUCUAGGCCAUGGAUAUACUUGGUCUACCCAAUCAAGAUAUGGCUUUGUGCAAGUCGGCCUAAUGACAGGACGUACCCCAAAAGCCAUCUGGUCCUGUACGAUUUCUAUAAUCUGAUUCCUCAACAUGACGUUAUUUAGGACAUUGUCUCUUACAUUUGGAUUACCCCCCAAGUUAGGCGUACCACUACCAUUAUUCUGAUUUGGCAUUACACCAUCCCCUUGGUUUGAAGUACAGGGACUGAAAUGUGGUUCUACCCCUUGACUUGGAUUUAGGACUGGGGGAUUAUGUCCCACAAUUGUCCUAGUUUGAAAGUGGUUUGCAAGAGGCAUAACUCGUUGACAAAUUUGGCCUACUAACUUAUUCAUUAUUUCGUUCAAAGUACUAAGUUGUUUGGCCAUGUUGUCAUAAUCUUUCCAUAUUAUGAAUAUUUUGAAGAUUUACCUGUUCACCGACAUCUUGUGUGAGUUCUCCAAGUAGUGCACGCAUAGUUCGAGGACUCAACUCUGCCAUUGAUUCGUAAUGACUGUUACUGCCCUGAUUCUGUCCAUCUGUUCAUGGAGAGCUAUACUGCUCCUCAUAUCGCUCGAUCACAGACUGGACUCCUCCAUGACUAGCUGCUUCCUUAUCGGAUCUCUGAGGCAUAUUAUUUUACCUUUUGUAUCUACAACACCAAACACCACUGUCCCACCGGGCGUGCCAAAUUGUCUCGCGCGGGUUAGUCGCUAACAAUUAAAAAGGGAUCAGACGAUUGUGUAAGAGACAAAACCUCUUGAGACAAAGUCUCAAAAAUGGGUGUUUUUAUUUGUGAUGACUUUACAAUUGAAAAAUGAAAAUAGAAUGCCUCCAAGGGGCGCAAGCACACGAGUUACUGAAAAGAAGUGUUUUAAAUCUAAACUAAGAAAUUUAAAGUUACAUAUUCUCUGUUUGAAAGUGUUUAAUUCAGGGGUCUUUUGCUCUAUGCCUUUUCUUCCUUUUAUACUCCCUGGAUGAUCUCUUCGUGAUCAACCGCUUAAAAACUAUUUGAUCACUCUAUAAGUGCCUACUUUCCUCGUAGUGGCCAACUUGUCAUGGAACUGCCUUCUCUAACUGCUGCCAUUACUUUUUGUCGUUCAACCGCCUUUAAUUGAAUUCCUUGAAUCGUGGAACGUGAUAGGGCUACUCAAUAACUGCUUCAUUAACCGCACAUUUGGGUAACCAUAACAUCUUACGUUUGCUAAGAUCUUGGGCGACUCGAAGGUCUGGGCGAGAACAGGGGCACAGUUCUGGGCGACUGCAUGGUAAUCAAUUCGCUCAAAUCUUGGGCGACUUGUAACCUUGGGCGAUGGUAUUACCGCGUUUAUGGGCUUCCCUAUUUGGGCCUUUAUCCUGCAUUGUUUGAUUAGGUCGUUCUUUGGGCUAUUUGAUUUUUGGAGAUCUUCCAAUUGGACUUCAUUCCUUGGGCUAUUCGACUUGGGCUGAACUUUUUGUGUGUCAACAAAUUCAAACAAUUGUGGCUAAUUUGCUGGGAUCUUCAAAGAAACUUGAUAGUGUGGAUAUAUAAUUUUUAAAUGAAUGGAAUGUGAUGUGGAUGAAAAUGAUAUUUUUUAAAAUUUUUUAAAUUUAACAGGAAUGAAUAUAGAGUAAGAUAGAUAUAUAACAAUGGUGGAUACAAACAACAACUCCCUUUGUUCUUGAUUCCCUGACGUAGGGUAGGAUAGUGAUUAUCCUAUUGGCUUGUUGUAGUAGAUGAUUCACAAGAAAAGAACGACAGAAAAUGCCCAAAAAACCAGAGAAAAGACUUCGAAUUCAACUCAAUAUUAUUAAUAAUGCAGAAUGCUGAAAAUUAACCCACAAGCCGGGUUAAAUAGCUGCGAAAUACGAAAUUAUGGGAAAAUUACCAAAAAUGGAAAAAAUCCGAAAUUAUACCAAAAUAAAAUAUUAAGUAAAAGAAGUAAGUUGCCAAAAAUUUGGCUCAAUUCGAGUUUUUUAACAUAUGGAAAAAAAGGAAACGAAAUAUUACCAUAAAUAGUAAAAAAUAACUUAAAAUUGAAUUUUGGAAAGGAAAACAGUGGAUUUUGGGCUUGAAAUUGAUGUCCACUGAGCAAAGCUAGGUUACCAUGACGUGCGCACUGAAGAGAGCUUUCUGGAUUGGGGUCAUAAUAGCGAUUCUGAUAAUCGUAGCCAAAGUUAUGGCCAAAUUACCAAAGACGUGUCAAAUUCCCCCCAUUAAGGAAAUAAUGGUGAUUUACUUUCCAUCUUUGCGCCGAUCCGCCAUCUCAUGGUAUCUCAGUGCUAUCAUCGUGCUAUCUGACAAAUCAACAUCACUCGACUCGGAUCCUCCUGCAUCAGUCGCCCCGGGUUGGAAAGAACUCGCCCUCGAGUUCACAGUAACUUCAUCGGACUCCAUAAAACAAAGGCUUAGGUGUUUUACAUUGAAGACGUCAGAGGUCUUCAAAUGGCUUGGGAGGCACAAUCUGUAAGCAUUAUCAUUGAUCUUCUGUAGCACUUCACAGGGUCCAAUCUUUCGCUCCUUUAGCUUAUUGUAUUCCCCAGCUGGAAAAUGAUCACGAGUUAAUACUACCCAAACAAAAUCACCACCAUCAAACAACACCUGGCGUCGAUGACUAUCUGCCCGAGCUUUGUACUUAGUAUUACUUUCUUGUAUGGAUAGCUUCACCUGCUCAUGGACACUUCGAAGAUGUUCAGCCAUCUCAUCAUCUUUGUUAUUGAAGCGACCCACACGUGGAAUUGGAGCCAAAUCAAGUACUUCGAAUGGAUUUCGACCAUAGACAAUUUCAAAAGGACUCAGUCCGAUGGUUCUAUUCUUCGACCGGUUAUAAGCAAACUCUGCUUGAGGUAAUGCCAAAUCCCACUGCUUCGGUUUAGUCCCGACUAAGCUUCUCAAAAGAUUUCCCAAACUCCAAUUCACCACCUCAGUCUGACCAUCUGUUUGGGGAUGGUAUGCGCUGCUAAAAUUCAAUUUCGUUCCAAGUUUCUCCCACAAACUCCUCCAGAAAUGACUCAUAAACUUAGUGUCACGAUCAGAAGUAAUUGACUGUGGAACACCAUCUAAACACACAAUCUCUCUGAAAUAAAGAUGAGCAAUCCGAGUAGCAUCCAUUGUCUUUCGGUAAGCCACAAAAUGAGCCAUCUUUGAAAAUCUGUCAACCACAACAAGAAUGGAAUCCAUCGCCCCCUGUGUACGAGGUAAGCCCAAGACAAAAUCCAUACUGACAUCAAACCAAGGAGCUUCAGGUACGGGUAAUAGUGUGUACAAUCCAGCAUUAGUAAGAGCCCUUUUAGACCGCUGACAUACAUAACACCACUCCACAUAAUGCGCCACAUCACUGCUCAACUUGGGCCAAUAAUAAUCAGAAGAGACCAAUGCCAACGUCUUGUCUCGCCCAAAAUGUCCUUCGUUAUGAAGUUCACUAAUAAUCUGCUGCCUUAGUGAACAAUCUGGAAUGCAUAACUGCAAUCCACGAAACAGGUAACCAUUAUAUAAAACAAAAUCAUGUCGGUGAUUAUCAGUUACCUCCCGAAUUAUCUUCCCAAAUGAAGGAUCCGCAGCAACAUAUCAAGAAAUGCCUCAAAUCCGACAAUCUUGGUGCUCAUGGUGGUGAGGAGUAAUAUGCGACGGCUUAAUGCAUCUGCUACUCGAUUCAAACUCCCUGCUUGAUGCCUGAGUGUGAAAGUAAACUCCUGCAAGUACGCCACCCACUUUGCAUGUCGCCUACUCAGCUUGUGCUGACCAUUGAUGUACUUCAAAGCCUCAUGAUCAGUAAUAAGGAUGAACUCCCUCUGUACUAGGUAAUGGCGCCAAUGCUUCAGAGUCUGAACUAUGGCAUAGAACUCCAGGUCAUAAGUGGAAUAAUUUUUCUUCGAACCCGAUAACUUCUCACUAAAAAAGGCUACUGGACGUCCCUCCUGACUCAGAACACCACCAAUACCAACUCCAGACGCAUCACAGUUUACCUCGAACACCUUUUCAAAAUUCGGAAGUGCCAAGACUAGGGCCUCCGUCAUCUUCUGCUUAACCAAUUGAAAGCUAGCCUCUAUCUCCUCAGUCCACUGAAAAUCACGCCCUUUAAGGCACUCUGUGAUAGGAGCAAUCAAGGUACUGAAGUUUCUGAUAAAUCGACGAUAGAAGGAUGCCAAUCCAUGGAAACUCCUGACAUCGUGCAAAGUUUUUGGUUUCGGCCAAUUCAAGACUGCCUCAAUUUUGGAUUGAUCUGCAUGAACACCAUCAGUAGACACAACAAAACCCAAAAAAGUUACAAAAGUUGUGAAGAAAGAACACUUAUUCUAAUUGAUGAAUAAGCGCUCCGUCCUCAUUACAUCAAAGACAGCACGAAGAUGAUUAAAAUGUGACUCCCAUGUCAGACUAUAAAUAAGUAUGUCAUCAAAAUAAACUACCACAAACUUCCCCAUGAAAGGCCGUAAAACCUGAUGCAUAAACCUCAUAAAAGUGCUGGGUGCGUUGGAUAAUCCAAAGGGCAUGACCAUCCACUCGUAAAACCCAUGCUAUGUCUUGAACGCGAUUUUCCACUCAUCUCCAGGUCUGAUUCUGAUAUGGUGGUAUCCACUUUUAAGGUCAACUUUUGAGAAGACCUUAGAACCGGACAAUUGAUCCAACAUGUCGUCCAGACGGGGAAUUGGAAACCUGUACUUCACUGUAAUCCUGUUAAUUGCCCUGCUGUCAACACACAUACGCCAUGACCCAUCUUUCUUCGGCACUAGGAGAGCAGGAACUGCACAAGGACUCAUACUCUCACAAAUGUAGCCCCUUUCCAAUAAUUCUACCACCUGUCGCUACAACUCUUCAGCUUCCUUGGGACUGAGGCGAUAUGCUGGUCGGUUUGGUAGACUCGAUCCUGGAAUGAGGUCGAUCUAAUGUUGAAUGUCCCUCAUAGGUGGUAGUCCUGGAGGAAGAUCCUCUGGCAUCAAGUUAGAAAACUCCAUCAGUAGUUACUGUACUUCUAUUGGAAAUUCUGAAUCCACACUCGCUGUACUAUUUUCACGAGGCAUUAAAGCAUAAACUAUUUUUUCACGCCCAACCUCAACCAAAAAUCUAAACAUAGAAAGUAGAUUGGGGUUUUUAACUACCGGGGCAGGGAUGUUUCCUUCCUUGCGAGGCACCAAAACAACUCUCUUUCCUUUGAUACUAAGAGAAUAAGUAUUCUUCCGCCCAUCAUGGAUAACACUGCAAUCAUACUGUCAAGGUCGUCCCAACAAAACAUGAUAGGUGUCCAUUGAUACCACAUCACACCAAGCAUUAUCAAAAUAUUUUUUUCCAAUUGAGAAAGACACUAAGCAUCGUUUUUCUACCGUUACCUCACUGCCUUUAUUCAGCCAAGACAACUUGUAUUGUUUGGGAUGACGAUCCAUCUUCAGUUGCAGUUUCUCGAUAGCCUCCUGAGACACUACAUUCUCACAACUGCCACUAUCAAUUAUUAGCUUACAGACUUUAUCAGCAACUGUGCAGGUUGUGUGGAAAACGUUGGUCCUCAACCAAUCAUCCCCUGAGUCGCCCUUGGGACUCAGCAGGCUCUUUCGAACGACCAGGGUCUCCUGACCAUCUCCAUAUAGCACGUCCUCAUCUUCACCCUCAUCAUACACGGGUUCUCCAACUUCCCAAACUCCUCUAUCAUAUCCUCCUCAAUCAGAAGAUUUUUAUUCUUCUGACCAGCAGGUUUCCUGCAAUCAGUCGCUUUAUGCCUCUGUUCACCACACCUAAAGCACUUAAUACUUGAGCUGGAACUAUCCCGCUGUGGCUGAUAAGCAGGACGAGAUUCUUGAGGACUAACUGGCUGACUUCCUUCACCUCUGACCACUAGCCUCCUACUUUGCUAUUUCUCUACUGCAAGUGCUCGCUGAUAUGCCUCAGAAACUGUCCAUAAUGAAUGAAGGCUGAGAACAUCCUACAGGGGCUGCCUUAAUCCCCCCAAAUAUCAUACUACCAUAUGCUCCUCCGUCUCAGAUAAAUCAUUUCGAGCCACAACCUGAUAGAAUUCUUCAGUAUAAUCAUUGACUGAUCUUGCGCCUUGCCUUAGUGAAUGAAGCCUCUGAAACAAGGUUUGAGUAUAGCCGAAGGGGAGGAAAUGUCCUUUCAUCUUCUUCUUCAUCUUCUCCUAGUUAGUAAUUUUGGAUUUCCCCUGUCGCUCCCGUGAACGCUUCAACUGUUCCCACCAUGCAGAUGCUCUACCUUUGAGUUUGAUGGCGACCAGUUUCACUUUGACACGAUCUGGAACCUCCUUAUAUUCAAAAAUCCGCUCCACUUCAUUCAGCUAAUCAAUAAAUCCUUCAGCCUGCAACGUACCAGAAAACUCGGGCAGAUCUACUCUGAAACCGAGAUCCACAUGACGAUCCUCCCGUCCACGAUGCUCCCAAACUUGAGCACGAUGGUGAUACGGGUUUUCGAAAUUGGUAUCUAAAUCGUGACUUUCUACAUCAUGAUUACCGAACUCCUGCUGCGCCAAACGUUGGGUUAACUCCUCAACUUAUCUCUGCAAAUCUUCAAUCGUCACAUCCUGAAUAUUACGAUCACGGUGUUGGACUUCCUCAAUCGGAACCUGUCCUCGACGACCACGACCACGUCCACCAACCACUAUAACUGAUGGAAUUUAUCUCCCAAGAAGAUGCUGACGCUCUGAUACCAACUGACGUCGGGUAGGAUAGUGAUUAUCCUAUUGGCUUGUUGGAGCAGACGAUUCGCAAGAAAAGAACGACAGAAAAUGCCCAAAAAACCAGAGAAAAGACUCUGAAUUGAACUCAAUAUUAUUAAUAAUGCAGAAUUCUAAAAACUAACCCACAAGCCGGGUUAAAUAGCUGCGAAAUACGAAAUUAUGGGAAAAUUACCAAAAAUGGCAAAAUCCCAAAAUUAUAGCAAAAUAAAAUAUUAAGUAAAAGAAGUAAGUUGCCAAAAAUUUGGCUUAAUUCGAGUUCUCUAACAUAUAGAAAAAAGGAAACUAAAUAUUACCAUAAAUAGUAAAAAAUAACUUAAAAUUGAAUUUUGGAAAGGAAAACAGUGGAUUUUGGGCUUGAAAUUGAUGUCCAUCGAGCAAAUCCAGGUGGCCACGACGUGCGCGCCGAAGAGAGCUUUCCGGAUUGGGGUCAUAGUAGCGAUUCCGAUAACCGUAGCCAAAGUUAUGGCCAAAUUACCAAAAACGCGUCAAAUUCCCCCAAUUAAGGAAAUAAUGGUGAUUCACUUUCCAUCUUUAUGCUGAUCCGCCAUCUCAUGGUAUCUCAUCACUAUCAUCAUGCUAUCUGACAAAUCAGCAUCACUCGACUCGGAUCCUCCUGCAUCAUUCCCCCACAGUCAAUAAAAGCUAUUGGGUUUGACCCAAAUGUUUUAAUUAUAUUAUGGUUUAGGGGUAGAAUGAGAUACAAAAAGAGAGUCCGAGAAAGAAAAAGAGAUUAUCUGGUUAUGAACAAUAUGAUUUUAUUUAUAAUGAUGAAUUAUGUAUGACGAAUGUUAUUAAUCGUCGCAAGAAAAUGAUACGAUACAAAGAAGUAUGAGACUUAAGAAAUUUGCACAAAUGAUCCUUUAAGGGCAUAAGUUUAUUUUUAUUAAAGUAGAUAUACUUUUAACUAUCGGAAUGGAUAGAAACAAUAGGAAACGGCCCCCCUUUUUUACGAGCAAAAUCAAUAUGUUGAGGGGGUCAAUGCCAUAAUUGUAACAUUAGGGACCAUUUGUGCCAAUUCCUUGUUAAUAAAUAUUCCGCUUUUGGGGUCCUUUGAAAAAAAAAAAAAAGAAAAAAAAAACUACCUAUCUCCCUUAAAGAUAGACUUCAUUUUCUUUUUCGUCAGUCCCAAAUUACUAGCUACUUUCCUUGAUGAAAGUGAAGAUAUAUUUUAAUAUUCUAAUAUGCCAUAUUUUAUGUAUCUUGUUAUCAAUAUAAUAUAAAACAAAUACUAUUUAAACUAUUAUUUAAUAUAGGAGUAUAUAUAGAAAAAUGUAAAAAAAUUUAUAUUUUCAAUUAUAUUAAUUACAUUUUCUUAAUAUGUGUCAAAAUAUAGAGAAGUUUAUUUUUAUGGGACGGAUGUAGUAAAUAAGAUGCACUGUGAAACAAGAAACCAUGAUGCUUGACAAUGACAAUCUGCAGUUACUUAAUAGCCUCCAAGCAUUAAAUAAUCAUAAGUCAUUAAAUGAAAAAUUGGUUUCUUAACUUGAAGACACGCUGAAGCAAUCCACAAGUCGAAAGUUCAAGAAUAGAAUGCAAUAUUUUUAGUAAUUGAUUUCAAAAUAAUGGUAAUCAAUUCACUAUAUGAUACAGAUAAUGAAUAUUUAAACAUGAGUAUAAACACAUCUCUGAAUACAUUAAGGAUCCAAUGAAAUUCAAUCUCCAUUAGUAGAAAACAGCUUAAAACUUGGAAUAUUUGGUUUUAUCAAAGUUAAUGGAACCUGAUUCAAAAUAAAAAUAAAAAGAUUCACAUGGUUAAGCAAAAAUGAAGUCACAAAUAAACAUGUUAAACAUGGACUUAAACUUUAUUGAAAUUACUUAAUUUUGAUUGUAAAUAACUUAAUUAUUUCUACUUGGGGACAACAAAGAAAUAAAUUACCUUGAACCUUAUUUACUUUUAUGUUUACUUUUGAAGAAUUUUAUAUAAGCAAAACUUAUAUUCAGAUUUUAGGGAUCAAUAUUUUCUCAUCCACUUACAAACCAGGCACUCGAUAAUGUUUUUAUAUUGGAUUCCCAGUAUACAAAUUCAGAAGGGUAAAUUGUUUCUGAGCCUUCGAUCAGGAUAUCAUUGAUGUCUAGUGGAUAGACUGAAAGUGUUUAAGAUCGAGUCAAUCUGUUGUUGUAUUUAUGCUUUUAUUGUUGCCACAGACCUCAAAGUCAUCUCAUAGCCCAUGAAUGGUGUUAGUAGGAUGCCGACACUAGAAGAGAAAUAGCAGGACAGGCAAGCACAUGGUUGGAGCCAUGGACCAAUGAGAAAUACCACUGAAAAUUUAUUGUCUGUGGGUUUCCGCCUCAUCCAUAUGUUGCAAUUCAUCCACCAAAACUUCGAAAUUCACUUCAUCGGGAGGAUUGGAGAAGCCUACUACUUCAUGGGGAGAGACUCUGUUGGCAAUAAACAUAUAUUCUGGCAUCCAAAACCUAAUUUUUAAGAAUUGAUUAAUAUAUAGUCAUUAUUUUGAUAAUCAAAUACAAAAAGCAUUGAAAUUAAGAAUUAUUGAAGAUUUCAGAAUUUCUUGGGAUUGAAAAGUUUCAUUCGAUCCUUCUUGCUCUUAGACUAAGAGCGUGUCUUCAAUUGAGAGAUGAAUUUUAAACAUCCUUUCAAGUUCAGGUAUCUUCAAUUGAGAUUUUAAUGAAAUCUAUUAAAAUUUAGAUGUUCUAAAUUGAAAUUUUAAUGAAAUUCAAUGAAAUCUUUUAAAGUUUAGGUAUCUUCAAUAAUUUGUGUAUUUAUAAAGAUUUCAUUAACAAAGGAAUUUUAAAAGAUUUUAAGUCGAUUUCAUACUUAAAAAUAUAUAUAACCAAAUAUUUUGAAAUUUCACCGUAUUUGAUGAAAUUCUUAUUGAAUUUGUGGAAAUCCAUUCAGAUCCACAAAAUUCCUUAGAAUUUAUAAUUUUUUAAAAUACAUCAAAAUCUUAGUUGAGAACAUCCCAGUAAAUGGGCGAUGUCUAUGUCAACUUUUUCUUAUUUUUUAUAUUUUCACUAUGUUUAUUGGCUAGAUUAUUUAUUAGGGCGAAUGAUAUAGGUGACUUCGUUAUAAUUAAUUGAUUUCUAUUCAUAUUUUAAUUAUUUAUUUUGACUAUUUAUUUUGUAAAUUGUAGCAUGAUUGAUUUAUUCUCUUUAUUGAGAAUAAGAGUUGAAUAACAUGAUAUUUGAUUGUAUGUAAGAUCAAAAGAUUGCAUGUUGAACACAUAAUCUUACUAUUCAUAAAUUUGUAGCUUAGCUUUAUUGCCACAAAGAUAAUUUAGUAGUUGCUAACCUACAGACAAGAAGCAAAAUAAAUGGGACAGUACACAUUGAUUGAGAAUUAUUAAUCAUUUAAAUAACACAUAAUCUUACUAUUCAUAAAUUUGUAGCUUAGCUUUAUUGCCACAAAGAUAAUUUAGUAGUUGCUAACCUACAGACAAGAAGCAAAAUAAAUGGGACAGUACACAUUGAUUGAGAAUUAUUAAUCAUUUAAAUAACACAAUCUUACUAUUCAUAAAUUUGUAGCUUAGCUUUAUUGCCACAAAGAUAAUUUAGUAGUUGCUAACCUGCAGACAAGAAGCAAAAUAAAUAGGACAGUACACAUGGAUUAAGAAUUAUUAAUCAUUUAAAUAAUACACUUAAAUAAUUGCAUUAUGAUUCAUUCGUCAUUUUUUAUAAAUAAUCCAAUGUGAUUAGCUAGAAGAGAAGGAUGUAGUCAAAAGAGUAAUGUUUUUCGAUACCAUUGGAAAAAUAUUGUCUUCACAUUAAGCUAUGUAUGGUGCACCAGAUUAGGCCAUAUAAAGAAUUUAGUGUAAAAUUAUAAUGAUACUACUAGGUAAAUGAUAUUAUGGUUAAUUAAGGUGAAUACUAAUCUUUAAUUUUUCAUUCGAAAAAUGGUCAUUUGCGCUAUCAACCGUAUAAUAUAGUACCGAGGUUGGAGGUAAGUUUAGGCCACAUAAAAGAGAGAUGAAAUGAUGGUUCAAAGACUAUUAUCAUUCUUUAUCCCCCAUAAUACCCUUUACCCAGUAAUAUUCAUUAUCAUUUAUACUAAUAUUUUAUUCUGUUUACUCCGGUGCACCUAAUAUGACCAUAAUAUUCCAUAAGGUUUUGUAUUUAUGCUAUGGUUAUGCAUUGUUAUCCACAAUUAUUUUUUUAUGAAAGUUAAUAAUAUAUUGGAUUGUUUUCCAAUUGUUGAUCCUACUCGGUAUUGAUUAUGAUUCAACAAGUUAGUUGAUCUGCGUCAUAGAUUAAAAUGCCCAGUGAAGAAAGAAACCAGGAUGCUUCACAAUGAUAGGGGAAAAAUAUUGUUUUCUCAGCUGGCACUCGACAAACUGAUAACAAAGCCUCCAUUUGGAAAUUUUUUUAAAAUCAUUUAUAAUGGUCAAACUUCAUUUUCAACAAUACAUAUCAAUUGACCUACAAUUAGUAUCUACUCAUUCACUACUAAUUCCUGUCUAUUUAUAAAUUAAACAGUUUAUAAAUUCUUCCAAAAUGAACAAGUUGAAAAAGUUACCCUAGUUGAUAAAUGGUCGAGUUGAUUAAGUUACACAAAAAUUAGUUGGCAGUGAUAAUAAAAUACAUGAAUUGCUUAGGGCCCUCUGGGACAGAUUGUUGUGGAUCCAAUUAAAAAUGAAAAAAGAAGAAAUUACUAUUUGAGUAAGAUACUUGGUUAAUAAUACACAUAAAAACGACUAUUAAAAUAAUCAAACUGGAAAGUUCAAGAAUAGAAGGUUAUGUUUAUUAUAUUUGAGUAUCAAAAUAAUCAUAAUCGGGAUCAUGACCUUUUUAUCAAAAUAAGUGAACUUUUUUACUUAAGGUUUUUCGUCAAAUGAAAACGAGAACCGAAUGAUGUUUAUCAAAGAAAAGAGCGAGAGGGACUGAUUAGAGGGCCAUCAACCAACUCAUAAGAAUAAAUAUAACUUUGUUCAAAAUCUUGGUAAACUUUUCCAUUGAUCUUUUCAAUUUUGUGUAUCAUCUGAAGAAUAAACAACACCAACAACAGGAAUGCCACAAAUUUUGAAAAGAAUAAAGGGGAAGGAGAAAGAAAAAAUAAAAAAACUCUAACAACCAUAGUCCAAAAAACAAUUUCAGCAAAGUUCUUCUCGAUGGAGCUUAAAGCAAAAAUUUAGUGAUUUGCUUCCAAAGCAUCAGAACCAUUUUGAUGGUUUGAUAUCAAUUAUGUGAACUAUUCGAUAAAUAAGGAAGAAAAUGAAGUUAUUAUUCUUCAGCAGCGGCACUUGAAGCACUCAGGUCUACUGACAAAUAGAGAACUUGAACCCAAAAAAAAAAAAAAAAAAAAAAAAAAAAAAAAAAAAAAAAAAAAAGUGAAAUAAAUAUAUAAACAGUAAAUAUCAAAUUUCUCUAAAUUAUAUGCACUUUCUUCAUGUAGAUUUCAUGACUCAUAUAUCCAUCAGUUACCUGUUGGAAAAAUUCCAAAGUAUGGAGACACACACACGCAUAUAUUAAAAUGUGUUGUGCUAGUUUAAAGCUUAGUCAAUAAAGUAAUCCGUUAAAGUCAAUUUCUGGACUAACGGGUAUUAAAUGUCAUGGAAAUGAAGUGUUGAGACCAGAAAAUGUUAUUUUAAAUUAAUGAGAGGUCAAUUUGAAAUAACACAAAAUUAAUAUCUGCUUAAUAUAGUUAUUUAUUCUGGGGUCAUGGUCCCAAUUGUAUGUGAUUUUCCAUAUCUCUCUACAUCCCCAUCAACAAAGAAAAAAAUUCCAAGCAAUUAUGUAACAAUUGGAAGACAUUAACCCAUUCACUCAUUCAGGAUAUUAACAACCGUGGAUCAAGGUACGCUUCCACAUUUUUUACUGUUCUCUUUGAUUUCAACAUGUAGGAUCAUUUAUGUAAUUUUGUGAAAGGAUUUGAUAAAAUUUUGGUUUCUUUCAAUUCAUACAAGUGGUAUUAGAGCACUCAAUUGUUGAAUUUUUGAGAAAUUGCAAGAAUAAAUGCUAUAACAAUUCUGUAUUGUGGGUUGUUUUUGAUCUUUUAUCAUAUGAUUAUGUGAAAUCUAGUUCUUACAGUAUUUUAAGAGUUUUCAAAUUUGACAAAUUGGAAUUUGUUUUUGUUGGAUUUGAAAAUUGUUCGGCAUAUUAUUCAUGGUUAUUUUUUUCAAAACUUGGAUUAAAAUUUUUAAAAUUUCAAUUUUUGAUUUUUCAGAUUUCAUAAAAAAGAAUUUUGAUUAGCCACUGUCGGCACUGCAGUGAUGCUGCAUUUUGCAGCAGCAGCGUCGGUCGCUAGGGAAGGAGAAAGAGAAAGAUUGAGUUGGAUUUUUUGGGAUGGGGGCCUGAGGUGCAAUUUUGGUAAUCUCAUGCCCUUGCUUGAAAUAAAGAUUAGGGUUAGUUAAUUUGUUAAAAUAUAAUUUUGCAUUUCAGUCACUAAAAUUUGAAAUCUAUCCAAGCUGGACCUUUAAAGCUCUAGGUUUAAUAAUUCAGUCCUUAAGUUUGAAUAUUAUUUAAUUUGGGUCAUUAAACUUCUAAAAUUUGUAAUUAAAGCCCUCAAUGUUUAUAAUUAAUUAAAAUUGGCCCCCAAAAUUUUNNNNNNNNNNNNNNNNNNNNNNNNNNNNNNNNNNNNNNNNNNNNNNNNNNNNNNNNNNNNNNNNNNNNNNNNNNNNNNNNNNNNNNNNNNNNNNNNNNNNNNNNNNNNNNNNNNNNNNNNNNNNNNNNNNNNNNNNNNNNNNNNNNNNNNNNNNNNNNNNNNNNNNNNNNNNNNNNNNNNNNNNNNNNNNNNNNNNNNNNNNNNNNNNNNNNNNNNNNNNNNNNNNNNNNNNNNNAUUGAAUUUCAUAUAUUCUAUUGGAAAUCAUUUCUUCCUCAUUUUCUUGUUCUUGAAGUGUUUUGGAAAUUUUCACUUUGCCAACUUAGUUUGAUCUUUGGGCAUUCAUUGGGAAUUGUUUUCCCAACAAUUUGGUAUCAGAGCUCCUUCCAAAAUCAAGGUGGUUAAGCUUCGAUUUUGUGGUGAGUUGCUUGAACUUUGUUGUGCACAAGGUGUUUGUGAAAAUUCCCAAGUGAACUUUUGUGAUUUAUUUUCGGUAAACAAGUGAGUAAAUCAUGUCUACUAAAGGAAUGGUGAAGAUUGGGAAGUAUGAGAUAGAAAAAUUCAAUGGGAAGAAUGAUUUUUCAUAUUGGAGAAUGCAAAUGAAAAUUUUGUCGAUUUCUCAAAAGUUGCACAAGGCAUUGGCGGGAAAGGAGAAGAAGCACGUUGAUAUGUCGGACGAGGAUUGGGAAGAGUUAGAUCUUGAGGCACGAGCGUCUAUCAUUCUUUGCCUUGAAAGAGAUGUUGCUUUCUUGGUUGAUAUCGAUUAUGUGAACUAUUCGAUAAAUAAGGAAGAAAAUGAAGUUAUUAUUCUUCAGCAGCGGCACUUGCAGCACUCAGGUCUACUGACAAAUAGAGAACUUGAACCCAAAAAAAAAAAAAAAAGAAAAAAAAGUGAAAUAAAUAUAUAAACAGUAAAUAUCAAAUUUCUCUAAAUUAUAUACACUUUCUUCAUGUAGAUUUCAUGACUCAUAUAUCCAUCAGUUACCUGUCGGAAAAAUUCCAACGUAUGGAGACACACACACGCAUAUAUUAAAAUGUGUUGUGCUAGUUUAAAGCUUAGUCAAUAAAGUAAUCUGUUAAAGUCAAUUUCUGGACUAACGGAUAUUAAAUGUCAUGGAAAUGAAGUGUUGAGACCAGAAAAUAUUAUUUUAAAUUAAUGAGGGGCCAAUUUGAAAUAACACAAAAUUAAUAUCUACUUAAUAUAGUUAUUUAUUCUGGGGUCAUGGUCCCAAUUGUAUGUGAUUUUCCAUAUCUCUCUACAUCCCCAUCAACAAAGAAAAAAAUUCCAAGCAAUUAUGUAACAAUUGGAAGACAUUAACCCAUUCACUCAUUCAGAAUAUUAACAACCGUGGAUCAAGGUACGCUUCCACAUUUUUUACUGUUCUCUUUGAUUUCAACAUGUAGGAUCAUUUAUGUAAUUUUGUGAAAGGAUUUGAUAAAAUUUUGGUUUCUUUCAAUUCAUACAAGUGGUAUUAGAGCACUCAAUUGUUGAAUUUUUGAGAAAUUGCAAGAAUAAAUGCUAUAACAAUUCUGUAUUGUGGGUUGUUUUUGAUCUUUUAUCAUAUGAUUAUGUGAAAUCUAGUUCUUACAGUAUUUUAAGAGUUUUCAAAUUUGACAAAUUGGAAUUUGUUUUUGUUGGAUUUGAAAAUUGUUCGGCAUAUUAUUCAUGGUUAUUUUUUUCAAAACUUGGAUUAAAAUUUUUAAAAUUUCAAUUUUUGAUUUUUCAGAUUUCAUAAAAAAGAAUUUUGAUUAGCCACUGUCGGCACUGCAGUGAUGCUGCAUUUUGCAGCAGCAGCGUCGGUCGCUAGGGAAGGAGAAAGAGAAAGAUUGAGUUGGAUUUUUUGGGAUGGGGGCCUGAGGUGCAAUUUUGGUAAUCUCAUGCCCUUGCUUGAAAUAAAGAUUAGGGUUAGUUAAUUUGUUAAAAUAUAAUUUUGCAUUUCAGUCACUAAAAUUUGAAAUCUAUCCAAGCUGGACCUUUAAAGCUCUAGGUUUAAUAAUUCAGUCCUUAAGUUUGAAUAUUAUUUAAUUUGGGUCAUUAAACUUCUAAAAUUUGUAAUUAAAGCCCUCAAUGUUUAUAAUUAAUUAAAAUUGGCCCCCAAAAUUUUAAUUUUUUUUUUCAAAAUUUGACCCCUAAAAUUUUGAAUUAUUAACCCUUAGGUCCCUAAAGUUUCAAAAGACAUCUAAUGAUGCAAAAUUAGUGAUUCUCUUUCUCAAAUUUUGGUAUUAAGGACUCUUUUAAGAUGCAUAGUUGAGAUUUAAUUAUGUGGAACAAUCAAAUUCAAAUAUUUUGAUAAAUCAUUUAUGAUAAAUUAAGGUUAUCUAGCAUUUUAAAUAAACUAAUUGAAACAAUAUGUCACCAAAGUGACAUUUUUGUGUAAAUUGGUUAGUUUGGGAUGUUUAGAUAUUGUGUGUGUGUCUGUUCAUACGGGUGUUAGUCGACCAAAGGAAGGUUAAUAUUUGGCCGAAUUACAUACACACUUGUGGUAGUGAAUGUGUAACAAUUAUAAGGUUUCCAUGUGAAUAAUAAAUCAGCCCAAAGAUGGGUUUAUUAUUUGAUAAGAGUUAUUGUCAAUAUUUGAUCACUACACCAAGAAUACCACUUGCAAUUAAUAUUAUUGUCCAAAGACUUGAUCACUACACCUAGAUAGAGCAUACCAUUAUUUGAAUUUAUUUUUCAUUAAAUGUGGAUAUGAGCAUGAUUAUUUGUUUAUUUUUGUUCUUUGUGCAGCUAAUUCAUCUACUACUACAAUAUCUGCCACUACAAUAUCUGCCAAUGUUAAUUCGAUUUACAAAUUUCAAGGAUUGAAAAGAGAACAUAUUGAUUGCUCUUGGCUGCAUGGAUCUUGACUUUGUACUUUGGAUUGAGGAACCCACACUUCUUACGGAAGAAAGUUCACCUGAUGAAAAGAGGAACUUUGAGAAGUGAGAUCGUUAAAAUUGCAUGAGUCUAAUGAUCAUUAAGCGCGACAUUAUGAAAGCCUUUAGAGGUGCAGUAUCCAAAGGGGUAACAAAUGUCAAGGAGUUCCUCGCAGAAAUUGAGAAGCAUUUUGCGAAAAAGUAUAAGGCUAAAACUAGCAUGCUUUUGUAAAGCUUGAUUUCAAUGAAGGAUAAAGGUAAGGAAAACAUAAAGGAGUACAUCAUGGGGAUGUCUCACAUUGCUUUUAAGCUAAAGGGCUAAAGCUUGAGCUAUAUGAUGACUUACUGGUACUUUUGGUAUUGAUCUCGCUUCCUGCAAUGUUCAGUCGAUUUAAGGUCUAUUAUAAUUGUCAAAAAGAGAAAGAGUCUAUAAAUGAGCUCAUUUCAUAUUGUGCACAAGAGGAAGAAAGGUUGAAGCAAGAAAGAACUGAAAGUGCUAACUUGACAAGCACUUCUAAGGAUAAGGGCAAGAAAAUUAAGAAAGAAUAUGAAUCUAUUCCUACAGGUCCAGCACAAAAGAAACAGAAGGAACAUAAAUGAACUUGUUUCUUUUGUAAUGAAACUGGACAUAUGAAGAAAGAUUAUACCAAAUAUCAUGCAUGGCGUGCAAAGGAAAGUACAAAUCUCACUUUGGUCUGUUCUAAAAAUGAUUUUGCUCCAGUACCUAGAAACACUUGGUGGAUAGAUUCUAGUGCUACUACUCACAUAAGUGUUUCUAUGUAGGGCUACCAGAGCUACUGAAAGCCAAGUGAUGGUGAAAAAUACAUCUAUGUCGAUGAUGGCAAAUCGGUUGAAGCUGAUGUAAUAGGCACUUUUGGGUUAUAAUUAGGAACUGGUUAUUAUUCAUAUUUGAAAGACACUUUUGUUGUACAGUCUUUUAGACAGAAUUUGAUUUUUGUUCGUAUGUUGGACAAUCUGGAUGCUGCUCUUCAUUUGGAAACAUUCAGUUUAGUCUUUCAUUAAAUUCUUAUGUUAUUGGUAAUGGUUUGUUAUCUGCAUAUGAUAACCUAUAUUUGCUUGAUAUUAUUGUAUCAUAUAAUGAGAUCUUGCAUGUAGAAUCAAGUGAUACUAAACGCAAAUUAAAUAAAGAGAAUUCAGCAAAAUUAUGACACAAGCGCUUAGGUCACAUCUCAAAAACUAGAGUUGAAUGACUUGUAUCAAAUGGUAUUUUGUUUUUCCUUGACUUCAUGGAUUUUAAUGUAUGUAUUAAUUGUAUCACGGGAAACCAGAUCAAAACAAGGAGAUUAGGUGCUAAUAGAACUUCGAAUGUCUUAGAAUUGAUACAAAUAGAUAUUUGUGGACCAUUUCCUACGACUUCUUGGAAUGGUCAACAAUAUUUUAUAUCAUUCAUAGACGAUUACUCAAGUUAUUGGUACCUAUAUCUCAUCCACGAAAAGUCUGAGUUGUUGGACAUGUUCAACCUUUUAAAACUGAGGUUGAGAAUCAACUCAAUAAAAGGAUAAAGAGCGUUAGGUCUGACCUUGGUGGUGAGUACUAGUUAGACGUGACAGUUCAAAUGAACAAUGUCUAUGACCAUUUGCUAAAAACCUAGAGGAAUGUUGAAUCACCAUGCUAGGAUCGCCUAGAUGAAUGGUGUAGCUAAAAGAUGAAAUAGGACUCUUAAAGAUAUGGUAAGGAGUAUGAUUAAUCAUUCCACCUUACCAAAAUCACUCUGAGAAGAGGUAUUAAAGAUCGUAACUUAUAUCUGAACAGAGUGCCAACUAAGGCUGCUGUUAAAACACCCUAUGAACUUUUGACAAGCAGAAAGCCUAAUCUAAAGCAUUUUCGUAUUUGGUGAUGUCCAGCUAAGGCUAGACAUUAUAGGUCAAAUAAAAAAAAAAUUAGACUCCAAAAUAGUGAGUAGUUAUUUUAUUGACUACUUUGAGUGAUCUAGGAGCUAUAAAUUUUAUGAUCCCACACUUAAGUCAAUUUUUGAAACGGGACUGCAAUACUUUUUAAGGAUGUUGAGUUUGGAAAGAAAAAUAAAGUUAGAGACAUUGUCUUUGAGGAAGAAGUUGAGGAAUGAUUGGUUUCAAUUCGUACUAUUAUCUUUGACAAUAUACAUGUUUCUAUAUCUAUCAUUGAUUAAGAAGUAUAUCCAAAACUCCAAAAAAACAAUGUUGACGAACCUCCCAUCCAAAAUGAGGUAAUUAUUUCAAAAGUACAAACUCAACAACCUCAAAAACCAAUACCAUUAAGGAGAUCCACGUGAGAAAGGAAAAGUUCUAUUUCGAAUGAUUUUAUAGUAUUUCUCCAAAAACAUGAGAAAAAUAAUGGAAUGGUGAAAGAUGAUCCAAUCAAUUUUCAUCAGGCAAUGUAGGGUUACAACUCUCAAAAGUGGAUUGAUACCAUGAAUGAGGAGUACAAGUCUAUGCAAGACAAAAAAGUUUGGGAUCUUGUCCCGUUACCCGAAGGUGUGAAGCCCAUUGGUUGUAAAUGGAUUUUUAAAACCAAUGGGGAUUAGAAAGAUAAUGUGGAAAGAUAUAAGGCUCGUGUUGUGGCUAAAGGCUUUACCGUAAAGGAAGGCAUCGACUUCAAAAAGAAUUUCUCUCCAAUUUCAAAGAACGACUAUUUCAGGCCAAUUAUGGUACUUGUUGCGCACUUUGACCUCGAGUUACAUCAAAUGGAUGUUAAGACAGUGUUUCUCAAUAGCGACAUUAUUGAGACGAUCUAUAUGGUGCAACCAGAAAACUUUGUGUUAAGAGACUCGAAGAAUAUGAUUUGCAAAUUAAAGAAAUCCAACUACGAACUCAAGCAAGCUUCCCGUCAAUGGUACCACAAAUUUCAUCAAGUAUUUAUCUCAUUUUGUUUUGAGAUGAAUGCCGUUGAUGAUUUUUUGUAUCACAAGUUUAUGGGAGUAAGCAUAUUUUUCUGGUUUUGUAUAUUGAUGAUGUACUGUUUACCACUAACGAUAUAGGCAUGUUGCACAGAAUCAAGAGACUUUAUCAAGGAAUUUUGAGAUAAAAGAUCUUAAUGAUGCCUAUUUUGUAUUAGGGAUUCAGAUAUAUCGGGAUUACUCUCGAGGUAUUUUUCGAUUGUCACGAAAGAGCUAUAUUGAUAAAGUACUUGAAAGGUUUGGGAUGCAAGACUGUAAACUAGGUGACACCCUUGUUGCUAAGGGAGGCAAAUUUAGUCUCAAACAAUGCCCAUAAAAUGACCUUGAAGUUAAGAAAAUGCAAAAGAUUUCCUAUACAUCAGCUAUUAGUAGUCUAAUGUAUGCUCAAGUUUGUACACGUCCAUACAUAUCAUUCAUUUUUGAAAUGUUAGGUAGAUAUUUAAACAACCCUAGGAUGGAUCAUUGGAAGGCAACCAAAAGGAUUAUGAGGUAUUUAAAGAGAACAAAGGAUUACAUGUUCACAUAUAGCAAAUUGAAUCAGUUCAAGAUCACAGGGUACCCGGAUUCUAAUUUUGCUGGAUGCCAAGGCAGUAUGAGAUCCACACCAGGCUAUAUCUAUCAACUAGCUAGAGGAGCUAGCGAUCGGAAAAAAAAUGUGUUUUGUUUCGUUUCAAAUAAAAUUCUCUUUUAGGACUCAAAUAUAAUUUGGGUUAUAUUAUUAUGUUGCUAUGACACUUCCUAAUAGUUCAAAUUAAAUUUUGGUCACGAAAGUAAAAUUCCGCAUACUUGAUUUUCUUAAAUUUUACAAGGUGUUAAAAUCGCUUUUAACUGACAAAAUUUUAUGUUAAUUUGGUUACAUUAUUUUUCUUAUGACACACUUUAUUUUAAUACUACCAUUUUUGUUUCCAUUAUGUAAACUAUUUUUUUUUUUUUGAAAUUGGACAAAUUACUUGCAUGUUUCAUCAUCCAUCAUUUAUGCUCCAACUUAUCAUUUUAAUAAACUUCCAUUUUUGUCAAUGCUAAAACCGUCCCCGAUCAUUCAUUUGAAAAUAAAAUUACAACUCCAAUUUUUAUCCAUUGCCCCCACUUUAUUAUCCAUUGUAACCUCCAAUUUUAACCAACCCUAUCUUAGCAUAUUAUUCUCCAUUUUGUUAACUGCCAACAAUUAUCAUUUUAACUCCCCACUAACCAUGUUUUUUUUUAUUUCCCCACAUCAGUUAACUGCCGGCCACAUCAUUUGAAAUAUAUAUAUUUAAAAAAAAAACUGCUGACUUUAUAUUUGAAAAGUAACGUGCACGCCCAUCAUUCAAAAUCCACCAAUUAUCUUCACUUAGCAUUUUAACUCUUAUCUAAACAAUUUCAAUUUCAACCUACCCACUAAGUGCAUUUUAACAUCCACUUUUGCACUGCCAUGAAACCAUCUCUUUUAUUUUAAGUCGUGAGUUCAUUUUCAAAGCUGAAAUCUCAACUUCUUUAGCCACUCUCUCUCUCCCUAUUAUACUUAUGCAUCAAAUUAUUUUGCCUCUUCUUCCAUAGACAAAACGAACUUUGAAUCUGAAAAUUUCUAAAGAAAAGGGCAAGACGUACGCUGCAUUUUAUUCUUUGGACACGAAAGGAUAUUUCAAACUCCAAGCAUUAAGGUAGGGGUGUUUCGGCACUUAUGUAAGUGAUGUAAGAUUUAUAUAUUUUCGUUUGCAUUAAAUGUGUUAUUGUGUUGCUCAUGAUGGAAUCACCGUUUGCUGGUUUAAACAAGAGAUGAAGAGAUGAUUAUGACAAAUGAAAUGGGGUUAUCAAAACCUAAGAGUAAGCGGACUGACUGAUCACCAAUUCGCUUGAAAUUGACGGUGACACAAUUGACCAAAGUUUACACUUCUGAAAAUAUAUAUUUUUACUGUUUACUUAAGUGUUUCCUACUGAGUAUUAUUUUUAGUACUCACCCCUUCUAAAAAUUUUAUAGGUUAAGAUCGAGGCAUGGUAGUGGUUGGUGUGGUGGCAAGUGUUCGGCGAUCUGAAAUGCUUUCACUUCAUAGUAAAGAUUUCCAUUUUGUAAAUAUUUUAUGGAUCUUAGAUGAACUUUUAGAAAUUCUUUUUAAUGUUUAUUUUGUUCCAUUUUUAGACAGUGCAUGUUAACAAGAAUUUAAAAGUGUUGGAUUGAUUUGUAUGAAGUUAUAUUUAUGCUGGGUGGAAAUUUCAGUUUCUGUCCAUCUAGUUGAAAAUAGCAUAACUUGGGCUACAGUGCAUUUUUUAAAGUGAAAUUAGUUGAUUUUGAAAGAUCCAUGAAUCUUCUAAUCGUAGCCUUUGGAAUUUCCUUAAAAUAUUAUCUAAAGAAAAAGUUAUGCUCAUUUUAGUAAACUGCAUCAUUACAAAUCCGAGUUUUCUGUCCAGCAUUUUAGAGCAACAUUUUCUUGCUUCAAACUUUAUCGUUGAGACCCCAAAUUUUUAUAUGUGGCACAUAUAUGAAUGCUUUAGUCCCUGUAAAAAUUUCAUAAAUUUUAAUAGACAUUCAGUAGGUCAAAUAUAUUAUCCUUCCGCUAUUGUUAAAUCCGUAAUUGUCGAUUUGCCUUCAAAUCUUUUAAAAGAAUCAAAUUUUGCUACAUUUGCCUAAGUUAUAUAGAUAACUACCUUCCAUUAUAUUUUUAUAUAUUUUAAAAAAAAAUGGAUUUAUAAAAUACUUUGGCUAGCGUCAAAGGGGUCGAACCAAAGAAAGAAACGAAUAUUAUUUUAAUGCUCCGGUUUCCGAGAAUUUGUGUAUUUUGAUAUUUUCCUAUAUAGAAAUGAAGUAUUCAGUUCAUUCCACUCUAUUAUUAUGUUCAGUAUUGAUGUCACUUAAGAAAUAAUGUUGGACUAGUUGGAAAUAGACAUGUUCGGGUCACAUAAUAUGUAGUUUCCAUGCUAGACUCCCAUGAUUGAUCUAUUCAUUUGGUUGUAUGGGUGUACGUGACCAUUGAUGGAUUUAAUCACACUAAAUGAGACGAAAAUCGCUUUGAUCCUACAUUAAUAUAACCGAUGGACGAAAUUGUUUGGAAAUACCCUUAAUAAUGAUAGCAGAAUGUUGAGCUCAUAAAUCUAAGCACAUUUGUAAUAUUACAUGUAUGAUCCAAUGAGAGAUUGUUGGAAAAAUUUCCAACGUAUAAGGCCACACAUGUGUGUAUAUAUAUAUAUAUUAAAAUAUGCGGUGCUAUUUUAAGGCUUAUUCAAUAAAGUGAUCCGUUAAAGUCAAUUUUUGGACUAACGUGUAUUAAAUGUCAUGGGAAUAGAGUAUAGAGAUCGAAUGAUGUUAUUUUAAAUUAAUGAGGGGCCAAAUUGAAAUAAAAUAAAAUUAAUAAUUGCUUAAUGUAUUUAUUUAUCAUGGGGUCAUGGUCCCCAAUUGUAUGUGAUUUUUCAUAUCUCUCUGCAUCCCCAUCAACAGAGAAGAAAAUUCCAAGAAAUUACGUAACAAUUGAAGGAUCUUAACCCUUUUAGAAUACUAACAACUAUGGAUCAAGGUACGUUUCCGCUUUUUUAAUGUUCUCUUUGAUUUCAAUAUGGAGUAUUUAUGUGAUUUUGUGAAAGGAUUUGAUAAAAUUUUGGUUCCUUUCAAUUCCUACAUUGCCUUUCCAGUUAUCUUGGUGUACAUGGCUAGAAUAUAUGUUACAGUGGACUAGAAGUGUGUCAUUGCAUCAUAACUCUGCAACAAAUGAUAAAAACCAUAAAGCGAUUGGUGCAAAACAAUGUCAAAGGUAUAAUGAAGAUGAAUAUUACAAGUUUUUCUUCCACACAUCCAUCUGUCUUAUCUCAGAAAAUGCUAGGGCGGCCUAAUACAUAGAUAUGAAUUCCCAAUAUAACCCUAUCAUAAAGUCGAUCUGUAGUUCAAGAGAUAAGUGAAUAAUAUAAUUAGGCUUCACAGAGUCAAUAUAUCCCUAUGAUUAAAGGUUGAUAAGCAAUUCAAGAGAUAAGUAAACAAUAUAAUUAGACUCUACAGAGUCCAACAAUUACUAUAUUUAUCCUAUAAGAGUAGCACAAAUGAACAACAUCCAGUUCUCACUUGCAAAGAUUCAUAUGUUAAUAUAGACAUAAGUUGAACACUUACUCUUGAAAUGAAACAAUUGUCACCAUCACUAUUAUUAGAGGGUACAAAUCUGUCAUAAGUCUCGUAAAAAAAUCUCGUCAAUUAGUCCAAGGAGGUCUACUCCAGGCUUCAUUUCAACUUUGGGAUUGUGUGUCUCUAUUUCUACUGAAACAAAUGCAAUAUAUUUUCCUUUUGGUGCCACAUUGUGUGCGUAAGAGCAGCUGACCAUAAACCUUUUGUAAAUAAACAAUUAUGUCUUUGAGGAUAUCUUGACUAAUUAUCUGAAAAUGGUCUCUUGUGGUCCAAAUGAAAAAUAUAUGCUCAAAUAUUAGAAAUAUUCAUCAUGGUAGCAAUACAUAAUAACUUGCUACAAAGGUCUUGAGAUAGACAGGCAUAGGAGGUCCACAUGAUGAUACUACAAAACACAAAUAAAUGCCCUUAGUCUAGAUCAUCUUCGUCAAUUUAAAAUUUCUGCUUCACGAAUUUUACUUUUUUUUAUUGUUUCUAUAGGGUUUUUAUGUACUCUCCCCUCGCAUGCGGGGAGGGGCCCACGCCCAAUUAAUGCGAUCCCCUGUGAGGGGGCUGUACACUGAGCUCAGUGUACAUGUAGCACUCUCCAGUGAAUAUUAUUUUGUAUACAUCUUUACAAACAUGUAUCUACGCUAUUGUACAAAGAGCGCAGCCAUAGUAUAUGUAAGAAUUUUAAAAUGCACAUCUGAUAUAUACAUUCUCCGUAAUAAAAAGGAAAGAAAUGAUAUAUAAGGUAAUAAAAUGUGCACAUUAUUUAUCACCAACCAAGCCUCAUCUAGUAUGCACAUAUCAGGAGAAAAUCCCCCCAUUGGUCACUGAAUCUUGCAAAAAAUCCCCUAGGUGGUCACCGAAUUUGAAUACGUCCCUAAAUAGUCACUAAACGUUUUUGAAGUUCCCCCCAAGUGGUUACCGAACUUCAAAAUGUCCCCGAAUGGUCACUAAACUUUGCAAAAAGUCCAUAGGAGGUCACUAAACUAGUAAUGUAUGGGGUCCCAAUUCGCAAUGUUAAGUGACCUCUCUGGAGGACUUCGUCAAAGUUCAGUGACCAUUUUGAGAUGUUUUGAAGUUCAGUGACCUCUUGGGGAGAUUUCGGCAAAGUUUAGUGACUAUUUAGGGAUGUGUUGAAAUUUGGUGACCUUCUAGGAGAUUUCCUACAAAGUUCAGUGACCAUUGGGGAAAUUUCCUCCGCAUAUCAACAUAUAACCAUACAUAUUACAAGUAGCACUAAAAGGUUCGGUUAUGCAUAUGUCUAACAUUAAGACAAAAAGUGGUAAAUAUUGUUGAGCGGAAGAUGAUGACCACCAAGGUUUGAACUGGGCUUAGUUUUUUCCCAAUCAACACCACAAGCAAAACAACCAUAAACCUCCUUCACAGCCUCUCCCACUUACGGUUGCUAUAGUUACCCACUUAGAGAGCCACAAAGGGGAAUGAAAUCACAAUGAGAACAACCACAGAGGUAGCAAAAUGAGUGAAUAGAAUCGAGGUAGAGAGAUCACAAAAGAGGUAGCCGAUUUUUCUCGCACAAAGAGAGACCGUGACAAGGGAAAUAUAACCAAAGCAAUGGGACAAUCAAGGUAAGUAGGGAUAGGGUAUGGUAAUGGGUCAAAAGGAGACCUAACACAUGGUUAAAUGGACCACUAAGUGUGUUACCCUUUAUUUAGCCAUUUAGGUAAGUGAGAUGGGCCAUGAGUGGCACUAAUUUAAAUUAGGCUACUUCUAAUGGCCCAAAACAAUUUUGGGGUUGGGUCAUUUCGUUUGAGGCGUUGGUAUAACGUUCAGUCAUUUGAUCAAUGUUGACUGAAAAAAUAAACCGAGAUCACAUAUCGUUUGACAACAAUUUGCCUAAGAAAUAUAAAGAAAUUGUGAUACCAUCUAGUUAGACAUAUGUGUCAGUUAGCCUUCAUUUUAUCACUUAACAAAUUACCAAAAAUUCACAUUUGAGCUUAAGAUUGUUGGAAAACAAGUUCAAUUAUCUUAGCAUUCUUAGUUGCCUCCACAAUCUAACAAAAAAGGCACUUUAACAAUUGACAACUUUUUAUUAUAGGGAACAUUCAUUGAUCAAGCAAUGACAGUGCUAGAAUAAAGGACUUAAAUUUACCUAGAAAUAGUAAUGUCUAAUGGACAAAUUUCUGGUUACUCCAUUUCAAUUAUUAUCAGACACAAAACGGUAUUUUACAAAAGAAGAAAAGAAUAUACGAUUGGCCGACUAAUAGUCUAAGUGUCUAAUUGAAAAUUCUAGAGAUACCAAUAUUAACCAAGAUUCUAAAAAACAUAAUCAUAAACUAAAAAUAAAGUACAGGAAAUAAAAAUGAACCCAAGGAUUGUUUCGGCCGAAGCCCCAGAGAUUCGGCGACCACUUCUAAUGUCUAAUCCUCUGUUGAGCAUCCAUUAAAAUGGGUAAAGCUCGGUUGCACUAUAAAGCCCCAAAAUCAGGCACUAAAAAUUACAAGAAUAUUCUAGCUUUACAAGAAAUAAAGUCACCAACACUUAUCUUUAAAAUGAAGCACCAAUCAAGCCUCACUCCACUAAGGAAUCAAGAAACUCGGAUCACACAGGUCACAAAAACAAACUGCCCUCUUCGAACCACAGAAGAAUGAAUGCUAAUACACAGUGUAUCACUUUCUACUGAGAGACUAUACACAAAAUCACAAAGAUUUCACAGAAAUUUGAACUUCCAACAUGAAUCACGCAGAUUCAUACACCAUACCAAAAAACCCAGUAUAUUAACACAAGUAAAUGGAGUAGAACUUCAUCAUUCCUCAAGACUACACUAGAGAAUCACUCAAAAUUGGCUUGAAUAUAUGAAGAAGAGGGAUUUCAUAACAGAGAAGAAAAGAGAUGAAGAGGCGAUCCCAAACCCUAGAGAAAAUCUCUCAAAUCUAAAAAUGUAAGAAUAAAGUCUCUCUCUCCAAUCUGUAAAAUCACGUUCCCAGUAGGGAGUCACAAGAUUUCAUAAUUGGAAGUCUGUAGAAUCUGAUCGGAUGGUCAUCAUGAUGCCAUGUGUCGAAAUCUUGUUAAUUGCCACAUCUAAUAGAGUUGUCAUUUUGAAAACACGUUUUUCUCCACAGAUUUUUGGAAACAUACUUGACAAAAUAAAAAUCAGUAGUUUGAAUUCUCAACAAUCUCUACCUUGUUUCCAAAAUUUAAGCCUAUAGUGCAACCAGGAGCUUCACCAACAUUUAUAAUUUCAUUUGCUCUAUUGUACCUGUACAAUCAAUGAAAAGAAUCAAUAGAUAACAUCUUUAAACAAUUUUGAAACUUAUUGAAAGGUAUCACCUUAGUUCCCAUAUCGGAUGGAUUAUACAAAGUCGGUAUUUUAUUAAUUUUCAGCAAACAUUUUGAAAUAAUAUCUCUUAUAAAAUGGUAUUUUACAUCAACAUGUUUUGUUCUAUCAUAAAACAUGGGAUUCUUACUCAAAUGGAUUGCACUUUGAUUGUCAAAAUAUAGCGUUGGAGUAGUAUCUACAAAACCAAGUUCAUUCAACAAACCAUAAAGCCUUAUGUCUUCUUUAAUGGCAUCAGUUGCAGCAAUAUAUUCAGUCUCAGUGGCAGAUAGAGCAACAAUUUUUCGUAACUAAGAUUUCCAAAUUAUCAUAGUACCACACAAAGUGUAAAAAUAAGAUGAAGUUGAUUUUCUAUUGUCUCUAUUUCCACCAAAAUCAGAAUCUGUAUAACCCUUUAAAAUGACCCCCUCUUUGUCCAUUUUAAACAUCAAACCCAAGUUGUAUGAACCCUUUAAAUAUCUUAAUAACCACUUCAAGGCUUCCUAAUGAGUUUCACUAGGAUUUCUCAUAAAUCUACUUAAAACGCUAAUAGUAAAAGCCAAAUCAGGUAUGGUACAAAUCAUUAAGUACAUGACUGAACCAAUAGCAUUAGCAUAAGGUAUUUUAGACAUUCUCUCAAAUUCAUCUUCAGUUUUUCGACACGAAUCAAAUUUUAAAAUAAAGUGAUUGGCAAGGGGUAAAGUCACAGGUUUACAAUCAAACAUAUUAAACUUCUUAAGGAUCUUAUUCAUAUACUCUUCUUGAUAUAAAAACAACCAAUCAGAUUUUUUCAUCUCUUAUAAUAUGCAUGUCAAGUAUUUUCUUAGCGGAACCAAGAUCCUUCAUAUCAAAUUCUGAUUUUAAUUUGUGUUUGAUAUCAUCAAUUUCAGAUUUAUUGACACUAGCAAGAAGCAUAUCAUCAACAUAAAGCACAAGAUACAAAGAAUCUUUACCUCCAUUUCCUUUACAAUAAAGACAUGUAUCAUAAUUGCUUCUACUAAACCCAAGCUUCAAGACAAAUGAAUCGAAUCUUUUAUACCAUUGUCUUGGAGCUUGUUUUAGGCCAUACAAAUAUUUUUUCAACAAACACACUAUUUUUUCAGGAUUUUCUUUAAUAAAUCCUAUAGUUUGUCUCAUGUAAAUCACUUCAUCCAAUUCACCAUAUAAAAAUGCAGUUUUUACAUCUAGUUGAUCAAGUUUCCACUUAAAUUGUACAACCAAAGAAUACAUCUUAUAGUUGUGUAUUUAACAACGGGGAAAAAAAUCUCACAUAGUCCACACCCUCUUUUUGUGUAAAACCCUUGGCAACAAGCCUAGCUUUGUAUCUAACAUUGUUAGUGCCACCUUCCCCUUCUUUUAUCUUAUAAAUCCACUUGCAAUCAACUAGCUUCUUAUUCUUAGGUCUAUCAACCAAUUUCCAAGUUUUAUUUUUGUAUAGGGAAGAUAUAUCUUCUUCCAUAGCACUCAACCACCGCUUAGAAUCUUUAGAUUUUAAGGCUUCAUGAUAAGAACUAGAUUUAGUCAUAGAUUCAUCUUGAUAAGUGAACAAAGACACAAAGUCUUCACUAUUAAACCUAGCUGGUGGUCUAAUUUGUCUCCUAUCCCUGUCUCUAGUGAAUUGGUAUUCAUCUAGAGGUGUGUUAUCAUCAUUAUACUGCUCAGGUUCAGACAAAUCAGGCUCUUUUUCACUCUGAUUAGCCUCCUUAGUUGCUAUUUCUAAGGGGACAGAACUGGUAUUACUAAUUUUAAUAGGCUCACCUCAAUUUGGACAUCAUUUUCAGUCAAAUUUCCCUCUUUUCCUUCCAAACAUGGCAUACAUGACUCAUUAAAGACCACAUCCCUUCUUAUAAUAACCUUGUAACCUUUUUCCCCAUAAACCCAAAGCCUAUAUCCUUUAACGUUUUCAGCAUAACCCAAAAACACACAUUUAAGGGAUCUAGGUUCAAGUUUCCCUAUGUUUUGUUGAUCAUAUGCAGUACAACUAAAUGUUUUCAAGUAAGAAUAGUUCACAGGCUUUUGUACAGGCUUUUGUGUCCACACAGAUUCAGGCAUAUCAAAAUUUAAAGUACUUGUAGGACUUCUAUUAAUCAAAUAUGCAGCAGUUUUAACAGCUUCACCCCAAAAUAAUUUGGGCAAACUGGAACUCAAAAGCAUACAUUAACUUUAUUCAACAAAGUCCUAUUCAUUCUUUCUGCAAUGCCAUUUUGCUGGGGUGUGUAGGUCACAGGUCUAUGUCUUAAAAUGCCAUUCAACUUGCAAAAAUCAUUAAACUCAUAACUACAAAAUUCUAGACCAUUGUUGGUUCUCAAAGUUUUGAUUUUCAAAUCAUUUUGAUUUUUAAUUUGGGUUUUCCAAUCUUUAAAUGUGGCAAAUGUUUCAUCUUUAGUUUUCAAAAGAAAUAUCCAAAUUUUUCUAGAGAAAUCAUCAAUUAUAAACAAGUAAUACUUGUAACCAGACAAUGUAGGGGUGAAUGCAGGGCCCUACAAAUUAGCAUGUAAGUAUUUUGGAAUUCGCUUUGAUUUAUGAGUACUAGUGGGAAAAGGUAACUUAACUUGCUUCCAAUUAAACAUUGUUUACAUUUAGACAAAUCACCAAUAUUUGAUUUUCCAAAUGCAUCUUUAUUUUGUAAAGCCUUUAAACCUUUUUCACCAAUGUGAUCAAGUCUACAAUGCCACAAUUUUACAAGAUUAAAGUUAUCAUCUAAAACUGCUGCUGAAAGGUCCAACAAAGGUUUUGCAUUUAAAAAGUAUAAACCAUGUCUCUUUGGGAUAGAAGUGAUCAAAUCACUACCCCUAAAAAAUUUCAUGUGUCCUUGACCCAAUUUUAUGUCAAACUCCAUGUCAUUCAACAUUUCUAGAGACACAAGGUUUCUUUCUAAUUCAAGAACAAAUCUAGCAUCUUUUAAUGAUAAAAUUCUGCCAUUUUCUAAGAGCAAUUUUAUGGUUCCAAUACCUUUCACUUUGUAGGUCAUAUUGUUUUCCAUGAUAACUUGGUCCCCUUUAAUUUGUUCAAAGUCCAAAAAAUAGUUUUUAUUAGGGCACAUGUGGAAAGAGCAACCUGAAUCAAGAAUCCAUUCUUGAUUUAGGUUCCUUUCCACAUUUACAAGAACUAGGCCAUUAUCAAAUUUUUGCUUAUCAUAGGACAAAACAACAUUAUCCUCAUUUAACUUCUUUCCUUUCAAAUCAUUUUGCUUUUUGUAGCAAUCUUUUGCAAAGUGACCCAACUUACCACAAUAAUAACAUUUCUUUCCCUUUGCCUUAGUUUUGGAUUUCAUUUUGUCAUUGUUUAUUCUCUUAGGGUCAUUUUGAAAUUUUGAAUGAAAAUUAGAUUUACCAACAUUUUUGCCUUUUAUCAAAAGAUUUUCUCCACUUUGUUGGUUGAUAAAAUCUAAUUUUAAUUCUAGAACUCUAUUUCUUAAGGCAUUUAUAAUGAUAUAUGUGGUAAGCUUGUCUUUACCAUAUUUCAAGGCAUUCUUUAGCUUUUUAUGCCUAUCACUAAUGGAGUUUAACAAGACCACAACUAGCUGAUCUUCUAAUAAUUUCUCAUCACAGUCGGCAAGGUCCUGGGUCAAUUUUGUAAAUCUGUCCAAGUUCUCAUCUAAGUCAAUAGAAGGAUCCAUUUUGAAUGAAAAGAAUUGUUUUAGCAAAAAAUAUUUGUUUGGACCGUUUUUGGAUCAUAUUGGGCUUUCAAUUUAGCCCACAAUUCUUCAACAGUUUUAGUUUCACCUAUAGGUUUGAUCACAUUGUCUGAAAGGUACAAGAAAAUAGUACUCCAUGCUAUUUCUUCUAGCUCAGAUCUUUUUGUAGCAAACAUUUCAGCAGGCCGAGAAUUAUCUAAGGCUUUAGCACAUUUCAUUUGCAUCAAGAUAGCCCUCAUUUUCUGGCUCUACAUAUUAAAGUCCCCCCCUCCCAUCAUACAUGCUCACUUCAAGCUUAGUAGUAGCCAUGACAAGAUUUACCAAGACAGUUCACAGAACACAAGUUUGAAUUCAAGAACACACACAGGGAUACACAAUAAGAGUACUGCAGGCAGAACAGGGGAUUUGGGAUCAGUGACCAAUGCACUUAUAUUAUUUUCACAAAACAGUAAACACUUAACACUAAGUAUAGAAAGCAGAAUCACAAAGAACAGAGAUGACAAUCCUAUGCCUCAACUAACUUCUCCAGCAAGACCUUCCAAUUGCACUCCUACUAGUGUUGUUAUCUCAGAUUCCUAAGACUUCUUGAGUCUUUGGACAAAGACCAGCCAUAGUAGGUUUUGUUAGUGCAAGGUAAAUCAAGGGAAAAAUUAGGAGACCCUACUACAAAGAUUAAUUACAGAAUGCAGGAAAGAUCUCACCAAUGAGUUUGAUAAAACUCAAUUUCCACCUGCCAAUGUUUACUGCAGGUUUCAGGAAUAAGGUUUAAUCAAGAAAUCAAAAAGCACUAGUAGUUCAGGUUGUUUUGAUACCACUGAAAAGUCGAGAGAUAUCAAUAUUAACCAAGAUUCCAAAAAACACAAUCAUAAACUGAAAGGAAAGUGUAGGAAAUAAAAAUGAACACAAGGAUUUUUUCGGCCGAAGCCCUAGAGGUUCGGCAACCACUUCUAAUGCCUAAUCCCCUGUUGAGCUUUCAUUAAAAUAGAUAAAGAUCAGUUACACUAUAAAGCCCCAAAAUCAAGCACCAAAAAUUACAAGAAUGUUCCAGGAAUUACAAGAAAUAAAGUCACCAAGACUUAUCUUUAAAAUAAAGCACAAAUCAAGCCUCACUCCACUGAGGAAUCAAGAAACCCGGAUCACACAGGUCACAAAAACAAACUGCCCUCUUCGAACCACAGAAGAAUGAGUGCUAAUACACAGUGUAUCACUUUCUACCGAGAGACUAUACACAAAAUCACAAAGAUUUCAUAGAAAUUUGAACUUCUAACAUGAAUCAUACAGAUUCAUACACCAUACCAAAAAAACCAGUGUAUUAACACAAGUAAAUAGAGUAGAACUUCAUCAUCCCUCAAGUAUACACCUGAGAAUCACUCAAAAUUGGCUUGAAUAUGUGAAGAAGAGGGAUUUUAUACAUAGAGAAGAAGAGAGACGAAGAGGCGACCCCAAACCUUAGAGAAAAUCUCUCAAAUCUAAAAAUGUAAGAAUAAAGUCUCUCUCUCCAAUCUGAAAAAUCAUGUUCCCAGUAGAGAGUCACAAGAUUUCAUAAUUGGAAGUUUCCAGAAUCUAAUCGGAUGGUCAUCAUGAUGCUAGGUGUCGAAAUCUUGUUAAUUGCCACAAGUAAUAGAGUUGCCAUUUUGAAAACACGUUUUUCUCCACAGAUUUUUUGAAGCACACUUGACAAAAUAAAAAUCAGAAGUUUGAAUUCUCAACACCAACUUUACGUGGAAGCGUUCAAAUAAUUUUGUUAAUCUUGAUUCAAAGAGAGAAAUUUCUUCCUUUCAUAACGGUGGUUUUAGAGAAAUUCAAAAUUUCCGUAAUGGGAUAAAAACUCUUUUGGUCACCAAACUUUAAUAUGUACUUCAGUCAUCGUAAUUAUUUUAGCAUAAAUGGUCAGUGAACUUAUAAAGUUGUUCCAAUUAAGUCACUGGCUAUGAAUCCAUUAGUUAAAUUUAACACAUUUGGGGAUGUGCCUACAAAUUCAAUCUCGCUACGGUGAUAUUAAAUUUGACAGUUUUUUUUACAGUGUGUGAAGUGGCACACUUUUUUACCCUUGAUUUCAACAACACUUAAAAUAAUUCGUGGCACAUAUUUUUACGUCUUAUAAAAUGUCAACCUUAAUGUAUACAUAGAAUGUACUAAUAGCAUUUUCCCUACAAAUUUUUGCAAGAAUUAUGUGAGAAAAGAAAUGACAAUAAACUCAAGUCAAAUUAAUAUCCACUUCAAUAAUAAGUGUCUGAGUUUAAACAUUUAAGCGAGUGCUAUGAAAUCAAAAUCACAUGUGAUGCAAAACAUAAUUGUAAUGUUGUGUUGCUCAUUGGACUGUUUUCAUCCAAAAUAGACACAAAAUUCCUUGAAAAAUUACUUCUUUAAAUCCUAGUCUAAUGAGCAAAACACAACGGCUUUACCCCCUAUUUACGGUCCAUUUUAGUCAAAUUUCAUCGUUUAGGGUUUCGAAAAUGAUUUUUUUUCACGUUUUUAAUUGAUUUUGUUAAUUUUAAUUAAAUUAGGAUUUUAAUUCCUUUUAGGAUUAUAUUAUCUUUAAUUCUUAUCAUUGUCUGAAGUAAGUCAUUAUCUAGAAGUUUAGUUAUUAUCCAUAUUUUAAUUAUUGCUUUAAAUAUAAGUUGGAAGCCUUAAUGGUCUUAAUUGAAUUUAAUUAUAAUAAAGAGCUUUGAGAAGUUUCUCAAAAUUAUUCCAUCUUUCUUGACAUUCGUGAGCGAAUCAACAAGUUUGAAUCUUUUGCGAGUUUUUGUUCUUCCCUAUAAGCUUCCGCUACGUCAACAUGUCAAACACUAGCUUAUUAAUGCCAUCUCAUAAUUCUUAUAACUACCGUCAAUGACAUAAACAACAACACCUAAACAAAACCAUAAACUUUAGUAAUUGAUAUGGAAGGAUUGUCUUAACUGAAAUAUCUUUGUAAGUUUACCGACAAUCUAUGCUAAAAGGGAGUCACUAAAAUGUCACAUUUUGAGAGUUUGAUGACCAGAAAAGUUUGUUAACCUGUUCAGAAAUUAUAUAAAUAUAAAAAUGAUGAAUACUAACUUCACGUAUCAAUGUUACAUACUAGUCAUUCUCAUCCAAGACACAUGAGAGCGUAGUUGAGAUUGAAGACCAAGAGUUGAGGCAUCACAUGGAAUUGACCCAUAAUCUCCAUUGCCUCCUCCUCCUCGUCCUUCUUCCAAUUGUCUCUCAUGUCUCUCCCCUCUCUAUUUCUUGAUAUCGUUUUUUUGUGACAUUAUUUUGUAUUUAAGAUCUGUUUGCCAAGCUAAAUGGUUAAUCUCCUUUUACAAGAUAAAUAAAGUUAUAAAAUUUGAGAAAUUGUCGCAAAUGGUCACUAACCUUAGUCUACCUUGUGGAAAUGGUUUAUAAUAUGUUUCUUGGCACAAACCUCACCGACCAAUGUGUUUUAGUGCUAUUUUGGUCCUUUUUAUGAAAAAGACCAAAAUGCUCUUAAAUUUUUGUUAGAAAAAAUUGCAGUUGGGUUCCUAAACUUUGCAAAAAGGUGCAAAUGGCUACUUUACCGUAUCUUCUUAUAAAAUAAAUUGAAGGAAACUAACAAGAUCAUUUUUGUUCCGAUUUAAAACUUUAUUGAUCAAAUUGAUUAUAUGCGUGAACAUUUUUUAUUUUUUAUUUUUUUGUGUAUAUUUUACAAAUCUAUUAUGAACUAAUUUAAGUUUAAACUUGUACUUAAUUAACAAUAGCAUGUUAAAGAAAAUUAUUGGUUGUAUUAUUAAGUAAUUACGCUGUUUUAGAAUUUAAACUUUUAUUUUAUAUUUAUAACAAAAAGAUAAUAGAAAACAAUAUUUUAUCACGAAGACAAAUCUGUGAGUAUUAAGCAGGUAGAUGCUCUCAAAAUAAAGCAGUCGGCUUGGAUACAACAGUUGGGUGAUUAUAAAAAAUAGACUUGUGUUAUAUCACCAAAUUACAAGGUAGUGAACUACAUGUUCAAAUAAAUGAAUUUCGUAUCUUAACAUUUAAUCUAGCCAAUGAUUAAAUGUUAUUUAUUGUCAUGUGUACAAGUUAAUUAACAUCAAUAUUGUUACACAGAAUUAUUCUUUCAAAUUAGGCGAAACUGUUUUUAGCAAUUGUUAGGCUUUAUUUAUUAUUUUUGUUGAAGGGUCAAAUAACUGGAGUCAUGGUUGCGAGGGUAGGGUUUGUAUUUAAAAGUCCAUUGGUUCCUCGAAUUAGGUGUAUAUUAAAAGGUUUGAAUUCGCUCCAAUCAUCACAAUUAUUUUUGUAACAAACAUGGAUUACAUGAUAUGUUUGGCCACGACAUCAUAGUUAAUAUACAGUGCAACUUGCAAGUGUGAAAACAACAUUCCUACCACAAAUGAAUUUCGAACUCUACUUGAGGGGAAUGGGCUCAAAUAGUAAAGCUAAAAUGCGAUCUUUAGUUUCAUGAUUUUGAAUUCCAUGUCCAUCUCCAUACUGGUACAUGUAUUGUGCCAUUCGAGCAAGAUUCACUGCAAUUUCAAUGAAUGUUUGUGAGAAUGGACAAUUUGCAUCUCGACCUUUGUUAAUCUUUUUCCAGGUCUCGCAUAUCAAAAACCUUAUGUGUUUGCGUGACUCAUCUUCGGAAGCACCAGUCUCAUUCAUGUAACAUUGUAUUGAUUUAGGAACGUCGCCUCUUUCCAAUUCAUCCUGAAUUAAUAAAGCAUAAAAAACACCUUUAGUUGAAAGGGUUAAUUUCGAAUUCCUAUUGUCUCGUUGAUUUCAUUAACCAAAAAUCUCGUAAACAUGAAAUGAAAUGGCUUGCUGCAUACGUACCGAUGAUGUUGCUAAAUCAUCUGCAAGCCUUAAAAUCGUAGCCGACCAACGAACUAUAUCAGGAUAUUUCUCUAAGCACUGAAUGGCUUCUUUCUCUAUUGGAUUGGUAACAGAGAAAAAAGAGUGUGACAAUAUUACAUGAGCUGAUAUUGAAAUCAAUGCGUUUUCCAUAUACUCUUCCAUUGUUGGGGUGUAUCCAGUCAAGCACCAUUUUGCCUCUUGAAAGUAUGCUUUGCAUAAAUCUGUCCACUGUGACAUUGAUUUGACAUGCUUAUUUUAAAUAUCUUAGAUCAGAAAAUUUUAAAGAUAUUUAAAACAUAUAGAGAAAUUUCUGUUGGUUGUACUAAAUGAUAAAAUACGAGAUCGCUAUAGAAACAAUACUCAAUAUAAGGGCUCGUGCAAUUGUGCUACUCCUCUUAACUUUGUUAAUAUUUUAAGAUAGAAGUCUACGACCCAGAAGGCGUAUCAUACGAGAUUUGACAAUAAAACGAACAAUAUUUUCUUUUUCUUCUUUAAUAUUAUUUGAUGUUAUCUAGCGUGUGUUUGAGCCACAGAAUUUUGAAAGAAUGUAUGGUUAAAAAAUAAGAAAAUGUUUUGGAUUUAUGUGUAAUAUUAUUUUAUUAAAAAAUGUAUAGUUGAAAUGAUGUCAAAUUACUUUUAGGAAUAUAUAUAUAUAAUUUUUUUUUUUUGAAAGAAUGCGAUUCAAACAGACCUGAUAUUCAUCAUAAUACACAUGCUAAUAAGGAUAUAUUCUUGAAGGAAACUAAUAGUACCACUUUUCUUAAAUAUGGAAUAAUUACGAUCCCUUUUUCUCUGAGAACAUCGUAAGCCAUUUCAUUGACGAAGUUGUUGAGUGCUAGAUAGAAAAUUUGCAUGUAAUCUGGAAGUUGCUCGAUUGCAUUGACAUCCCAUCUGUAAAGUUCCAAGAAGAAAUAAUUGUAAGAGCCACAAAGAGAAAGGAGGCUUAAAAAGAAACAUUUGGAGGACGUUGCUAACCUUUCAAUGAUGAAUGUAAAAAGUUCCAGUUCUUCCAAGGUACCAUACACAUCAUAUAUAUCAUCCAUAAUUGUAAUAAAAACAUUUACUUUGGUUGCAUCUAUUCGUGAAAAUCCAUAUUGUGGUUCAAAUAGCACUCCUAUAUUCCAAAAGAAACAUUCCACCAGCCUAUCCCUGGCAAAUGACAACAUCUUGGCAAGGCAUGUUCUUUCCCACCACCUAUUCAUAUACAGAAACAAAGGAUGGUAAGGUUAGGAGCUUAAAAUACGAUAUAUUUAGCGCACUUGGCAAUACCUGGAGACAUAUUUUAGUUCCUCAAGAUAUGUUGCUUGAACAAUGUUGAAAUCCAGUUUUGCGAGUUGGAGAAGAAUUGGAUUCUUGUCUGGUCUCUUCUCAUAUUUGUUUAUGAACCGCCUGUUGAAUGAAUUAAAUAAAUGAGUACUCUCCUAAUAGAUUAAACUUUUUGACGAAAUAGUUCAACACUACCUUGCUUCAGCCCGAGGUAUGGGGAGUACGUGCCAGUUGUUAUUAAAAAUUGGCCUUCAGUGGAUGACAGUAAAAAAAUUGAACUUUGGAAUUUUAUACAGGUACAUUUAUUUAAUAUGAUACUUUUUUAUUACUGGUUAUAUACAUUUUUCCUUCAAAGUUUGAUUGCCAUUUUCGAUCAUAUAUCGACCAUUUUUUAUAUUUGUGAUAAUUGUAGCAAAGAUUCAAUGUCAAUGACUGCCAUCAAAAAAUGGCAUUUCAAUGUAUGGGAACAUAUUGGAGGACAUUCAAAUCGAGAUUGAGAAGAGAUAUCAAACGUCAAGUACCAUCUGCCAUGAAUAGAAAACGCGCUAUUGCCCUUCUUAGACCGAAGAAUAUAACCUCAGAAGAAGCAUGGGAGAAGUUUGUAGAAGAUACUCUUUCCACUGAUUUUCAAGUAAGUUAUAUUUUCGUAUGAACUUUAAACUUUGUAGUCAAUUAUUGUUGGUUUAUAUUGUUUUCCUUAACAGGAAAAAAGUUCUAAGUUCAGCAAAAUGAGAAGUAGUCAGAAGCUUCUCCACACUAUGGGUCGGAAGGGUUAUUCACGUAUGGCUCACGAUUUGGUACAAGAACUAUCUUUCUUUAUUUUUGAUAUGUGUCUUUAUUGAUUUCAUAUACGUGUCUAUGAUUGAGUUGAAUAUUGUUAUUGUAGAAAAGAAAGAAUCCAAAUAUAACAGGAUUGAGAACGACAGUAUGGACUCAUGGACAUCUUCGAAAGGAUGGGAAUCCAAUAAAUGAGGCGGUUGCUGAAACUUUGGUACGUGUAUUGUGUAUAUAUAUAUAUACACACACACUAGAGAGAGAGAGAUGAUCUAUCAAACGGGCAAAAUGUAACCCUGUGGCGCUUUAGUAUUUUGAAUAAUUCUAAACGAACAUAGCCGACGAUAUAGAGGAUGACAUAGCACUCACAUAAAAUGCGUGCGCCCCGGGGUGAAUAAAAAAUUGCCGACCCCCCAUGUGUGAGGGCUAUGUCAUCCUCUAUUUUCAUCUAGCAAGGUUCAUGGAAUAAAGUUGUCGGUUGUGGCACUAUAGUAUUUUUCACAUGGAAUAAUACGAAGUCACCGUGUUAAGUGUUAAAAUUGGCACCGACAACGGAAAGAAAGUUGAUAUUUGCAGGAAUUUCUCUGCUUGUACAGAGCAGUGCUGCCAGACUUAAUACACAUGUUGCCAUGCUGCUGUGACAGCAUCUGUUUGGUCUGUCAUUUUUCUUUUUUUUCCAACAGAAAUUGCCAAGUGUUUUCUGUAAAAAUUUUGGCAGCAUAUUUUCUGCACGAAUAGCGGAUCUCUAUUUGCAGUAAAAAAGAAGAAAUUUAUGUAGGGACAGGAGACCAAAUAGGGAAGAUGGAUGAGUAUUUUUUUGGCAAUUCCAUGUGAGUAGUUGGAGGGGUAUUGUGCACCCAGCAAAAUUCUUGGAAGUAAUUCCUUCAAAAAUGCACAGUACACGUGUGCAUUCUCUUUGAUUUUCAACAUUUUGAACCAAAAAUCUAUGUAUCAGAAUUCACUGUAUAGAUGAGAAUUUGGUGAGUUAGAUUGAUUCUGAGUCCACGUAUCAUUACUUACUUUUCGUUCUAAAAACAAAAAUUUCUAACGAGCUUUGAAUGUCGGAGACCCAACACAUGAGUGAUUCACUUCUUAUUGCUCUUCUUAUUAAACCAAACAAAUAGAUGGAGAUACAUCUUAAUUCGUUUAUUUAUUUUAUCAUCUAAUUAAAUACUUUUAAUUAGGAGCUAUUUUGUCAUUCAUAGUUAGGAUUCGUCACUUUUUAAACUCUUUUAAGAGCGUGUUGUUUUCUUUGUUGUUUCUUAUGAUCUAAAUAAAAUUGGAGUUUUUCCCAAUUGUUCAAUCUUAUUUAGCCAAAAUCAACGAAAUUCGACUUGUGUAUAUUCGUUCUCACUGCUUCACUAUCUAGAGUUGGUAGAGUUAGAGACAAUCUUUGGAAAAGAUGCAUAUCAAGUAUAUCAAUUACUAUUUUAUUAUUAUUAUUAUUAUUUUUUAAAAUUUGUCUGUGUCUUCGUCGUCGAUUUCGGAAAUAUUGACAUAUUGAAUUUUUAGGACAAAUUGCACAGAACAUGCCUAUAAUUUACAAGUUUUGAAUCUGUUAAUGUAUUUGCCAAACUAUUGUAGUGGAUUGUAAUUUUGAUUUCCACGACUUAAGCACAAACGAAAUUGAACAUGAGAGAAAUCUUCUGUCAUUAAUAUAGUGGUGGCAAGUUUUGGGCCAGACUCGAUUUCUCAUGACGACCAUUAUUCUAAAUGUGAACCAUUAUUCUUGUCUAGAUCUUUAGAUGAGCCAUUGUAUAAUUUGCCUAAUCAUUGGGGUGGUAGGAAAAUUUUGACUUUGUUAGAAUUAAGGUGUGACUCGAAUUCUAUUUGAAAGAUAAGUGAAAAUUUUAAUUAAAGCUGACUUAAGGAAAAUUUUAUUUGGAAUGCUAUUUUGAAAUCCUAUUUGAAGUUUGUUAGGUAAAUUCUAGUUGAAAUUCUAUUUGGAAGUCAACUGAGAGUUGAAAUUUGUCUUGGAUUUGAAGAGAUCAAGAUAUAGAUUAGGAAGGACUUUUGGCGCAAUCGUGCUCGCUUGGCGCUUGACUUGAGCUCGAGCGUCCAAAGCAGUGAAGCCAGCGACCGCCUAAUGCUCGAGUGCCAUAUUCAUCCUACCUGGGCCCAUUUUCGCGUUUUACAAGCUUUUUCAACAUUCUAUUUCUUCUACGAUAUCAAGACCAGGGUUAUGGAUGUCUUCUAUUUGUUUCCUAUUUAUAUUUGGUUAUUCUUUACAAAUUAAUCAGGUUGUUAAACCUCAUUAUAAGUUAGACAAAUUAUAAACACAAAAUCAUUAUAUUCUUUCUCCAUAUUCUAGUGAAAUAUCAUUUCCUCUACAAAUUAUCUGGUUCUUGGGUUUGUGUUCAAUUACUUCAUAUUGUGCCAUAAAUAUAUUAUUCGUUUCUCGUCCAUUAUUACAACGAACUGUUAUCAGAGCAAUUCGAUAUCUUACAGACUUUGUCGAAAUAAGCAAAAAAGAAAUUGAACAUAACAAGUGUCAUUAAUUUAGUGGUUGAGUGACCAUUUUUUCUCUGUUGCUGCCUUAAGAUUUGGGUUUAGUAGAGGUGGGUUUAAGUGCAAGUUGACGUAGCCAUCGAGUUCACAUUUUUUAUUAUUUUAUUUUUUUGAAUAAUUAUUUUACGCAACAGUAUAAUUGGCGUGGAUGAUUUGAGAUCUUUAUAUAGAUCAUAUUUGGCUAGCCUGAAAGGUACCUUCCAACAAAUUUUGCGGUUGACUGUGUUUACAAGUUUAUUCAACAAAAUAACUAUUUUAUCCUCAACUAUUUCAUUUAUCAAAGCUAAAGAAAUAUCCCUUAUUCACACGAAAUUUGUAGUAUGUAAAAAAUUAUAUAUAUCAUAUACAUUUCAUGCUCAACGAGUGACAAAGUGACAAAUGUCACAAUAUUUUAGUAAGUUUAGUGAUAACUUGAAUAACCUUUGAAGUUCAAUGACGUCUAAGAAAAAUUUGAGAAAAUUUAAUAGUAACUCGCUUAAAGUUGAAAGGCAAUUGAGAAACAUUAAUGUUCAAUAGCAAUAGAAAUCUUUAACUCUAUAUAAGACCCUGUUUGACAUCCAUUAAAAGGAAUUUUUUGAGAAAAAUGUGUUUUGGAAUAAAGAUUUUUUGGAGAAUUAGUUGUUAAAAAGUAGGAAAAAGUUUUAAAUUUGCGUACAGAAUAUUUUAUUUUAAGAAUGUGAUUAAAAACGUGCACUACUCAAAAUUAAUUCGAGUUAUGCUAUUAUUAGAAAAUAAAAUACAAAUUCAAAAUUUUAAAAUCCAAAGUAAAUAAUACUCAAACAUUUUUUUUUUUUAAAGGGGGCGAACUCCAGUCUGGCCCCAUUUGAGACGUGACGGGACGAAUUUUUUUGCCAUCUCUUAUUUUUUCAUGCAAUCAAAUUUUGAUUAUGGAUAAUGUAGGAACUAGAGAAAGAGAGAGACGCGAUGGGGGCUUCUGAGAUGAAGAUUCAAGUGAAGAUGAUGCUUGAUAAAACAAUAGAGCCACUUGAAGUAUCAGCACCAACUCAAAUAAGUUGGUAAUGGCAUGCAAGAAGCAAUACAUAAACAGGGCCCAUGUGGCCCUGUAUGAGAAGAGCCGUUCAUUAUGUGGGGACAAAAGGUGUGAUUAGACUGCAAGUAGAUUGAAAGUAAUAAUGCUUUCAAUAAUGCAAGCAAAUAAUUGCAUUAUGUUUGCAAAAUAAAUGCUAUCACUCUCUUGACAGGAUCUAGAUAUUCUUCAUUUUGGAUAAAAAAAUUAAGUUGCAAAAAAUUUUCAAUCAACAUAACAUUAAUGGGAAUAAUUCAAUACAUUACUACGAAUGUUGUCUAUGCAUUUCCAUAAUUUGAAAUCAUUGUAUAAUUACAUUAUUAUCAAUAUUGCAAAUAUAGCGUCCUCAAUGUACAAAACUGACUAUCAUUCAAUAGUCGAAUAUCCAAUUCAAUUGCAUGGUUCAAACCGUGGUUGAGGUCUUGAGGAGUUUGAUGUUGAUGUGGAGAAAAACUAUGGUCGGUCGUCGACGUUGAUGUUGAUGACCUAGGUAGGAAAACGCAAUUAUAUGGUAAAAAUGACAAAUCUAGGUAUUGGGGGAAGAAUGAGGUUCAAGGCUUAAAAGAAGUUGGUAGGCAGAAAGUGGAUGAAAAAAAAAAAAAAAAGUGUUCAAACUUCAAAUAGUAGAAAAGGGAAAAAAAAAAAAAAAAAAAGUGUUCAAACUUCAAAUAGUAGAAAAGUGAAAAAAAAAAAAAACUAAAAUUUAAAAAGAAAAUUCCAAAAUUUUCAUGGGCUCAGCAAGCCCCAUAUGAUCCCCACGUAACUCCAAUCAUAAAUCAAUCCAAUGUCAUCACUUACUAUCAAAAUACUUACCCAAUUCGUAAUGCAUUAAUUGACUUAUACGUAAAACAUUAAGAUCACGUUUUUUAAGCUGUUUGGGACAAAAAUCUUCAAUGUCUCUUUUUGAGCCCUUUACAAAUAUGUCCACUUCAACAUAUAAAAUAAGUGUUGUACCUUGGAAAAAAAAAUAUUACACAUCAUUCUUCUUUACUUCUGUAAAUUUUAUCUGUAAUUCAUGAGAAUAUUUCGAAUGAUUGAUAUAUUUCAAGAGUAUUCUAGAAAUAUCUCUCUAGAUGUAUUGUACAACAAAAUCUUGGUAUCUUGUGGCUAGGCAUGUCCACACAACAAUAAUUCCCAAACAAAGAAAAAUGAAAAAAAAAUGAUCAUUUAAUAAAGUUUAAUUUAUAUUUUUCUUUUUUAGCUCGUUUUGCAUUUUGUGUUUUCACUCCAUGGAUGAGAUUUUUUUUCAAUAAAAGUAUCACUGCAAAAAUUUAUAUGUGAGAAAAAAAAGUAUAAAUCGAUAUAUAUAUAUAAGUGACCCCAACAAAACAAGAUAAAGCAUAUAGACAAAGAGGGAACACCAUAUUAUAAUUAAAUGACAUUAUUUGAAUAUGAACAAUUUUAUUUUAUUAAUAAAGAUGAAUUAUGUGUGACAGAUGUUAUUAAUCAUCACAAGGAAAUGAUACUUGUACAAAUGAUCGUUUAAGAGGAUAAGCUUAUUUUUAUUAAAGUAUAUAUACAAUUAAUUGCAAAAUGGAUGGAAGCCAUCGAAAAUGACCUUUUUAUUUUCACACAACAUCAAUAUGUUGAGCGGGUCAACGCAACGAUAGUAACAUUAGGGACCAUUUCCACACAACGACCUUACAUUAAGGACCAUCUAUACCAAUUUUCUUGUUAAUUAGUGCUCCACCUUUGUGUUCUCUUGAAUUAAAAAAAAAAAAAAAAAAAAAAAAAAAAAAAAAAAAAGGCCCUCAACGUAUGGAUCUAUUGUCAAAUACCUUCACCUGUUUAAAUUGGUGGAAACCAUUUAGAAGUGCGGAACCCAUUUUCUUUCAUUUUCUCAUAAAUCCCUGUGAAAUGACGAUUUGAGGAAAAAAAAGUGUAGAGACGACAAUUUGAUAUGUUAAAUUAGAUGUAAUAUGCUAUGAAUAAGGGUAGUGAACAAAAGCACUAUAAUUUCAAAAAUGUGGAGAAACACAACUAUUUGGUUUGUGAUCUGAAAUGAAGGUUAUUAUGCACAUAAAAAUUGCAAAGAUUCAAAUCAACAGGACACGAUGAGUGGGGGCAUGACAAUAUUGCUAGAAUAUGACCCAAAUUUCUAUUGGGAUUAGGAUUGGAUUGGUAAAUUGAUAAAAGGAACAAGAGUCUUCUUGGAUUGGAAGUUCAAUUGAAAAGGAGGAUUAAAGUUCAUCAAUGAUUGAAAUUUGAUUGGUAAAAGAACAUUGGAAAAUUGAAGACUUGGUUUUGAAAUUUUGGUGGAGAAAAAAUCGUCGCAAUUUUUCUAACUGGCAACUAACUUUGGUGUUCAAGCAUUAGAAGUGAAAAACUGAGCAAAGAGUUGCUGUCCGCCUAGCAUCGCCUGGCACUGGUGUGACACUAUUAUUCAGACGGGAAUCCUUUUUUGAUUCUGACUACUUUCUUGAGUCGUAUUUUAUCCAAAAUACUUGUAAUGGAUUCUAUAUAUAUAGCAAAAAUCUCUCAAUAAAUUUUGGUUCCAGGUUCAGAAAAUAAUCAAACGAACACCGAUUUACCUUGACUAGACCCAAGACUUUUGCCUUCACUUUGGACUGCUUUCUUUCUCUCUAACCCCACAAAGGAGAAGGGUGGUGGUGUUAUCAAUCCACAAAGGUAUGGAGAGAAAGAAGGAGAUAUCACAAUGGUUGAAUCUUACUCACAACCUCACUUGGCUUCCCUCUUUCUCGGCUGUCUCUCUUCUCUCAACUCUCCUCUCUAUUGUUACAACACACACACACACCAAACGGGUGGGAGAUAGAUACAUAUAUAUAGGUUAGUUUAGGUCAUCAAAUAUGGGCUAAGAGAUCUCUAAGUGGGCUGCCAUAUAACCUAAAUAAUGGGUCAAUUUCCAACUCCAUAUUAAUCUCUAAAUAGUCCAACUAACCAAAUAAUCCUUCAACCCAAACUCGAGCCAUCCAAAAGUGUAGUUCCUCUCCGAGCCGAGCUAAGUCCAUGGUGUCGAUAAAUAAUCCGACAACUGAUUUAAAUCAUCGCCCAGAUUAUUGGGUAUCAAAAAACCUAACAAUCUCCACCUUGAUGCCCAAUAAUCUGCAAGUAUCCAAAACACACAGUUUAUACUUACACAAUCAAGGUAAUCCAAUAAAAUUGGAAUAAUAGACCUUACCUCGUGUUUCGAACCGAAACAUAUACCAUACUUGCUCCAUGUAUACCAGGGCUAAGAUCAAGAACACCCAAGUAGAAACAAGUAUUCACAGUGAACAAACAAUCAUGCGAUGAAGAUAUAAAGGAUAAUAUACACAGAGAUCUUUCCAAAUCACAUUCACACAGAACCACAAAUUAACACCUAGUUAAUCAACACACGGUCAUGCACAUAUGAAACAAAUGCAUAAAUGACCCAUGAAAGAUCUCACCACACUUAUCCUAUCCCAUUUCGUGUUACUCCCACCUCCAGAACACAUAUCUCCUCUCAUCGCCCACCAUGCUCACUAUACUAAUCACUCAACUCAUGUCUAAUUGACAUGUCACAAUAGAUCCUAAAUUCAGGGAUAAUCCUCUAUCACCACAUCACUUCUUCCAACUUACGUGGAUAAUGGGACUCCACCUUACAGAAGUGAUAGAAGUGCCUCUCUCGCACUCCACCUGUACAGGGUCUCUUUCACUAAUAAAGGAUUCUACACAUUUGAUCACAUCUCCACUCGUAAUCCAAAUGUCACACUCUACAUCCCCCGGUACAAAACACUGUGUACCCUUAGGCAUCUAUACUCCACCUUACCAAAAGACAUCCAACUUACUACUAAUGCAUCUCAAACUUACUUUGGUAAAUCAAAACCUUUCGAUGACCACAAAGGUUACUCCAAUCACCAAAGCUUCAAAAAUCAACAAAGAAAAUGGUGAGGGUGGCACUCACAAAGAAAACUCGAAGAAAGAGUUGAUUACUUCACAACACUCACAAAGGAGGCUUACAAAGAUAAAGGAGAGAAACGGCUGCUCAACUUUCUUUUCACUACCACACUCUCACACCACUCACAGAGGAAACAGAGUACGCCACAAAACUCAACCCACUAUGCAUGUAAAUAUAUUACACAAAGUAAUAAGUCACUCUAAUUCAUGCAAUUACACACAUUAAAUACAUUGAAAGUGUAACAUCAACAUUGCAACAGAAUUAAGUGACCACAUACAUGCAGAAAGGAUUACACACAGAUGCAAUGUAAGAACCCAGUUUAUUCUCUCAAUAAACCUCACUAGGAUCACUACUCGACCCUAAAGUCACAUUCGCCUCGUCUCUAUUGUCAUCUUUCCUUUUAUUAUCAUCUUAGAACAAUCUCUUUCAAUUAUGUCUACCACAAUUAAAACAUAUUUUAUUUUUCGUACUUGUCUUAGACCUAUACAUACUAAUUAUACCAAAUAAUAACCACAAGAAAAGUAUUGACAUAUAAUUCACACAGAAUAGUCAAGUAAACUUUCCUAAGGUCACAUGCAAUUCUAUCGGUAUAGAAAAAAUUGGUGACAAAUUCGCAUUAAAUUUAAGACAAUUAAUUAACAUGUAAUUCCUAGGUCUACCAACAGGCAAUGGUUUCUCCAAACCUAAUGUCACCCCAUACUAUCACUUCUAAUGUGAAAAAUAAAUAAUUAACCUACACAUUAAUUUUAACUGCAAUAAUAAAAAGCAAAGAAUACGAUACCGAGCAGACCAUGUUUGAAGGUCCGUAAAUAUUGAGACAUGAGAAUUCACCACUUUAGGAAUUCACCAUUCAUCCUAAAGUCAACAGCAACCACAACAACACGAAAACAGCACCCGGUACUCGAACAUCCAAGGGCAAAAUCGUCCAACUUUCACUGUAUUACUCCAAACUGAAAUUCGACAACACUGCAGGGUCCGUCUCAUCUCCAGCAACAUUCUGUCUAAAAACACCAUCACUGGAUUCCGACCGAUGCGCCCUCACGCGCCACGUCGAAAUUCCCACGUGCCAGCGACCGUCGGCCACGCGCUGGCGAUGCCCCAACCUUUCUGAACUAUCUCCACCUACACAGUCCAAUGGUGGUAUCCGUUUCUCCAAAUUUUUUUUUGGUUUCACCAUAAAACACCAAAACAGAUCCGGCAGAAAAUUGAAAAACUGGACAGUUUCUGCCACUGAUUUCCAGAUCCGUUUCUGACCACUUCCAGCCCGUUUUAGCCCCAAAAAUCACAGAUUUAUCAACAACACAAGCUUUGAUACCAUUUGUAGCGGAAAUCCCUCGAUAAAUUUUGAUUCCGGGCUCAGAAAAUAAUCAAACGAACACUGGUUUACCUUGACUCGACCCGAGACUUUUGCCUUCACUUUGGACUGCUCUCUUUCUCUCUAACCCUACAAAGGAGAAGGGUGGUGGUGUUAGCAAUUCAGAAAGGUAUGGAGAGGAAGAAGGAGAUACCACAAUGGUUGAAUCUUACUCACAACUUCACAUGACUUCCCUCUCUCUCGGCUGUCUCUCUUCUCUCAACUCUUCUCUCCAUUGCUACAACACACACACCAAAUGGCUGGGAGAUAGAUACAUAUAUAUAGGUUAGUUUAGAUCACCAAAUAUGGGCCAAGAGAUCUCUAAGUGGGCUGCCAUAUAACCUAAACUAAUGGGCCAAUUUCCAACUCCAUAUUAAUCACUAAAUGGUCCUACUAACCAAAUAAUCAUUCAACCCAAACCCGAGCCAUCCAAAAGUGUAGUUCGUCUCUGAGCCGAGCCAAGUCCAUGGUGCCGAUAAAUAAUCCGACAACUGCUUUGGAUUAUUGGAUAUCAAAAAACCCAACAAUAUAUACUAUAUUCCUCGUGGAAUAGGCUCUUAAAAGGAUAAAUUAACAAUAAAAUCAUAGUUAUAUAGAUUAAAAACUUGAGAGAGUUAUUUAAAUUUAGAUUGAGAGUAUCAUAUCUCGUAAAACAAUUUUAGUUUCUUGAUAUAUUUAAAUUCUUCUCCUCUUUCAUAUAAAUCUUGGUGUUCUUGCGUGAUCCAUUAUUUUUCAUAUUGCUCUUAUUUUCUCGUCUUUAUUAUUUGACCCGAUUUAUCUUUGCAAUUUCAUAUGAUUCAUCAAGAACUAUGCAAGUUGAGUUUUGAUGAGAAAAAAUACUGAUACAUGAUUGAAUGGAAAAAUAAAAUUAUAUGAAAAUAUGUAUUGUCUAUUGCCUACUGUUGAAUUUUCUGAACAAUCUUUUUCUUGUUGGAACCAGAAUCUAAAACUAUGGUUUCUAUAAUCCUCUUGGCCGCAUUGUUAAUUUGGGGCAUCUUCAUCUCUGCUACUCUGGGACGUGGAGUCGGGCCAGUCGGCGACCCAUUACCACGGUUAUGUCGAACCGGCAAACUGUUGACAGAUCGUGUAAUUAUGCGUCGGGUGUGCAUGUCCAUUUUUUGGUUCUUUGGUUCAAAAAUCUCCCUCGAAGUUGUAUCGUCACGAUUCGUCUGCUUCUUGGAGGAACUCUUUCGUGGUUGGCAAUUCGCUGUUUCUAUAACAGCUUAUUUACAGCUCCUACUGUAGUGAAUAGUCGACGGAGUUGUAGAUCUAAGAAUAGGAAGGUGAAGGUAAACACUUCAGAAGAUCUUUUUAUAGAGAUUCAUAGGCACAAAAUGAUUUGUCAAGGCAAGAUUUCAGUGGAUAUUUUGUCAUAAAUACGAAUUUGGAGAGAACGGUGUUCUGGAUGUAAUAUCUUCAGUUACAAUGAUUUGGGAGGGUAUUGAAAGAGAGAACUAUCGAUAUAAUUUAGGGUUUCGAUUAUGAGCGAUAGACCAUGAUUUGGGAGUGGAUGAACGGAGACGAAGGGACGAGGUAAGAGAGAAAUCUGAUUUGGGAAAGAAAUGAUAUAGAGUUACUUGUACAUGAAUUUGGGAUUUGAUAAAAUUCAUCAUGAUUUAAUUGUUGAUAAAGUAAGACGCUAAUUAAUUGCAUGAUAACAAGGAGUACAACACCAACCAGGUAUAUCUCAAAUGCAUGUUUCAUUGAUGCAUCUUCUUUUGUCAAUGUCAAAAAUGAGUGGAAUAUUGUAAAUGUCACCAAAGAUUCUUCUGCAGAUUAAAAGGGCCAAAAAGUUUCAUUCCAAAACAGAACUUCUGACAUUGGAUUCCACGAACAUUAGCUUGUCUAUAUUAGGAGUGAUAGAAGCUCGCUCUAAUAUCAACUGAUGUAGGCAAAAGCAUAAAAAAUAAUGUAAAGAACAUGCUAUUUGUAAGUGUUAUGCCCUAGAUCCAAUCGAUUUAGGUUGUAAAUGCUUUUAAUAUAUUUAAUGCAUUUGAUUUUGGCGAGAUCUAUUAUUUAUUUAAAUUAAUUUUGUAAUAAAUAAUAUUAAAUAAUAGAAUCCGAAGAUCCAAUUUUUAGAUAAUCUGUUAAUCACAAGGAGUUGUGAUUGUGAGAUACAAAUUACAUAUAAUUGGAUCUUGAAUAAACCAUGGUCGUAAGUAGUAACGAGAUACGAAUAUCGUUAAUACAGUUAGACCAUCACGUGUGGCAUUUCUUACUUGUGAAGUAAGUAGCUGAUCUCACGAGCUAAAGUAUAGUGACACUUAAAUGAACACGUGGGUGUUUUGUUAUAGAACAAAACAUUGGAGACCUGCUAAGAGAUUCCACAUAGAUAACUAUCUGAGUGUCAGUGGCUAAUCUCUAACGUUCGGUAGUGGAAUUGGUCCUUUGACUUGAGGUCAUCAUGAUACCUUAUAUGAGGACAGUCAUACUUUGGCGGUGUUGGAUGUUGCUCUGAAAGGGGCUGUUAAUACGACAUCGUUUGGGUACGUCAAGAAUCGUAUGAAGGUUGUGAUUGAUCAAUAAAGGAUUCGUCACUCUUAGAUAGUAGGAGAUUAUGAUCUGCGUUUCAUUCAAUUAAGUCGAUGAUGAAAUCCUUGUCCAAGGUGUACUCAUAAGUCGAAAAGGAGUUUUCAAUUUAUAUUGACUUAAUAGUGGAGUGAAAGAUAUGAUCAAUGAUCGAGAUUGACACAAUUCCAUAUCUCGUAAUUGAUCGGAUCGUAUUGACGAAGGGAUAAUAGUUUCACGGUAAACGAACGAAUUUGGUUUUGUCAUACCACGUGACAUUUCCCGUCACAUGUAUUGCCUUGACACAUUGCUAGAUGUCAAUCAUGGACAGCGAGUGUGAAUUGACGAUAAAUUAAAAGGGUGUAUUGAUUUAUCAAUUUUUGAUUAGAUCAAAAAAAAUAUAUUUCACGACGUUAGGCAUCGUGGUCGGGAACCUAAUGGGUCGCACACAAAAGAGAAUUGGAAGAUUGCAAAUUGUCAAUUGGUUAAUUUAACAAUCGUUGAAUAAAUUAAUUAAUUGAAUUUGUUAUUUAUAAUCCCGAAUUAAUUAAUUGGAUUAAUUAAUUCACGGACCGGGUUUAAUUAAUUGGAUUAAUUAAAUAUUGGACCGGACCGGGCCGGGUCCGUUUGGGUUUAUAUAUAUACACAGCUAGGGUUUGAGGUCCAUAAGGUAUUCAUUAUUCUUGCUGGCACAAGAGAGAAACCCUAGUAGUUGCAGUCUAUUCUCUGUAUGGAUUUCAUUGGAGGCUGGACAAUUGGACAGCUGUGGGAGGUAGAUUCAAGCUGCUGGAAAGGAAUAACGCGAAGGAGUUUGCAAAUUACAAGUAAAGGUAUAUUUCUUAUCACAGUUUUUAUCUAAAUACAAAGCUGAAUCCUAAAUGGGAAUUGAAAUUUGUUAAAUUCCGCUGUGCAUGUUUAAGUAAAUUCCCUACAGUGGUAUCAGAGCCAACUUUGUAUUUGUUAGGAAUUGUUUAACGUGUUGAUUAAAUUAAAUGUUAUUUUAAUCACGUUCAUUCCUAAAUCUAGCAAAUAUAGUUUUAAUUUUUUUUUGGGGUCUUUUUGGAUCUGUUCUUGAAAAACAAAAAAAUAAAAUAAAUUUUUGGGGUCGUGAGGCGGGCGGUGCCGCAGCGCGGCGCGGCAGGNNNNNNNNNNNNNNNNNNNNNNNNNNNNNNNNNNNNNNNNNNNNNNNNNNNNNNNNNNNNNGAGGGCGCUGCACGCGCUGCCGAUUUGCAGCGCGACCGCCCCAGAAAAGAGAAAAGAAAUAAAAUUUUAGGUUUAGGGUUUUGGUGGAGACGGGGGCCUCUGUUGCAAUUAAUGUAAUUAGGGGCCCCUGGUUGCAAUUACAAAAAGAGGGUCAGUUUGCAAAUUUUAAAUCAGGGACCUGUUCUAUAAAUUUCAAUUUUGGAAGGGUCUGCUGUUAAUUUCAAUUUGGGUAAAUUUUGUAAAAUUUCAAAAAGGGUUUUGAUUUUGAAUUUUGAAUUAUUUUAAAAAUGAGUUUUAAACUAGGUUUGACCCAUACCCUAUUUUUGACCCAGAAUUAAAAAUUUUAUUUAAAAAUUUGACGACUUUUAUAUUUUUGUUAAAAUUAGAUUUUGACUUAAAUAUUUAGUUUGACCCUUAAUUGAAUUUUUAUUCUGUUUGGGAAUUUUGUCCUAAAUUAAUAUAUUAAUUCAAUUUUAUUAGAGUUGGACUCUAAUAUUAAAUUAAUUAAAUUUUGUUUUGAAUUAGCACCACUUUCCUAUGCAAAUUAGUACUUAGAGUAUGACUCUAAUUUAAUAAUCAAUUAAAACUCGAUUUUGAUUAAAUUUCCUUACCCAAUAGUUAUGGAUUUAGAGUUGGACUCUAAUUCGAUAUUUAGUUAAAAUUAGAUUUUAAUUAAAUUGGCCCAUCAAUUAAAUUGAUUAAUUAAUAUGAUUAAUUAAUUGUUUAAUUAUCUCGAUCCCAAAAUUUUGAUUUAAUUUUGACGACUAUAAUUGCUAGAUUUAUGAGACAUUGCAUAUAAUAUUAGAUAUUGUACAUAGGAAACAUUUAUGUGAUGAAUGUUUGUGGAUGAUUAUGGACUCGACCAUAUAGAUGUGUUGAAUGGUUGAUUUACUUCUUAUUGUUGUUGUGGGCCUGCGAGCUCCUUAUUAAAUAUUGGACCUGCGAGUCCGUUGUUAUUAUUAUUAUUAUGGGCUGCGAGUCCGAUUUCUUUUAGGCCUGCGUACCAACUAGUAUAGGAUACAUGAUGCAAGUUCGGCUAAUUGGAGGCGCAAGAAGAGGUGGACACCAUGGAGAUGGUGUAUUAGUAUUGGUCCAAUACUGUACCCCUUAAGAAUUGACCAACUAGUUUUCCUCAUGGCUCGGGAAAACUAGAUAGAACAAGUCCAUAAUCAUCCAUACUAUUAUAUAUAUAUAUAUAUAUAUAUGUAUUAUUCGCAUAGUAGAUGUAUGUUUAAAUAUAUGUGUAUAUAUAUAAUUGCUUGAUGAGACCAUUGCACAUUAAAUCCGUCAUUAAAAAUUAUUAAGUUAGUAUUAUUUGCCUUCCAUCAUUAUAGUAAAAAACGAGAAUCCUAAAUCGACCUUAUCUUGUUGAGUACACUCAAGGUUGGUCUAUUAGGGAUAUGUUUGACACUAUGAAAUAUUUGAUAUUUCUGAAUGAUGGGUUUAACUUAACUUAAAUUUAUCUUUUGUUGAGUACACUCAAGGAGAUAAGUUUUAGAGGCAUGUUAAACUAACACAUAAGAUGUGUGAAGACAAAGGAGUUGUCGGCUUAAUGAUCUGGGAGUUGUAUGGAGAUACAAUUGAUAAUAAAAUCUACCCAAAUGUUUUAUUAGGAUUUGUUGAGUACACUCAAGAUCUCAAUACAACGAAUGGGAUCCCAGCCCACUGUGAAUCUAGUGUGGAUUCAAAUAAUUUAUGUAUGAGGGUCAUGAAUUUAUUUUGGACAGUGGGAGCACGUUUAAUUAAAGUCCAUAUUGAAUUUAUGCACAUGCAUUAUAAUACAUAUUAAUUCUAUUUUUUUCGUCAUUUACAGUUUUUGAAUCAUGAGUAAUCAUAUGAAUUUGAGAGGCAUACUGGAUGCCAACAAACUGACCGGACCAAAUUUUCUCGAUUGGCACCGCAAUUUGAGAAUCGUUCUCAAGCAUGAGAAAAUUGGAUAUGUCCUUGAGCAGUCCUUUCCAGUGGUGCCUACUGAAAAUUCCACUCAGGAAGAGGUGGCUGCUUACAAUAAACACAGUGAUCACGAUAACACUGCAGCAUGUGUGAUGCUCGUAGCUAUGUCUCCUGAGUUGCAGAAGCAACAUGAGGGUAUGGAUGCUUACACUAUGAUUUUUCAUCUCAAGGAGUUGUAUGAUGAACAAUCUCGUGUGGAGAGGUAUGAGUCCUCUAAAGAACUAUACUGGUGCAAAAUGGCAGAAGGGUCAUCAGUCAGUGCUCACGUACUGAAGAUGAUUGGUUUUAUUGAAAAAGUCAGUUCACUGGGUUUUAUCAUGGAUCAUGAACUAAGUAUUGACUUGGUUCUACAAUCUCUGCCAGAUAGUUAUUCACAGUUCAUUAUGAAUUUUAACAUGAAUAAGAUCGAAUGCGCACUCCCUGAGUUGCUUAAUAUGCUUAAAACUGUGGAGCCCAAUGUCAAGGCUAGCACUGGGCAUGUCUUAGCUAUUCAUUCCUCCAAGGGAACUAAGAGGAAAAUUAAAGGAAGUUUUAAGAAAACAUCCAAAAAGGCUAAGGGCAAUAAUAAAGCAGUCAAAGCAGGCAAGGACAAUACCAAAUCUGAUGACCCAUGUUAUCACUGUGGAGUGAAAGGUCAUUGGAAGAGGAACUGCAAGGCUUACCUCGCAAGCUUGAAGGGAAAGAAGUCUUCUGAAGCUUCUACUUCAGGUACUUUUGUUAUCGAGGUUAAUAUGUCUACUUCAUUAGCUUCUUGGGUAUUAGAUACCGGAUGUGAAUCUCAUAUUUGUAUAAAUAUGCAGGGACUAAAGAAAAGUAGAGCACUACAGAAAAGAGAAGUUGACCUGCGCGUGGGAAAUGGAGCAAGAGUUGCUGCAUUAGCUGUAGGAACAUAUUUCUUACCACUGCCUUCAGGCUUAGUAUUAGAACUAGAGAAUUGCUAUUUUGUUCCCGCCAUUACUAAAAACAUUAUUUCUAUUUCGUAUUUAGAUAUGAGUGGUUUUUCAAUUAAUGUUAAGAACAAUCGUUGUUCGUUUUAUAAAGAUGAGAUCUCUUAUAGUUGUGGUGUGUUGCAGAAUGGAAUUUAUAUUCUUGAUACUGAGUCGUCUAUUAUGAAUAUAAAAAUAAAAGGCAUAAAAAUGAUAAUCUAAAUAAUACAUACCUUUGGCAUUGCAGAUUAGGUCAUAUUAACGAAAAACGCAUUUCCAAGUUACAUAAAGAUGGAUACUUAGGGUCAACUAAUUUUGAAUCAUUUGACAGAUGCGAGUCGUGCUUGUUAGGCAAAAUGACCAAGUUCCCUUUUACUGGAAAAGGAGAAAGAACCACAGAACUGCUGGGACUAAUACAUACUGAUGUAUGUGGACCCAUGUCAAUAACUGCCAGAGGUGGUUUCUCUUACUUCAUCACAUUCACUGAUGAUCAUUCUAGAUAUGGUUAUGUGUAUCUGAUGAAAUUCAAAUAUGAAGCACUUGAAAAGUUCAAGAAAUUCAAACUUGAAGUAGAGAAACAAACUAGUAAAAAUAUACUCACGCUAAGAUCAGAUCGAGGUGGAGAAUAUUUAAAGGGAGAAUUUUUAGAUUAUCUUAAAGAGAACGGGAUUCUCUCGCAGUGGACUCCGCCAUAUACACCGCAACAUAAUGGUGUAUCUGAACGGAGGAAUCGCACUUUGUUAGAUAUGGUGCGAUCUAUGAUGAGCCAUGCAAACAUCCCAAAAUCAUUUUGGGGUCAUGCACUAAUUGCUGCGUGCUACACACUUAAUCGUGUCCCAUCUAAAUCGGUCGACAAAACUCAAUACGAGCUAUGGAGAAGAAAAAGACCAAACUUAUCUCAUAUGAAAGUUUGGGGCUGUGACGCUUAUGUAAAGCGAAAUGAAUCAGAUAAGCUUGAAGCUAAAUCUGAUAAAUGUGUAUUUGUGGGAUACCCAAAGGAGACAAUUGGAUAUCAAUUCUAUAAUCCCGUUGAGAAGAAAGUGUUCAUCUCAAGUCAUGCCAUAUUCCUAGAGAAAGAGUUUAUUCUAGGAGAGGGUAGUGGGAGCAAACUAGAACUUGAAGAAGUUCAAGAAUCCACAGACACUAUUGACCAAUUAGAUGAACUUGAGUCUGAUCCUACACCUGUUGGUGGACAGACUCUUGAUCAGGAUGUAGAGAACCCUAAGGACACUCCAGCUCAGCGUAAAUCAAACAGGAUCAUUCGACCUCCCAGAAGGUACGAAUUCAUGAUUACUAAUCAAGUAUUAUUAAUCGAGGAUGAUGAACCUACAAAUUACGCAGAAGCAAAGUCAAGUGUUAAUUCGAAUAGAUGGCAAGAUGCCAUGGAAUCCGAAAUGGACUCAAUGUAUGAGAACAAGGUUUGGACCUUGGUCGACCUUCCAGGAGGGAUAAAACCGAUAGGUUAUAAAUGGGUUUACAAGAAAAGGGUCGAUGUGGAUGGAAACGUCCACAUAUACAAAGCAAGGCUAGUAGCGAAGGGUUACACACAAAGACAAGGUAUUGACUUUGAUGAAACUUUUUCGCCUGUAGCCAUGCUGAAGUCCAUUCGAAUUUUGCUUGCAAUAGCUGCAUGCCAUGAUUAUGAGAUAUGGCAAAUGGAUGUCAAAACUGCUUUCCUUAAUGGAAACCUGCAAGAGGAGGUGUACAUGACACAGCCUGAAGGUUUUGAAUCCAGAGGAGCCAACAAAGUAUGCAAGCUAAAUCGAUCCAUUUAUGGAUUAAAGCAAGCCUCUAGGAGCUAGAAUCUUCGUUUUGAUGAAAUAAUCAAAAGGUUUGAUUUUAUAAAAAAUGAAGAUGAACCAUGUGUUUAUAAGAAAACAAGUGGGAGCGAAGUCGUAUUCCUGAUAUUAUAUAUCGAUGACAUAUUAUUAAUGGGAAACGACGUCCCAAUGCUUCAAUCGGUAAAAUUAUGGUUGUCAAAGAAUUUCUCCAUGAAAGAUAUGGGAGAAGCAGCGUAUAUCUUGGGAAUCAAGAUCUAUAGAGAUAGAUCUAAAAGAUUACUAGGCUUAUCCCAAUCUUCGUACAUAGAUAAAAUCUUGAGAAGAUUUAAUAUGGAAGAGUCUAAAAGAGGAUUAUGCCCCAUGUCACAUGGGAUUUACCUCUCAAGAGAUAUGUGUCCUAAAAUACAGGAUGAAAGGAAUCGCAUGGACAAGAUUCCUUAUACUUCGGCGAUAGGAUCUAUCAUGUAUGCGAUGCUAUGUACGAGACAAGAUGUUUCAUAUGCUCCAAGUGUUACGAGCAGGUUUCAAGCAAACCCUGGUGAGAAACACUGGAUAGUAGUUAAGAACAUUCUUAAGUACUUAAGAAGGACUAAAGAUGUGUUCUUGAUCUAUGGAGGAAAUGAACUGAAAAUUCAGGGGUACACUGAUGCUAGUUUUCAAACUGAUAAAGAUGAUAGCAAGUCUCAGUCAGGAUAUAUGUUUACUCUCAACAAUAGAGCAGUUAGUUGGAAAAGUUCCAAACAGGAAACAACCGCUGAUUCAACAAUAAAAGCCGAGUACAUAGCUGCUUCUGAAGCAGCAAAGGAAGUUGUAUGGAUCAAGAAGUUCAUUAAUGAACUUGGAGUCGUUUCUAGCAUUAUUGAUUCCAUACCUUUGUAUUGUGAUAACAAUGGAGCCAUCGCGCAAGCGAAGGAACCGAGGUCUCAUCAACGAUCCAAACAUGUGCUAAGGCGAUAUCAUCUCAUCAGGGAGAUUAUACAAAGAAAUGACGUAACGAUAGAGNNNNNNNNNNNNNNNNNNNNNNNNNNNNNNNNNNNNNNNNNNNNNNNNNNNNNNNNNNNNNNNNNNNNNNNNNNNNNNNNNNNNNNNNNNNNNNNNNNNNNNNNNNNNNNNNNNNNNNNNNNNNNNNNNNNNNNNNNNNNNNNNNNNNNNNNNNNNNNNNNNNNNNNNNNNNNNNNNNNNNNNNNNNNNNNNNNNNNNNNNNNNNNNNNNNNNNNNNNNNNNNNNNNNNNNNNNNNNNNNNNNNNNNNNNNNNNNNNNNNNNNNNNNNNNNNNNNNNNNNNNNNNNNNNNNNNNNNNNNNNNNNNNNNNNNNNNNNNNNNNNNNNNNNNNNNNNNNNNNNNNNNNNNNNNNNNNNNNNNNNNNNNNNNNNNNNNNNNNNNNNNNNNNNNNNNNNNNNNNNNNNNNNNNNNNNNNNNNNNNNNNNNNNNNNNNNNNNNNNNNNNNNNNNNNNNNNNNNNNNNNNNNNNNNNNNNNNNNNNNNNNNNNNNNNNNNNNNNNNNNNNNNNNNNNNNNNNNNNNNNNNNNNNNNNNNNNNNNNNNNNNNNNNNNNNNNNNNNNNNNNNNNNNNNNNNNNNNNNNNNNNNNNNNNNNNNNNNNNNNNNNNNNNNNNNNNNNNNNNNNNNNNNNNNNNNNNNNNNNNNNNNNNNNNNNNNNNNNNNNNNNNNNNNNNNNNNNNNNNNNNNNNNNNNNNNNNNNNNNNNNNNNNNNNNNNNNNNNNNNNNNNNNNNNNNNNNNNNNNNNNNNNNNNNNNNNNNNNNNNNNNNNNNNNNNNNNNNNNNNNNNNNNUUUGGUUUUGUCAUACCACGUGACAUUUCCCGUCACAUGUAUUGCUCUGACACAUUGCUAGAUGUCAAUCAGGGACAGCGAGUGUGAAUUGACGAUAAAUUAAAAGGGUGUAUUGAUUUAUCAAUUUUUGAUUAGAUCAAAAAAAAAAAUUUCACGACGUUAGGCAUCGUGGUCGGGAACCUAAUGGAUCGCACACAAAAGAGAAUUGGAAGAUUGCAAAUUGUCAAUUGGUUAAUUUGACAAUCGUUGAAUAAAUUAAUUAAUUGAAUUUGUUAUUUAUAAUCCCGAAUUAAUUAAUUGGAUUAAUUAAUUCACGGACCGGGUUUAAUUAAUUGGAUUAAUUAAAUAUUGGACCGGACCGGGCCGGGUCCGUUUGGGUUUAUAUAUAUACACAGCUAGGGUUUGAGGUCUAUAAGGUAUUCAUUAUUCUUGCUGGCACAAGAGAGAAACCCUAGCAGUUGCAUUCUAUUUUCUGUGUGGAUUUCAUUGGAAGCUGGACAAUUGGAGAGCUGUGGGAGUUAGAUUCAAGCUGCUGGAAAGGAAUAACGCGAAAGAGUUUGCAAAUUACAAGUAAAGGUAUAUUUCUUAUCACAGUUUUUAUCUAAAUACAAAGCUGAAUCCUGAAUGGGAAUUGAAAUUUGUUAAAUUCCGCUGUGCAUGUUUAAGUAAAUUCCCUACAGUAUUGAAGUUUUUUUAUUCUAAUUUUUGUUGAUUCCCAAAAAUAUCAGAAAUAUGGGUAUCAAAUAGCGAGAUUAAAAGAUUCGACAGCUCCAAAAUCUAUAAUAUUUAUUACAAAACAACUAAUUUUCAUGAUAGCUUACCACCCUUAUUUAAAGAAAUAACUAAACUCUAUAUAGUUAUUAAAUGUAAGAGAUAAUGACAAAAAUUUAAAACCCUAAUAUUCAGAAUUAAUUAGAAAUAAACGAAAUGAAAAUUGAAUUUAUUUAAUAAAAUAAAUAAUACAAAACUCAAUUUUCUUCAAACAGGUUCAAAUAAUAAUGCUAAGAUGCGAUCUUUAGUUUCAUGAUUUUGAAUGCCAUGCCCAUCCCAUACUGGUACAUGUAUUGUGCCAUUCUCGCAAGAUUCAUUGCAAUUUCAAUAAAAGUUUUUGAGAGUGGACAAAUUGUUUCUUGAACUUGGUUCAUUUUUUUCCAUGUCUCACGUAUCAAAGAUCUAAUGUGUUCACCUGCCUCGUCUUCAGAAGGCCCAGUUUCGUUCAUGUAACAUUGUAUUGUUUUAGGAACAUCACCUCUUUUCAUUUCAUCCUGAGAGAGAAAAUGAAAUAAACUGUUAGUUGAAAGGGUUAAUUUUGAAUUGUUAAUGAUUUCAUAAACAAGAAUGAACUUGAAAACAUGAAAUGAAAUUUUAGUCUAUAUGCGCACCACUGAUGUUGCUAAAUCAUCUGAAAGACGUAAAAUCGUUGCCGACCAACGGAUUAAAUUGGGAUAAUCAAGUAAGUACUGAACAGCUUCCUUCUCUAAAGGACUGGUAACAGUGAAAAACGCAUGGGAUAGUAUGACAUGAGUUGAUAUUGAAAUCCAUGCAAUGUUCAUAUACUCUUCCAUUGUUGGUUUGUAUCCAUUGAAGUACCACCUUGCCUCUUGUAAGUAUGCUUUGCAUAAAUCUGUCCACUGCCCAAUUUGACAAGAUUACUGUAUAUGGAUUAUGGAAACUGAUAUAAGGAUUAUGUAUUAGAGACUUUCUGAAGCAAAAGUGAUACCGCUUUCCUUAAAUAUGGAAUUAUUAUAAACCCUUUUUCUUUAAGAAUGUCUUAAGCCAUUUCAUUGACGAAAUUAUUGAGGGCUAGAUAGCAAAUUUGCAUGUAAUCUGGAAGUUGAUGGAUUGAAUUGACAUCCCAUCUGUGGAGUUUCAAACAAAUAAUAAUUAUAGGAGUUAGAACGGCGAGAAGGAAAAAAAAUAAAAAUCAAUAUAUAACAGAUAUGGGAAAAUUUUAUUAUAAACUACCAAUCUAAUUUUCCAAAAUUUGUUCCUCAACUUUAAAGAAAAGCAAGUUUGUACAUUACAUUUUAUUAUUGUUUCGCAACUGGUCGCCCACUAAUGAAAACCAUACUUUUCAUUAAAUUGUCGUGUGGCCCUCAUAAAAACAUGCAUCGCUUUAAAUAUCAACGUACCAAUCCAAGUUAGAAAACAAAACCUAAUUUCAUGAAGUUGAUUAUGCAAGGACCACACGUAUUGAAGUUUGGUGACCUUCUAGGAGAUUUUCUACAAUGUUCAGUGACCAUUGGGGGGAUUUCCUCCACAUAUCAACAUAUAACCAUAUGUAUUACAAGUAGCACUGGAAGGUUUGGUUAUGUAUAUGUCUAACACUAAGAGAAAAAGUGGGAAAUAUUGUUGAGCGGAAGAUGAUGACCACCAAGGCUUGAACUGGGCUUAGUUUUUUUCUCAGUCAACAUCACAAGCAAAACAACCAUAAACCUCGUUCACAGCCUCUCCCACUUACAGUUGCUACAGUUACCCACUUUGAGAACCACAAAGGGGAAUGAAAUCACAAUGAGAACAACAACAGAGGUAGCAAAAUGAGUGAACAGAAUCGAGGUAGAGAGAUCACAAAAGAGGCAGUCGGUUUUUCUCUCACACAGAGAGACCGCGACAAGGGAAAUAUAACCAAAGCAAUGGGACAAUUAAGGUAAGUAGGGAUAGGGUAUGGUAAUGGGUCAAAAGAAGACCUAACACAUAGUUAAAUGGACCACUAAGUGUGUUGCCCUUUAUUUAGUCGUCCAGGUAAGUGAGAUGGGCCAUGAGUAGCACUAAUUUAAAUUAGACUGCUUCUAAUGGCCCAAAACAAUUUUGGGGCUGGGUCAUUUUGUUUGAGGCGUCGGUAUAACGUUCAGUCAUUUGGUCAAUGUUGACUAAAAAAAUAAACCGAGAUCACGUCGUUUGACAACAAUUUGCCCAAGAAAUAUAAGGAAAUUAUGAUACCAUCUAGUUAGACAAAUGUAUCGGUUAACCUUCAUUUUAUCACUUAACAAAUUACCAAAAACUCACAUUUGAGCAUAAGAUUGUUGGAAAACAAGUUCAAUUAUCUUAGCAUUCUUAGUUUUCUCCACAAUCUAACAAAAAAGGUACUUUAACAAUUGACAACUUUUUAUUAUAGGGAACAUUCAUUGAUCAAGCAAUGACGGUGCUAGAAUAAAGGACUUAAAUUUACCUAGAAAUAGUAAUGUCUAAUGGACAAUUUCCUGGUUACUCCAUUUCAAUUAUUAUCAGACACAAAAUGGUAUUUUACAAAAGAAGAAAAGAAUAUACCGUUGGCCGACUAAUAGUCUAAGUGUCUAAUUGAAAAGUCGAGAGAUACCAAUAUUAACCAAGAUUCUAAAAAACACAAUCAUAAAUUGAAAAUAAAGUGUAGGAAAUAAAAAUGAACACAAUGAUUUUUUCGGCUGAAGCCGCAGAGGUUCGUCGACCACUUCUAACACCUAAUCCCCUGUUGAGUAUCCAUUAAAAUGGAUAAAGCUUAGUUGCACUAUAAAGCCCCAAAAUUAGGCACCAAAAAUUACAAGAAUGUUCCAGUAAUUACAAGAAAUAAAGUCACCAAGACUUAUCUUUAAAAUGAAGCACAAAUCAAGCCUCAUUCCACUAAGGAAUCAAGAAACCCGGAUCACACAGGUCACAAAAACAAACUGCCCUCUUCGAACCACAGAAGAAUGAGUGCUAAUACACAAUGUAUCACUUUCUACCGAGAGAUUAUACACAAAAUCACAAAGAUUUCAUAGAAAUUUGAACUUCCAACAUGAAUCAAGCAGAUUUGUACACCAUACCAAAAAACCCAGUAUAUUAACACAAGUAAAUGGAGAAUAACUUCAUCAUCCCUCAAGUAUACACCUGAGAAUCACUCAAAAUUGGCUUGAAUAUGUGAGGAAGAGGGAUUUCAUACACAGAGAUGAAGAGGCAAACCCAAACCCUAGAGAAAAUCUCUUAAAUCUGAAAAUGUAAGAAUAAAGUCUCUCUCUAAUCUGAAAAAUCACGUUCCCAGUAGAGAGUCACAAGAUUUCAUAUUUGGAAGUCUCUAGAAUCUGAUCAGAUGGUCAUCAUGAUGCCAGGUGUUGAAAUCUUGUUAAUUGACACAACUAAUAGAGUUAUCAUUUUGAAAACACGUUUUUUCUCCAAAGAUUUUUGGAAGCACACUUGACAAAAUAAAAAUCGGCAGUUUGAAUUCUCAGCAAUCUCCACCUUGCUUCCAAAAUUUAAGCUUAUAGUCCAACCAGGAGCUUCACCAACAUUUAUAAUUUCAUUUGCUCUAUUGUACCUGUACAAUCAAUGAAAAGAAUUAGUAAAUAACAUCUUUAAACAGUUUUGAAACUUAUUUAAAGGUAUCACCUUAGUUCUCAUAUCGGAUGGAUUAUACAAAGUAGGUAUUUUAUUAAUUUCCAGCAAACCUUUUGAAAUAAUAUCCCUUAUGAAAUGGUAUUUUACAUCAAAAUAUUUUGUCCUCUCAUGAAACAUGGAAUUCUUACUCAAAUGGAUUGCACUUUGAUUUUCAUAAUAUAGUGUUGGAUUAGUAUCUACAAAUCCAAGUUCAUUCAACAAACCAUGAAGCCUUAUGCCUUCUUUAAUGGCAUCAGUGGUAAUAAUAUAUUCAGCCUCGGUGGAAGAUAGAGCAACAAUUUCAAUUGAGAUUUCCAACUUAUCACAGUACCACACAAAGUGUAAAAAUAAGAUGAAGUUGAUUUUCUAUUAUCUCUAUUUCCACCAAAAUCAGAAUCUGUAUAACCCUUUAAAAUUACCCCCUCUUUGUCCAUUUUAAACAUCAAACCCAAGUUGUAUGAACCCUUUAAAUAUCUCAAUAACCACUUCAAGGCUUCCCAAUGAGUUUCACCAGGAUUUCCUAUAAAUCUACUCAAAACACUAAUACUAAAAGCCAAAUCAGGUCUGGUACAAAUCAUUAAGUAUAUGACUGAACCAAUAGCAUUAGCAUAAGGUAUUUUAGACAUUCUUUCAAGUUCAGUUUCAAUUUUUGGACACGAAUCAGAUGUUAAAAUAAAGUGAUUGGCAAGGGGUAAAGUCACAAGUUUACUAUCAAACAUAUUAAACUUCUUAAGGAUCUUAUUACAUACUCUUUUUGACAGAAAAACAAGCAAUCAGAUUUUUCAUCUCUUAUAAUAUACAUGCCAAGUAUUUUCUUAGCGGAACCAAGUUCUUUCAUAUCAAAUUCUGAUUUUAAUUUGUGUUUGAUAUCAUCAAUUUUAGGUUUAUUGGAAUUAGCAAGAAGCAUAUCAUCAACAUAAAGCACAAGAUACAAAGAAUAUUUACCUCCAUUUCCUUUACAAUAAAGACAUGUAUCAUAAUUGCUUCUACUAAACUCAAGCUUCAAGGCAAAUGAAUCGAAUCUUUUAUAUCAUUGUCUUGGAGCUUGUUUUAGGCCAUACAAAGAUUUUUUCAACAAACACAAUUUUUUUCAAGAUUUUCUUUAAUAAAUCCUAAAGGUUGUUUCAUGUAGAUCACUUCAUUCAAUUCACCAUAUAAAAAUGCAGUUUUUGCAUCUAGUUGAUCAAGUUUCCACUUAAAUUGCACAACCAAAUCAAGAAUACAUCUUAUAGUUGUAUAUUUAACAACGAGGGAAAAAAUCUCAUCAUAAUCCAUACCCUCUUUUGUGUGAAACCCUUGGCAACAAGCCUAGCUUUGUAUCUAACAUUGUUAGUGCCACCUUCCCCUUCCUUUAUCUUAUAAUCCACUUGCAAUCAACUAGCUUCUUAUCCUUAGGUCUAUCAACCAAUUCUUGAGUUUUAUUUUUGUAUAGGAAAGACAUUUCUUCUUCCAUAGCUCUCAACCACCGCUUAGAAUCUUUAGAUUUUAAGGCUUCAUGAUAAGAACUAGGUUCAGUUUCAGAUUCAUCUUGAUAAGUGAACAAAGACACAAAUUUAUCACUAUUAAACCUAGCUAGUGGUCUAAUUUAUCUCCUAUCCCUGUCUCUAGUGAGCGGAUAUUAAUCUAGAGGUGUGUUAUCAUCAUUAUACUGCUCAGGUUCAGCUAAAUUGGGCUCAUUUUCACUCUGAUUAGCCUCAUUAGUUGCUAUUUUUUAGGGUAUAGAACUCGUAUUAUUAAUUUUAAUAGGCUUCACCUCAAUUUGGACAUCAUUUUCAGUCAAAUGUCCCUCUUUCCCUUUCAAACAUGGCAUACAUGACUCAUUAAAGACCACGUCCCUUCUUAUAAUAACCCUGUAACCUUUUCCCCAUAAACCCAAAGCCUAUAUCCUUUAACAUUUUCAGGAUAACCCAAAAACACACAUUCAAGGAUCUAGGUUCAAGUUUCCCUAUGUUUUGAUGAGCAUAUGCAGUACAACCAAAUGUUUUCAAGUAAGAAUACUUCACAGGCUUUUGUGUCCACACAGAUUCAGACACAUCAAAAUUUAAAGCACUUGUGAGACUUCUAUUAAUCAAAUAUGCAGCAGUUUUAACAGCUUUACCCCAAAAUAAUUUGUCAAAGCGGAACUCAAAAGCAUGCAUCUAACUUUAUUCAACAAAGUCCUAUUGAUUCUUUCUGCAAUACCAUUUUGCUGGGGUGUGUAGGUCACAGUUCUACGUCUUAAAAUGCCAUUCAACUUGUAAAAAUCAUUAAACUCAUAAUUGCAAAAUUCUAGACCAUUGUCGGUUCUCAAAGUUUUGAUUUUCAAAUCAGUUUGAUUUUCAAUUUGGGUUUUCCAAUCUUUAAAUGUGGCAAAUAUUUCAUCUUUAGUUUUUAAAAGAUGUACCCAAAUUUUUUCUAUAGAAAUCAUUAAUUAUAAGCAAGUAAUACUUGUAACCAGACAAUGUAGGGUUGGAUGCAGGGCCCCACAAAUCAGCAUGUACGUAUUCUAGAAAUCGCUUUUAUUUAUGAGUACUAGUGGGAAAAGGUAAUUUAACUUGCUUUCCAAUCAAACAUUGUUCACAUUUAGACAAAUCACCAAUAUUUGAUUUUCUAAAUACACCUUUAUUCUGUAAAGUCUUUAAACCUUUUCACCAAUGUGACCAAGUCUACAAUGCCAUAAAUUUGCAAUAUUAAAGUUAUCAUCUAAAACUGCUGCUGCAAGGCCCAACAAACAUUUUACAUUUAAAAAGUAUAAACCAUGUCUCUAUGGGAUAGAAGUGAUCAAAUCACUACCCCUAAAGAUUUUUAUGUGUCCUUGAUCCAAUUUUAUGUCAAACUCUAUGUCAUCCAACAUUCCUAGAGACACAAGGUUUCUUUCUAAUUCAGGAACAAAUCUGGCAUCUUUUAACAAUAAAAUUCUGCCAUUUUCUAAGAGCAAUUUUAUGGUUCCAAUACCUUUCACUUUGCAAGUCAUGUUGUUUUCCAUGAUAACUUGGUCCCUUUAGUUUGUUCAAAGUCCAAAAAAUAGUUUUUAUUAGGGUAUAUGUGGAAAGAGCAACCUGAAUCAAGAAUCCAUUCUUGAUUUAGGUUCUUUUCAACAUUUACAAGAACCAGGCCGCUAUCAAUUUUUUGCUUAUCAUAGGACAAAACAGCAUUACCCUCAUUUAACUUCUUUCCUUUCAAAUUAUUUUGCUUUUUGUAGCAAUCUUUUGCAAAGUGACCCAACUUACCACAAUAAUAACACUUCUUUCCCUUUGCCUUAGUUUUAGAUUUCAUUUUGUCAUUGUUUCUUCUCUUAGGGUCAUUUUGAAAUGUUGAAUGAAAAUUAGAUUUACCAACAUUUUUGCCUUUUAUCAAAAGAUUUUCUACACUUUAUUGGUUGAUAAAAUCUGAUUUUAAUUCAAGAACCAUAUUUCUUAAGGCAUUUAUAAUGAUAUAUGUGGUAAGCUUGUCUCUACCAUAUUCUAAGGCAUUCUUUAGGUCUUUAUGCCUAUCACUAAUGGAGUUUAACAAGACCACAGCCAGCUGAUCUUCUGAUAAUUUCUCAUCACAAUUGGCAAGGUCCUGGGUCAAUUUGGUAAAUCUGUCCAAGUUCUCAUCUAAGUCAACAGAAGGAUCCAUUUUGAAAGAAAAGAAUUGUUUUAGCAAAAAAAUUUGUUUGGAGCAGCUUUUGGCUCAUAUUGGGCUUUCAAUUUAGUCCACAAUUCUUCAUGAGUUUUAGUUUCACCUAUAUACCUGAUCACAUUGUGUGAAGGGUACAAGAAAAUAGUACUCCAUGCUAUUUCUUCUAACUCAGUUCUUUUUGUAGCAAACAUUUCAACAGGUCAAGAAUUAUCUAAGGCUUUAGCACAUUUCAUUUGCAUCAAGAUAGCCCUCAUUUUCUGGCUCCACAUAUUAAAGUCUCCCUCCCAUCAUACAUGCUCACUUCAAACUUAGCAGUAGCCAUGACAAGAUUCACUAAGACAGUUCACAGAACACAAGUUUGAAUUCAAGAACACACAGGGAUACACAAUAAGAGUACUGCAAGCAGAACAGGGGAUUUGGGGUCAGUGACCAAUGCACUUAUAUUAUUUUCACAAAAUGGUAAAAACUUAACACUAAGUAGAGAAGGCAGAAUCACAAAGAAUAGAGAUGACAAUCCUAUGCCUUUACUAACUUCUCCAGCAAGACCUUCCAAUUGCACUCUUGCUAGUGUUGUUAUCUCAGAUUCCCAAGACUUCUUGAUUCUUCGGACAAAGACCAGCCAUAGUAGGUUUUGUUAGUGCAAGGUAAAUCAAGGGAAAAAUUAGGAGACCCUACUGUAAAGAUUAAUUACAGAAUGCCGGAAAGAUCUCACCAAUGAGUUUGAUAAAACUCAAUUUCCACCGGCCAAUGUUUACUGCAGGUUUCAGGAAUCAGGUUUAAUCAAGAAAUCACAAAGUUCCAGUAGUCCAGGUUACUCUGAUACCACUGAAAAGUCGAGAGAUAUCAAUAUUAACCAAGAUUCCAAAAAACACAAUCAUAAACUGAAAAUAAAGUGCAGGAAAUAAAAAUGAACACAAGGAUUUUUUUGGCCAAAGCCCCAGAGGUUCGGCGAUCACUUCUAACGCCUAAUCCCCUGUUGAGCAUCCAUUAAAAUGGAUAAAGUUCAGUUGUACUAUAAAACCCCAAAAUCAGGCACCAAAAAUUACAAGAAUGUUCCAGCAAUUACAAGAAAUAAAGUCACCAAGACUUAUCUUUAAAAUGAAGCACGAAUCAAGCCUCACUCCACUAAGGAAUCAAGAAACCCGGAUCACACAGGUCACAAAAACAAACUGCCCUCUUCGAACCACAGAAGAAUGAGUGCUAAUACACAGUGUAUCACUUUCUACCGAGAGACUAUAUACAAAAUCACAAAGAUUUCAUAGAAAUUUGAACUUCCAACAUGAAUCAUGCAGAUUCGUACACCAUACCAUAAAACCCAGUAUAUUAACACAAGUAAAUGGAGUAGAACUUCAUCAUCCCUCAAGUAUACACCUGAGAAUCACUCAAAAUUGGCUUGAAUAUGUGAAGAAGAGGGAUUUCAUGCACAGAGAAGAAGAGAGACGAAGAGGCGACCCCAAACCCUAGAGAAAAUCUCUCAAAUCUGAAAAUGUAAGAAUAAAGUCUCUCUCUCCAAUUUGAAAAAUCACGUUCCCAGUAGAGAGUCACAAGAUUUCAUAAUUUGAAGUCUCUAGAAUCUGAUCGGAUGGUCAUCAUGAUGCUAGGUGUCGAAAUCUUGUUAAUUGCCACAACUAAUAGAGUUGUCAUUUUGAAAACACGUUUUUCUCCACAGAUUUUUUGAAGCACACUUGACAAAAUAAAAAUCAACAGUUUGAAUUCUCAACACUAAUUUUACGUGGAAGCAUUCAAAUAAUUUUGUUAAUCUUGAUUCAACAAAGAGAAAGUUCUUCCUUUCAUAACGGUGGUUUCAGAGAAAUUCAAGAUUUCCGUAAUGGGAUAAAAACUCUUUUAGUCACCAAACUUUAAUAUGUACUUCAGUCAUUGUACUUAUUUUAGCAUAAAUUGUCAGUGAACUUAUAAAGUUGUUCCAAUUAAGUCACUUGCUAAGAAUCCAUUAGUUAAAUUUAACACAUUUGGGGAUGUGCCUACAAAUUCGAUCUCGCUACAUUGAUAUUAAAUUUGACAGUUUUUUACGGUGUGUGAAGUGGCACACUUUUUUACCCUUGAUUUCAACAACACUUAAAAUAAUUCGUGGCACAUAUUUUUACGUCUUAUAAAAUUUCAACCUUAAUGUAUACAUAGAAUGUACUAAUAGAAUUUUCCCUACAAAUUUUUGCAAGAAUUAUGUGACAAAAGAAAUGACAAUAAACUCAAGUCAAAUUACUAUCCACUUCAAUAAUAAGUGUCUGAGUUUAAACAUUUAAACGAGUGCUAUGAAAUCAAAAUCACAUGUGAUGCAAAACAUAAUUGUAAUGUUGUGUUGCUCAUUGGACUGUUUUCAUCCAAAAUAGACACAAAAUUCCUUGAAAAAUUACUUCUUUAAAUCCUAGUCUAAUGAGCAAAACACAACGGCUUUGCCCCCGACGUACGGUCCAUUUUAGUCAAAUUUCAUCGUUUAGGGUUUCGAAAAUGAUUUUUUUCACGUUUUUUUAAAUGAUUUUGUUAAUUUUAAUUAAAUUAGGAUUUUAAUUCCUUUUAGGAUUAUAUUAUCUUUAAUUCUUAUCAUUAUCUGAAGUAAGUCAUUAUCUAGAAGUUUAGUUAUUAUCCAUAUUUUAAUUAUUGCUUUAAAUAUAAGUUGGAAGCCUUAAUAAUCUUAAUUGAAUUUAAUUAUAAUAAAGAGCUUUGAGAAGUUUCUCAAAAUUAUUCCAUCUUUCUUGACAUUCGUGAGCGAAUCAACAAGUUUGAAUUUUUUGCGAGUUUUUGUUCUUCCCUAUAAGCUUCCGCUACGUCAACAUGUCAAACACUAGCUUAUUAAUGCCAUCUCAUUAUUCUUAUAACUACCGUCAAUGACAUAAACAACAACACCUAAACAAAACCAUAAACUUUAGUAAUUGAUAUGGAAGGAUUGUCUUAACUGAAAUAUCUUUGUAAGUUUACCGACAAUCUAUGCUAAAAGGGAGUUACUAAAAUGUCACAUUUUGAGAGUUUGAUGACCAGAAAAGUUUGUUAACCUGUUCAGAAAUUAUAUAAAUAUAAAAAUGAUGAAUACUAACUUCACGUAUCAAUGUUACAUACUAGUCAUUCUCAUCCAAGACACAUGAGAGCGUAGUUGAGAUUGAAGACCAAGAGUUGAGGCAUCACAUGGAAUUGACCCAUAAUCUCCAUUGCCUCCUCCUCCUCGUCCUUCCAAUUGUCUCCCAUGUCUCUCCCCUCUCUAUUUCUUGAUAUCGUUUUUUUGUGACAUUAUUUUGUAUUUAAGAUCUGUUUGCCAAGCUAAAUGGUUAAUCUCCUUUUACAAGAUAAAUAAAGUUAUAAAAUUUGAGAAAUUGUCGCAAAUGGUCACUAACCUUAGUCUACCUUGUGGAAAUGGUUUAUAAUAUGUUUCUUGGCACAAACGUCACCGACCAAUGUGUUUUAGUGCUAUUUUGGUCCUUUUUAUGAAAAAGACCAAAAUGCUCUUAAAUUUUUAUUAGAAAAAAUUGCAGUUGGGUUCCUAAACUUUGCAAAAAGGUGCAAAUGGCUACUUUACCGUAUCUUCUUAUAAAAUAAAUUGAAGGAAACUAACAAGAUCAUUUUUGUUCCGAUUUAAAACUUUAUUGAUCAAAUUGAUUAUAUGCGUGAACAUUUUUUAUUUUUCGUGAGGAUUAAGCGGGUAGAUGCUCUCAAAAUAAAGCAAUCGGCUUGGAUACAAUGGUUGGGUGAUUAUAAAAAAUAGACUUGUGUUAUAUCACUAAAUUACAAUGUAGUGAACUACAUGUUCAAAUAAAUGAAUUCCGUAUCUUAACAUUUAAUCUAGCCAAUGAUUAAAUGUUAUUUAUUGUCAUGUGUACAAGUUAAUUAACAUCAAUAUUGUUACACAGAAUUAUUCUUUCAAAUUAGACGAACCUGUUUUUAGCAAUUGUUAGACUUUAUUUAUUAUUUUUGUUGAAGGUUCAAAUAACCGGAGUCAUGGUUAUAUUGUUUGCUAUUUAUUUGGCAUUAUUACAUAUGUUAGUGGGUUGGUGCAAUUAGUGGAAAUUAUCUUGUAUAUUUUAUCUAUAUCUAUAUUUAAAGAGUGUCAAAUUGAUGAAGAAAGGUUCGAAGAAUUAAUUAUUUUUGCAAGGGUAGGGUUUGUAUUUGAAAGUCCAUUGGUUCCUCGAAUUCAGUAUAUAUUAAGAGGUGUAUAUUAAAAGGUCUGAAUUCGCAAUUUUUUUGUAACAAACAUGGAUUACAUGUUAUGUUUGGCCACGACAUCAUAAUUAAUAUACAGAGUGCAACUUGCAAGUGUGAAAACAACAUUCCUACCACAAAUGAAUUUCGAACUCUACUUGAGGGGAAUGGGCUCAAAUAGUAAAGCUAAAAUGCGAUCUUUAGUUUCAUGAUUUUGAAUUCCAUGUCCAUCUCCAUACUGGUACAUGUAUUGUGCCAUUCGAGCAAGAUUCACUGCAAUUUCAAUGAAUGUUUGUGAGAAUGGACAAUUUGCAUCUCGACCUUUGUUAAUCUUUUUCCAGGUCUCGCAUAUCAAAAACCUUAUGUAUUUGCGGGACUCAUCUUCGGAAGCACCAGUUUCGUUCAUGUAACAUUGUAUUGAUUUAGGAACAUCGCCUCUUCCCAAUUCAUCCUGAAUUAAUAAAGCAUAAAAAACACCUUUAGUUGAAAGGGUUAAUUUCGAAUUCCUAUUGUCUCAUUGA
rnacentral:lncRNA from 1 species